rnacentral:lncRNA from 1 species
UCCACCAAAAUCUGACACACAUAUGAAACAAGAGGGCUAGUCCGAUUUCAAGAAGUGUGUGUUCUCUCAAAAGUCUUUCCAAGAGCAUUUGGUGUUGUGUGAAGCAUUUAAGGCAUCACACUUGGGGUGCUAGGCUCACAAGGUUUCAAGGAACAUAAGCAACAACAAGGUAAGUUAUUCUAUCUUUCAUUCAAGUUAAAAAUUGUUCCCCAUGUAUGCUAGAUAGGAAUAUAACCUUGGAAUUCAACUUUGCAUGAUAAUUAGACAAACAUAGAUCCAAGGUUAUUAGGGUUGCAUGUACACUUAGGAAGUGUUAGAAUGCUCAAAACCCAUCAGUGGUAUCAGAGCCUAGGCUUGUUUGUUUGUUAUUUGUGCUUAAAAGUUGAAGAAAGUCGAAAAUCUUGCUGUCUGACUGAUGGACUCGGCGAGUCCAUGGGGAGGACUCGACGAGUUCAUGUGUAUCUUCAACCUACUCGGCGAGUAGGUUUAUGCACUCGGCGAGUAGGGUCGACAGAGUGCAGAAUUUCGACUUGUGUUGCUGGAAAUGGAUUAGAAUCAUUACCCUAAAAUGUUUUGGUACUUGAAAACUUAUUUUAGAAGGUGUAAUGUCUUUUCUAACUCAUUUACAACAACUAGUUAUCAAAAUUACAAAGAUUAAAUGUGAUUUUGAUUCUUGAAAGUGUUCAUAUUCAUAUUCUUGUUCUUAUGAUGUUUAGAUGAUCAUAGGAAUUAUUUGUAACCUAUGUGGUAGAUUAAUUCAUGAUCAUAAUGUGUUUUAAUGGAGUCCAUAACUUGUCCUCAAGUUAUGGAAAACCAAAAGUCUCUUGGAUUAAAAAACAUUAAAAGAACACAAGAGUUAGGAAAAAUGAAAAGUCCUCAUUUUAUUACUCUAUUAAACUCAUAAGUUACAAGAAAUGAAAAGUUUUGAAAGUUUACAAAACUUGCCCUCAAGUUUUGGAACAAGUAAAGUUAAGUUAAAACUUUAGUUCCAACCCCUAGAAUUUUAAAAGUUAAAAUUCAACCCUUAUACUUAUAUUAUUAUGAUUUAAUAAUUAUAUAUAUAUGUAUAAGAACAAAGUCGUCUUACCGCUAGUACGCCUCAUUCACGAAGCCGGUCUAUAAGGUGGGUAUAAGGUUGUUGCCUAUAAAAUGGUGACUUAAUGGGUGUCCACUCUCACCCACCGCUUGCUUGAUCGGUGGAGGGUCGUUAGCCGAACGGGUAAGACAAGGACUUAUUAAUUCUCAUUCAAAGUAUGAUGAAUAUUAUAAAGUAACUAAAUGUUUUAUUAAAUUCCCAAUCUUAGUUACUUUAGGAAAAAUGUGAAUAAGGUGCUAUUCCAUGAAAUUACACUUUACACUUUGAUUAAGUCGUUGGUGGAGCGUGUGUGGUUAACCGGCACACUAACUUGGACUUAACAAGGUAGGUAAAGGGUGACUUAGGGUUUAUUAUAGUAUCGAUGGAGCGUGUGUGGUUAACCGGCACAUCGAUUGAGUGAUAAACUUUAAGGGUACCAAGUGAUUUGCAUGGUUACUUCACACCUCGUUUUGUGAUCCUCGGUAUCCCAGUCACAAAACUUGGAGGGCACACUCGAGAUUGAAACAUGCCUUUGAAAAGUUCAUUGAAUCUCAAAGAAUCUAGGAAUUUCUAAGAACCAUUCAAAAACCUAAUACUAAAAUAUUGCGGUUUUCGUGGUGGAAAUUGGUGAAUCGUCAUUCACCUACCUUUCAAAUAUGAUAUAGCUUAGAUUACGGCAUACCUCUUCUAAGUUAUAUUAUAUUGUGAUUGGAUCCUAGCCUUAAUAUUACAUUUGGGUGUUUUAUUAAGGACUCUCUUAUAUCUAAACUAAUCUUGUCCUCUUUCCUUCAGAUGUCUUUCAACAAUGCUUCUGGCUCUAAUCCUAAUGGCUCCUUUACCCUUAUGAACUUGUGUGGGAAAGUCACCUUUGAUGGAUCCAACUUCAAUGAGUGGAUCAGAAACAUCAGGAUGAUUACCCGCUACGAGGACAAAGAAUAUGUCCUUGACAAGGAGCUUAAGGAGAUUGAUGAGUCCACUGCAACUCCUCAGGAGAUCGCUGAAUUUCGGGCACAUGAAAGGGAUGCUACGAAAGUGGCUUGCAUCAUGAUGGCCACGAUGACAGCGGAACUCCAAAAGUCUUAUGAGGAUUUCUACCCUUAUGAAAUGCACCAAGAUUUGAUGGAAAGAUACCAUCAAAGUGCAAGACAAGAGAGGUAUGAAAUCAUCUGCUCCAUGAUAACAACCAUGAUGAAGGACGGGGAAUCCGUCACGAGCCACAUGCAGAAAAUGCAAAGGUAUGUGGAUCGUUUGCUGAAGCUUAAUGUGAACUUCCCGGAGGAUCUUGCAAUAGAUAUUAUUUUGCAUUCCUUACCAUCGUGCUAUGAUCAAUUCCGCAUGACAUAUCACAUGAACAAGGAAGAAGUCACCCUCAGCAAACUUCAGGGACUUCUCAAGACCGCAGAAUCAGGUCUUAAGGGGAAGUCGGUUGCUAUCACUCCUACUCAAAACUCUACUCCGGUUUUGGCAAUCGGGAAAAGUCGAGGGAGGAAGAGAAAGAGCUCUUCUAAGGGUACCAAGGUUCGGACCCUUGAUGGCUCUUCUUCAAGUGGAACCAAGAAAGGUUUCAUUACUCCUUCUUCUGACCCAAAAGAGGCUGAAUGCUUCUAUUGCCAUGAAAAAGCUCAUUGGAAGCGGAACUGCCCAAAAUACCAGCAAGAUGUGAAGGAUGGGAAAGUUAAACCCAACCAUGCAGGUAUUUACACUAUCAUUUCUAAUAACUCACCCCAUUCUAAUUCUUGGGUCCUUGAUACCGGGUGUGGUAUUCACAUUUGUUGUGACUUGCAGGGACUAAGAAGAAGUGAGGAUGUGGAGCAAGGAAGGAUAAACUUGAUCAUGGGGAAUAGGAAAGCUAUACCUGUUACCAAGAUUGGAGUUUAUACUUUAUCGCUAAGUAGUGGGUUUAGUUUAGAUUUGAAUAAGUGUUGUUAUUCGCCAGGAAUGGCAAGAAAUAUUAUUUCCUUUCAUGCUUUGUACAAACAAGGGUUUACCUUUUCAUUUAAUAAUGAAGUUGGUUCUAUAGAUGUUUUCUAUAAUAAUGUCUUUUAUUUUAAAGCAUUACCUUGUGAUGGUGUGUAUGAAGCUGUAUCUGUUGUAGAUAACUUGGGAAAUAAUGUUUUGUGUAUUGAUUCUACUAAUAAUAACUUGGAUAAAGCAUCUUUAUGGCAUUGUCGUCUUGGACAUAUAAGCAAGAAACGCAUAGGCCAACUCCAAAAGGAUGGAGUCUUGGAGUCGUUUGACCUAAAGUCAGAUGAUAGUUGCGAAUCAUGCUUACUUGGAAAAAUGACAAAGUCACCCUUCACAGGUUCGUGUGAGAGGGGUGAAGGUUUGUUGGACCUUAUACACACGGAUGUGUGUGGACCAUUCAAACAUGCCACAAGGGAUGCUAAUCGUUAUUAUUUGACUUUUACUGAUGAUUAUAGUAGAUAUGGAUAUGUCUACUUGAUCAAGCAUAAGUCAGAGACUUUCGAGAGGUUUAAGGAAUUUAAACAGGAAGUCGAGAAUCAAUUGGGCAGGAACAUUAAGAUGCUUCGAUCCGAUCGUGGUGGUGAGUAUCUUAGUUCAGAGUUCCUCGACUAUCUAAGGGAAUGUGGGAUAGUCUCACAAUUGACACCUCCCAGGACACCACAGUUGAAUGGUGUGGCUGAGAGGCGUAAUCGAACCUUGUUAGAUAUGGUUCGUUCCAUGAUGAGUCGAGCUACGCUACCAAUCUCAUUCUGGGGGUAUGCCUUAGAGACUGCCGCCCAUAUUCUUAAUCUAGUCCCUACAAAGAAAGUUGCCAAAACUCCUCACGAGAUGUGGACUGGUAAAGUACCUAAACUAGACCACAUCAAGAUUUGGGGUUGCGAGGCUUUCGUGAGACGCGAGACUCAUGAUAAGCUCGAACCUCGAAGCGAGAGGUGUAUUUUCAUCGGUUACCCACAGCGAUCCUUUGGUUACCUCUUCUACAGACCUAGUGACAAUGUGGUCUUUGUAGCAAGAAGAGGAGUCUUUCGAGAAAGAGAGUUUAUAAGCCAAGGAGACAGUGGGAGGCAAAUUGAUCUUGAAGAAAUUCAAGAAUCAAGCGGUGAAGGAACUUCAAACUCUAGCCCUCAACUUGAGGAGGAAACUCCUGUUGAGCCAAUUGACAAAUCUGUACCUCUGAGACGUUCCACGAGAGUUAGGAGUGCACCUGAGCAUUACUAUGGAUUCCAUAUUACUGCAGAAGGUGAGACACUUAUUAGUGAUGAGACACUAGUAAGUCAAGAUGACCCUAACAGCUACGAGGAAGCCAUGGCAGGCCCCGAGUCUGCUAAAUGGAAAGAGGCUAUGGAUAGCGAGAUACAAUCCAUGUAUGACAAUCAAGUUUGGAACUUGGUUGAAAAUGUACCAGGUCGUAAGACAGUAGGGUGCAAAUGGGUCUUCAAGAAGAAGACCGACAUGGAUGGUAAAGUACACACUUAUAAGGCUAGACUGGUUGCAAAGGGCUUCUCUCAAAUUCCUGGAGUGGAUUAUGAUGAGACCUUUUCUCCGGUAGCCAAGAUUAAGUCUAUUCGGGUUCUGUUAGCCAUAGCUGCAUUUCAUGACUAUGAAAUAUGGCAGAUGGAUGUCAAAACCGCUUUCCUUAAUGGAAAGUUGGCUGAAGAUGUUUACAUGAGUCAGCCAGAGGGUUUUGUCAGCAACGAGUACCCUAAUAGAGUGUGUAAGCUUGAGAAAUCCAUUUAUGGAUUGAAGCAAGCACCUCGCAGAUGGAAUCUUUGCUUUGAUGAAAAGGUCAAGGAAUUUGGCUUUUCUAGGAGUGAAGAUGAAUCUUGUGUGUAUGUCAAGGCUAGUGGGAGUAUAGUUAGCUUUUUGGUAUUGUAUGUGGAUGACAUACUACUCAUAGGAAACGACAUUCCAACCCUGCAGGAAGUAAAGUCCUGGCUUGGGAAGUGUUUCGCUAUGAAGGACCUUGGUGAAGCUGCCUAUAUUCUAGGGAUAAGAAUCUUGAGAGAUCGGAGUAAAAGACUAAUUGGACUUAGUCAGAGUACCUACUUGGAUAAGGUGCUGAAGAGAUUCAGCAUGCAGGAUUCCAAGAAAGGAGAGUUACCCAUCCAGAGUAACACCAGAUUGAGUAAGACACAAAGCCCUAGCACUGAGGCUGAGAUAGCAGAAAUGAGUCGAACACCUUACGCUUCGGCUGUAGGAUCGAUCAUGUAUGCUAUGACGUGUACUCGACCCGAUGUAGCUUUUGCCUUGAGCAUGGUUAGCAGGUAUCAGGCGAACCCUGGCAAGGCACACUGGACUGCGGUAAAGAAUAUCCUCAAGUACCUACGGAGGACUAAGGACUGGGUCCUUACCCUCGGUGGGAGUGAUGACUUGAGAGUUGUAGGGUAUAGUGAUGCUAGCUUCCAGACUGAUAGGGAUAAUUUCCGCUCUCAGUCGGGCUGGGUCUUUACCCUAAACGGAGGAGCAAUUUCUUGGAAGAGUUCCAAGCAAGAGACAGUGGCAGAUUCUACUUGUGAAUCAGAGUAUAUUGCAGCUAGCGAAGCAGCAAAGGAGGCGAUAUGGCUGAAGAACUUCAUUGGAGACCUUGGAGUUGUACCAGCUAUUAAAGAGCCAAUGGAAAUUUUCUGUGAUAGUGAAAGUGCUGUUGCCUUAGCCAAGGAACCAAGGGAUCAUGGGAGAUCCAGACACAUCGACAGAAAAUACCAUUUCAUUAGACAUCGGAUCGAAGAAGGACUCCUCGUGGCAAAGAGGGUAUCAUCGGAUGAGAACCCAGCAGAUCCCCUCACGAAGGGACUGAGUAGGGUUAAGCAUCUCCAGCAUGCUCGGAGCAUAGGGCUGAAGGAUGAUAUAAGUUUUAGUAGUUAGAUAACCCAGAAAUUUGUAAAGUGUAAUUGACAUUUGAUGAUGAAUAAAAGGUGUUUUAUUUAUGAGUAAAGUGUUGCUAUCUCUUGUCAAUCGUUUACUAUAUUUCUUUUGCAUGUUUUGACUUCCAGAAUAAUUUUGUUUGGUGUAACAUAUUAUUCAAACCUCCACAGUCGGUCAUAUGUCGGAAGUAGGUAUGAAUCAAGACUGUCAUGAUGGGUUGUAGAGGUCUAAGGUGUUGGACAAGGCUACAACAAUCAUGAGUGCUCAUAAGUUCUGAGCAUUGGACUCAACCCACGCUCACUGGAAUCACUUCAUGGAAUUCUAUCUCGAGUGAUCGUGAGACGGUAAUAUCAUAUAAGUCUUCAAACCUAGAGAUAUGAUUUGUUACUUACAAGUUGGUUAUGCAUUGACUGUACGAAACCGCAUUGGUAACUCGAUGUUAUAAAACGUACUUUUGUGUGUAAUUCAAUGAGUGGUAGAACAAACAUAUGAGUCGAAGUUUAUCUGUUCCUUCUUGGAUUAGAAGCUGAUAUCUGGGCCCCUCGAUGAUUUUGUUUUGACCCAUGUACCGGGCCCGGUCAGAACUAAGUUGAUGUGUUCAAUUAAGUUCUAUGUCAAACAAAUCGGAAAUCGGGAAACAAAUGCUGGACAAUAAGCAAGACAAUGUUCCAUGUAUUUGUCCGGCUGAUAUCUAGAACGGAGGAUUAUAUGAUCACUUAUCUUAAAUGGCGUACCAUCAUCUUCUCAGUUCCGAGAGACCUUGAAAGAGCUACGAUUGCCGGUCGGUUCCUGAAGUACUAGAGAUAUAGUUAUUAGACUUAUCCAAGUGGGAGACUGUUGGAUAAGGUGUCUAAGUCCAUAACUAUUUCGGGCUUGUACUUGACCCGACCCGGCAUGGUCCAUUUGGGUUGCAUGGCACCAUGCAAUUGGAUAGACUAAAUGAGAGAAAUAACACUUGGAGAUUAUUAAUAUAUUAUAAGUUCUAAUAUAUUAAUAAUAUUAUUUGAUUAGUUGAUCAAAGAAUUAAUUUGGAAUUAAUUAAGUGAUCAAAGGAUAACUAAUUAAAUAUAUGGGUUGAUUAUGUAAAUCAUCCAUAUCUUGUAUAGUGGGCUAAGAGGCUCCAUGGAUUAUCAAGUUGGGUUCUACCCAUAGGAUGCUCCAUGGAUGCUCCAUGGGAGUUACAAACCCAUGGGUCAUGGAAAUGAAGAGUCAUGACACAUUAGGGUUUACAUGGUGUAACCCUAGAUGUGUCAACACUAUAUAAGAAUCAUAUUCUCCACCAAAAUCGGCUACACUAAGAAACUAGAGGGCUUGGCCGAUUUUGAGAAGUGUGUGUUAUCUCAAGAGUCUUUCCAAGAGCAUUUGGUGUUGUGUGAAGCAUUUGAGGCAUCACACUUGGGGUGCUAGGCUCACAAGGUUUCAAGGAACACAAGCAACAACAAGGUAAGUUAUUCUAUCUAUGAUUCAAGUUAAAAUUGUUCCCCAUGUAUGCUAGAUAGGAAUAUAACCUUGGAAUUCAACUUUGCAUGAUAAUUAGACAAACAUAGAUCCAAGGUUAUUAGGGUUGCAUGUACACUUAGGAAGUGUUAGAAUGCUCAAAACCCAUCAACUCUGCCCAUCAGUCUGCGGAUGGAACGCCGUGCUAAAAUGUAGUCUCGUGCCCAGUUCCUUGUGGAACUUCUGCCAAAACGGGAAGUAAAUCUGACAUCCCGAUCGGAAACAAUGGAAAAUGGGACCCCAUGGCGAGAGACAAUCUCGCGGACGUACAGGUCGGCCAACUUCUCUGCCGAUGAACUCUCCCAUAUGGCUAGGAAAUGGGCACUCUUGGUCAAUCGAUCCACGAUGACCCAUAUAGCAUCAAACCCCUUUUCCGUCUUCGACAACUUCGUGAUGAAAUCCAUCGCGAUCAGUUCCCACUUCCACAUGGGAAUCUCUAGAGGCUGCAGCUUACCGUGCGGCCUCUGAUGUUCGGCCUUGACCAUCCUACAGGUCAAGCACCUCUCAACAAACCAAGCGAUAUCUCGCUUCAUACCAGGCCACCAAUAACUCGAACUCAAAUCACAGUGCAUCUUGGUGGCUCCCGGGUGAAUACAAAACUGAGACUUAUGAGCCUCCUCCAUCACUGUCUGCCGGACCCCUUCGGACAUCGGAACCCAAACCCGACCGUAACGGGUCAACAAUCCGCGGCUAUCCUGAACAAACCGGGCGCUUUCACCCUUAAUCCUUUCCAACUUCCAGUUCUCCGGCCUCAUACCCUCAAUCUGAGCAUCCCUGACCAAACCCACCAGCGGGGAAUCCACCGUUAUCCUCAUACACUUGGCUGGGGGUAAAGGACCCAACUGAAUUACGGCUCAGAGCAUCCACAACUACGUUCGCUUUACCAGGAUGGUAAAGGAUCUCAUAAUCAUAGUCCUUGACCACAUCCAGCCACCUGCGCUGCCUCAUGUUCAGGUUCGGCUGAUUCAUGAUGUGUCUCAAACUCUUGUGAUCCUUGUAUAUAGUACAACGGACCCCGUACAGAUGGUGCCUCCAAAUCUUGAGAGCGAAGACCACCGCUCCCAACUCAAGAUCUUGCGUGGGGUAUCUCAUCUUGUGCGGCUUCAAAUGACUCGAUGCAUAAGCUAUCACUCAUCCCCUCUGCAUGAGGACUGCCCCCAAAUCUGUGAUGGACGCAUCACAAAAUACCACAAAACCCUCAACUCCCUCGGGGAGUGUCAACACCGGCUGAAUAUACUGUUGAGCCCUAGCUGCCGAACAAAACCCUGAUCCCAACCUGGUGCCCUCACCAUAUGUAGUGACAAAGAACAUGGUUUGGCAUGCGGAAUUAAAGCUUGCACAAUUGAACAUGGUGAUUUGGGUGUUUAAGAGAUAUAUUGAAUGUAUAUGGUGUUACAAAAAGGACUAGAUCUAGACUACAUAAUUAACACACACUUACACACUCACUUCUACAUCUCUCAAGCACACCUCUAUAAGUGGACAAACCCACCUUAUAUAGAGGGGUUUACAUGCCUCUCUCUCACUCUAACAAUCAAAUGGGUCUAAAGGCUAAAGCACCACAUGCAAGUGGGUUUUACAAAAGUCAAACAUUUACAAAGUCAUGAAUGAAGAGCUUUGCACCCCAACAUUCUCCCCCUCAAAGUUAGGAAUGAAUCACCCAUUUCAAAUCUUCCAAAAUCAAGCACUACGCGGUUCGAGCCUCAAAGGUGACACAUGUCGAAACGAACUUCAAUCUUCAAUUCUUCCAUGACUCUUCAAUUUGGGCUCUAGGAUGUGAGACCUUACAAACCGAGCAGCAACGAAUGAUUAAGAGUAUUCCAAACUCCAAAUAAUCACCCAAAAGUUGCGCAUAAAAACACACCCCAAAAAUCUUCAAUAAAACCAAACCCAUUUCGAAUACAUCACUUCCGAACAUCCAAUUACAUCAUCUCGUAGGCUUCAAAACUUCAAGAUCACUUCGGUCUUCAAAUCCGCGUAAUAUGAAAAAUUCAAGUUCGAAUUUCCAUAUAAAACUUCUCCCCCUUUUUAUAAUCGAAAUUUGAUUAUAAAACUCCAAAGGAAAAAGAACGUGCUAUAUUCGGAAUUUUUCAUGUCAAAACUCCCCCUUAACAUGUGGCAUAAACUUUGAGCUUCAAUCCGGAAAACCCAAAAAAUAAUCAAUUUGUUUUUCCAUUGCUGUUCAUUGAUCUUGAAGCCCUUAACAUGUGGAAUUUUUCACGGAUCGCCUUUGACAAAAUUUCUCAAAAAUGGGUAGAAAUUGUCAAUUUCAAAAUUCUGCAGUGACCCGUUGCGCCCAAAACAGCAAAAUAUGCAAAACUCUCCCCCUUUUCCAAAUCUGGGUAGAAAGCGUCAAUUUGCACAAACUGCAGGGGCCUGAAAUGCACAAUCUUCAAAUUUUAGCAAAAAAUAGUCCUUUUUCGAUUUUGGGUGAAAACUGCCAAAAAUUCGAAGUCUGAGGGACCAUUUUCGAAAUUCUGCUCUUUGUUCACAAUUCAUACGAAGAUUCCGCAAAUAUUCGAAGCUCCAAAUUUUUUUUUGAAAUCGGGUGAAAAGUGUCAAAUAUUCAGAAAUUGUGUUAAUGUUCGAAGUGCCAAAAAUUCGAAGGAUCAGGGGCCGUUUUCGAAAACUUGCCAUUUCAUCAAAUCAUACGAAGCCUUUUUCCAUUUGUCAACUAUUCAAAACAAUAAGGGCCAUUUUCAAAAAUUCUAUCUUCCUUCUUUUUAAUUCAUAUGAAGACUUUUUGACAAAACAUAUCAAGCAUACGAAGAGUGACUGUGAACAGUAAUGCACAAUGAUACCCUUCGUAUGUUAACCCAGUUCUUCGUUUUUUUUUUCAUCUAUUACCCUUCGCCUUUUGCAAUCCAUUCAUAUACCCUUCGUUCCAAAAUCAUCAAAAUCAAUAGAUCCUUCGUUCAAACACCCUUCGUAUGAAUCUUUUAACAUCUCUUCGUACAAAUCCAAGUUUUUCCCAAACCAACACCAACUUAGUCUUCGAAAAUUAGUAACCCAAACCAAUUCUUCGCUUUUUGGUGUAAACCAUCUGUUCUUACAGUUCUUCUUCACUUCGUACAUCAAUCACCAAAAACCAAUCCUUCGUUCAUUAACCAUGUAAUGCCCUGUCGUCCAAAUUGAUUUCAUUAAAAUCCAAAUAGGCUUCGCUUUUCCAGUUGAUGCCAAUGAACAAACGUGAUCAACCAUUUGAUUUUACAGUUCACUCUUCGAAUCUUAACCCAAAUCGAUCAUUAACCCUUCGUUUUUUCAGUUUAUCCCAAAACUGAUUCCACUACUUUCAUUCUUCACUUUUCAGUUUAACCCAAAACGAACGAAAUCGUUUCUUUGUUCCUUACAGUUCUUCCCAAACUCAUCGACAUCAAGAACAAACACAUCUAUUCGUUCACUACUUCAAUCGAUAUCAACUUAAUCAACACAAAUCAAGCUUGCAAAAUCACAGAAUGAACGGAAUCAACAAACCAAACUUGAUUAUCAACCAUACGAAAUCAAAAUCAUCAGACUUCUCUAUUUAUGUAAACUCGAUUUUGACUUUUUGGUUGACCCUGACAAACAACAAAACUAUUGAUCUUUAAUCCAAUUUUGGAUCAAACACCCAUUUUUAACAUAAAUCGUAACAUUCUUCAACUGUUCUUCAUCGAGUUCUUGACCGAUUUUAUCAAAAUCAAAAACUAAAUUGUUGACUUCUCAACUACAACUCGAUCAUAAUCGACUGAUAAUUAUCCAAAUCAGAUUCAGUCAAUUCAUAAGUUCAGAAUCGCAAAUCGUUGAUCAACUUUCAUAAGCGAAAAAGAAAACUCAAGAACAUUAUGAUUACAAGUCAAAAUAUGUUUGAGCUGAUUACAAGAACAUUAUGGUACAACCGAUAAAAGCGUACGUACAUAUCAAACAAAGAACAACGAAUUUUAGAAUUAAAUCACAUUGGAUGAAUUUUGGGUUCCAUCAAAGAUAUCGGAUAAAAAAAUAUGUAUGGGCUCAAAUUUAAACAUGAACAGUGACAGAUUCGUACAUUGGAUCAUAAACGAACAAAAUAUUGGGCUGUUGAUAACCACACAUAUCGAAAUUAUCAAAUAAGAGUAUGAAUUGGGCUCCAAGUUCAUUUAUGAACAGUAAGAUGUCAAAAUUUUUGGCUAAAUCAAAAUAAAUGGAUCAUAAUGAAUUUUGAGCUCAAAUCUCGAUUCAAACGAACAACUGUAAAAUCGAGUCGAACAAACAAAUAUGAGAUUGGAUCGGACUUUGAUCAACGAAAAAAUUAUUGGAUCAUAACAAAUGGGUUUUCAAAGAACAUUUGAUCCAAUGAGUCAAACGAUCAAAAAUUAAGAACGCAACGCACGAUUCAAAGAGAUUAAGAGAGAUCAUAGAGAGAGACUCACCAAAAUUGAUCAAAUUACGACAAAAUUUGCCAAACCGGGAAUCAUUCUUCAAAUAUCACCUUGAUCUUGAAGACCCGCUCUGAUACCAAUUGUUGUGACAAAAAUACUACAAGUUCUCCCCCACUUGGGGUUCGAACCCCCACCCGCUAUCCCUCAUAGUCGAUCAUGGCGCCAAAACGGCUAAGCCAAUCCAUCCCUACAAUCCCAUAUACAUCCCCCAUGGGGAUAGGAAUCAAAUCUAUCGGGAAUGACACCCCGAAAAUCUCCAACUCGCAUCCCCGGUAGACCGAAGAAAUAGAAACCCCGUGCUCUUUGGCGAUCGAAACUCGCAACGGGCACUCAAGAUCAUCCAUCGGCACACUAAACCCUCUAGUGAAAGUCUGAGAUACGAAUGACCGACUGGCCCCCGAGUCAAACAAAACCAAAGCAGGCAAAGAAUUUACUAAAAACGUACAUAAUCAUAGGUACAACCAAUAAGUACAACACAAAUACGAUAACUGAGACAGAGAAUAGAAACGUACCAGCAACCAUAUCCGGUGCUGACUUGGCCUCCUUGGUCGUGAGCUGGAAGGCACGACCCUGAGCCUUCGGAGGCUCCAACUUAACUGGCCUCCCGUCUCAAAUCAUUACAGUAGCUGGCACAGAACCCUGCACCGACUUCGCGGCGAGCUGCGGACAACUGGUCUUCACAUGACCAACCUGAUGACAAUGGUAACAAAUCCUCAUAUCUGUGGGAGGGGCGGGCUGAUGGUAGCCCUGGCAUAGUGCCCCUCCUUUCCACAUUUGUGGCACCCACUUCCUGCUCUACAAGUUCCCGAAUGAACCCUGCCACACUUUCCACAAGUGCGGCUCUGCUGACCCACACCGUGUAUCAGCGGUCUUAGCCCGCUUAGGCGCCGGCUGAGACUGUGCCGGUGCCUGACGCUGCUCCUUCAGCUGCUGCUCUAUCUCAACUCACGCUGCCUCGCGGCUUCCUGAAGGUCCCGGAGGGUAUCACAACGCUGUGUAGCCACAAACUGCCAUAUAUCCAUCUUAAGCAUACUCAGAUAACGAGUCAUCUGAGACUGUUCUGACGCAAACUCUGGGCAAAACAUAGCCCUCUCAGUGAACAUCCGGGUGAUCUCCAUCACCGACUCCCCAUCUUGUCUCAAUGUCAAAAACUCCUGAGCAAGCCACUCCCAUUCCACGCGCGGAACGUAGCGGGUGCAAAACAUAUCCCGGAACUGCUCCCAAGUAAUAGCAUCCCACUAAUCAUCAGAAUAUGAACCUGUCUUCAAUCUCCACUAGUCCUUUGCCCCGAGCCUAAGCAGUUUCAGAGCACACCUGACCUUCUGGUCAGCAGGACAUGAGCACGUGAAGAAACAGCCCUCCACGUCAGACAACCACCACAUAGCCCUGAUCGCAUCCUGUGUACCAUCAAAUGUCGGGGGCUUCGUAUUAUCGAAGUCCCGAUACUGGAAAGCCCUGCCGGCUCCUCCUCCAACCCCUGCCGCAGUUACAGCCUAAGUGGCUGCAACGACAGCUAUCUCUGCUAGAGCUGCAUAUCGCUCAACAAAAUACUCAACCAUUGCGGUCUUAAUCGACCCAAACAUCUCUGGCAGCUGUGCUCGGAACAUAGCAACAAUCUUGUCUUGCAUGAUCUCCCGGAUCCUGGCAUCCAACUCCUUGGUCCCUAUUUGUACCACGGGCUUAGGUGCUACCGGCACCUCCAACCCUCAGUCUCCCGACCCCGAUCCUGAUCUUGAUCCAGAAGCAACACGUCUCGUCACCACCAUACUGAAAUAUAUAUACAAGUCAUCAAAUAAAUAACAUAAUGUCGGGAGACCAAAACCCACAAACCCUAGGGGGUGUGAUUUCCUUGCUAAGCAUAUGGGUCCUGUGCUUUAAGUAGUACGGGCCCAUACUACCUUCCACACCUACCCAUAUUUGUCUCAAGUAACACCACAACGCCCUAACAAUAUUAUCAACAUAGAAAUGCGCUCAACCCUCACUUCUAGGGGAAUACCAACUAUCUCGCACCUAGUCUCACCACUUAUCAUGACUCACACAUCCAUGAAACUUCCAUCAUCCCCUGCCGCGCCAGUGCAUGCUAGCUGUACGUAACACUGGAACCAAUAGACUUUCGAAUAUCCAAUCCAACCCAAAGGUCGAAUCAACAUUUUCAGGCUAUAAGGUCUUUAUUAUGAACAACCGUGAUGCAUACACUAAAAAUCUACAGUUAUGAUGUCAAUUCCACAUACAAGAAACCCUAGGCUAAUAGGCAUCAUGUAACUAGGCAAAUCUAUCAUGUGAUUCCUGAAGAUCCCUAGCCUAGCACUAGCAUGCUGUUCUAACAUAUCAUAAUAUCAAAUAACUAUAUGGUAUUUUGGGGUUUACUUACAGGCUCCGGCUGAUCGUACCCUCUACAUCCUCCAUCCUUUAUUUUGAAAACCAUUUCAAAAACUUACUUUCUGAAAAUCUCCUUGAUUUGAGACUGAAUUCACACGAGAGUUCCUCCAAUUCACUCAAACCAAGGCUUUGAUACCAACUUGUAACAUCCAUAAAUUUUACGCCAAAUUUAAACUUUUCAAUCAUAAAUAAAAACCAAAUAGCAUUGUUUACAAAAAUGUUUUCGAAUCAUUAUCCAUCAUAGUGUCACAAAAUCAUAACAUAAGGAUGAGGAGUGGUACGGUCACGCCUUCGCCACUACAAGAAAAAGACCCUUUUACGACGCGCAAGCAACGACACUCGGAGAUUUAUGUUACGCAAAAGAGAGUGACGUUAAAAAAAAUGUUAUCUCUUUAAAAAAUUUAAGAAUUUAGGUUGCACAUUAUUGCGUGCCCUUAAAUUAGUGUCUCAUGUAAAAAAAUUAAAAACACGAAGGGCACUUUAUCUAAAAGGUGCGCCGUCUAUGAAUGUCGUUUUAUAUUUUUUUAAGGAACGCGCUUCUCCUUAGAGGGAAAAUGAAAUCUCCAAAUUUUUUAAACCCCCACCUUCUUCUCCCUCGUCUCCACCCCCUAAUCGAAGCUACCAGUUGAACAACCCCUAAUCCACACCACCACCUUCUCGUCUCUCCUUCUCCACCAGGUUUUCUCUCAUCUCUAUCCUCCACCUUCUGGAUUGUAAAGGCGUCAUUUUAUAAUUCUUUUACCAAACGCACAUCCAUUAUCCUCAAUUACAAAAGGCGUCCAAAUCUAGGGGUUUUUUUUCAAGAAGAAACCAAACGGGAGUGCUCUCUUCAACAUUCGAUACCUCCGCUCGCCCCACCUGCUGGCGACCUUGGUUCUUAUAUCCUCCCAGUUUUUUGCGUUCUUCUUUCAGAAAUUUAAUCGAACAAGAUCUUGUGCCAGGCAGUUAAUCUAACGAUGGCGACAUUUUGAUUUUGAUCUCAAAAUACAUCAAAUACGAGCUUAUGUUGGAACUGAUUACCUAUAUAUCUUUUCCUUUAUGGGAUAAAUACAUCGAAUACGAGUAACAACAACAAUAGUGUUCCAAUCUUGCAUUGAUAUACACACACGGAUAUCGGAGCAUCCUAAUCAGCAAUUGGACCGCUAUUAUAACAGGUGAUAUACAAUUUUUUACGUAGAAGAGCCUCUAGCUUUUGUUAGGUCCAAAAUAAACUAAACAUGGUCAUACUCUUUCCUACAGUUUACAGCUUUAGGGAUUAAUAGCAAGUCGCCCUUUAUCUGAACUAAAAACCGCUGAGGAAGUUGCAGCUGCAACAAAUUCUAAAGACGAAGCCAAUAUUGAAGAAAAUGAAUGGGAAUUUCAUCCGGAUGCAGUGGAAAAACCUUCUAAACCUGUAAGUGAAGGCGUAAUAGAAGCUGAAGAGGUGGAGUCUUAUAUUGCCAUUAGAGAAGAGCUGUACAAGAAGGCUAAAGAAUUUGAUUCAAAGAUUAUUGAUUUUGGGACUGCUAUCAGAAGACCCUACUUGCAUAAGGUUUUUAACAUUUUUUUUGAUAAUGUAUACAGAGGCAACCGGAGAUUCACUUAUUCACUUGAUCUUACUUGUGAACUUUGAAUAUGUGUGGGUCCGAAGGGCUUCAUAUGGACGGAAAAGUGAUAUAGGAUAACGAAAGGAAUAUAACUGUUAACAGUUGAUCAAAAUCAAAAGAUACAAUUGGUAUUCUUUGUUUAGGUUUUGUUACUGCUUAAUAUAUAACUUCUGCAUGUUAAUUGCCACAGAGACGACAACCUUUAGGGUUUGCGUUAAGGUUGAUUGUUACAGAGAUAUGGAAACUUUAAUGAGAAAGCUUAACUGAAGAACUUAUAAAACGACUAGAGUAUAGAGUUUCCUUGGCUGAUGAAUGGAUUAUCUCUAAUUAUGUAGCAGGUACUCCACACUCAAACAAACACUGAUAUAGUUUCGUAGGCUUUCAAGUUUCAAUAUUGUAUUCCUAUUUAACAUACUGAGUCUACUCUUGCAAAAGUUGUGGCGAAUUUUUUUUUCUUCAUGCAACUGUAUCACAAAUAUAGCUAACUGGAAAUAUUAUUAUGAUUAGGUUAUCUAGUUCUUCAUUUAGACCUCUACUUGUAUUGCCUAGUUAAAAUAUAUAACUUUUAGCACUUUUUGUGUUUAUUUGGACUGAUUAGAUGUUACAUGGUUGAGAAUUUGGAACUGCUAUCACCUUUGUAUGGUUACCUUGGUUGUUCACGGUUGUUAUCUUCUAUACAGGUUUAAGAUACAAUCAAUCACCUAUUUACUAUGGGUGAUAGUGAAACAGUUGUUGCUCAAUCAUCAGCUAUCCAAGAGCAUCCAUCAACUACAGUUAAUAGAGAUUUGGCUGCUUCUACAGGUAUCGAUACCAUGGAUGUAGACAAUGUCAUUCCUCAUGAGGAUGAUCGAGCAUCCAUCCAGGUAGUAUCUUACUGCUGCUAUAGCAACCCCCUAUGUUCUUUAGAGUUCUUGGGCAUAAACUUCCUCUUUUUGGUUCAUAUGGUGGCUUUUUUAUAUAUAUUAGUAGAAAACCAUGUUACACAUCACCCAAAAAACAAAAUGAAAAGAAACUGAACAAAAAACUAUGAGUUUUGAUUUAUGUUAUAGAUAAUAACGGGCAUUUGAUUACUUAAUAGUUUUUAGAAUCAGUCGGGAGUCUUUCCAAGAAUUCAGAAAGUUUUCAAGAAUCAAAAGCUACAGAGUCUUCUUUGCACUUUUUGAAUAGCAACUAGCAAAUCCCUUCUAUCUUAAUGUUCUUUAUAUAACUUAUUUGCUGCAUGAAAUCUUUUCUUAAUGCAUAAGAAUUUCAUGCUUUCAGACUUUACUUACAUGGUUGCUUUUUAUAUCAGGCAUCACCCGAACAUUGUUCUAUUGCUUUUUAUCAAGAGGGGUAAGAACUAAGAAUUACUUUCUUAUUUUAUCUUUUUCUGUUAUUUUUUCAAUCUGAUAAUUUAUAUAUAUUUAAAAUGACUUGUGAUAUUAAUUUGUCCAAUAACUUUUGAUGAGCAUGUGCGUAGGGGUAAAACGGGAAGAGGAAAUGCUCGGGAGAUGGGCUUUGAGAGUUUCCUUGACUUUGUUCUAGCCCUGGAAAACAAAGACACUCCAGAGGGAAUUACAUAUCUUUAAUGAUGUUUAGAUCUUAAUGGAAGAGGCUUCUUUACAACAGCUGAUAUUCACACCCUUUUCAGGUAUAACUAAUUAUUAUUAGGAAAUAGGAAAUUGAAAAUUGGAAGUAAAGGAGGGGAGCAUUUAAAGUUUAAAUGUUGCCUGAUAUACCCUUCCUACAACAAAAAAUAAAAAUGAAAAAUCUCUGCUUUUCCUACUUGUUGCACGCGAGACACGUCUGCAAGCCUCUUGACUAUGAGAUACAUAUUUUCACCAUAUAUUAGUAAUAAAAAAAUAAAAAAAUGAUUUGAUAAUUGAUUGGUACACUACACUACAGGGAUGUGCACCAAAAUUAAAUUUAUUUACUAUUAGUGGAAUUCAAGAUAUGUACAGGAGUGUUUGUUGCCUUUAUAAUUGGUACAAUGCUAACAUGGAGGACCUUGGCAUUGACAGGUUUUAAAUUAGUCUAAAUUAUAUUUAUUUACUACUAGUGGCAUUCUUAUGGAUAAAGAAAAUAAAAGGUGAUGAAUUCUAGUGUUCUGUUUGCAGGAUUAAUCCCUUGUGCUGUUCUAUUAGUGGGACUUUUCUUUGUACCAGAAUCUCCUAGAUGGCUGGUAUGUGAAGUAUCAUGAUUCAUGAAGCUGUUUAAUUUAUCUUCAAGAAAUUAUGUUUGACAUCAUGCAUGCAGGCAAAGAUUGGAAGAAAGAAAGAGUUUGAUGCAGCCCUAAGAAAACUUAGAGGGAAGGAUGCUGAUAUAUCUGAGGAGGCGGAUGAAAUCCAGGUGUUCAUUUCAAAGCUCUCAACUUUUUUUCUUAUUUUUGUUAACGAAUAAAAAUUAUAGAAUUCUUUUUAUGUGUUAUCAAUGGGGUCUUGAAUAUGUUGAUAGGAUUAUAUAGAAACACUACAAAAGCUCCCGAAGGCCAAAAUAUUCGAUUUGUUUUAGAGAAGAUAUUUGCGAUCUGUCACUGUAAGUUUAUUUUCUUGAUAACUCUUGUUGGCUACUUUAAAAAAAAGAUUUUUAUAAUUGUAGUCCGAAUCUUGUUUUGACCAUACAUGGUACUUUUUUUUUUUUUCUGUAAUUGUAGUCUGAAUCUUGUUGGCUACUUUAAAAAAAGAUUUUUCUAACUUGCUCCUGGACGUGAUUGUGCUAUUGAGUUUGAUCUUGGAAGUGGAAGCUAUAAUGUAACUUGCUAUUGCUCAUACAACUUUUGUUGGAAUGUGAGUAUCAUAAUUCAUGCAUUUUUAUAAAAGUUUAAAAUAUUAGUUUAUGUUUUUUCUAUAUAAAAGAUAAAAUAUUUUUGUUGCUAUUGUUGUAGUGUACAAAAGAAACUCAUCGCCUUGUGGACUGUGAAACUGUGUCCAAAUGGAUUAUGAAGAAAAGUGCAGAGUCUGAAAAUAUGAAUUGGUAAAGGUCUAAAUUGCCCCUUGGCAGGUAUGCUGAUCGAAUUGCUAAUGCUAAAUGGGAAGUUAAAGAACAUGGAAUGGAACGCAAAGGUGAUUAUUUUUAAUUUUAGCACCAAAUAUUUUAAAAUAUCAUUUUUUUUAUGUUAAAUCAUAACUAUAACUCAAGGUGCUAUAUCUUUUAUCUGUUGUUUGUAAUGUUGAUAUGAUAACAUUAGUUAAUAACAUAUUUAUAUAACAACUCUAUCAGUUAGCUAAAACUGAUUAUGUCAUUAAUAUAUUAAAUUUCAUAAUUAUUAUUUAUUACAUUAAUGCUUUUAAUAUGUUCUUUAGUUGCUUACACCAUCAGUUCUCAAUGGUCGAUUAGUUAAUGCCCACCAACAUCUCCUAGCACUAAGGAUAUCAGAUUAUCUUGGAAUACACCAAGUUCUGUGAUAUUUUCAAUACCAAUCAUAAGGAGGAAUUACAAUAUGGUGUUAUGGAAGGAGUCAAUCUCUUAGGGAAGUAAUGGAGCCAAAAGAAGGUAGUCUACUCUAGGUGCAGUUUGUUAUUAUUCUAUUGGUGAUUUGAAGCAUGGAGUUGAUUCCUCCUGCAAGUGAAGUUACUUAGUUGGAAUUUGAUGUACAUAGUAGAUUAGAUGCAAAUUUAUUUAUUGUAAGAAAUAGAAUUGUAUGACAUUAAAUUUAAGCAAUGGAUUCUAUUUUUUGUAUAUAAUAUUUUAUUUUCAGUUAUGAAACAUUAAAUACAAAUUUAAUUAGAAAAUAAGUAAACCUAUAAAGAUUUUUUUUAAACAUUUAAAAUUAUGAUACGCAAAAAUGUGUGUCAUCUUCAUUUAUGACAUGGCCUUUCUUGACAGGGGCUUUCUUAAUACGCAUUACGUGUCAUUAACACGCGCGGCGUAAGGUUACGACACGCGAAUGCGUGUCAUCUUCCUUUAUGACAGGGUCUUCCUUGAUACGCAUUGCGUGUCGUAAACGCACGUCGUAAUUGCGCGUCGUAAAUGAGCGUCGUAAAUGCGCGUCGUCUAUAAACGACGCGCAAAAGCGCGUCGUCUCUCUUUAUGACAGGGCCUUCCUUGACACGCAUUUGCGCGUCGUCUGAGCCUUUUACGACGCGCAAUGAGCGUCGUAAAAGGCUGUUUUUCUAGUAGUGCGCCCUAGCGGCAUAUCACACACACUCUUGUUUCCGCAGUUAUGAGUUCAUUAUGGGAUUGAUACUUUGAUAUUUUGGUUGUUUACAUGUUGUGGAUUUCAAAUUUGGGUUUUCGAUGUGAAAUGGUUUAAUUGAACAAUGUUUUNGGCCAUCGGCCUGACUGGACCGCCCUGCGGGGCCUACAGUCUAUCUGGAUCUAUCCCGAGCCUUCGGCAUGACUGGUUCGCCACGUGGGCCUACAGUCUCCCCGGACCGCUCAUAGGGUGUGUGGGCCUUCAACACAAAACAGGAUCGCCUCAACCCAACCAAAAACAAAUAACUAUGUGCGCAUAACUAUCAUAUACUGGCAUAUACAAACAUCAAGCAUAUCUAUCACUGGUCAUCAAUCAUAGAAUUCUCUCAUAACUAGAGUACCGUCCUAGCAGGUCACUAACAUACCAAUCCCUACGGAUCAUAAGAGCAUAGCAUACUGUCUACCCUGAUUCCGAUCUAACAGAUCAUAACCACAUAUAGCAUACCAUAACAAUAACAACUAAAGGGUCGGCCUUGGUGCCGUAGACCCUAUCGAUAUAGUGAGGGUAACUCACCUCAGAGAUGUCGACUCGGAAAGUAAACUCCAACUCCCGGAUCACUUGACACAAGCCCCACUACCUAUAGCACAAUAUACUCGUAAGUCCUUAACCUUAUAAGGUACUCCAUAACCUACUAGUCAACCCCUGAUCAAAGUCAAAGUCCUUAGUCAAGGUCAACAAUCCAUGUUGACCUCGACUCGUCGAGUUCCUUGAAACACAUUCCAACUCGCCGAGUCAUCAGGGUGACUCGUCGAGUUCCUUUGAUUCUCGAUGAAACUUUAAGGCCACCCGUCGAGUUCCCUCCUUGCAACUUGACGAAUACACACGCAUACAUAUCCAGGAGAAAACUCAUCCGCCUCGCCGAGUUGUUCUUCAACUCGUCGAGUCUAUGGAAAUCAUCAUCGGACUCUCCGAGUUGUUCAUCCAACUCGUCGAGUUCACAACCAUCUUUAUGUGACUCGCCGAGUCCAUUCAGUCCUUUUCCCAUACAGACCUAUUUUGAGUCAUGCAACGGCUCCAACUCACAGAUCCAAGCUUCUAGGGCAUGCUCAAAAGGGACCUUAAUCACGAGGCGAUCCUGUUUUGUGUUGAAGGCCAAGUUUCUAGGGCAUGCUCAAUAGGGACCUAUUUUGAGUCAUGCAAACUUUACGUGCAUGCAUGGCUUUAUAGGCUCCAAAUGCCAAAUCUAAGCUCUUAAUGGGGCUUCAUGCUCAAUAGGGACCUUAAUCACGAUCAAAACUGUAACUUUAUGUUUCUAGAAUCCAAAGAGGGUCCGAUCUGAAGUUACAACUUCAAAUCUAGCCCAUAGCUCAUCAUACCAACUUGAUAUUCCAAGAAAACCCUAAAACUCAACCAAUAGAGGAAAUUUAUAAGGAAAAUGACGGUUUGGGUACGUCUGGAAGAUUAUAUCUGAGAUAAGUAUUGAUUUCCACACUCUAAAUGCUCCAAUCUCCUUCUCCUCCACGUCUUCUCCUUCCAAAGAUCCUCUUUUCAAGCUUCAAACACACACAAGGCACCACACACGAAUAAGGGAUCUCAAGGACUCUUUAGAACUGUAAAGAGGUCCAAGGGAGGCUAAGGCCCCUUUAAAUAGGGGUACAAACCCCGAGAUUUAGGUUUUCAUCUGCCUGCUCCUACUCGCCGAGUCCCAAUAUGGACUCGUCGAGUAGGUCACUUAACACGGGAUCCCACCCCCGCUGCUACUCGACGAGUAGGGCAACCUACUCGUCGGGUAGAGCUUAACCCAAUACAUCUUAUUUAAAACAAUACCUGAGAAUUGGGGCAUUACACAAUAACGCGUCCUUUAGAUAAGGGAUCAUGUAGUCCUCCAUUCUCAAGAUAUCGUGUGGACAAAGACAUGGAAUAAAGUCAUACUCAUUGUCUAAUAGUUUGUUUCCCGAUUUCUGAUUUGUUUGACAUAGAAAUUAAUUAAACACAUCAAUUUAUUCCUGACCGGGCCCAACACAUAAGUCAACACAAAAUCAUCGAGGGGCCCAAUAUAUCGCUUUUAAUCCUCUUAGGAUAAAAGGAAGAGAUAAUCUUUGACUUAUAUUCUUGUAGUAUUUACUUCUUAAAUCGUACAAAAUAAUACGUUUAAUAACAUCAAGUUAUUGAUGCGUUUACACACUAUCAAUGCACAACCAACUUGUAAACAAUAACUAAUAUAUCUCGGUUUAAAGACUAUGCUAUUAUCGUCUCACAAUCAUUCAUGAUAAAUUCCAUCAAGUGAUUCAUAUGAGCUUGGGUUUAAUCUAAUACUCAAAUAUUAUUUCAGGAGCACUCAUGAACAUUGCAACAAACCUUUGCUAUGUCCAAACACUUAUACAAUCUACAAACCAAUUCAUGAUAGUCUAACCUCAUAGCCUACUUCCAAAGUAUGAUCGACUGCGGAUAAUUCGAAUAAUCCUAUUAUUCUGGAAGUCAAAACAUGAAAAAGUGAAACAAUAGUAAACAAUUUACACAAGAUAGUAACUUUACUCAUAAAAAAAAACCUCUUUAUUUAAUCAUCAAAUGUCAAUUACAUUUUAUCUAUUACAAGUUUCUAAACAAUUAUCUAACCACUGAAACUAAUAUCAUCCUUUAGACCAAUGCUCCUCACAUGCUGUAAGUGCUUAACCCUGCUUAGACCCUUUGUGAGGGGAUCUACUGGAUUCUCCUCUGACGAUACCCUCUUGAACACGAGGAGUCCCUCCUCUACCUGAUGUUUGAAGAAGUGGUAUUUUCUGUCGAUGUGUAUGGAUCUACCAUGAUCCCUUGGUUCCUUGGUUAACGCAACUGCUCCUUCGUUAUCAUAGAAAAUUUCCAUAUGCUCCUUUAUGGCUGAUACAACUCCAAGGUCUCUGAUGAAGUUCUUCAACCAUAUUGCCUCCUUCGAUGCUUCGCUCGCUGCUAUGUACUCUGAUUUGCACAUUGAAUCAUCUACAGUCUCCUGCUUGGAACUUUUCCAAGUCACUGCUCCUCCAUUCAGGGUAAAUACCUAGCCCGACUGAGAGUGGAAGUUAUUUCUGUCGGUCUGAAAACUAGCAUCACUAUACCCUAUCACUCUCAAAUUUUCACUUCCACCAAUUACAAGGACCCAAUCCUUCGUCCUUCGUAGAUACUUAAGAAUGUUCUUUACUGUUAUCCAGUGAGCUCUACCAGGGUUCCUUUGAUAUUGACUAACCAUGCUCAAAGUAAAAGCCACAUCAAAACGAGUAGACGUCAUAGCGUACAUGAUCUAGCCAACGACAAAAGCAUAUGGUACUCGACUAAUUUCCACUAUCUCGGCAUCGGUACUCGAACUUUGAGUCUUACUCAAUUUUGUAUUGCCCUGGAUUGGUAACUCCCUUUCUUGGAAUUCUCCAUGCUAAAACACUUUAUCCAAGUAAGUACUUUGACUAAGUCCUAUUAGUCUCUUACUCGUAUUUCUCAAUAUCCUUAUCCCUAGAAUAUAAGCAACCUCUCUGAGGUCCUUCAUAGCGAAACACUUCCCAAGCCAGGGCUUAACCUCUUGCAAAGUUGGGAUGUCGUUUUCUAUGAGUAGUAUGUCAUCCACAUACAAUACCAAGAAGCUAACUAUACUCCUACUAGCUUUGACAUGCACGCAGGACUCAUCCUCGCUUCUUGAAAAACCAAACUCUUUGACUUUCUCAUCGAAACAAAGAUCCAUCUGCGAGAUGCUUGUUUCAAUCCAUAAAUGGAUUUCUCAAGCUUGCACACUUAGUUUCGGUACUUUGCAUCCACAAAACCCUCUGGCUAAUUCAUGUAAACAUCCUCAGCCAACUUUCCAUUAAGGAAAGCAAUUUUGACGUCCAUCUGCCAAAUUUCAUAAUCAUGAAACACAACUAUGACUAGCAUAACUCUUAUAGAAUUGAUGUUGGUCACUGGUGAGAAGGUGUCGUGAUAGUCAACUCCCGAAGUUUGAGUGAAACCCUUCGUAGCUAGUCGUGCCUUGAAUGUGUCCACUUUCCCAUCCGUGUCGGUCUUUUUCUUGAAGAUCCACUUACACCCGACCGUCUUACUACCUGUUAUAUUGUUAACCAAGUUCCUAACUUGAUUUUCAUACAUGGACUGAAUCUCGUUGUCCAUCGUCUCUUUCCAUUUUGCAUACUCUGGGCCUGCCAUGGCUCUCUUGUAGUUGUUAGGUUCAUCCAUAUUUAUUAGUGUACUAUCACUAAUAAACAUAUCACCUCAGCAGUUAUAUGGAAACCAUAUAACACGGGCGGAUCACUAACUCUAGUGGAACGUCUAAGAGGUAAGGACUCGUCGAGUCCCACUAUGGACUCGUCGAGUUCAUCUGUCAGGGGCCAGAAAUCGAUUAUUUUCAGCUUUGAACAAUUAACCAUGACAUCAAAUACAACAUAAAAACAGCCUAGGCUCUGAUACUACUGAUGGUUUUUGAGCACUACAACAUUCCUAUGGUGUACAUGCAACCCUAAUGCUUCGUAUCUAUGUUUUUUUCAAGUUAUAUAUGCAAAUCAAAUCAUCCAAAGCAUGAACCCUAACUAGCAUAAAAAUUUGGAAAUUUGUAACAUAAAACAUAGUUAGAAGAAUACUUUUUCCUUGUAGCUUGUUGAUCUUGACCUUCAUGAGCUUAGUGCCUUAAUUCUUGCACCUCGAUUGAGUCACAAACACCAAGUAGCAAGUUGGAAGAAUAUGAGAGAGGCUAGGAGGCUCAAAAUCGUCUAGGGUAUUCUCUUAGAAGCAAGUGGUUGAUUCCAAGGUGUCAUCGGGUCUUUAUAUAGAUGUGCAAUUAGGGUAUUUGAUUGAAACCCUCAUUCUCUGCUUAGGCCUUAAGUAAUCUAGUAGAUCCUUCCAGAAGGUCUCUUAUGGACAAAAUCUAUGUGGGCUAUAUAUAGGAUUUCAUCCAUCCCUUCUUAGGGAUCCACAAGCCCAAGUUUGCAACUAGCAUAUAAUUGCAAUAUCAGUCCCCAUAAUUUAAUCAGUCUCUUUUGAUCACAAAAAUAAUUCCAAAUCAAUUCCUGAUCAAUACUAAUUAAAUAAUAUGAUUUCUCAAUCAAUAUAUCAUUCUUAUAAUAUAUUAAUAAAUCAAAAUUAACCUCUUUCUCCAUAAUUCAUCCAGUCAAGUUGCUAUGGUGAAGGCAACCCAAAUGAACCAUGCUACUAUUAGGUCAAGUACAUACCAAUUAUAGUUAUGGGCUUAGACACCUAAUCCAACACGGGCUCCUUAGAGCUUUCAGGUCUCUCCUUGUCUCGGGUACAAGUCUUGUGCUUUUAGUAGUACGGGCCCAAUACUACCUUCCACACCUACCUGUACAUUCCCCCAAGGCCAUACCUGAUACCUCUAAUUCACCAAAACAUAGAUAAAACAUGACAUACGAAACACAACACAUAUCCUAGAAUCCUUGGGGAUUUCUCAAUCCUCAUAGAACCAGAAGUCUCAAUCAACACCGCAGGUUGCCUUAUGCAUGCAAGUUAUACAUACAUAUAAUCACAUAGACUGUCAAGUGAAGUUUCUACCCUAAGACCAAAAUGAAGCAAGGAACAAGAAGUAAGGAAGAAUCCAUCGUUCUAGGGCUAUGAAAUCCUACACGUAUACAACUUUGAAAGAAUACACUUAGCAAAUAACAAAGACAACAUCGAUUUCAAGCAUUAUAUUCAUAGCAUUGAAUUCUAGCUAGUAGGCUACAAGGCAUCACACAAAUCAGACAAUUCUCAUAACUCCUGAAGGUAUCCUUAGCCCUAUUCUAGCAUGCAUUUCACACAUUAACAUACUGGUUGUAAUUCAUAAGCUUGGUUAAAUUUUUGGAAACACUUACUUGAGCUUGGCCGAUUGCGUGCAUUGCACUCUCCCUUUUUACUUAAGAAAACCGGUUUAAGAAAAAAUUUACUUUUGUUUAUUUUUUAAAAAGGGUUACCAUUUCCUUAGUUUGAGUUCUGACACACCUUCGAGUGUGGCCGAAUUUCUCAAACCAAGGCUAUGAUAGCAACUUGUAACAAUCCAAAAAUCUAGAUAAAAAUUUUCAUUUUUUUAAAAAUAGAAAUUACAAUCAUAAUUUGUUUAUGAAAAUCCAUUACAUGAUUUCAUAUCAAAAUAUCAGAGUAUCGCUAUCGAUAAAUGAGGAAAUUCUUGGGAGUGAUGUUGCGCCAUCAAGCUGGUCCAUUCCCAUCAAUACCAGAAGUACCUAAAAACACCCAAAUAAACUAUAAGCAAAAUGUAACAUCCCAAAAAUACAGGCAAAAAAUUUCAUUUUUAAAUACAUUAUUAUAACACCAGCAGUAUAAUAAGACAUCCAUAAUAUCAUGUCAUGUCAAAACUAAAGUAGAAAUAAUCAAAACAUGUUAUAAUAAAACAAUAUCAAGGUGUAAUCUCAAAGAUCUCAUGUGCGGAAAACCAUAGCGUGAUGCACUGUGAUCAAGCCGACUCCUUUCCUUUAAAAACGAGUACCUGAAACCAAAACUGUAAACCGUAAGCAUGAAGCUUAGUGAGUUACCCCAUCAUACCACAUACCAUACAACAUACAUGCUACGAAGCAUAUCUGGGUGUUGACAUACCCCUUUGGUAACUUUAACCGAUAUCCGGGGACUGUUUCACCCCUAUCACUACCACAUAAUAACAUAGCAUAACAUAUAUAAAUAUACUGUCAUGCAUAUAUGGGUGCCCGACCUACCCCUUCGGUAUCUUUCAACCGGUAACCGGGAGCUAACCUCCCCAUCGGUAUCUUUCAACCGGUAACCGGGAGCUAACUACCCCUUCGGUAUCUUUCAACCGGUAACUGGGGACUAUUUCACCCCUACCACUACCACAUAAUAACACAACAUAAUGUACUGCAAGGCAUGCAUGGGUUCUGACGAUCCCUUCGGUAUCUUUCAACCGGUAUCCGGGGACUAAUAUUUCACCCCUAAUACUACUAACUCAUAUAACAUAGCAUCCUAGAACAUAGAGCAUAUCAGAUAGUUGUAAACUAGACAAUUAUCACAAAGACAAUCAUCUCAUACAUAGUCACCUACUAGUGGGUCAGCAUUGGUGCCUUAGACUGUCACACCCCAAAACCGAGAACGGCGGAAAUGUUCUGGGGCGGAGGACGUCAUGUAUAAUAUCAACAACAAUGUAAAGUAGUAAACAAGCAACAACAUCAUCCAUUGCAUUAAUAAAAUAAUUAUUAUACAAUUGUAUUCUGUCAAAUUUUGAUAAACACUAAAGCAUAAAUCAAAAUGAAAGAUAAGUCUUGAACAAGCUCCAUCUUCCUUUCUCCUUGCAUCGGUACCUGUCUAUGAUGACCUGAGGAUACAAGUAAUUUUGAAAGCGAGUAUCAGCUUUAAAGCUGGUGAGUUCAUAAGUAUAUAAGUGUCAUUGCCUUGUUUGUGAAAAGCUGUUAUGAAGGCCAUGAAAACCUUUAAAUGAAAAUGUUGAGGUAAGUAUGAAAUCCCUAGAAAAAACCCUUAUUUUCUAUAAGUAUGAAAUGUAGUCUUCUACUAAGACCCGAAUGUUCUGUACGUAUGAAGUGUAGUCUUCUACCAAGACCCGAAUGUUUUGUAAGUAUGAAGUGUAGUCUUCUACCAAGAACCGAAUGUUCUGUUUGUAAAAUGAUAGUUUUCCCUUUGUAUUGACUAGUACUAAAAGUGCUUAGUCUAACUCAUCGUCUAUGUGAAUGCAUCACAAAAUAAAGUAAACAGGAAAAUGUACUACUGUAAGUGUUGUCACUGGGUACUAGGACCAACACAGCCUAGGUAAAUAUUAUCCCGAGGUACUAGGGUUAACACUACCUAAAAAUAAAGUAAACAGGAAAAUGUACUACUGUAAGUGUUGUCACUGGGUACUAGGACCAACACAGCCUAGGUAAAUAUUAUCCCGAGGUACUAGGGUUAACACUACCUAAAAAUAAAGUAAACAGGAAAAUGUACUACUGUAAGUGUUGUCACUGGGUACUAGGACCAACACAGCCUAGGUAAAUAUUAUCCCGAGGUACUAGGGUUAACACUACCUAAAAAUAAAGUAAACAGGAAAAUGUACUACUGUAAGUGUUGUCACUGGGUACUAGGACCAACACAACAUCGCAUUAAGCGAAAUGUAUAACCUAAUGAACAUCCGAAGAUUGUCCAAUUGUCCUCUGUAGCAGCAGCAGGUGGGUGGAAGGGUUAGUCCCAAAUCGAUCUUCCUAAUAUAAGUAGUAACCUUAGACCUCCGUAGAUGGUCAUCGACCACUGGUGCUAAUCAGUGGGGUUCGGAAUGGUGAGUCCCGCCUAGAUAUCCCAUUGAACCGGGAUAGGAAAGAUAAUUUACACAGAAAGUACUAAUAAAUUAUCCUCUUAGUUCUAAGUACAAGUAUCCAGGUAAGUGAAUACAGGAUAAUGCACCUAUGUAAAAGUGUUCCUGUAUGGCAUUCAUGUAUGUGCGUCCAUGUAACAGGUAAGUAUAUGUGAACAUAUUCAUGUAUCAGGUAAGCAUCUGUAAGUACUCAUGUAUCAGGAAAUGUACUAGUAUAGACUCAUGAAUGAACUGACUCUUGUGUGAUUCUUUGUAAUAGAAAUAAUGUUUGAUAUCUUCAAAUUAUCCCUAUGAUAAUUUACUGUAAUAUAACUGGAUGAUCAUGUAGGUUUAUACACUCUUACUACUCAAGGGUGUGGGAAACUAAAUGAAAGAUGUAAACUAUAAACUCAAUACAUAUAUAAGAAUAUAAGUGUAUAUGCAUAGUUUAGUUCAAGAAUGUAAAAAUGGUUUUGUAAGACCUCUUAUGGGUUUUGAACAAUAAUUAACAAUGACUUGAUGUCAUUUUAAUAAACAUUUCAAAGGUAAAACAUUUGGUAACAAUGUGUUUUUAAUAUGUAAAACCAUUUCAUGCAUCACAUUUUGUAGCAUGUGAAAUCCGUUAAAUGACAAACAUAGUUAUAAAAUGCAUAUCAAUGAUUCAAUAACAUGUAUGUUUCUACUUGUAUUCCCCCCAUUAAAGCAUUUAAAAUCAUUUAAAAUAUUGAUUAGGGGUAUGAACUCACUUGAUUGAAGUGGUUGAUUUGAAAUAGUCCAGAGAAGAAUCAAGCAGAACUUCGACAGGAAGAGCUGAAAACGCGGGAAAAUCUCAGGAUUCUCGGGAAUCUCGGGAAUCUCGAGAACACAAAACCUUCCUUCGGGACUUGAAGGUGAAAACCGGGGCUUUGGGAGGGUCUCGGGGGCUUAAACGCAGAGUUUCGGCGCGAGAAAGAAAGGAACUGAGCAAUGGAACUCGGAGCCCUUGAAAUCUAUUUAUAGGGGCAUUUUUGGGGUGUGCCACGUCGUGGCAAGUGAUGGCCACGUCGUGGGGAGUCAAACCUAUCCUCUUCCAUUGAUUGGACGCCCUCAGUCACUUGCCGGGUCGCGGCAAGCUUGUGCCACGUCGUGGGGCCUGACAGCAUCGGAUUUUGGGCCCCGAACUUGUAAAAUCCAUAACUUUCGCAUACGAGCUCCGUUUUCGACGUUCUUUAUAUGCACACAUAGCUAAAAAUAUGAUCUACAAAUCUCGUUUAGACUUCAAUUGCAAAUUUUGACUUUAUUUUUAAUUAUUUAUUUUUAACGGGUCGGGACACGAAAAGUCUGUUAAAAAUCCAUAACUUCUUCAUCCGGUGUCCGUUUUCGUCAGACUUUUCGCCGUUGCGCUACUAAUGUUGAGACCUUAGAUUCUCAUUUAGGUUGUUUUGGCACNUUUGGUCAAAAGUAUCUCGAGCUCUAUUUCGAGUUUUUAGCUGUCUACUGCUAUACUCGAAUCUUGGAAAAAUCAUAACUUUCUCAUACGAAGUCAGAUUUGGACGUUCUUUUUAUGUACGCUCACGGUUUGAGGUUAUCUAUAACUUUCAUUUAGAUACUUAAGGCUAAAAACUAUUGUAUUGAAACUUCGCGUUUUUCGUUUAAUCGGUGUUGUCGGUUUUGCCGAGAAUCUUCGGUUGGUCAUAACUUCUUCGUUAUAACUCGAAUUUUAGGGUUCUUUAUAUGUACUAAAACCUUGAUACGAUUCCUACUACUUUAUUUAACCCAAAUAAGAUUUUAGGAAAGUUAUAUUUUGACCUAAAUUUGAUUGGUUUUACAUUUCAUUGUCUCGAAAUAUCGGGUUGUCACAUAGACCCACCUCUACUGGAAGGUAAUUCACCUCGAAUGCAGAAGCUUCCUAAAGAAAUUCUUAUUGCUGCCCUGCCCACUUCCCGAGCUAUCAAUACCAAUCAAUAUACCAAAUUAGCAAUUGGUUCCCAUACCAAAAUCCUUAAUCCAUGCAUGGGAUAAAAUGACCAUUCUACCUAUGGCCCAGUAUGAUCCGGAAUUAUGGCCAUAACCCAAACAAAAGCCCAACACUAUAAUGUCCAUAAUACAAUCAAUGGCCCAAUUUUCUAAAUUGGGCCCAAACCUCUACGUGAGUCUUGCCAUGAGGCCCAAUCAUUCUUUCCAGUCCAAUACACCUCAUAUUCUGAUGGCCCAAUAAUAAUCCAAACAUUUAAACCCAAAAUGCUAAAACUCACUCAUGGCAUGGUCCAUGGACUAGUUUUCCAAAUUGGGCCCAAGACUUUAGUGGGCCUCUACAAAUAAAAUAUCAACCCCAAAACUGAUGGCCCAAUAGCGCCCAAAACAACAAGCCCAAAAGAUGGCCCAAACUGAAGCCUAAAAACCAAAGUCCCAUUCUGCUGAGUACGCGGGGCGUACUCAGCUUGUACGCUAAGCGUACUGGCUUAAGGGCUUGUACGCUACAUGUAGACGCUUGUACGGCCAGCGUACUCCUCCUGUUGACCAACUCUCAAUCCUAGCUCUUAAUCCAUUAAGCCAAGACGUCCAAAACCUCAAAAUGGCUUAAUAUAAGUGACUUGACCCGUAAAGUCGAAUGCUUUAAGCCUUUGCAUGGCUUAUUUAAUCCCAAACACUAAAGAUGAAUUCCAAAAGGUCAAAAUCACUCCCAAAAUGUCUUAGAACUUCUUAAUACCUUAAGACCUCAGUCCAAACUUCCAGAUCUGAUUUCAAGGGACUUCUUAAGUCAUAAAUUUUCCAACUUUAUGACUUAGCAUAACUCAAUGGGGCCUAAAUCUAAAACCUAAGUUCCAAACUUCAUUAAAUGAAUACCAAAUCAUGCAUGGAAGGUUUAUACCUCUCAAGAUCUAGACUUUAUGACUCCAUAACCUCAGUAAGGACCAAAUAAGAGGCUCAAAGGUUCUGGAGUAACUUCUACUCACAAGAACCACCUCAAAGGGACCAAAAAAACAUAACAACGUACCAUUUUGCUAGAUCUACAUGAAAAAGUUGUCAAUGUUGAGACUCUAUACCUUCAGAAGAUAGAUCUAGGUGCACAAAGCUUGGAUUCAAAAGCUCCAAGUCAAACAAUGACUCUUCAAGAAGUUCCUUCUUCCUCCUCUAGCACCAAAACACACCAAAAAUCACUUUGAAGCUCUAAAAUUACUCAAAUGGGGGCUAAGGGUCGAUUUCUAGGGUUUGGAGGGAUGGAGGAUGAAGGUAUUAGGGUUAGGUUAUGAGAUAAGGAGCUUAAAUAUGCUCCAAGACCCUAAAAUAGGGUUUUGAUCUAACUGGCGUACGCUCAACGUAAUUAUGGUACACCCGACGUACUCCAAAGAACAUUCGCGACCAUCCUGGUCAGUAUGUCCAGCGUACUCUAAGGUACGUCCAACGUAUUGCCUUCUUCACUAGUACGCCCUGCGUACUCUUUGUGUACGCCAUGCGUACUCGGCUAACCCUGAAAACCAUGAAACUUCUGAAGGCCAUAACUUCUUCGUUAUAAGCCCGAUUCCAAUGAUCCUUAUAUCCACGGAAAGGUGACGAGAAACUCUAUGCAUCCAUCAACUUAUUCUCACCUCAAAACCUUCUGAAAAAAAAAUCCAAAAUUUAUAAAGAUCUUCAACUACCACUUUACCGAUAUACCCCUUGGCUCCAAAACACGAACCGAACACCCGAAUCACUUAUAAUACAUCACCUGCACCCAAAUGGGCCUAGAUACUACCUUUUCAAAAGCCCUAAUACUUUUGAUGACCAGCCUUCAGGCCACAUCGUUAGACUAGAAGUCAAUCCGGAACAGGGCGUUACAUAAAAGCUUAGUGAGUUCCCAAAAUACAACAUAACAUAUAACCACAGAAUACCACGCUAUAUACAUAAGAUUGCCAUAGGAAACCCCUAUGGUCUUUACCUGGAAUGCCAUGGGCUACCCCCAUGGCCUGAUAUCCAAGUUCCAUGUGCUACCCCCUUGGUCUUUACUUGGAAUGCCAUGGGCUACCCCUAUGGUCUUCACACAAGUGCCACGGGCUACCCCUGGGGUCUUCAAAUAAUGAAUUCAUAACAACUAUCAAUGCACAUGUCAAACAAUGGGCCGAAAUUAGUGCCUUCGACCCAUUGAUAUAGUGAGAAGACUCACCUCAGACUGCUGAUAAAAAUACUACUCGGCUAUCGGUCCAGAUAUCUCACACUGAAUAUACACAAGUUAACCUAAUUAGAAUUAAGUCACAAACUCAAGGCAUAGGCCAAAACCCUAAUUACAAACUCCUCCAAUAAGGCCCAAAAGCCUUUCUCCUUUAAUGGGCCUAACAUCCAAGCUCCAAAACAAUUAUAGGCCAUAAGGCCCAAAAGGCCCAAACAUGCCACCUAUGGUCCAACAACAAGUUUAAAGGCCCAAAUACUCUAAUAGAUCCAGGCCCAAGGCUAAGUAGGGCCCAAAUGGAUCAAAGGCCCAACAAUAGCCUAAAACUCACUGGAAGCAUACGCCCAAUGUACAACAUAUAUACGCUUAGCGUACUGGGUUAUUUGGUGGUACACACAGUGUAAAAGCUAGUACGUCCAACGUACAAGCUGCUUUGCACAAAUAGCCAUUAAGUGCUUACUUCAUGAAGCCGCUUCGUCCGAUUCCAAAUCUUGGUCAUCAUAAAGGUUGUAGGGCAAAAAUUUUGUAACUUUAUGCCUUUGAAUGCCAUAUGGGAACCUAACACCUCGUUUUAUCCUUUAAGACUCCCUUUAAGAUCUUAAACUCAUGCAUGGUGUCAAAACAACCAUCAAGUUAACAUUUUUAUGGUUUUAACAUGCCAAAGGAACUCAAAUCAAACAUUUCUAACCUCUGGAGUUGCUCAAACUCACAAAAGAGGAUCCAUGGACCAAAAAUGGACUUAUUACCAAACCCUAACUCAAACUAGCGAAAGGAUAAGCAAGGUCUGGACUUUUUACCUCCAAAAGUUCCGCAAGAUGAAAUAGAUGCAGGAUCUAGAAGCUCAACCACGUAUAAGACUUGAUCACAACCUUCUCCUUCUUGCAAACACACUAAAAUAGCCACCAAAAUCACUUUUAAUAUCACGAAUCACACUCACUUGCAAAUUAAGGUUUAGGUAUGAUAAGAGGCAAUAGAAGUUGUUUAGGGUUAGGUCUAAAUGGCAUAAGAGUGUUAAAAUGGGGCUAAAAUUAGGAUUUUUGUCUUAGGCCACGUACGCCCCGCAUACAUUGUGCAUGUCCGAGUCCAAACCACCCUAAUAUGCUAAGCAUACACAUAUGUACACCCAACGUACGUAGGGACCUCCUUUGCAAAUAAGUUUCAUUCCAAGGGUUAAAAGGGUAACUUGCAUUCCGAAUGUUACAUAUAGAUAAUCAAAUACUUGAUUCUACCCUAAGCCCUUCAUCAACCAAGAACAUGAAAUAAAGCUAAACCAAAAAUUAUCAGGCUAUAGAAUCUUAAUUAUGUACAACUAUGAUGCAUACACUAAGCAGGUACAAUAAUGAUGUCAAUUCUAUAUAAGAAGUAAUCCUAGGGUAUCAAGCAUCAUAUAUGAGGAAAUUUUAUCACGUAAUUCCUGACGAUCCCUAGCCCACCGCUAGUAUGUUGUUGUAUCAUGAAUAACAUAUCAAAUAACAGUGUGGGUAACUUGAGGUAUGCUUUCUUACCGCGGCUGACCGUACACAUCACAUCAUGCAUUCCUUGGUUACUUUUGAAAACCAUUAAAAAAAACUUUUACAACUCCCUAGUUUGAGUUUGGAUUCACACGAAUGUUCAUCCAAUUCUCUCAAACCAAGGCUCUGAUACCAACUUGUAACACUCCUAAUAUCAUAGAAAAUUAAAAAUUUUAAAUUUCAACCAUUAACCAACAUUGUUUAUAAAAAGUGCUCAUUGCUUCAAAAGUAUUAUUCAAAAUCAUAGUUUUUCCCAAGACAUAAAAACACAAAACAGGAAGAUGUGCACGAUCACGCCUUUGCCUUCCCGCGAUUAUCAGAAGUACAUGAAAUAAUAAACUGAAAUUGUAUUUCAAAGCUUAGUGAGUUCCCCCAAAGUACCAUCAUGAAACAUAUAAAAUACAUAGAUUAACAUGAUGGGCCCACAACCUCCCAGUUGGAUUACCUUGGCCCACAACCUCCCUGUUGGAUUGCCCUGCAUACCAUAUACUGGGUCCAUAACCUCCCAACCGGGUUGACUUGGCUAGUUUGUGGAGUUUGACCUAUUUUGAGCCAAGUAUAUUUUGGAUAAUUUGGUAUUAAUUUAAGUUGGGAAAUAUUUUGGGAUAAUAGGUGUUGAGUAGAGCCGGGUGUCGGGGAAGACAUUUAUUCAGCUUGUGUUUAGACUGAGAGGUGAGUUUUCCUCACUAUACUUACAAGUCGAAGGCAUCAAGGCCGACCUAAUGGAUUGAUAUCCUGUUAGAUACUAAUUGAAGAUAUGUUGAGUAUGCGAUACAUCUGUAUGAUUAUAUGAUAGGUAUUGAUAUACAUUAGACUGGUAGAUCUGUAGGACUACAUGUGAUUAUUGGUUGUGUAAUCACCUGUUUGUUGUAUGUAUAUUAUCUAUUAUAUGUCGACAUGUUACUUUAGGGUUGAGAAUAUUGCUUUGUGCUGUCAUUCGACAGACCGUGACAAUCCAACCAGAAUGUUUUGGGCCAGAGUAAUCCAACAGGGAGGUUGUGGACACAACAUGCUAAUCUAUGUAUUUUAUAUGCUGCAUGAUGGUACUUUGGGGGAACUCACUAAGAUUUGACUUACAGUUUCAGUUUAUUGUUUUAGGUACUUUUGAUGAUCAUGGUACGAUGAAGGUGUGAUAACGCACAUCUUCCUAUUUUGUGUUAUUGUGUCUUGGGAAAAACUCUGAUUUUGAAGAAUACUUUUGAAGCAAUGACUCUUUUUUUAAACAAUGUUGGUUAGUGGUUGAAAUUUAAAUUUUUUAAAUUUCUAUGAUUUUUGUAAUGUUACAUUGGUUUGGCUUGUAACCGAUCUAAACCCCCCACAUACCCUUGUUAAUCAUAAAAGAAGAAUCCAUUUAGAACUAACUAUGUUCAAAAAUAAGAACCAUAGUGUGUUAAAUAUUCAUUACCUCAAAUGUAGGGAUCUUUUGAUGUCGAAGAACAUUAGUUAAGAUAAAUUAAAAAGGAUAUUCAACUAAACCAAAGGUCUUUUGGCCUAGCACUAUCAUAUGUUGGAAAUGUGACCCUUCCUAAUAUCAGAAAAACGUGUUAUUUCGAUUGCUUGGAUUACACUGAAAGUCAUGAUACACUUACGUAUUAAAGUAUUUCGAUGGUACAAUCAAAAUUUAAAUUGGAUAAAAUUCUGUGAGAACAACAGAGAAUGAAAAUGUUAUGAUUCUUGUGUGUACCAGAUUCAAAUGACCAAAAAGGGAUAUGACUCCUUGUCCGAAAAUUGUCAUAUUUCCAGUUACAAACUGCCACAAAACCAUCACUAAACUGACUUAGUCGGCUUAACAAACAAGAACUACAUAUUUAACAUACAAAGAAAAGCUAACAAGUCUCCUGAUACUUGUAAAAAUCAAAUGAUGUAAAAAAAUUAGAUAUCAAAAAAUCUAGUAUUAACAUAGAUUUAAUUAAACUUAUAGAUUAUCUGUUUAUAUAUCAUGGAAAUUUAUUCCCAAGGUCAUCCUUAACUCGUUAACAAGUUUUGGGUGUAACGAUAUAACAAUAUCUAAUCAUUACUCCUCUGAUAAAAUUUUGGAUUCUGUGGUCUAUAGGUUGCAUUUUUUGUUGCUAAUAGGAGUAGAAAAGCUAAAAUCAUUUGGGUCGAUUGGAUUCAUAAUCCUACUUCAACUUGCACUCUUAUGUAAUGUUUUUUUUCCUAGCUUACUGCUAGUUUUUAUAAAAUUUUAUCUUGUUCCGAAAAAACUCCUCUUAUAUAUUGGUCAACUUUGAGAUACAAUUAAAAAGGUUCUCUUGCCACAUCACACGCCAUCCACCCCAACGACCACCACACAAUAAUAUCGAUUUGGUAUAGACCAACAACUAUCUCUUUCCUCAUCUCCCUCAAAUCGGUCUUCAUUUCCUUUCUUUUCAGUUUGCUUUUUAAUAUUCAUACAUAGAGACUCAUUUUUGAGAAGUUAAGACACAUAAAUGUGUUUAAUAUUGGAAUCCCACAUGACAAAGUAGCAUCUAGGGAUGUCAAUGGGGGCAAACGGGACGGGGGUUGCAUUCCCCACCCCCACCCCCAAAANNNNNNNNNNNNNNNNNNNNNNNNNNNNNNNNNNNNNNNNNNNNNNNNNNNNNNNGCCCCCGAUUGAUUUUGGGCUACCUUAUUUGCACUAAAAGAAGUUCUUGUUUGGACUAAUAGAAACUAUAUUUUGGGUUAUAAAUAGAUAUUUAUAACAUAAUUUUACAUGUACAAACAACUUAAAACAUGUUUUAUUUUGAAGUUUUGUAUGCAAAAAUCUUUUUAUUGUUUAUUAUAUUUAUAUAAUUAAUAUAUGUCAAUUUAUAUAAUUUAUUAACGGGGCUCCCAUGGGGGUUUCGGGACGGGACUACCAACCCCUGCCCCAGCCCUUGAAAUUAAAACGGGGGUUAACCUUGCCCCUGCCCCCGUCCCCGAUUAUUUUCAACAAAUGCCCCCAUACAAGAUGGGGUCCCCGCGGGAUCGGGGUCCUACGGGACUUUUUGACAUCCAUCGUUAAGUAAAGAAUGUUUGUGACGAUGUAACUUCCUCUUGAUAUACAUAUCUUUUAUUAGAGACCGACCGAUGUCAUCCUUUAACACUGUAAAUUUUCAAACAAAGUUUUCAUUUUAAAACACAAUAAAACACAUGUCACAUUCCUUUCAAAAAUCACAAGUAUCAAUUUAUCAAUACAUUUUAAAAGUUGUUUAUCGCAAAUCCAGAUCCUCAAACAUAACUCUUUUCUCUUGUGUGUACAAUCAAACCGGUGCCUUAUCGUGAUCCUGAUAAGAACCUGAAACACAUAACACAUAACAUGGUAAGCAAGAAGCUUAGUGAGUUCCCCAAAACACCACAUACAGCUCAUUAGCCACUCGAGGCUAUAACACAGUAAGACCCUCCGGUCAAUGUAUCUCAGUGGGAUCCUCCGGUCCCAAACUCUGAUGGACCCUUCGGCCGAAUAGAAUUUUCCACCCGCGUCCAAGAUUCACAUAUACUCGACGAGUUUGGGGACUCCAACUCGUCGAGUCCCAAUGCAAAAAUGCAAAAAUUCAUAUGUAUAAUACGUAUCGGGAACCGGGCGUUAGAUAUUGGUUGUAUAAUCAUUUGUCUGCUGUAUGUAUAUUAUCUGAUAUAUGUCAACAUGUUACAUUAGGGUUGAGACUACUGCUUUGUGCUAUCAGUCAACAGAGAGUGGCAAUCCAAGCAGGAUGUUAUGGGCCAGGGUAAUCCAACCGGGAGGUUGUGGACACAACAUGCUAAUCUAUGUAUUUUAUAUGUUGCAUGAUGGUACUUUGGGAUCACUCACUAAGCUUUAGCUUAUAGGUUCAGUUUAUUGUUUCAGGUACUUCUGAUGAUCGCGGUAUGACGAAGGUAUAAUCAUGCACAUCUUCCUGCGUUGUGUUAUUGGGUCUUAGGAAAAACUCUAAUUUGAAUAAUACUUUUGAAGCAAUGACUUUUUUAAACAAUGUUGGUUAAUGGUUGAAAUUUAAUUUUUUAAAUUUCUAUGAUUUUUGGAGUGUUACAUUGGUUUUGGUUUAUAACCGAUCUAAACCCCCACACACGCUUGUUAAUCAUCAAAGAAGAAUCUAAUUAGGACUAACUGUGUUCAACAAUAACAACCAUAGGGUGUUAUAAAUCCAUUACCUCAAAUGUAGGAAUCUUUUAAUAUCGAAGAACGUUAAUCAAGAUAAAUUAAUAAUGAUCGUAACAUCCUGUUUAUUAAAUAAAUAAAUAGAUAAAAAUUUGAUGAAAGAAUAGUCGCCCUAAAUUCAUAUUAUUUAGUGGGGCGCUGGUUUUGGGGAGCCGAAUGGUAUAAUUUGGAUUAUUCGGAGGUUAAAAGUGUAAGUUCUAGAUUUAAUUUGAAAAUGAUUUUAGAAGUCAUGGUGUGUUUAGUAAUUAAUGGACUUAAAUAGAAAGGAUUUGAUGGCUUAAGGGGGUGAUUGGUAAUUUCGGGACCUAUUAUGAAACGACUUUCAGAGAGAGGGGUUAAAGGGGUAAAUUUCUGAUUCAUUUUGAAAAGAUUAAUAGAGGGAAGGCUACUGUUGUUAUUAUGGGGAGAAGUUUUAUGGGGAUUGGGGUAUAAGACCUGUCAGCCCGGUAAACCCUAAACCUAGCCAUGUGUCCCAGCCGCCGCCACCUUAUACCCCCCCCCCNNNNNNNNNNNNNNNNNNNNNNNNNNNNNNNCUCCGGCGCCGCCGCCAUCAUCCCGUUUCCGAUCAGCGAGCUGCCGAGAAGCUACUCCAUUGGACUUCUGCCACUCUUCUCUUAUCCUUCUUCAGUCGUUGCCAUGUGAGGCCUCAUCCACCACCCGCUACUUCAUCGUUGGAGUGCUACCACCACUGUCGGUGCACCAUUGUUGUCGCUGCUGUUGAGGCCAAGGAUGAAGACGGAUGUUGGGACGUCGGGAAUGAAGAAGAACAAGCCACAAGUCGCUGUAACGUUGGUUGUAGCGCUGCUGCUCCGCCACUGCCCAUUUCCGUUAAAGACAAGGUCGUCACUUGUUUCUCGUGGAUGGCUUAGUCGGAGGUGUCGUUCGUUUCCGUGUGGUGCUGUUCCUCCGUGAGCUGCUGCACUGGUGGUGCUGCCACUGUUGCCGUUAGUGUUGCUGCCACUCUCUACCGUUGUCGCCGUACGCCACCAGGUGGGUGGCAGGGUUCUUUUGCGAAUGAAAACAGUUUGUUUGUGUGUGUGUGUUGUAUGUGGUGAUGUUUGGCCUGAAUUAACGAGAACAAUCACCACCACCUUCGUGAGGUGGUAGCUGCCACCAUGUACCACCACCGGCCACCACAAGGGUGGAUGUGUAUGUGUGUGUAUUGGCAUUUAUGUUGUAAAUUGUAAUUAGUGCUAGUGUAAUCAAAAGAAAAACUCAAAACCACCACCGUGAGGUGGUGGCUGCCGCCACCAGUCGCCGUGUUGGAUGGCGGUGUGCUCUGUUUAUAUUUAGACUUUGUUUGGGUUGGACAAAAUAGACUAGACCCAUAACCACCACCGUGAGGUGGUGGCCGCCGCCGUGAGCCGUCGUUGACCACCACUACACGAGGUGGUAGUGGGUGGUGCCUGACUUAGGAACACCCUAAUUGUCUUAAUGAAACCUUAAUGGGCCUAAGGACUUAGCUUUUGGGCUUAAUUGGAUUGUAAUGGGUUGGAAACCCUAAUUAGGGUUUAGAAAACCCUAAUUUUGGAAUUAUUGGUUUGGACUUAUCGGGACCCACAUUUGGGACCAUUGGAGUGAUGACUCAAGCCCGUUUUCAUUGUAUGCUUGGACUUAAUGGAUUAAUGUAAUGACCAAAAUUCUCUAUGUUAGUGAAGUUGGUUUUCCGUUACAUAGAAUUAAGUCGUACAUGCGUCUAGGAUGUGAGAUUAGACCGGUUUAUAUAAAAAAAAAUAAUAAAUAAACAAAAACAUAUUUUUUAACAUUUUAAGAAUUUAAUAGGGAUUAAAAUAAUUUAUAAGAUUUAGUUAAUAAUUAUAAUGAGCUAAAGAUAUUUAAGUAAUAUUACGAGUUAAAUAAAUACUCAAAUUAUUAAAAAGUGGCUUAUUUUAUGUGUAAAUUAAUCAAAUUAAACGACUAUAAAGAAAUAAAAUAAAAGAAAAGGUAAAGUAUAUAUAAUAUGGCCAGGGUUAAUAAUGAAUUGAGUAUAAAAGAUCAGGGACUAUAACUGUAAAUUGGAAUUCAAUCGGUGAAUUGAAUUCUAUAAGCUCGUUACCACUGAUAAUAAAUUUGUUUUAAUUAAUUCUAUUCGAUUGCCGCAACCUAUGUUCUUCUUAUUCGUUUCCGUUACCAGGCAACUUAUUCGCCUUGCCGAUUACACCUUCUCUUUAGGGUUGCCAUAUUUGUGUCGACCAGAAAAAAAGAGAGAGAAUUGAGUGUGAGAGAGUGUCUGCGUGAGAAGGAAUGAACGAGGCUCACAUCCUACUGCUAUUAGAUCGAAACAAGGUAAGCUCUUGAUCCCGAAAACCUGUCAUGUUUUUUUUGUUCAUCAAUGGCUUAUUGUGAAUAUCUUGCUGCCAAAAUACUUGUUUUUAGAAGCCACACAAACCCGUGAACUACUUCAAUUCAUCUCUGUCAAGCCUUAGGGAUGAAGCACCCAUGUUUGAGUCGUGUCGGGCUUAGUCGAGACAACCCCAUAAGCCAUCAGAACACCAGAAUCACAUUUUGGAAUGGUGUCUUCUCUAAAGCGUAGCCUCAAGUCCCUUAGACGCUUUGUUAAGGCUUUGAAACAGAAGCAGGGGAAGCUAUAUGUGUUCUUUCGCAAUUUUAAUGCAUGCCUCUGAAUUGCUACCGGACAAUCAAAAUAGACUAAUGCUUGAUGGAAUAUGAUAGUUACAGACAUAAUGGUUGUAUAGUUUCACUAAUGACUAAUUCAUAUCUAGACUUAGCUAUUUAAAUCAAUAGAAAGAGUCUGGAUAACAUAUUUCAUGAUAAACACUUAAAGAUUAAUUCAUCGUCUUGUGUUAAUGUAUGUAAUUCCAUAAAAGUUAAGAUGUUAAAAAAAUGGAUUGCCUACGUAAUAUUGUCUAAUUAGAAGUCUACUUCACACUAGGGUGUCUUAUAAAUAUAUGAGUGUAAUUUAUAAAAGAGUUUCAGUAUUAUAAAAAGUGAUUUAAUCACUAAUUAUAUGUCAAGGAGCAUGAUAUGAAAUAGUUGAUUAAAAGCAAUUGAUUACAAAUCAGUGUCAUCGGCUAUAAGGCUUCCUUAUGGUUAGUUAACAUUACAUUAUUCAUGAUACAACUUAAUUAUACUAUAGAUUAAAAUUGUCUAUCCUUAGCUACAGUAAAUAUGCUAAGGAUUUGGCAAAAAUGAUCCUCCAUCUAUAUGGGUAUUUAUAAUUCUGGAUCAUUUCUUUUAAGAGGUUAUAAUUUGCUAUUUUCUAUAUUUUGUGUAUACGUGUCGUUCUUUUUACUGAUCAAAGGUUUGAUCGUGUGCGUGUCAUGGACACGCGUUUUUUUCCUGUGUUUAUUAUCGAUCACCCUAUUCUUUUCAUCUGCCCACCGCCCUUACUUCCAACAUAUAUUCCACCGGCUUCCUCAUUCAUUUUUUCAUUAUCCCACCCCUUCAUUGACUAACUUCACCAACUGUGUUAUUCUUUCUUUAAAGAAGCUCAUCGGUUCCUUAUAUGUUUUUUUCAGGGCCUAUGUUUGUUGGAAUCCUUACGCUUGCUGACGUCUUUUGUGAUUAAGGGAUAAUUUUGUUCCUGGUUGCAUAUUUGAGUCUCAGGCACUCACUUCCUUUCUCUUUCUCUGUUUUCUUUCUACUCAUGGCAUCUCUAAUGGCAUUCUAUUACCGUGUUUGUAGGUUUACGCUUCGAAUUGUGUGAUUUUGUAUUUUUCAUUUCCGCUUUCGCUCUUGAAGAUGAGUAGUAGAAAUCGAUUGGAUGGUGAUUACAAAUACCUCUUGUCAUAUCGAUUUGAUUGUAAGUAUCUCACCUCUAAUUUGUUUUCUUUUUUUGGACUUUGUUGUUUUUUCAAAUAACACUUCUUACCUUCUAAAGCUCGGUUUCAUACACUUCUAUCACUUUUCUGUUAUCAAAGCUUCUUGACUAUGGUAAAUAUGGAAAAUCCUGUGACAUGUAUGUUUAUGCCCACAAAGUGUUUGAGGAAAUGCCUUUUGUGUUUAGGUGCCUGAUUGUUAUUCUGUUGAGUGUAUAAUUUCACAAUAUUGCGUAAAUUUUUAUUAUUGAGGCUCAACUGUGUAACUUGAACUGUUUUAUUGUAGUCUUACGGUUCUCUCCGUUCGAGGCAACAUACGACACUCACAUUCCACUACGCUGAAGCAUGAGACUUUCCGAUUUGUUGGUCUUGCCAAGUAGAUUCAGAUAACAUUUUCUUUCCAUAUAUUCUUCUAAAAAGCAGUAAUUUAUGAAAUUCUCAUUCUACAAUCCAGAAAACUGUUAAAAAGGAGCUUGAAAAUCUCCAAAAAGAUUAAUACUUUUAUUGAUUUGGCUAUUACCAGUGCUUUUUCAAGGGAAAUUAAAACAAUCAAAGGGAAUUUUCUACAAAAUACGUAAAUAUGUUAAUAGCUGUGUGUUUUUUAUUUUUUUUUUUGAUAGCUAAUUAGCAUUGAAGUGGUAGAAUGAAUUGGUUAUUAUUUACCCAUAUACCAGAUUAUGUCAUCUCUCUAUAUGUUUGGAAUGUUUGUGGGUUUGAUAUGUUUGCUGCUACUGUCACACCACAGUUGAAAAAACAUAUUUCCCUGCUAAAGGGGUUGUGUAAUUGUGACCAUUUUACAGUUUUGAUUUCAAAAUUAUAUUAAAAAAUUUAAAUUGCAAUCAAACUCAUAACAUGUGCAUGUUUGACUGAUUGAGUUGUCCUACAUCUCAAAAAAUCAGGGAACAAUCGACGGUGUUGACAUUAAGCCAACUUCAAAUUCGUGGGUCACAGUAACUGGAGGUAAUUUUCUUUCUUGAAUGCUUUUGGUUCACCUGUCAAUUUUAGUAUUUAUUUGAAGUAUAAUUUGUGUUUUGUAAUGUAAUAAUAUACUCUCACACAGAAGUUUUUAAAGCAGUGCUAUAUAGGAAAAAAUUAUUAAACUUCUACAAAGGGCAUUAGCAAAGUUAUGGGAUAAAACUUUAAACGGCCUAAAACAUUAACAAACUGUGAAACAGGGAAGACAAAAUUCAAUGGUUUUUAAAGAUUUUUGUUUUUUGGUUGUCUACGUUAACGAUCCUGCUGUUAAAAUGUUAUGAUUAUGACUAUUUUGUCCUUCCUUUCAUUACUUUCUGAAGGUGGUAAAGAAAAGGGAUAUAAUCCAAGGGUAAAAUGGUCAAUUUACAAAUUUCACAGCUGUGAUGUUAAGUUAGAUGGCCUAGGGAUGAAACACAUUACCAAACAGUGACAUAUGAAAUUUUUGUACGACGUUAAAGUUUCAUAUCUAUAUUUCAAAAAAAAAAUUCAUUUGCAAUUUUCAUCUGUAGUUCCCUGUUUUUGACUAUUUAUUGCCUCUUUUAUAUUGUGAAAAUUAUGUUUGGGUUGUUGUUUAUGAGGUAAUUGGUAUUGAUGUCAAUACAUAACUUUCAAAAGUGUUAUCUGCCAUACAGGAGAAUUUGGGAAAACAAGCACAUAAGCAAGAAAAAAGAAGGGAAGGUCAUAAUGUAAAAAGAGAAGGUUAUGACGAUGAGAAUUUAAUUUUGCACCUUCAACUUUAGUCACUUUCAUCAUUUUUAAUGACUCAUAGUUUCUUGCCAUUCUCAGUCUAUUUUGAUUUUUAGAUAAACUUAUUUUAUUGAAAACUUUUUUGUAUUAUCAAGGAACAUCAUUCGAUAUCUCAACUGAAAAUUAUGAUAACAACAUUACUAGAUGAGGUUGUUUAUGAAUUUUUAGCUAUAUAUUUUGCUGCUAAAAAAAAGAUAAGAAUACCUUGACAUUCUGACCCUCGCGAAGCGAGGCUCACCCUCUAGUUAAUAUUAAACCAAGGUGAUUUGUAAUUUAUAAACUACGAUAGACUUAUCUAAUCAAUUAAUAUGACAUAAACUAAAUAUAGUUUAAUAUUAAUCAUGUUUAUCUUAGCCUAAACUAAAUAAAUAUAUACUUUUUGUUUAGGUAUUUGUUGAGUAAAAGAGCUACGAAUUCACGUUUUGAAGUGAUUUCACUACCGAACUAAAGGUGAGUCAAUAGACUUUUCAUAAACCCUAUAUAUAGUCGAAAACUACUUUCCGAAAAUGGCUCGAUUAGUCAAAUUAGAAUAUUAUUAAUUGUUGAUAUUAUGCCUAUAUGUGCAGUAUGAGAUAUGCCAUUGUUUUGCUUUCUGUGACAUUUACAUGCUUAGUAAAUUUGGUUUAUAUGUCUAUCUUGGUACUUGAUACGAUUAAUUGCAACUAUGAUAUGCUAUAUGAAAUGUUUGAUAUUUGACUAUGACCUUGUUGAGUAUCUUUUAGUAUAAACUAGGUUACAACCCGUGGAAACCAUGGGUAAAAAAUUUAAAAACAAAUUUAUAUUAUUAAUAAGAGUUAAGAUUGUCAAUCCUUUUGUAUUGAUUAUUUAAAAUUAAAAUUAAUACAAAUUUGUAAAAAAGUAUAUAAAUUUGAAUAUAUGUUAAAUAGAAACGCAAUCAAUCCAUCGAAAGUUAAAUAUGAAUAUAACUAAAAUGCAUCUUUGAAUAUGUGAAUGAUUUAUGAAGUGUGAGGGCAAAUCAUUAUUUUUUGUAAUGAGGGAGCAAUCAAGAAACACCAUGUGGCGUCUAUUAAAGUCUGAAAAUCAAAUAUCGAAACGAACUGAAUAUUAUGGAUUACAAUUACAAUGCUAUAUAAAGAAUAAAUUAUUUAAAAAAAAAAUGUUACAAAAAAUAGAAAAAAACACAAUUGUUAGAAGUUAAUGGGUACGAAGCAUUUAUAAAUUCCUAAAAACUUCCUUAUACACAACAUUUGAAGUUUUGUUUGUAAGUCUACCAUCCUUAUCUAAAAUUAACAAUUUCAAUCCUUCUCUACUUUGAACUCUAGAUAAGGCAACAUACUGUUGUCCAUCUGAAAAAAGGAUCCUUGAGAUACAGACCAACCUUUAAUAACGACUGGCCCUGACUUUUAUUAAUUGUCAUUGCAAAACAUACAGCCAAUGGAAAUUGUCUUCUUUGAAAUUUGAAUGGAAUUUUCUUUCCAGAUGGACUUAAAGACAUUCUUGGAAUAAAUGUUUGCUUUCCAAUAUUAGUUCCAGAUAUGAUAAUUGCCUCAAUAACACGUUUGCCCAGAGAUUUCACUUGUAGUCUAGUGUCGUUUCAUAAUCCAUUUUUCUGAUCAAUGUUUCUUAGUAACAUAACUGGAACACCGACUUUUAGAAUUAACUUGUGAUUUGGCAAACCUGAUACUUUAAGACCAUUUAAAAUAUCCUGGGAGUAUAAAUUGGGAUCAAACUGAUCAUGAACAAACUCUGAUUGGCAAAGAGUAUCUGAACUUAAAUAUUCUACUUCAUCUUCGGGAAACAAUGCUAGCAAACGAUCAUUGAUUUGUUGGACAACUUCAUUUUUUGGAGCUAGUAUAGCUCUUUCUUGAAAAUAACUCGUACCGUUGAAUUUUUCAAAGAUUGAAGGAUAUACAAACUCAAUUAAUGAACCUAUAGGAUCAUGUGGAUCAUUAAUGAGAAUAUCAUUCGGAACAUCAAUAAUCGAUUCACCAUCCUUCAAACCACCAACUUUUCCUUCUCCUAUGUCCAAAAGCCAGUUUGCAAAAUUAUGUAUUUUUUGAAUAUCAUAUGGAUCCUUUCCAACGGUUAGUCUCAUCUUUUUUGUUAAUCUAUGGACUUUGCAUUGUUGCCAUAUAUAUGAAGAGCUUAAAGAAGCAUUAACGAUAUUUUGUCUGCUACCUCCUUGAACAACAGGUAGAAUCUGUCUAAAGUUUCCUCCAAAAACAAUCGCUUUCCCUCCAAAUGGAAUAUUUGAGUUGGUAGACUUAUCAAACUUACAUACAUCUCUCAGAGCUCGAUCUAAAGCUUCAAAUGCAUGUUUGCGGACCAUAGGUGCUUCAUCCCAGAUAAUCGAUGAGCUUUUUCUUACUAAUCUGCUGAGUUCACUAUCAGGCGGUAUCUUACAAACAGAAUACUCCGUAAGAUUCAACGGAAUUAUAAACCGAGAGUGUGCUGUCCUACCUCCAGGCAAUAAUAAAUAUGCAGUACCACUUGAAGCAACAUUUAAAACUAUAUCACCAUUACAUCUAAUUGCUGCAGAUAACGUCUUCCAAAGAAAGGUUUUGCCUGUUCCACCAUAUCCAUAAACAAAAAACACACCUCCUUUAUUAUCAUUGACUAUAGUCAUGAUAUCAAGAAAAAUAUUGCUUUGCUCGUUUGUUAAUGCAUGAAACAUACUAUCAAACUCUUUCUUUAAAAGCGGUAUGUCAUACUCUAGCUCCUCCAUGAUAAAUCGAUUUGUUGAAGAAGAAACUGUAUCGAAAUCAGGGUAAGGCCUUUGUUUAUAAUUUUUAAGACUGGUGUUGUUAUGAAGUAAAAUCUGUUCGAUCUCGAACAAAGUCAGGUUUUUGAGUUGAUCCUUAUUGAGUGAUAAACCUGUAUAAAAUGAACAAUAUGUCAAAAAGAAUAUAAUAUUAAACAGUUUAAUGGUAAUAAAAAAAUUAUACCGUGCAUAUUGAUAAUAUAUAGUAUCCGUUUUUACAAAUACUGAUAGGAAAUUAUAAUACCUGGAGACUUUAAUCUACGCUGUUGGUUGUAAAGAAUACCAUCCGACAAGUGUUGCCAUGUAUUUUCCCAAACAAACUCUGGUCUACCCAAACUGUUAGACAUUAACAUCGUAGCAAAUAAGAAACGAAGAUAAAAACCAGUUCCUGAAUGACUUGCUUCCUUAAUUGCAUCAACGUAUUCUUUGUCAUCAUCUAAGAGGCCCAAAGCAUAGCAUGCAUCUCGAAAAGUAGGAAAUUCUUCACCGUUUACCGUGCGAAUUUCUUCAAAUGAUUUUGGACCUUUCACUUUAUUUAAAAGAAUCCGUAAGAAGUAGACUUCGCCAAGUUUAGGUGAAACAGAGUGAAUCCUUCCUAUUGAACGUCCAAUUUUCCUUGGCUUCCACAACUUAUCAUCAGGUUUCCAAACAAACUUUGUAGGAAAUUCAACAUAUGUAAGUUUUCGUGCAUCUUUAUUAAUUUUAUUACAUUCCAUCCAAGAUGUGAACAUAGAAGCAGCAACUGAAGGUUGUUCAAGAACAUCGUCAAUAUCAUCGUCUGCAGCAUAUAUGACUUGUUGUUGAUCAGGAAGAUAAAAAGGUAGUCGCAUCACAGAAGGAUAUCGGUAAUGGACAUCGUAUUUAAAUAUUCGCCAUGAUGCUUCACAUGCAGAUAUAUAUCUACAAUCAUAAUAAUCUUUUAUUUCAUCGACAACCUUUUCGUGAUUAGAAUCAGCGUUGAUGUCAUCAACAAUUAUAGCUCUAUCUGGACCUUUGUUUAUAUAUUUAAACAUAUACUUUAUGGAAGAUCCCUGAUUGCACCAUUCAACAUUAAUGUGUGCCUGAUAUCUUUUCAACAUAUAUUUGUUAUAUGGAACAACAUUUCUGUUGUCUAACUUGACACCUGAUUUUUCGACAAAAUAUCCAUUGUUUCUUCUCAUAUAUAAGGGAUAACCGUUGACAUCAACCGAAGAAUGAUCACAUAAUUGCUUUGGAAAAUUUUUCGAACAUUGCUUGUCAACCAUGCAUGGACAAUUCAUAUUUUCCAGCUCCAUAAGGACCAUGUAUCAUGAAUUCACUUACAAGUGAAUACAAUUCUGGAUCUUCAUUGAUAUUUGGAAUCUCAGCAGAAAUAAUCGGAUCAAUAUAUUCAACAGUAGGCCGCUUGGAGUCGGCAUGCAUAAACAAACAAAUAUGACUAUGUGGCAAACCUCUUUUUUGAAAUUCAAUUGUAUAGACCACUGCAAAUUAAUUUUAUAAAUAAGAUAAUCUUUGUACUGGAUGAAAUAUAUUUGCAAAUAACAAAAAAUAUUAAGAAACUAAAUAAUCAUUAUAAAAAAAUAUUAGAAAUAAAUACAACUUUUAAUACCUCCUUGUACAAUGUCGAAAAUUUUAUUUUCCCGUAUGUCUUUAAUCAAAGCAUCGAGAUUUAUUUUGAAUAACCUACAUAAGAUAUCAGGUCAAUCUUCUGGAUGUAGUGAAGUGUUAUGAAGAAACCUUUUAACUUUAGGCCAUUUUGGAUUACAUGUAAAGGUUAUGAAGAAAUCAUGAUAUCCAAUCCAUUUACAUAAGGACAUGGCAUCAAGGUAGUUUUACAUCAUAUAACGUGCACCACCAGUGAAUGAAGAAGGUAAGAUUACACGUUGUCCAACAUUGGAUAUAUCUUUAUUCCCUAGGUCUUGUUGAUUACGUAAAUUUUCAUAAGACUCACAUCUAAGAAUUUGUUGUUUGCUCCUUAUGAAAUGUAAUCUCUCACUUUCAAUCAUAGUAUAAGCAUCAACCAAAAACUGUUGGAACAACCUUUUUGAAUUAAUAAUUAGUGAAAAAUAUUGAUCCCUGUCUUGUAUUCUAUAAGAAAAAAAUUCUCUCAUUGUACAGUUGGGCCUCUUGCUGUUGCUUAUUGGUGUAAUACCUCGAUGUGGUAUGUCAACCCUAUAACCAUCAUCACCAUAUGGAAACAGUAGUGGAUUCUGAAAGAGGAAGGUAUGAUGGAUGUAAUUUACUAAUACGCCGUAGAGAACCUGAUGAAGUUUGAACAACAAUAUAUCUUUUAUCAAUUGAAUCACCAAUAUCUCAAAUAAUUAAAGCGGCAACCUCAGAAGCAGAUGGUAGGUUGUAUAUCCUUCCAUCUUGGUCCCUGAUUCCAAUAAGUCUCAACUUGAUAUCAACAUGAGGUUUUUGAUGAAAACAAUCCCUAACCAUUCUAUAAGACUGAACCAAGACAUUAUUUGAAUCCAACAUCAACUUCAAAUCUUGUAUAAUAUCAUUAUCAAGGACAGAAGAAUUUGAUGUAGAUCGUUGAUUCUCUCCACUACAAGUAACAUGAACAUAUAAACAUAAGAUAAAUAAAUAAUAUAAUGUUGAUGAAUAAGAUAUCUAUUAAUGUGAUAAUUGUGAAAAGUGUACCCAAAACAUGUUCGUCUAUUCGCGAUCUCAUUAUCAGUAUCGUAUAUGUACAACUGAGAGAAUUUUGGUUUUAACCCCUGUUCCGGUAAAAGGCUUCCGAUACUAUGAUAAUUUUGACCGCUAAGUCUAAAAAUGUAUGGAGCAUUUCCUCUAUUGAUUGAGGAAUCAAUCUUUCCACCCAUUGACGUAAAAGAAAACAUAGAAUUGUAAGAACGAAUGUUCUUCAUGAAGUGUUUGCUUUUAGAAUCUCCCGAUGUAAAAAGAUGAACAUAACUUGAAGGUGAAUUCUUUAAAGCUGGUAGUUCUACUUUGCCAUAACCACAACAUAAACAAUAAUUUUGAUUCGACUUUUUUUUUUUUACAUCUGAUAGAUUCAUCUUUCCAUAAUUUUGCAAAACAUGUUUGGUAUACAACAAUCUGAUCACCAUGAUCCAAAUAAUCUGUCAAUUAAGGUUGACAUAAAAAUGUUAAUCAUGUAAGUUUAUAUAAGUGAAAAAUAUUGAAUGAACAAAUGUAAAUAUUAUAUUUUUAUCAAAAUUACCUUUUGAUAUACCGUUGUAUAUGUUUUGAUCAUUUUGGCCAUCGAUUUUGUCUUGAUCGGAUCUCAGACCAAAUAUUGGAAUAGGAGUUAAAUUUGGCAUUUUUUUCUUUGCUUUAUUAUUUGGAUUAGUUAACAUGACUGAAGACGAUUUUGAUGUUAUUGUAGAUGAUUUGUCGGAUGUGUCGCCAUUUGAAAAUACAGAGAAUUGUCUAAUAUUUGUUAACGGCGAUUGACAACUAUUAUUGAAAAUAUCCAUGGCUGGGGGAAAAAUUGAAAGUAUGCAUUGUUAAAUAUGAUACAAUAAUAAUAUAUAUUAUAAAAUAAAAUGGUAAAAUAAAUGAGUUACCGUUGGAAAUGUUAGAUAACGGAGUUCUAACAUUUAAAUGUGAAGGAGGAGUUUGUAACAUUGCUUGUUUUGUUAUAUAUGCACUUGUUUUAGAUCAGAAUGUGCUUUUAUUUCGAUGUACAACUCCUUUGAAUUCAUAUACAAAAAAAUGGUUAUGAGAAAUGUAAAAUUGUUUAAUAAUUAUUUUAAUAUUAUAUAAAUAUGAAUAUUGAUAAAGAGAUUAUAUAAAAAGACGAUGAUGUAAUAAAUUUUAUUACAUAUAUUUAAAAAAAACUUAAAAAGUUUAAAAGCAAUCAAGUAUGUUACCGUUUGAAUCCAAUCUGAUGUUUGGUAACGGUGUCUGAAAACUGUUAUUUGGAAUAUCGAUGACUGAGAAAAGAAGAUUGAAAUGUACAUUAUCAAAUAUGAUACAAUAACAACAUAUAUUAUAAAGUAAUAUGGAAAAAUAUAUGAAUUACCAUUGGAAAUGUUAGAUAACGGAGUUCUAACAUUUAAAUGUGAAGGAGGAGUACGUAACAUUGGUUGUUUUGACAUAUUUGUUGUUGAUGUAGAUGUGGAUACGCUUUUAUUUCGAUGGACAACUCCUUUGAAUUUGAUUGGAAAAAAAAUCUUAUAAGAAAUGGAUAAAUUUUAAAUAAUCUUGUAAAUUUUUAAAUAGUAUAUGAAUAUUAAUAAUGAUAAAUAGAUUAUAUAAAAAAAUGUGGAUGACAGAAUUUUUAUUUUACAAAUUUAAAAUAGAAAAAAAAAGUGUAUAAGCAAUCAAGUAUGUUACCGUUUGAAUCCAAUCUGAUGUUUGGUAACGGUGAUUGAAAACUGUUAUUGGAAAUAUCCAUGACCGGGAAAAGAAGAUUGAAGGUAUACAUUAUUAAAUAUGAUAAAAUAAUAAUAUAUAUUAUAAAAUAAAAUGGUAAGAUAAAUGAGUUACCAUUUGAAAUGUUAGAUAACGAAGUUCUAACAUUUAGACGUGAAGGAGAAGUUUGGAAAUUUGAUUUUUUUGACACAUUGGCACUUGAUGUAGAUGCGGAUAGGUUUUUAUUUCAAUGCACAAUUCCUUUGAAUUUGUCUGCAAAUAAAAAAAUUGUUAUAACAAAUGGAUAAAUUUUAAAUAAUAAUGUAAUUUUUCAAAUAUUCUAUGAAUAUUAAUAUACAAAAUACAUGACACAAAAAAUGAGCAUGUAAGAAUUUUCAUUUUACAUAUUUAAAUAAAGAAUAAAGAAUAAAAGUGUAUAACCAAUUAAGUAAAUUACCAUUUCCCUUCAUUUUAAAAAGAUGUGAUGUUGAUGAAGUUGUAUGAAUUCAUUCGGUCAUAACUUUUUUUUUAUUGUCCAAGUAUAAUUUUCUUAUUUUUCUUUUUUCUGUAGCCUGAACAUGAUAGAUGUUCCUAUUUGAAUCUGUAUAAGCAUAUAUACACACAUAAAAUAGUUAUAUUCAGAUUAAAAACAUUGAUAAAGAAAGUUGUAAAAUAUAUAAUGAACGUACUGUUAUCACCUGGGUUAGUAACAUUUGUAGAAGAUGGAAUUCGACCGACUGAUGUAGUGUACAAAGGUAAUUGUUUUGUAUUAUCCAGAUAGAAAUUAUUUAAUUUUAUCUUCUUAUUAGUCUUAAAAGAGUCCAUGUUAGUAGCUGCUAUCUGAAAUGGAAAAAGAAAUAUAACUUUAUACAAAAACAUUAUAUAUUGAAAAUUAUUUUCAAAUUUAAGAAUAAAUAAAUAAAUAUUUCAAAUUUAAAAUAGUAUGCAAUAAACCCAAAGAAAAGAAAGUAUUAUGUAUUAUUGAUGUGCACAAAAGUACCCACUAAUUUUAAUAUUUAUAACCUAACAAACUUAGAAUAACUAUGCACUUAUAGGCAGUGUACCUAGUCAGAUUACAAUAUAGCUUAGGUAAGUCGGGUGUCGAUCACAGGGAACGGUGGUGAAUUAAUUUAAUAUAUUUGAUUAUAGGUUACAGGUCACAUGAAAAGAAUAAAGAAAUAGUUUAAUAAAUCUCAAACUAACAAUUAAUUAACAACUUUGGAUAAACUAACUGGAAAGCAAAUCUCUUCAGGUACUUUGGUUUAGAUAAAUUACACCUUAAAAAACAUAGACAAUUGUAUACACAAGUUCAUUUAUUCAUGUUCACCGAUUCCUAAAAUGAUUAGAUUCGCGUUCACUAUAACUAAUCCUUUAGCAAACAAGUCAAUUCAAACAGUGAUCAGUUGAUUAAACUAACAUGCUUCCUAGUGUUCAGUUCGUAUCAAGCAAGACUUGUAAAUAUAGUUAAUCAAAUUACUAAUUCAAUUUAACCUCUUGUUGAUGGUCAUCAAACAAGGCUCACACAUUAACUUACUUAUUCCCAAGUUAAUCCUAGUUUCACAUUCGUUAUUCCUAGACUUAUAAUCUCGAUGGUCAUCAAAAUCAUAAGAGACAAGCAAUCAAACAGAUGUUCAUAUAACUCAAUUUACUUAACAAUUAACAUCAAAUAAUUAUCAUUAAUACGUAAGGAUCUUUUAACAAGCUUGGCAAGAUAAAUUAAACAUAAACAAACAAUUCAAUAUAGCAAUUAGUCUAAUAAUCAAGGUUUCAUUCAAUCAUAAACACAAAGUAAAAGGUUUUUACACCCAAAUCAGAAACUAAAUACAGAAUAGUAACACAAUGGAAUGCUAAACAUGGUCACGUUAACAACCCAUAUGAUUACCGACAUGUAUCCACUCUCCAACCCUUCCGAUCUUCACUCCUGUUAGCUUAACGGCCUUCCGGCCGCCUUCUAGACCCUCAAAACGGCUUAACAGAAGUUUAAUAUCGACUAAAUUAGGUUGGAAGUCGAAUCCCCCCUUCUGGUUAGCUGAUAAUCGACUUUUAUAACCUUUGUAACCGACUUACGUACGCUGGGCGUACUAAGGGUUUAUACGCGAUUGGAGUUAUCCGAUGCCAGCCGUUACGUGGGGCAUACACAAGAAUUACGCUGGGCGUAACUCGUCUUAGCCAUUACGCUUGGCGUACAAGUAAAUUACGCGGGGUGUAAUCGUUCCUCCAGCAUUUUCCUUUCUUUUAGCCUCUAAGCCUGAUUUCCGCUUCAGUCUUUUCUUUUGUGCUUUAUCGACAACGAAUAGCUGCAAAUCAUAAUUUAAAGCAUUAUGAGUACUUUUUAGUUCUAAAAGAGAAUAAUAAAGGCCAAAAUAUUAAGAUAUAAUGCAUAAAAAUAUAUAUAAAAAUACACAUAUCCAAAUACCCCACACUUAGUCUUUGCUUGCCCCCAAGCAAAUUUUAAUUUUAUUUUACCAUUAUCGCAUUAAACAAUCCAUUUAAAACUCAACCAUUAUGCCAAGACCUCAACGCAUGCAUUUGUGUCUAAAAUUUUCCUAAAAUACCCCCCUACUUUAAAUACUCACAAUCUUCAUAAACACUUGCCCACUUUUUACGAACAAUGCUCAUUUUAUGCAACCCUCCGAAUCCAUCCGCAGAAAACCUCCUUAUCCUCAAGGUAUUUUCCUUGAUAAUUUGAUCUUUGAUUUCUUUGAAUUCACCAUCUUAUUUGAAUUGAUUUCUGGUAUCUUCAACUUUUUUGAAUUUCUUGGAAUUUUGAUCUAAUUCUUCACUUUAUUCGCUCCAAAAUUCUUCAAACUUUUCUUGCAAUUCUUUUUUUUUUUCUUUUAACAUGUACCUCACUUUUUUCACUCAAAACCUACAAGCUUAAGCAGAGGCGCUCAACCUCAACCUUUAUCGGUUAACGAUAAUAAUUUUCCUGGAUACAUUUCAGGUUUAGGCUGCUAAACAUAUUGCAUCCCUCAAACCAAGCGGGGUUAUGUUUUUGUUCCAUGAUUUCACUAAAAUAAGGGAGGCCACAAAUGCACUAUAACGUAUAUUGGCUCAACUAAACAUUUGAGUUCUCAUCGGAUCAUCUCAUACAAUAUUAGCAAAAUUUAAAUUAUCACUAGAUUUUUCUAAAUUAAACUAUUAUUUCAAGUUUUAAAAUUUUUAAAUUUCCUAAAUCUAGCAAUUUCCUAACUAUUAUUUUAUUUUUAUAAUUUACUAUUACCGACCCCCUACCCCACACUUAUUUCAUACAAUGCCCUCAUUGUAUGCUAAAACGAAUUAAGAACAUAAAAAGGGAGAAAAAGGAACAGACUCCCCUGGGUAGUUGUGGCGAGAUCGAAUGGGGCUGCUACAAGUUGCUCCAAAUAUCGCUGAAAGACUGAAAACUGAACUGCUGCUUCUGAAUUUGUCGAAAAAUAAAAUCAAGACUGCCGACUUCAAAAAAUGUGGUGCACAAUAUUGCAAGUAAAUGCAAUGUGUAGUAACCAUGACGUGGGAAAGUGUUGACCACAUCAUGUCUUCAAAAAUGACAUCCUCUUCUCGCGAUGAAAAAUCCUCCACAGCAUAGGAAAGUGUCAGCCAUGUCGUGGCAGCCGGGAUGAUACGUCUUCCUCGCGUCAAAAUAGAACUCUAUGGUGUGGGAACAGCUCAUCAUACCAUAAAAGGUAAAAUAUCGUAAAAAUGCCAAUCGUCUAAAUGAACGCUCACGAAAUCAAUAUGCACCCCACACUUAUGACAAAUUGUGGGUCUUGACUAUACUUUUCGAACUCUCACACGACUCUCUCUAGCAACAGUCGGACCUAGCUGCUAAACUUACUGCCAGCUUUCUAAGGGCGAAAAUUCUGCAGAGAUCUAAACAACCAAAGAGCAUCAACAUGGAAAACAAAAAUAGAACAUCCUAAAUUAAAGUUUAAUUACAUACCAAAUAAAAAACUAAAACUAGAAACACAAAAAUAAACUAAAAAUAACAUAAAAAUAAAAAGGAUAACUAAAUCACUCAUCAUCUCCAUCAUCAUGCUGCUGUGUCCCAGAAGUACCGGCCCCAUCAUGUCGUGGCCGGAAUGGUGGAGGGUAAGGAACCGAGUACUGAAACCCCUAGUGGGAAAAGAAUACGGUCAACGCAUCCCCAUACCACUAUUGUUGCCUGUCCACAUGUGCAACAUACUCACUAAGGUUCUGAACCCUCAUGUCAAGACAGUCAAUGCCCUGAGCUAGGUAGCGCAUAUCAAUCUUCGGCUCAGGUCCCUGUUGCGCUCCCCGAGGAGCAGGUCUACGCUGCUGGACCCGUCUCGGCUGUGGCUCGGCAGCACCCUCCUCGUCCGCCACAUCAUCUGCUCGUACNNNNNNNNNNNNNNNNNNNNNNNNNNNNNNNNNNNNNNNNNNNNNNNNNNNNNNNNNNNNNNNNNNNNNNNNNNNNNNNUGAUCUCUCGUUAACAACUGAUAUGAUCGGGCUAGUCGCGUGAUAAAAUGCCCUCUGCACAUCGGGCUAUCCUCCCGAAGUCCCCUGGCCCUCUGUCCCAAAUAUGCAGCUAAAGCAACUGGAAGGUUCAGGUGCCUCCCUGGAGUAACAAGUGCCCAUAGGAAAUACAAGUCUAUCGAAGGCACUCUCUCACUAUUCUUAUGAUGCGUGAGAGUCAUGGAAAUCAACCGGUGCAACAGUCUAUAUGUAGUAGACCGAAUCAUCCUACCCCGUGCAGUAGAUGGCGUAUAAACUCCCCCUGUAAUCUCAGCCCAAAAAGUGUGCUCAUUAUAUUCAUCUGGCCGCUCCGUGAGACAAUCAGCAAGGAAUGUCGGGAAGUGGACACUCCUCGUCUCAUCUGCUGUGUAUAUACCCACUCAAGUCGCAAGCUCUAUGACACUGCACUCCCGACUCACACCCCCCAGUCUAAAGGCAAAAGUUGUCCUAUCAUCGGGUGCCUUCCUAGGAUCAUAGGAAACUGUAGCGUAAAACUCCAACAAAAAUUCCCGAUAAACAGGCUCCUGGAUCCUGAACAAUCGUGCCCACCCCUGCCAUACGAACAAUUCCACUCCAAUCGCGUCCGAGUGCGUGUAUUGCAAAAAAAUCCUGGAUCAGUGUAGCAAGUCCAGUCCAGGUCGCCAAUUCCCAGUCGAAUGAUGGUGCUAUGUCGAUCUCCUUGGUGAGCAGCAAACUCAAACUGUUGACAUAUCGUGCCCGGGUUGCAUCGUUCAGAGUUUGCGGAAAUUGUAAGAAACGNUCAGAGUUUGGGAAAUUGUAAGAAACGGUGAUCGGUCACAUCCUCGGGUGGGUUGGUCCUUUGAGUUCUUCGGGCCAUAAUCUGCACACAUAAACACAAAACCAAACAAAAUAUAACAGCAUUAAAAAAAUUUUAAACCAAAAAAAAAUGGUGCUGGAUAUGGACUGUACGCUGGGCGUACGUCCAGGUUCCACGAAUAUGUGUUCUGCUUCCUUUUCUUGUGCUAAAGUUAUAACCCAUAUCAAAAAAUUUCAAAUUAACCAACUGCAAGCAAUAAACACAGCAGGGCAAACACAUGGGGCAUAUCGAGCUUCGUGGUCCAAGACAGUAGAAAAACGGGACCACUCUAAAAAAUAUGAACCAUUCUCCUGUUCGUUCCUUAUCUUAUCAAGAUUAGAAAGCACUACAAAAGAAAAACUUCAUUGGGGCAGUCAAGAAUCGAAGUCAACAGGGUUACGCUUAGCGUCCGUCCCCGAGCUCAAAAUGAUGGGUCUAUCACGGGAUUAAGACCAAAUUAGGUACUAGGGUUUAGUCCAUUGAUGGAAAUCGGUCUUUUUAAGUCCUAAUCAAAACAUACAAUUAUGAAAUCGGCCCUAAUUCAAGAACCCUAUAAACCCUAGAUUUCGAACAAAGGCAUUUUGCAGCUUAUUCCAUCGAUUUAAACACAAAUCCAAAACAUUGAGUAACCGAAAAACUUACCUGUGUGCUGAAUUUUACAAGAAAAGAAGCAAAAUUGAAAAUCCUUGGGAGAGCUUGCCGUCACAGUUCGUGUGUGCGAAGGAAAGGAUUUUGAAAAAGUAACAAAAAAGUCAAGGGUCAAAAGAUAUAACCUGGUCACCGAUUUACGCUGGGCGUAAAACAAGGUUACGCUGGGCGUAACUCCAACUCCAUGAAAAGUCCAUCCGCGAUCCGGGGUUUAUUACGCUUGGCGUAAUUAAAAUUACGCUGGGCGUAAUGAAGUAUUCCUUUUCUUUAACUGAAAUUUCUUUUCUUUUAACUAUUUAAUUAAGGGACUAAAAACUUAAUUAUUUUUCUUUUUAAUUUCUUCAGCAACUGAUGACUUUCCGAUGAGUAAAAAAAAUGAGACGUCAUAAUCACUUAUCUUUGUCAAGAUCAAACAACAAUGGUUGAUUAAAAACCUUUGCACGCAAGAAUUGGUUUGCGAAAACACCCACUUUCGGGACCCGUUAGAAUAUUUCCUUUGUUUUCUUUGCACCUUUAACUAAAAGCGGAACAAGAAGUGACCUAACUAGUCAAGAACAGCAAGAGUUCGGUCUUCCACUUAACCACCACAAUACGCCUUACUAUACUACGCCUCAUGGAUUGAGUUGGACAAAUCAACAAAGUAGUAAGCCAACCAGGUCAAGAAUUUCCUAAUCGCUUGGAUUCUCGAAACCCAUGCAAAAAGUAAAGUCAAGCAAUGUGUACAAUCCCAAAUUCCUGCAAUUAACAACAAGAACCUUCCCGACAAGUGAAAUGAUAUCAACGAAAACCAAACUAAAAAUAAAAACUAACUAAAAACAAAUAACGAAUAAUCAAAAAAACUAAAUUAAUGACAAGCUGUUCCCGGCAACAGCGCCAAAAACUUGAUGUGCACAAAAGUACCCACUAAUUUUAAUAUUUAUAACCUAACAAACUUAGACUAUCUAUGCACUUAUAGGCAGUGUACCUAGUCAGAUUACAGUAUAGCUUAGGUAAGUCGGGUGUCGAUCACAGGGAACGGUGGUGAAUUAAUUUAAAAUAUUUGAUUAUAGGUUACAGGUCACAUGAAAAGAAUAAAGAAAUAGUUUAAUAAAUCUCAAACUAACAAUUAAUUAACAACUUUCGAUAAACUAACAGGAAAGAAAAUCUCUUCAGGUACUUUGGUUUAGAUAAAUUACGCCUUAAAAAACAUAGACAAUUGUAUACACAACUUCAUUUAUUCAUGUUCACCGAUUCCUAAAAUGAUUAGAUUCGUGUUCACUAUAACUAAUCCUUUAGCAAACAAGUCAAUUCAAACAGUGAUCAGUUGAUUAAACUAACAUGCUUCCUAGUGUUCAGUUCGUAUCAAGCAAGACUUGUAAAUAUAGUUAAUCAAAUUACUAAUUCAAUUUAACCUCUUGUUGAUGGUCAUCAAACAAGGCUCACACAUUAACUUACUUAUUCCCAAGUUAAUCCUAGUUUUACAUUCGUUAAUCCUAGACUUCUAAUCUCGAUGGUCAUCAAAAUCAUAAGCGACAAGCAAUCAAGCAGAUGUUCAUACAACUCAAUUUACUUAAUAAUUAACAGCAAAUAAUUAUCAUUAAUACGUAAGGAUCUUUUAACAAGCUUGGCAAGAUAAAUUAAACAUAAACAAACAAUUCAAUAUAGCAAUUAGUCUAAUAAUCAAGGUUUCAUUCAAUCAUAAACGCAAAGUAAAAGGUUUUUACACCCAAAUCAGAAACUAAAUACAGAAUAGUAACACAAUGGAAUGCUAAACAUGGUCACGUUAACAACCCAUAUGAUUACCGACAUGUAUCCGCUCUCCAACCCUUCCGAUCUUCGCUCCCGUUAGCUUAACGGCCUUCCGACCACCUUCUAGACCCUCAAAACGGCUUAAAAGAAGUUUAAUAUCGACUAAAUUAGGUUGGAAGUCGAAUCCCCCCUUCUGGUUAGCUGAUAAUCGACUUUUAUAACCUUUGUAACUGACUUACGUAUGCUGGGCGUAAGUCGGAUUACGCUGGGCGUACUAAGGAUUUAUACGCGAUUGGAGUUAUCCGAUGCCAGCCAUUACGCGGGGCGUACACAAGAAUUACGCUGGGCGUAACUCGUCUUAGCCAUUACGCUUGGCGUACAAGUAAAUUACGUGGGGCAUAAUCGUUCCUCCAACAUUUUCCUUUCUUUUAGCCUCUAAGCCCGAUUUCUGCUUCAGUCUUUUCUUUUGUGCUUUAUCGACAACGAAUAGCUGCAAAUCAUAAUUUAAAGCAUUGUGAGUACUUUUUCGUUCUAAAAGAGAAUAAUAAAGGCCAAAAUAUUAAGAUAUAAUGCAUAAAAAUAUAUAUAAAAAUACACAUAUCAAUUAUGUAUUAUCAAUAUUAAUUUUUCUUCAAAAUAAGUUGAAUAUAUCAAGAUAAAAAGUAUAUUCAAACUAAGAAAAUAAACCAGAAACACACAUACAAUAUUUUUGAACAACAAAAGCAUAAAAGUACAUACAAAAAAUAUAAAGACAAAGAAUUUACCAUUAUGUCCCUAGAGUACUAAUAAUGAGAAGAACAAAGAGAAACUGAAAUAUAAAUUUAUAUAGUUGCACUCAUGAAUGACUAAAAUAACACGAAAUGUAUUAAUUGUCAAUGUGGUUGAGCGCAAAUUACCAUUAUGUCCCUGGAGUACUAAUAAUAAAAACAAAAAUUAUAAAAUCCUUAAAAUAGUUCUAUAGAUGGUAUACUGGUAAUUAAAACAAUCAGUUUUUCCACAUGCCUCUUAAAAAAUCAUUUACAACCAUAAAUAAGUUUACCAAUAUACCCGUAACACAUUAAUUUUGUAUAUGUAAUAUGUAAGAUAUGAGAUAUAUGUGGCGAGGGCAUUUUCGUCCUUUAAACAUACUUAUAACAAUUAACAAACCUCAUGAUACAUUAUAACAGUGGAUAAUGGAUCGACAUACAUAUAUACUUUUCCUUUUAAUGAAGAGGCGUGAAAUAUGCAAUUGACAGAAAUGCCCCUUCUACAAGACACACCUAUUUAAAUUGCAUAAAACCACACCGCUUAACCUAUUUAUUCAUAUUUGAUGUUAGAGUUCUAUAAUUACCAAGGUGUUUUUAUCUUUUACUUAAUAGAAAUAUGUCUCGAUCAAGUAAGUUCAGGUAUAUGUUUUUUUUAUCUAAUGCAAAUAUAAUGACAUAAUAAGUAAAAUAAGAGAAAAACUACAAAAUAUUGGGUAAAAUUAAAAAACGAGCCACACCCUUUAAACAAACCAUCAUUGGGUUAUCAAAAUCAGUAACAUGAAUGUAGUCACUAUAAAUUAUAUGCAAAUAGGUAUACAUGAGAAAUAGCUAAAAUGAAAAAUGAUAACUACCUCCACCUUAUAGUUUAUAAAAAAUAAGGCAAACACCUUAACUACAUGCAUAGAUACUCUACUCCCAAUACUAAAGAAAUUAGUCUACAAAUGGCUUUAGUUAAUAUGUUUUUGGUUUAAACCGGUUCAGAUCAAUGACAAAAAAAUAUAAUUAUAGUAAAACAUGACAGAAAUGCCCCUUAAUUCAAAAUGGGACCAAUCAAUCAAGUAAUACAAAAUACAAUCACGUAAUACCUAAGCAGAGAAAAUAUAACACAAAAAACAGAAAAAAAAUUUAUUUCUAUAAAACAUGACAGAAAUACCCCCGAACUAAAAAAAUAAAAAUAAUCAAAAUUACAUUUCUAUUCGUAUGAGUUUGACGGUACUUUUAGGUUUCUUUGUGUAAUCCGUCAAUGAAUCUGGCCUAUGAGUUUGACGGUACUUUUAGGUUUCUUUGUGUAAUCCGUCAAUGAAUCUGGCCUAUAAACAUGACCUGAACCAAUUUUUUUACUUGGUGAACCAAUUUAAUAGAAAAAAAAAUUUGUUCUAAUUACCAUUCUACCAUUUGUAACUUGGGAAUGAUUAAUUAACAUACAAAGGUGAAUUUUCUCUACCUGCUGCCUUACGUUCAAAAUGACAAAAUUGUAUUGGUAAACAUGAACCAAAAUGGACAAAGGUUUCAAUUUUGGACAAACACAGUAAAAAUAUGAACCAAAACAAUAAACAUUGAUAUAAUUUUGCGAUGGUAUUAUCUCCAAAAGAAUAAAAAAUUUCAAUUUUGCGAUGAUAUAGUUUCAAUUUUGCGAAGAAGCAACGUAAGCAGUAAACCAGAUUGCGGUGAGAGAGAGAGAGAGAGGGCCUGCCGCCUGCGAUUGGUAAUUUGUGAUGGUAUCUCUCGACCGAGAAAGGGGAGCGAUUGAUGAACAGAACCAUAUUAAGAGGAAUUAUGAUUGUCAAAUAAGUUUUUGAUCGUUCUUUUGAUCGUUGUUAUUUAGGACAAUAUCUCAUAGUGAAAUACGAAUAAGGUAUCAGUUAAAGUGUCACACACACGCAUACACAUUAAGAAGCAUAAAUAACUUUCAAUUUUGCGAUUAACACAGACAUUGAGAAGCAGGGGCUUACAUAUACACAAUGAGAAGCAGAAUUGAGAAGCAGAAACUUACCGAAGGAUUGAAGUCGUUGACACAGACUCCAAUAACUGAAGUGUCGAUGAUGCUUGAUUGUUGGAAGACAAUGCUGUAAAGAACCUUGGAAACACGAUGCUAUAAAUAAAUUAAGAAGCAGAAUUGAGAAGAAGAAACUGAAAUCGAGAUUGAAGUCUAAGAUUGAAUAUCCGAUAAAUAAUUAGUCCAUGAUUCAGAAACUUGAAAACAUAAUGCUGUAAAGAAAUAUUGAUUAUCAUAUUUUUGAAAUAUAUAUUGACAAUAAUAUGAUCAAAUCGACAUAAUAAUCAAAAUUAAAUGUAAUCGAUGUGAUUGAUAUGGAUACCAUAAUAACAUGCUCUUAAUCGGGUAAGAAAUGAUUUUGAGUUAAUGUGUACAACUGGUAGCAAAGAUAAAAAUCGGUAAUUAAAAUAGGGAGUUAUAUGGAUUCCAUAUUGGAUUCAAUAUUCAAUUUCAAAUUUCCAUAUUCCACAUCGAUUACUACGUGAAACAAUAAAAUAACAAAAACGGUAUUUUACAUUUGUAGAAUACUAAUUAAUUGCAGAAUACUGAUUUUUUGAAGUUUAUAAUUUCACUAUAAAAAACUGUAAUAACAUAACCAUUUUUAUUUUUCUGAUUUAUUUGAAGUAAUUUAGACUUAUAAUACCUGAAAUAGUGGUAUGUGUUUUAGAGUUUUGUACAAGAGCAUUGUGUUUUUUAAAAGUAUUUACAUAUCUACGGUACUUUUAAAUUUAUUUACUAAAAGAUUGUAAAAUUUUAAAAUUCAUGUGGACCUAUCCCUUUUAUACCAAAAAUAUAAGAAAUUAAUUAUGCGCCUCCCCACCGCUCAUUUUUCUCGCAUUUGUCGCUGGAAAAUGAUGGCCAACAAGAUAAUUUCAAAACAUUAUAAAAAGAUUUCUCUUUCGCUUGUUUGCUCGCUAGAAAAUGAAAACAAACAUAAACGGUCAUAAAUAAAAACAACCAAACACGAAUUAAAUAUAUUGACAGAUUUAGAUUCUUCCGGCUGCGAACUUGGUUUGCUCAUUGGAAUAUGAAUACAACCAAACAAUUUGGAAAUCGAAAAGGAAAUUGUUGGAAAUGCACCACGUUCAUAGAUCUUGUGCCAAAACAUUUCUCGUAUAUAUUUGUUUCAAACAUUGGUCGUUCAAUCAAUGUCAUAUAACUUGGAAAUUUGGAGGGGGGAGGGGUUGUUUAACAGAUGAUACCGAGGGUUAUGAAUGGGUUAGUCGGUGGCAAGGCGGAUGUAGAGGUUCAUCCGCAGUGUGGUUUGGGGAGAAUUUCAGCAGUGUUUUGGAGUUGACGAUGUCGGACGGUGAUCGUGUCAUAGGUGUAAACACUGCACAACACAACAUGUAGACUAGGUAUUACUGGCAAUGCUUGUUAUGAAAAAAAUAAAAAACCAGUAGACUUCAAUCGUUGAAGCAGGGAAAAUGUGGUUGUGGUAGGUUCAAUGGAUGUAUGCGCACUCAUGCACAGUAGGGGUUUGCAGCGGUGCUAAGGGUUGCCAAAUGGUUUUGCAAGUAAUGUGAGCAUCAAAAGACAAUUAACAUGAUUUCAUUUAUUUUAUUUAAGUACAAUUAAAUGGGAAAUAAUUUUAAAAGUACUAUAUUAUAGUAAAUAUUUUUCUUAACCGCUACCUUUUAGUAAAAAACUAUGUGUUUUAAACAGGUAUAACUGUAUAAAAAACCUAAGAGUUUGCAGAGGUUCAUGGGAUUACAUCUUAGUGGUAUGUGCUUUAAGGGUAAACACAUUUUUCUUCUUUUAGGCUAGAUUUAUUACAUCACAAGGAAUCCCGUGGCGAGGGCAUUUUCGUCCUUAGGAUAUAUAAAUUUUGUUUCCGGUACUGUUUUGUACUUUGUAGUGCUUAAGAAACGGGAAGAUAUGAUUAAGUUGUGAAUGAUCUGGAUCCAUAUCAAUGAUCCGGUACUAUUCUACCCUUUGUAAGAGAAAAACACAUAAAGUCACAAACUAUAUACCCCUGUUGUGAAAAUUACCAAUAUGUCACUAUAAAAAAAUGAGCAUUAUUUUGAACAGGUUGUUCUAAUUACCAUUCUACCCUUUGUAACUAGAGAAUGAUUAGUUAAUAUGUCAUGCAUUGUUUCCUCCUGUUGCGUGUUCAAUAUUAUAACAAUCAAUAAACAAUUUUAAUGGAAUUUAAAUGAUUGAAAUUGUAGAGAUGAACAAAAGAAUUGACAAAGGGCAAAAUUGACAUCUAAUGCAUUGUUUCUUCCUGUUGCGUGUUCAAUAUCAUGACAAAUCUCAUUUGACAGCUUCAUUACAAUUUUUGUUUCAUACAUUACCUCAAAUAAUAUACAAGCACAUUCCCAAGAAUGCAUUCACCGAUAUACCAUUUUAUUGUGAAAAUUACCAAUAUGUCCAUGUACAAAAAAUGAGUAUUAUUUUCAACAGGAUUUUAUUGAAUUUAUUCAUAUUUGAGACAUCUUUUUUAUAGAGCAAAUAUACUUAUAACACGAAAAUGAAAAGUAGAAUGGUAUAUUUUUUAAUUUUUUUGAAUUUUAUUGCAAAUAUAUUGGUAAAAAAAAUCUUUAAAAACAUAAUGGUUUCCUUCUUUUACACUAUCAAUAGACACACAUAUAUUAAAAGAAGAUUAAUCUAAUUACAGGCAUAACCCAAAAAGCAGUUUUUUACUUAAGAUAGAGAUUAGCAGCGUAAAGAAACCAAGAACUAUCAAUGUUUGAAUACUGAACACCACGAAGAGCAAAACUGUCAAACAAAAUCCCCAAAAAAAAUAAUUCAAGAAUAUUGUUGGUGCAUAAAAAGGACAAUCUAAAAUUACUUUUCAAGCUUUGGUAUUAAUAGACCUGUGUUUCCAUCCACCCUGGAAUUCAAGCGAGGUAUUUUUGUCGACGAAUUCACAUUAUCAUACUCAUCAAUAUCAAUGCUAUCUCCAACGUUUCGCUUUUUUACCAUUGUGGGCGAAUUAAACUUGAACGGACUUGUAGCUUCUAUUUGUCAUGCAUGGAAGGGGUCAAAUUAUCACUGGUUUGUUAUAUCGCGUCCUUAAAGCAAAAACCCGAAACAGCGUUAGUACGAUAAUAUUAACAAAUUAACAAAAAAAUAAUUUAUAAAAGGAAUUUAUAUAAAAUUAAAAAAUGUGGAUUUAUAUUAUAACCUUUAAUGACUUUGUUUCAUGAGAUGCUUCGUGAGAUGCGAUUUUGUAUCGUCAGCAUUUGUAGAAUUACCUCCCUGCUUCAAAAGUUUAAAUAUGUAUUAUCAUUUGUGGGAUUAAAUUUUUGUUCCAUCAAGAUUUACAAUUAAUUAGUGACGAUCAUUAAAUAAAAGUAUGCAUCAUAAUAAUUAAUUAAUUUUCAAAAAACAUAAAAAUAUAUGUAUAUAAAUACCUCAACAGCUAACUUUUUUUCCAAAACAUUGAUAAUGUUACUAUCAAGCGUAUAGCCAAGUAUCCCAAAACGAUUGUAGUUAUUGGAUACGUUAAAACUAUUAACAUCUAACACGAAUGCCAUCUUUUUAUGCACCAGACAGUUGAGGUCAUAAGGAUACAAUCUCGGAUCAUCACCAGCCUGGAAAGAAUGAGUUAUGUAAUAUUAUUAUGGUUAAAAGCACAUUAAUAUAGAUAAAAUCAAAUAGAUAAUAGAAUUUAAUAAAACAAAUAAUAUAUUUAUAGUAUGUCUGUUUGAUUUUCUCUAUGGGUUCACUUGCACGUUUUUUGACGAGUUUAUAAGCAUCUCUAUCAAACAUAGUGAGUGUGAUUGUUCCAGAUUCAUCUUGGACACGAAUAGGUAUUUUAUACCUACAAAAAAGUACGACAUAAAUAUCAUAUUAAAUAUUAAAUAUGUUUAAUGUGUAAUGUUUGUUAAUGUAUUUAAUUUGUGGGUGAACUAUUGUUAAAUUUUAAAAACCUUGGAACUGAAGAUAUCUCCUUUUUUUACACUUAGAAUUAUAACAUUCAACAACCACACUUGCAUCACCACUAUCUGGACCGCUGAAAACGUUUCUUGGUUCAACCUUCCUUCCACAUUUUGAACACGCAUCAUAAUACCAAUCAAUAUCUUGUCGGAUACCAUAAAUGGUACCAACAAUGAUAUAUUUCCCGACCUUAAAAAAUAUAAAAUACAAAAAGAAUCAUAAAAAAAAAUACAAUUAUAAUAUUAUAAUAAACGAAUAAUAGAUAACAAAAUCACAUUAAAAAAAACUAAAUUAUUCACAUACCUCUUGUGGUUCUAGCAAAUCGACAACAUUUUUAACGUUGUGAUUUGUCAAAAAGUCAUCAUAUUCAUUGCAUGAUUGAGAGCUAUCAACGGUCAAAGAAGAAGAAGGAUUUUGAAUUCCUCGUAAUCCAACCAUGUUGUUUUUUUUAUUUGAUAGAUUAAUUAUGAAAUUAGUAAAAUUAUUAAAAAGAAACAAAAAAAACAAUGAAUUAUUAAAAUAGAUUGUUACCUAUCUGUGAAUGUAACAAUUUCGGGAAGAUCAACAUUUAUGAACAUCGGUGUGUGUUUAUAAUAACUGUUAAAAUAGUUAAAAUAAUGAGCAAUAUAAAAGCCUAAAAUAACAAAGGGGUCCUUUUAUAAGAAAUGUACCGUUAUAGACAUUAAGUCUUGCAAACUGCAAAAUAACAACCACACGACCAACUUCUUUAUGUGCUUCAAGAUAAGAAAUCAAUUGGUAUGCAAUAUCUCCAAACAAUGUGACGUUAACCUGCAAACCUCUGCAAAAACAGUACGGGUUAAAUGAUAAUAUAAUAAUAAAAUUACAUAUGGCAGUUGUAACCUAAUCAAUUUAAUAUAUAAUAAUAAUAAUAAUAAUAAUAAUAAUAAUAAUAAUAAUAAUAAUAUAAGAUAUAAUAUAAGAAAAGUUAUGAUUUGUAAAGUUAGCCGAUGUUUGGAUUUGCUGACAUCACGGGAAUCAAGCUUUCCUAACGAAACAACUUCACCAAUAACAUCUACAAAAUGAUAAUACAAUAUGUCAAAAUGAUGUAAAAUUAAAGAAUUAAAUAUAAGAUGCAAUUAAAUAGGGGAAACAUUUACCAAUUGAGUUAUUAGAUGUAGCUGUUGCAGAAAUAAUGCUUUCAAACGAUACACAACAAAAGUCAUAUGUUGUUUUGGACUAAAAAGUUAGACAAUCAUUAACAGUUUUUCGUCCAUGCAAGUUUAACUUGGAGAGUACAUCACUUAUUUUAAAAAUGUAUCUGUUUGGAGCUAUAGUGGGGGAUCGGAUGUAAAUUGCUUUAUCUUCUUUCAGUUUUAAAAGUGUAUCUCUUGGGUAGACACUUGCUCGGAUUUUUGUACCCUAUUCACAUAUCGUAAGAAUAUUAUAUAUAUUGCGAAACAAUUGUAUAUUAAUUUAUAUAAAUUGGUCAACAUUGAAUCAAUUAUUUGACCAUGAAUGAUUUUAAAUAAUAUUAUUGGAAUGAGCAAAUAAACAAAAAAAAAUAAUUUUGAAUAAUGUAAUUAGAAUAGGAUAUUUUACCAUCUCAUCCAUUAAUAUCAUUUCAAGUGCUUUGACAAUACUAGGGUUAACUUUGGAUAAUGAUCUCCACAGCCGGAUAAUACACACUUUUAGUGUUUAAUCAUCCCUCAUGUUGUCUAAGUCUUUGAUCAAAGUGACAUUUCUAUCUGCCAUUGUCACUAUAAUAGAAAGACAUAACAUAUUAAGAAAAAAUAAUGGAACAAAAUUACACAAAAAAUAUAAAGACAAACAUAAUUACAAUUAUGUCCCUGGAGUAGUAGGCGGAUAAAAAGAUUCUGAAUAAUACAAUAAAUUAUUAUAAAACAUUCAAACAUAUUCAAACAAACUAUAUACCGCUGCUGUGAAAAUUACCAAUAUGUCCCUGGAGUUGUAGGCGGAUAAAAAGAUGAAAAACAAACAGGGCAUUUUCGUCCAUUGAACUUACUUAUAACAUGAAAAAUAAAAGUACAAUGCCAUUAUAUGUAAUAUUUUCGAAUUUUGUUGCACAUAUAAUUUUUUUUUUUGUACUGUACUGUUGGAAUACAUUUUUCUUUCCUUCUGUUAUUUUACUUUGUAACUAUUGGAACUAAUGUUUAUUAUGUUAUAUAAAGAUAAGCAUUGAUGGAAAGGAUACUAUUAGGGAGGAUGAUGUUGAUGAAUUGACUUCCAAUUCCAUAGUUACAGAUUAUGAAAUAUCAAGCAUAUCAGGUUCAGAACUAAAAUAGAACAAAAUUACACAGAAAGACAUAACAUAUUAAGAAAAAAUAAUGGAACAAAAUUACACAGAACAUAUAAAGACAAACAUAAUUACAAUUAUGUCCCUGUAGUAGUAGGUGGAUAAAAAGAUUCUGAAUAAUGCAAUAAAGUAUUAUAAAACAUUCAAACAUAUUCAAAUAAACUAUAUACCCCUGAUGUAAAAAUUACCAAUAUGUCCCUGGAGUAGUAGGCAGAUAAAAAGAUGAAAAACAAACAGGGACAACCUCAGUGAUUCAAGCAUAUCAGGUUCAGAAAAAACAAAAAACAGAGAAUUAGAUAAAAAGAUGAAAAUACAUUCUCCAUAUUUUACAGAUUUACAGAUUAUGAUAUAUCAAGCAUAUCAGGUUCAGAAAAACAAAAAACAUAGAAUUUGACAGCCUCAGUGAUAAAAUCGGUAAUUAUAAGUAAAACAAUAACAUACAACGUUAAUGUGGCCUAAGUCCUAAUUCAUAUAAAUCUGAUUAUUUACCAAUCGCAGGCGUACCUUCAAUAGUUCAAUGGGAUAGACUCGAAGAAGCAACGUAAGCAGUAAAGCAGAUUGCGAUGGGGGUAGAGAGAGAGAGAGAGGGCAUGCCGCCUGCGAUUGGUAAUUUGCGAUGGUAUCUCUCGACUAAGAAAGGGGAGCGAUAGAUGAACAGAACCAUAUUCAGACGAAUUAUGAUUGUCAAAUAAGUUUUUGAUCGUUCUUUUGCAAUUAACACAGACAUUGAGAAGCAGGGGAUUACAUAUACACAAUGAGAAGCAGAAUUGAGAAGAAGAAACUUACCGAAUGAUUGAAGCCGCUGAUUGAAUAUCUAAUAACUGAAGUAUGGAUGAUGCUUGAUUGUUGGAAGAUGAUGCUGUAAAGAAUGAUUCAUAUUUGUAUGCUUCAAGUAUAUAUUGAACAUAAUAAGAUCAAAUCGACCUAAUAAUCAAAUUUAAAUGUAAUUGAUAUGAUUGAUAUUGAUACAAUAAAAAGAUGCUCUUAAUCGGGCAUAUAACGAAAUUGAUUCAAUAUUCCAUUCGAUUUCCAUCCAUAUUCCAAAUUCCACAUUCAAAUUGCCAUAUUUCCAUAUCUAAUUUCCGUAUGUAAUGCUACGUGAAACCAAGCAGGGGUAAAAAUGGGAUUUAACAUUGGCAAGAAAGUGAAUUUUUGUUAGGACACGUUUCAAACAGGUUUUGUUUAUUAGAUAGGGAGAUGUUAUGAAUCUUGGUUAUGAUAAUACGAAUAUUGUAUGCUUGUACUUGAUUUACGAUCGAUUAUGUGGGGUUAUGCAUAGAGGGCAAGGGUAGGACCUAACACUUAGCAUGAAACCCUAUCCAGAUACAUUCGAGCCUCGUUAGUUGAGAAAUACCUUCUAGGAAAAGAGAUUAAUCCAUUUACGAGUUGAUCGGUCUUUCUAGAUGCCCGUGCGACACAUUGUACGCGUACACUUCGGUGUUUGCGGAUUGGAGUGAUGUUGGCCAUUCGAACGAGGCUUGUACAGACAUCACGUAGGUGUUGGGAGGUGGCGGACGAAUGCCACUGCUUGUACCAACACCAGAACGGCACCGCGAUGUACUUGUACAUUACAUAGUCGGAGUAGUGAAAGUGGAGUCUUGGGGUCGGUGUGGCAGGGGGGGGUCACGAACCACCUAAAGCACUUGGUUGUCCAGACACACAAGUAGCGAACGGGUUUUCCUUUUGGGUUAGGUAUUACUACGAGACUACCUAUGCCUAUACGAUUAUGAUACAUUUUUUUUUAUAUGAUGAUAUACGAUUACGAUAUGAUUAUGCAUGAAAUACAAUUGAUGUUACAUAAAUGAAUGAUAUGUGAAUGGAUGAUACAAAGUUGAAUGAUUGAAUUUUAUGUGAAAUAUGAUUGAUUAUUGAUUGGUAUGUGAAUUUUGUUUAUAUGAUUAAAAUAUGAAUGAUUGACCCGUUAAGGGAUGGUAUGUUUUCCCUUUGAUUGUGUACAAACUCUUAUUGGCUCACGAAGCAUUUGUUGACACUUGUUUCUUUGCUUUGUGCCUUUAUGAUUGGUACAGGUAGCUUAAGAGCUUCGCUUGGUGAGAUGGGGUCAUUUUUUGGUAGUUUAUCCUUAGAAUAAAGAUGCCACUUGGAAACGUUAUUUAUUUUUUGAUACUUAUGCUUCCACUACAAUUAAAUACUUUUGAUAUUUUGGUUUUAAAUUGAACGUAACUUGGUGGUUUGAAAUGUUUUUAAAAUAAAUAAUGUGUACACUCUUCCGUUGCAUUUUCCGUUAAAAGAUUUUAAAAAUAAAUGAAAUUUUUUCGCGAAAAAUCAUGACUUUACAAUUAAAUCCUUAAUAGAUUAAGUCCUUAACAGGUUAAGUAGGAACACUUAACCCUAAUCGUCAUUUUAUGUGAAAAACCCUAAUUGGGUUUGGGUUCUUAUUAGGUCACUUAUUGGACUGAGUUGUUGUGGGCCUUUGUGGGCCAAUUGGGAACAUAUUUAUGGACUAAGGAAAUUAUUGGUCUUUAGGAUAAGGCCCGUUGGAAAGGCUUGGGCCCAAUUUGGAAAAUUGGGCCAUAAUUAGGCCUUGAUGAUUAUGAGACUGGAUUAAAUGGUUGGGCCUUAAGAUAAGCCCAUGUAGAGGUUUGGGUCCAAUUUGGAAAAUUAGGCCAUAUGUUGGGCUUUGGUCCAUAGUUUGACUUUUGGGCUUUUGGAUUGGGCCUUGGAGUUGAAUAAAGCUAAGUCAGGGGUAAAAUAGUCUUUUACCCUAACCAUGGAAUUAUGGUUAUGUAUUGGAACCCAAUUAUUAAUUGGGUGUCGUUUUGAUGUUGAUAGUUUAGGAACCUAUCAACCAGCAGCUAAGAUUUUACCCGUGGAACUUGAGCAAUGCGAAGUGAGUCUCCUCACCAUACCAACGGGUCGAAGGCACCAAUGUCAGCCCAUUUUAUGUUAUGUGAUACACUAGCUAAAGUUGUAUUAUGUGGCAUGUUAGCUGGUUAUGUCAUAGGAAGUAUGCUAGUGGUAUAUGUGGUAUGCUUGUAUGGAAGACCAUGGGAGAGCCCAUGGCACCUGGAUGUAAGACCAUGUGGAGAGCCUAUGGCUUUCUUACUAUGUUUUAGUGUUAAUGUAGAUUCACUAUUGAUAUGUUUGGUAUGCACGUAUAUGUGGUAUGCUAGUGAUUAAGUGAUAUACUAGCUGACUAUGUGGUAUGUGGUAUGCUAGUUGUCUUUGUGAUACUUGCAUGAAAGCCCAUGGGAGAGCCCAUGGCACCUGGAUGUAAGACCAUGCGGAGAGCCCAUAACUUUCUUACUAAAGACCAUGGGAGAGCCCAUGGUAACCAGAUGUAAGACCAUGUGGAGAGCCCAUGGCUUUCCUAUUAAAGACCAUGGGAGAGCCCGUGGCAUUUAGGUGUAAGACCAUGUGGGGAGCCCAUGACAUCCUGGAGUAAGACCCUGGGGACGAGCCCACGACAUCCUUAUAUGUUUAUAUUCAUGGCUUAUAUGAUUGAUAUGACUUAUGUGGAUAUGUAGCUAAUAUAACUAAUAAAUAUUAUGAGAUUAUGUGGAUUGUAUGAGGUAUGCUCUGGGGAAUUCACUAAGCUUCGUGCUUACAGUUUUGUUUAUGGUUUCAGAUAUUUAACUUUAGGAAAGGAAGGGCUCAGCUUGACCGCAGCGUACACACCCAUGCUUUCCACAAUGAAUGAAAUGUUUUAAUUAACAAUGUUUUGGAAUGAUUGGAAUAAAUGAUAUCUAUGUUUGGGUUAUAUUAAAAAUGAAAUUGUUACCCCUGAUUUUUGGGUUGUUACAAUGAUAUUCAAUUAAAACACAGGUCUUUUGGCCUAGCACUAUCAUAUGUUGGAAAAGUGACCCUUCCUAAUGUUAGAAAAACGGGUUAUUUUGAUUGCUUGGAUACCAUUGAAAGUCAUGAUACACUUUCAAAUUGAAUUAUUUUGAUGGUACAAUCAAAAUAUCAAUUGGAUAAAAUUCAGUGACAAACAGAGAAUGAAAAUGUUAUGAUUCUUGUGUGUACCAGAUUUAAAUAACCAAAAAGGGAUAUAACUCCUUAUCUGAAAACUAUCAUAUUGACAUUUACAAACUGCCACAAAACCGUCACUAAAUUGACUUAGUCAGCUUGACAAACAAGAACCACAUAUUUAACAUACAAAGCAAAGAGAAAAAGUUUCCUAAUACUUGUAAAAAUCAAAUGAUGUAAAAAAAUUAGAUGUCACAAAAUCUAGUAUUAACAUAGAUUUAAUAAAACUGAUAGAUUACUUGUUUAUAUAUCGUAAAAAUUUAUUCCCAAGGUCAUCCUUAACUCACUAAUAAAUUUUGGGAGUAACGAUAUAACAAUAUCUAUUCGGUACUCCUUUGAUAAAAUUUUGAAUUUUGUGUGGUCAAUAAGUCGUAUUUUUGGAUUGCUAAUAGGAGUAGAAAAGCUAAAAUCAUUUGGGUCUAUGAGCUUCGUAAUCCUAUUUUAGCUUGCACUCUUAUGUAAUGCUAUUUUUCCUUGCUUCCUGCUAGUUUUUAUAAAAUUUUUUGCUGUUCCAAAAAAAAAAAAAAAAAAAAACUCCUCUAAUAUAUUGGUCGGUCGACUUUGAGAUACAAUUAAGAAGGUUCUCUAGCCACAUCACACAUCAUCCUCCCCCAAUGACCACCACACAAUAAUAUCGAUUUGGUAUAGACCAACAACUCUCUAUUUCCCCAUCUCCCUUAAAUCAAUCUUCACUUCCUUACUUUUCAGUUUGUUUUUUAAUAUUCAUACAUAGAAACUCAUGUUGGAGCAGUUAACACACAUAAAUGUCCUUAAUAUUGGAAUCCCUCACCAACAAAGUAGCAUCGUUAAGUAACUAAUAAGUUAGAGACCAUACGUACAAAUUAGCCCAAACCAUAGGGACCAUUCGUGUAAUUUACUCUUCCUCUUAAUAUACAUAUUUUUUAUUAGAGACAGACCGCUGUCAUCCUCAAUAUAAUACAUGUGUCCCCAAGUCCAUUUUGCAAUUCUUUUUGGAUUUGGCAAACUUGUAUAUACAAUUUCCUCUCUUUACUUUUCAUAUGUCAUAACCUUUGCUUUAGUUAUUGCUUUCUUCUUCCAAUUUCUUGUCACCUUGUAAAUAUUUCUUUGACCUCUCUUCUUUCCCAAUUGUCACUACUUAAUAGAAAUUCUUUAAAAGGAGUUUCUUUAUUUUGACCUUGAACCUUCUUGCUCCACCAUUCCGAUUAUUAGCUUAGCCUUUCAUCCUUGACGGAUAUGGCCUCCUGCUACAAUUACCAUGUAACAGAGCCGGCCCAAAGCAAGUUCAUCCAGUGCCUUUGAACAUGGCCCAAAAAAUCAGAGGGCCCAUUUUUUUUCAUUCUUUAAUAGGGUAUGUUCAUUUGGCCCAAAAAAUUUAGGUUAUAUCCAUCUAUAUACUCAGUUAACGAAUGCAGGAAGCAGGCAAGAGGGAGCAGGAACUCAAUUUUCGGGAAAAAGAGAACUCUUCGGUUUCUUCAUUGGUAACGCACGCAUGGAUAAUAGGAAUCAUCAUUGCUGGAACGGUAACAUCAAUUUACAUUCAUUUAUCAUUCAUUCUAUUCCAUCAAUUUACCUUCACUUCUUAUUUCUUCCUUCUUUAUCUUCUUCUUCACUGAUCAGUUUUUACAAAGAUUACCAACAAUUUUAGAAGAUUCAAAAGAAGAAAUUCAAAGCCAUCAAAUUUCGAAAUCAGAAGGUUCAAUAUCAGAAUUCAGAACAAUCAAAAUUCGAAAUAAGAAGCUUCAAAAUCUUACAGUCUUACAGUCUUACAGUUUGAGUUUCGAAAUCAAAGGUAUAAUACUAAAAUUAAACUUUAGUUUAUUGUUUCAUGGGUUUGUUUUUUCUAAUUGAGUAAUUUGAUAAUUUCAGAUUUCUUAUCGGUUCUUCUUUUUUCAUUUUCUUUAAUUCCAAAUUACUAAAUCAGGAUGAACAAUCAACAGUGAUAUCAGUUUUCAAAAAUUUGAACUUAGAAGGAACAAGGAAUUGAGGUAAAUUCUAAUUCAGAUUUCUACUUUUUAUGUUUUUUUGUUUAUGAUAAUUUCGAAUUUGUAAGAACUAAGAAGUAAUUAUGAAUUUAUGAUCUCAUCAUUUCAGAUUGCAAAUUUUCUGAUUUCCUUAGAAUCAUAUUCUUGUUUUUUUGAUUUGAAGUGUCGAUGAUAAUAAGGUAAUUUUUGGAUUUCUUAUAUGAUAUCAUUGCAGAUUUUGUGAUUUCUUUAGAAGCAUAUUCUGAUUUUUUUUCUUUGCAGUUUUGUUACAUUCUUUUGGUGAUUUGAAGUGUGGAAAAUCUGAACCAAGAAGGAAUCUAUAAAUUGGAAGUCAUAAAUAAGGUCGUUUCUUUCUUUUCUAUAACUUAUUAUGCCUCCUAAAAUAAAAAAAUAUGCAUCUGGAUAUGAAAAACGUAAGAAAAAACAAAAAAUUGAAGAAGAUAAUAAAACUCAAGCAGGAUCUAUGGAUAAGUUUAUAACAAAAAAAACACAAAACUUUACGAAAAAUGAAACACAAAAUGUUAAUGAAGCUAAUCUUGAUAAAAUGAUAAUGUUGAUGUUGAUGUUGAUGUUGAUGUUAAUGAUAAUGUUGAUGUUGAUGUUAAUGCUAAUGUUAAUGUUAAUGUUAGUGAUAAAGUUGAUUUUAAUGAUAAUCCUAAUGUUGUUGUUGAUGAUAAUGUUGAUUUUCACACUUUUGAUAUAUUUGAUCCAAGAAAUCGGGAUGCUCUUGAUUCUAGUAUGAUAAAUAUUUUAGUGUUGAAAGGUCCUAAAAGAGAUUUGUCUCUUACAAAAGGUCCUAAAGAUAAAUAUUUAAGAAGAUUUUCUGCAACAUAUUAUACUAAAACUUUACCAAAUGGGGAAAAAUGUGAUAGAGAUUGGCUUGUUUAUUCUAAAGAAAUUGAUAAAAUUUUUUGUUUUUGUUGUAAAAUAUUUCGAAAAGGGUGUCGGAAGGGUCAAUUAGCAAAUGAGGGUUUUAGGGAUUGGAUACAUCUUAACACUAGAAUUAAAGAGUAUGAAACUAGUAUGAAACAUGUUAAAACUAUAAAUACUUGGUAUGAUUUGCGUUUAAGAUUACAAAAAAAUGAAACUAUUGAUAAUGCGGCUCAAAAACAAUUAGAAAAAGAAAAAGUUCAUUAGAGACAAGUUUUGUUGAGAAUUAUUUCUAUUGUGAAAUUUCUUGCUAAACAUAAUCUAGCUUUUCGUGGUACUAAUGAGAAAUUGUAUGAAGAUAACAAUGGAAAUUUUUUAGGCUUAUUUGAAAUGUUGGCUGAAUUUGACAUGGUUUCUUAUGACCAUAUACAACGUAUUACAAAUGAAAUUGGUAUCCAUAAACAUUAUCUUGGGCAUAGGAUACAAAAUGAAUUAAUACUUUUGCUUUCUUCAGAAAUAAAGUCUAUGAUUAUUAAAAAGAUAAAAAAUGCAAAAUAUUUUUCUAUAAUACUUGAUUGUACUCCUGAUAUAAGUUACCAAGAGCAAAUGACUAUUAUUUUAAGAUGUGUAGAUGUCUUGUCAAAUGUUGUUUGCAUUGAAGAGUCUUUUUUAGGGUUUUUAGAUGUAAAUGAUACAACCGGCCAAGGACUCUUUGAUGUUUUACAAAAUGAAUUGAAUUUGCUUGAUCUUGACAUUAAUAAUAUACGUGGCCAAGGUUAUGAUAAUGGAUCAAAUAUGAAAGGAAAACAUCAAGGAGUGCAAAAAAAGCUUUUAGAUAUAAAUUCAAGGGCUUUUUAUACUCCUUGUGGUUGUCAUAGUUUGAACUUAACUUUAUGUGAUAUGGCUAAUACUUGUGGUAAAGCUAAAGGUUUUUUUUGGAACAAUACAACGUAUCUAUACAAUUUUUGCAAAUCCCACUAAGAGAUGACAAAUUUUAAAAGAUAAUGUGAAAGGGGUAACUCCUAAAUCGUUGUCAUCCACUCGUUGGGAGAGUCGUGUUGAUAGUGUUAAAGCUAUAAGAUUUCAUAUACAAAAAGCUUUACUUCAAGUAGCCAAAAAUGAUAAUGAUCCAAAAAUAACAAGUGAAGCUAAAUCCUUAGCAAAAAAUGAACUUGACAACUUUGAGUUUAUAUUGGCAUUAGUAAUUUGGUAUGAAAUGUUAAACACUAUUAAUUUAAUUAGCAAACAAUUGCAAUCAAAAGAUAUGUUUAUUGAUGUUGCUAUGGAAAAAAUAAUGGGGUUAAUUUCGUAUUUUAAGGAAUAUAAAGAAAAUGGGUUUUUAAAUGCUUUACAAACCGCAAAAGAUAUUGCCUUAGAAAUGGGGAUCGAUCCAAUAUUUCCUAAAAAACGUGAACCUAAAAUAAAAAAACAUUUUGAUGAGAUUUCAAACGACACUUCUUAUAGUUUUUCACAAUCCGCCCAAGAGAAAUUUAGAGUUAAAUAUUUUAUUUAUAUUGUUGAUCAAGCAAUUAGUUCUUUAACUACAAGGUUUGAACUAUAUCAAUAAUAUGAUAAAAUAUUUGGCUUUUUAUUUAAUUCAGAAAAAUUGCUUUCAUUAGAUGAUAUAACAUUAAAGUCUUGUUGUAUGUCUCUUGAAACUUCACUCAAGAAAGAUGAGCAAUCGGAUAUUGAUGGAAAUGACUUAUAUGUUGAAUUAAAAUUACUUUUACAUCUCUUGCCUAAGGAAAAAUUGACAGCAAUUGAUAUUCUAAAUUUUUUAAAACGUGUUGAUUGUUUUCCUAUUACAUCUAUUACAUAUAAAAUUAUGUUGACUAUUCUUGUUACUGUUGCAUCUGCAGAACAGAGUUUUCCAAAAUUGAAGAUUCUGAAGUCCUACUUAAGAUUUACAAUGACUCAAGAACGACUUAAUGGAUUGGUUUUGAUGACGAUUGAGCGUAAUAUGUUGGAUAAAGUUACUUAUGAAGAUGCUAUUGAAAAAGUUUAUUUCAACGAAUAUUAGGAGGAUGACUGUUUUCAAGUAGAAGCUAAUUUUUUUUUGUAUUAUUUUGAAUGAAAUUUUAAUUUUAUGUAUUUGCAAUAGAAAAUUAAACUAUAAUUUUUUUUUUGCUUAAAUUUUGAGAUCUUUCAAAUUUUAGAGCCUAUUUUUUGUUAAAUCGCACAUGGUCUUCAAUAUCUCAGGGCCGGCCCUGCCAUGUAGACCGAGACCCCUACUUGUAACUAACCUUUUCGGUCCUAAUAGAUACACAUGUAAAAAACUAAUAACUACUAACUAACUAUUAAUUAUUUAAUAUAAAAUACAAAUAGAACAUCAAUGAUAAAUAUUAAAAGGGUGUUGCUAAAUUGACACCCCUUAGACACCCUAUAAACACUUUUAUUAAAAGUCAAUUUAUAAUAAACUAUUCACAAUUUACUUUUUCAAAAAACAAUGCAAAUUAACUAAUAAAAAAAUCUUAAAAAUCAAAUAAGGUUUCAACAUGAGAGAAAUUAUAUUGCAAUAAGUUUGUUGUCAGGUGAGGAAUACAAUGCAUAAAUGAUUUACAAAAUCGAAAGUUCCAGACACAAGUUAAAACUUAAAACCCUAAAAGACCACACAAAUUUCAAUCGUCGACAUACCCCACCACAAAGGCACAAACAAUCAAUGAAACAAGUGUAGAUGUAGAGGCCUUUUUCACCACAAUCACCCUUCAUCGGCCAUUUCGAAGGCCACGUGAAAUGUCACUAACGUGGCCCUCUAAAUAUCCACUACUUUGUCUUUAACCCCUCCCCCCUCCCUUAUAAAACACUCCAUCCUCCUCCUUAAUCACCAUCACCAACAACCUUCUCUCCUCCCUCAAAAGUACCACCAUCUUUUCCGACAUGGCUACUUCUUCAAUCUUCAUGGCAACUCCCAUCACACUCCUCAAGAAAACUCCCACCUUCUCCGUCAAAUGUAUGUCACAAACACCUCAAAGCGGUGAACCGGAGGUUUCAAAACCAGCAACCACCCCAACACUACCACAGAUCAACAUUCCUCCUCCUCCGCCACCUGCUCCAAAGGUCAGCACGAAGUUCUCUGACGUGUUGGCGUUUAGUGGACCUGCACCGGAGAGGAUCAACGGAAGGUUAGCCAUGAUAGGGUUUGUGUCGGCGAUGGCUGUGGAACUGAGCAGCGGUCAAGACGUGUUCACCCAGAUCGGCAACGGCGGUGUUGCGGUGUUUGUCGGGACAAGUGUGGUGUUGACGUUGGCGUCGUUGGUGCCGUUGUUUAAAGGAGUGAGCGUGCAGUCGAAGUCGAGUGGACUGAUGACAUCAGAUGCAGAGCUUUGGAAUGGGCGGGUUGCGAUGUUGGGUCUGGUGGCUUUGGCUUUUACUGAAUAUGUUAAAGGCAGUGCCCUUGUCUAGAUAAUGUAGCAUAAACUUUUCUAUUACAGAAUUACAUCUAAGAUAGGCAAAUGUAUAUUCUUUUGAAUAUUUAUGUGUAUCGAUUUACCAUACAUAGUUCAAAUCAUGAAAAUCAUGUUUUUUUGAUAAUAUAGUAUAAAACAAAUAUGAUCAAUCAAAUCGAACGAUUGUGGUAUCUUUCAAUAUAAAAUUCUUUUUACAAAAAUAAACAAACAACAUACUAAGAUAAUUUUUUGAGGAAUGAACCUAGAUUAGCAAUAUAAGAGUCAAAGUCUACAAAGAUAUUGACAUCCUAGUUUCACAACUUCCUCUUUGAAUGUUGAAGGUGAUCAUUAAUUCAGACUGAAUAUGUGGCUAAGUCCAGCCUAGUCAAUUAGCCAAUUUAAGUUGACAAGUAUCCAAAAUUCAAAUAAACUACAUGGCUCAAUUUCAAAGAAAACUGAAAAAUGACUAAUGCUCACAAAAUGAUCACCGAAUCAAUUUAGGCUAUGAGGAGUGGUCACAUUCAAACCACCGGAAAAACGCUGCAAAGUCAGUGAUAUGUCAACUCCAUCACCUUCUAAACAUUGGAAACAAUUACCACUCCGUGUCAUUUAUAUUUUCAUUUUUUUUACAUUAGAUUAAAUAAAAAACAUAAUUACUAACUUAAGUAAUCAUUUUACUAAUUAAAAAAUCAACUAAACAUAUAUUAAUUUUCAAAAUUAAAUAAACAUAUAUAGUAUAUAUAGUUGAGGGUUUAACUUAAUUCAAAGAAAAGUAAGAGGGUAUAAUAAGAUUAAAAGACAUAAUUUUAGAGACCAAAUUUGUAACUUUAGUUAAAGCAAAUAUGAAUGGUCUUCUUCACAGGUCAUUGCUCAAUACCAUUUUUUUUCUUUUACUUCGAUGGAUACAAAGGAAAAGGGAAAAAAAGGGUCAAAUAAAUGACCGUUAUUGUUCUUGCUUUCUUAUCCGUCGUCUUCAUCCGUCUUUGCACCCACAUUACACCCAAACCACCGGCCUUAGGGGUGGUGGUGUUCACGUGUCCUUAGGCCGGACACAUCAGCAAGAUGUGUGAGUUAGUCCUCCCACUCCGAUUAGCCUUAAGCACUUAUUAAAAGCUAGUCUAUUUCUUGUUAGGUUGAAAUCUAAUGUUAUCAUCAAAUCUAUACAAGAUUGAGAUUGAUAUUAUAGUAACAAUCUCCCAAAGAAAAAUAAUAUAUUUAAAAGAAUAUAUAUAUANNNNNNNNUAUAUAUAUAUAUGAAUUAUGCCCCAAGAAGUACUAUGCAUGAGUAUAAGAUUACUAUUAUCUUUGGAUCCAUUAAUUGAUAACUAAGCAUACUUCAAAGUUACUAUAUGGUCGUAUGAGACCCGCGAAUAGGAAAUUGGCUGCACCCUUGGCCCGAUUCGAAGGCUAAAACCCAAAAGAACCAUGCACAUGAUUCGAACCAAGUGCUCUAAUGCUAUUUUGCCCAACUUACAUGAACUACCUCCAUACACAUACUUAAGAAACCCAUAAUCUCAUCCAGAUAGAGCAGGAAUGCCAGAGAUAAUCGGAAUAAUACCUCAAUCAAUUACAAAAAACAUCCGCAUUAUCGGUUGAAACAAGAUCCCAUACUUGAUUGAGACUGAACGGAUUCCAUCGCUACACAACUAGCUCGAGAAGACUUCCACGGAUCUCGAAAGUUGCCUAAACCUGAGUCUGCUAUGAAAUAGGUUCCCACUCCACCAUUGAGGGUAAACACACUUGAAGCCCCAAUGGACAUAGAUCAUACUAAGCUUGAUAACAGAUCAGCCUGACCACUACAUCUCGACUGACACAAUUAAACUUCCAAGUGAACUUUUAUUGAUUGAUGAACCCCACAACCAGUGGUCGAGGACACUUUAACACUUAGUCCAGAGAAUCAAGACCACAUAGAACUGAACAUACCCACUCAUGGAAAGAUCCAUCGACCAACGUCUGCCCAACUAAUAUGAAAAUAGUAAUCCAACAACAAACUGGGAAAUCCCUCAACAGCUAAAAAUACUCAACCUGAGAAUCCCGAUUCUCCUCCACUUAGGGCUUAAACUACCAUUCACUAGCGCUAAAACCAAAUCAUAAAUCAAACCAUAUUGAGGAUAUACUCCCUUCCUAACCCUGGAAGUUACGAGCCUCUUCACUCCUUCCCCGAACUCGGAAAAAAUGAAAGGGCAUAACCCUAGCCAUUGAUAAUGACGUUCCAAACCAACAAUCAACCACUUCCAACUGUAAAACCCAAGUCAAUCUUAAUCAUCGUCCCCUUCACGAGUCCCGCGACUCGAAUACCCGACCUCAAGCAAAACCCCCGAGGCCUCAAACAAAAAAGCUCCCUAGGUCUGCACCAAACAAACAAAAUCACUAACGCCACUGGGGCUCAAAACACUUACCAUAUCCAUCCGCAUGUCGGAGCAUCCACAAGCAAAAUAUUAACAGGAACAUAAACACUGCCGCGAAUCAUGGUAUCCAACCAUGCUAUCUUCACCGACCAACCCUUAGAAUCCCCAAAACCUUCCUUGAUUAGAUUAUGGAUCCUGUGCUUCAAGUAGUACUGGCCCAAUACUACCUUCCAUACCUAUCCAUACUUUCCUCAAGAAUCAUCCCAAGUCUUUUAAGUCCUAGUCAUAAAAUACUCCUGAAACUUGCUUAACAAUGAAGCAACCACGCUAAAAUACUCACCUACACUCCCUCUGCCAUCAACUGCUGAUAAACCCCUACCAAUGCCAGCUAACCACUUCAUGAAUACAAUUACACACAACCAAGCUUAAAUAAUCCUUCGAAUAAAGGGCUUAGCCCUACAACGAUUGGACUCAAACGAGAGCUGCACAAUAGGUUUGAGUCCUUCAUUCUAAGAUUAUUUAACCUUCAUAGCAUGUAAUUUUAUUAUAUUCACUUGAUGGUUAACUCCCAUCAACAUGGGUCCCACAAAGCACAAAGCAAGCAACAUUCGGGUAGAGAAGCCGACUGCGACUAAAACGCAACAAAAUCAGACAUAUCCUCAUAGAAAAUCCUCGAUCUCAAACUCCUCGCACCACGAGUGCGCCUUCACCCUGCUCUCACUCUCCCCAGAGUGGUUAAUCAUUCCUCGUGCUUACCCGCUAUACACUGCACCCACUCAUGAAACUUCCACCAACCCUACAACACUCGUGUAUGCUAGCCGUACAUAACACUGGAUCCUAUAGACAGUCGAAUAUCUGAUCCUACUCUAAGCCCUUCAUCAAACAAGAACAUGAAAUAAGGCCAAACCAAACAUUCUCAGGCUAUAGAAUCUUAGUUAUGUACAACUAUGAUGUAUACACUAAGUAACUGUAGUAGAUGAUGUCAAUUUCAUUUAAGGAAGAACCCUAGGCUAUCAGACAUCAUAUAAUCAUGCAACUUUGUCAUGCAAUUCCUGAAGAUCCCUAGCCUAUCACUACCAUGCUAUUCUAAUAUUUCACAAGAUCAAAUAAAGUGUGGUAAUUUGGGGUCUACUUACUAGCUCCGACUGAUCAUACACAUCGUAUCCUCUUUAGUUUGAAAGUUAUUUUUAAAACCUUUACUUUGAAAAUUACUUUUUUUAAAACACCUUUUCCUUAGUUUGAGACCGGAUUCACACGAGUUUUCCUCCCAUUCACUCAAACCAAGGCUCUGAUACCAACUAGUAACGUCACAAAAAUUUCAACAAAUCUAAACCUUUCAAAACAACCCAUAUGUUAACAAAAGUGAUUUGAUCCGCAGGCACUCUGCACGCCUUGAACUCCCGUAAUGAGGGAGUUCGAGCCCCAAUCUGACCCACAGUGAUCUCAGAUCGGAAAGAACAAUCCGCUCCUCCAUAUCCUCCAUGAUCCCCUCCUUGACGGUACUGAACCCGAUCUCGAACCUGAACCUCCUCGCGUAGCCAUCAUAAUCUUCAACUGAAAAUACAACAUAGAAAGAAAUUGAUAAGGAAGUUCAAAGGGAUUUCUCCCCACUGGACUCCUUAAAGCCUUCAGGUAUGUCCUUGUCUCGGGUACAAGUCUUGUGCUUUUAGUAGUACGGACCAAAUACUACCUUCCACACCUACCUGUACAUUCCCCCAAGGCCAUACCUGAUACCUCCAAUUCACCAAACCAUAGAUAAAACAUGACCUACGAAACACAGCACAUACACAUAUCUUAGAAUCUUCGGGGAUUUCUCAAUCCUCAUAGAACCAGAAACCUCAAUCAACACCGCAUGUUGCCUUAUGCAUGCAAGUUAUACAUUAAUAGAAUCAUAGAGACUGUCAAAUAAAGUUUCUACCCUAAGACCACAACCAAACAAGGAACAAGAAGUAAGGCAGAAUCCAUCGUUCUAGGGCUAUAAAAUCCUAAACAUAUACAACUUUGAAAGCAUACACUUAGCAAAUAACAACGUCAACAUCGAUUCCAAGCAUUAUAUUCAUAGCAUUGAACUCUCCUAGGCUACAAGGCAUCUCACAAAUCAGACAAUUCUCAUAACACCUAAAGGUAUCCUUAGCCCUAUUCUAGCAUGCAUUUCACACAUUAACAUACUAGUUGCAAUUCAUAAGCAUGGUUAAAUUUUUGGAAACACUUACUUGAGCUUGGCUGAUUUCGCGCAUUGCGCUCUCCCUUUUUACUUAAGAAAACCGGUUUAAGAAAAACUUGACUUUUGUUUCUUUUUUUAAAAAGGUUUACCAUUUCCUCAGUUUGAGUUGUGACACAUAGUGUGCCCGAAUUCCUCAAACCAAGGCUAUGAUACCAACUUGUAAAAGCCCAAAAAUCCAGAUAAAAAUUUUCAUUUAAAAAAAAAUAGAAAUUACAAUCAUAAUUUGUUUCUUAAAAUCCAUUACAUCAUUUCAUAUCAAAAUAUCAGAGUAUCAAUAUCAAUAAAUGAGGAAAUUCUUGGGAGUGAAUGUUGCGCCAUCUAGCUAGGCCCUUCCCCUUAGUACCGAAAGUACCUGAAAACACCUAAAUAAACUGUAAGCAAAAACUUAGCGAGUUCCCAAAAUACAACAUAACAUAUAACCACAGAAUACCACGCCACAUACAUAAGAUUGCCAUGGACAACCCCAUGGUCUUUACUUGGAAUGCCAUGGGCUACCCCAUGGUAUUUACCUAGAAUGCCAUGGGAUACCCCCAAGGUCGGAUAUCCAAGUGCCAUGUGCUACCCCAUUGGUCUUUACCUGGAAUGCCAUGGGCUACCCCCAUGCUCUAAUAUCCAAGUGUCGUGCGCUACCCCCAUGGUCUUCAUAUAAGUGCCACAGGCUACCCCCGUGGUCUUCACAUAAUGAAUUGCAUAAAAACUAUCAAUCCACAUGUCAGGCAAUGGGCCGCCAUUGGUGCCUUCGACCCAUUGAUAUAGUGAGAAGACUCACCUCAGACUGCUGAUAAAAAUACUGCUCGGCUAACGCUCUAGAUAUCUGACACUGAAUAUACACAAGUUAACCUAAUUAGAAUUAAGUCACAAACUCAAGGCCUAGGCCAAAACCCUAAGUACAAACUCCUCCAAUAAGGCCCAAAGUCUUUUUCCUUUAAUGGGCCUAACAUCCAAGAUCCAAAAAGGGGCAUAAGGCCCAAAAGGCCUAGCCAUGCCACUUAUGGUCCAACAACAAGUUCAAAGGCCCAAAUACUAUAAUAGAUCCAGGCCCAAGUCUAAGUAGAGCCCAAAUAGCUUAAAGGCCCAACAAAAGCCCAAAACUCAUUGGAAGCGUACGCCCAACGUACAUCAUCAGUACGCUUAGCAUACUGGGUUCUUUGGCGGUUAGCGUAGUGUACAAGCUAGUAUGCCCAACGUACAAGCUACUUUGCACAAAAAGCCAUUAAGUGCUUAAUUCAUGAAGCCAUUUCGUCCGAUUCCAGAUCUUGGUCAUCUUAAAGGUCCUAGGGCAUAAAGAUGGUAACUUUAUGUGUUUACAUGCCAUAUGGGAACCCAACACCUGAUUUUAUCCAUUAAGACUCCCUUUAAGAUCUUAAACUCAUGCAUGGUGCCAUAACAACCAUCAAGUUAGCAUUUUUAUGCUUUUAACAUGCCAAAGGAACUAGGAUCUAACAUUUAUAAUCUCUGGAGUUGUUCAAACUUACAAAAGAGGAUCCAUGGACCAAAAAUGGACUUAUUACCAAACCCUAACUCAAACUAGCGAAAGGAUAAGCAAGUUCUGGACUUUUUACCUCCAAAAGUUUUCCAAGAUGAAGUAGAUGCAGGAUCUAGAAGCUCAAACACGUCUAAGAGUUGAUCACAACCUUCUCCUUCUUACACACACAUUAAAAUAGCCACCAAAAUCACUUUUAAGCUCAAGAAUCACACUCACUUGCAAACUAGGGUUUAGGGACGAUAAGAGGCAAUAAAAGCUAUGUAGGGUUAGGUCCAAAUGUCAUAAGAGUGUUAAAAUAGGGUUCAUGCGCAAAAAUUAGGGUUUUUGUCAUAUGCCACGUACUCCUCGCAUACAUGGUGCAUGUACGCAUCUAAACCACCCUAGUACGCUAAGCGUACACGUAUGUACGCCCUGUUGGAUUAGUGUUUAAGUCCAUAACUAUAUUUGGUAUGUAUUUGACCAGGUUGUGCAUGGUCCUUUUAGGUUGCCUUCACCGAAGCAACUUGACUAGAGGAAUUAUAUAGAAAGAGGUGAUUAUGGUUUAUUAAUAUAUUAUAAGAUUUAUAUAUUAAAAGAGAAAUCAUGUUUGAUUAAUUAACAUUGGUCAAGAGUUAAUUAAACAUUAGUUUUGUGAUCAAAAGAAGUUAAUUGAACUUAAGGGGCUGAACUGUAAUUAUGUGAUAGUUACAAAGUUAGGCAAGGAAACCCUAAUGGAUAGGGUGGAUGAAUUCUAGGGAUAUAGCCUUAAGAAUUCGCCCAUGAUAGGGAUUCUAGAAUUAUCUUAUGGGCUGCUUGGUGGCUAAGUAACCAUAUAAGAAUAAUGAAUGAAACCCUAAUUCCUAAACCUAUAUAAAGGACCCUUGGUCAUGGGAAUUUCGGCAACUUGAACCCUAGAAGUCCUAGAGCCGAAAUUCUCCUCUUCCCUCUCUUGCUUCCUCUAAUUGCUAUUGGUGUUUGUUAUUAAUUAGAGGCACAACACUUGAGGUGCUAAAGUUGUCAAGGCUUCAAGAUCUUCAAUCAACAACGAGGUAAGCAUCUUGAUAUACUUUGCUAAGUUAAUUUCAAUUAUAUACACUAGAUCUAGGGUUUGAAAGUCUUGGAUGAAUGCACGUACAAUUAGAGAAACCUAGAUCCAAGCAUUAGGGUUUGCAUGAGCACAUAGGAUGUUCUUUUGGCUCAAACCUAUCAGUGGUAUCAGAGCUUUUGUUUGGUUUCUAUUGUAUUGAUGCCUUGCUUGUUCAUCCUCUCUUGAAAAUCGUGAUUUUGUGUUCUCUGCCUGACGAACUCGAUGAGUCCCAAUGUGGGCUCGACGAGUAGGAUGAACUCGACGAGUCCAUAAGGGCACUCAACGAGUCGGAGCGUCAGACAUAGAUUUUCGGGAUUUCUUGUUGUUUUGCUUAAUGAUAAUUACCUAAAUCGUUUUUGACUAAUAAAAUCUGAAUUUUAUUACUGCUUUAUGUUUAUCCUUUCCAAAACAAAAGAUAAUUUCCAUUUAUUUGAAUAAUAAAUUCCUUAUAUGAUAAUAAUUGAUUAUUUAAAUUAUUUGUUGAAUUAUCUUAUGAAUAAAAUUGAUUAGGUCAAAUUUAGAUAAUCAUUAAAUUAAUUGUUUAAUUUAAAUUAUUUGCUAUUUGAUCCUUUAUGUUUUGAAAAGUUCAAAACUUGUCCUCAAGUUUUGAAAUUUAAAUUUGUGAUUAAAAGUUUAAUUUAAACUAUUUAAAUUUCAAACCCUAGAAUUUUACAAGUUUAAAAUUCAACCUUAUACUUUACAAUANUUAAACGCUAGUCUUACUGUUAGUAGGCCUCAUUCACGAAGCCGAUCUAGAAGGAGGUAUAAGGUUAUGACCUAUAAAAUGGCCAUUUAAUGGGUGUCCACUCUCACCCACCACAUCCUUGAUUGGUGGAGGGUCGUUAGCCGAACGGGUAAGAUAGGGCAACCCUUUCUCAUGAAUAAGUAUAAUGAAUUAUAAAAGUAACUAAAUGUUUUACAAAAUUCCCAAUCUUAAUUACUUUAGGCAAAAGUGAAAUUGAUGCAAUUCCAUUAAAUUACAUUUUGUACCCGUGCUAAGACGUUAGUGGAGCGUGUGUGGUUAACUGGCACACUAAUUCGGUUCUAAGAAAAGGUGGUAAAGGGUGACUCAUUGUUUCUCAUUGUUCGAUGGAGCAUGUGUGGUUAACCAGCACAUCGAAUAGGUGACUGUAACAAUGAGGGCACCAUGUAUAUUUGCAUGGUUAUUCAUACCCACUUUGUGAUCCUCAGCAUCCCAGUCACAAACUAGAGGGGCAUAUCAAGAUUUAUACAUGCCAUUGAAAAGUUCAAUGAAUCUCAAAAUAUCUAGGAGUUUUCAAUACAUUUAAAACUUAAUCUCUUUUUCGUUUUUCAUGGUGGAGAAUUAGUGAAUCGUCAUUCACUUACCUUCAAAUUAUUUGCAUGUUAGAUUACGACACCCCUCUUCUAAUAUGUAAAUAAUGUUGUUGGAUCCUAGCCCUAAUUUCUCAUUUAGGUGUUUCAUUAGGGAUUCAUUUCUAAUCAAACUUUGUUCUUUUUCCUUUUCAGAUGUCGAACAACAACAAUGCUUCCGGAUCGUUCUCACUCAUGAACUUGUGUGGGAGAGUGAUCUUUGACGAGUCCAAUUUCAAUGAUUGGAUUCGCAACAUCCGAAUGGUCACUCGUUACGAGGACAAAGAGUAUGUCCUUGAUAAGAAGCUGAAGGAAAUCAACCUCAACACUGCUACUACUGAAGAGAUCGCCACCUUUAAGGCUCAUGAGCGUGAUGCCACGAAAGUCCAUUGCAUCAUGCUAGCGACCAUAACUGCAGAACUCCAAAAGUCCUAUGAGGACAUGUAUCCCUAUGAAAUUCAUCAAAACUUGUUGGACCGGUACCACCAAAGUGCAAGGCAAGAAAGGUAUGAGAUCAUCACUUCGAUGAUCACUACCAGAAUGGGUAAUGGAGAGUCCCUUACCGCCCAUCUGCAAAAGAUGCAGAGAUAUGUUGAUCACCUGCUAAAGUUGAAAGUUAACUUUGAUGAAGAGAUGGCAAUCGACAUUAUCCUUCACUCCUUACCUCCCUGCUACAACCAGUUCCGCAUGACUACCACAUGAAUAAGGAAGAGGUCACCUUGAGCAAGCUUCACGGCUUGCUAAGAACUGUUGAGAGCAAUUUCAAGGAUAAGUAUGUUGCAUCAACUCCAACUCCCACUGCUGCCCUUGUCUUGGAAAAAGGGCAAGGGAAGGGUAAGAAAAGGAAGGCUCCCUCAAAUAUCCACCACAAGGGAAAGUCCCAAGAUGUUACCUCUUCUAGUGGAACCAAGGCUGGUUCUGCUAAACCCAACUCUAACCCUAAUGAGCCAGAGUGCCACCACUGCCACAAAAUAGGGCAUUGGAAGAGAAGCCGCCCAGAAUAUCUGCAAGCUAUCUAGGAUGGGACGAUCAAGCCAUCCUUCGCAGGUAUUUACACUAUUAAAUCUAAUGAUUCAUCGCAUGCUAUUUCUUGGGUUAUUGAUACAGGAUGUGGUUUUCACAUAUGUUCUGAUUUGCAGGGACUAAGAAGAAAUAGGGAUGUGGAGCAUGGAAGAAUAAACCUAAUAAUGCGAAACAAAAGAUUGUCGCCUGCCACCAAUAUUGGAGUAUAUAUAUUCCUUAAUGCUUAGUAAUGGAUUAGGUUUUGAUUUAAACAAUUGCUGCUAUUCGCCAGAUAUGGCAAGAAACAUCAUUUCAUUUCAUGGUUUAUAUAGGCAAGGAUUUAGAUAUUCAUUUGAUAAUGAAAAGGGUUCUAUUUAUGCUUAUCUUAAUAGUGUUUUAUAUUUUGAAGCAUUGCCUUGUAAUGUAAUAUAUGAAACUGUGAUGGUUGUAGAUAACUUAGGAAAUGAUGUAUUGUGUGUUGAUUCUUCCAACAAUAUAGAUAAAGCAUGCUUGUGGCAUUGUCGUCUUGGACAUGUCAACAAGAAACGCAUAGCCCAACUCUAAAAGGAUGGAGUGUUGGAGUCAUUCGACCUUAGGGAUGAUGACGUGUGUGAGUCUUGUUUACUUGGAAAGAUGACCGAUGUGUGUGGGCACUUGUGAAAGGGGUGAGGGUUUAUUGGAUCUCAUACACACCGAUGUGUGUGGGCCCUUUAGAUUACCACAAAAGAUGCAAGCCACUUCUAUGUGACUUUUACCGAUGAUUAUAACAGAUAUGGGUAUAUCUACUUAAUCAAGCACAAGUCGGUAACCUUUGAAAGGUUCAAAGUGUUUAAAGAAGAAGUGGAGAAUCAUUUGGGCAGGAAUAUCAAGAUGCUUCGAUCCGAUCGAGGAGGAGAGUACCUAAGUCUUGAAUUCCAUGACUAUCUCAAGGAAUGCGGAAUCGUUUCACAAUUGACGUCACCUAGGACACCGCAGUUAAAUGGUGUGGCUGAGAGGCGUAAUCGAACCUUGUUGGACAUGGUUCAUUCCAUGAUGAUUCGUGCUUCACUACCUAUCUCAUUCUGGGGGUAUGCCUUAGAGACUGCCGCCCAUAUCCUUAACUUAUUCCCUACGAAGAAGGUUGCCAAAACACCUCACGAGAUGUAGACAGGGAAAGCUUCCUCGUUAGCACAUAUCAAGGUUUGGGGGUUGCGAGGCUUUCGUAAGACGAGAGACUCACGACAAGCUCGAACCUCGUAGUGAGUGGUGUAUUUUCACCAGCUACCCACAAAAGACCUUUGGAUAUCUCUUCUAUAGUCCGAGUGAGAACGUUGCCUUCAUUGCGAGGAGAGGGGUUUUCCGUGAGCGAGAACUCAUAAGCCUAGGGGACAGUAGGAGGCAAAUCGAUCUUGAAGAGAUUCAAGAGUUGAGCGAUGAAGGAACCUCCAACACCGGGGCUUACCCGAGGAGGAAACUCCGGUUGAACCGAUUGACGAGUCCUUACCUCUUAGACGUUCCGAAAGAGUUAGGUUUCAACCCCAGUUAUAUGGCUUUCAUAUUACUACAGAAGGGGAUACGUAUAUUAGUGAUAUUAUACUAAUAAAUUUGGAUGAACUUAACAGCUAUAAGGAAGCCAUUGCAGGCCCAGAGUCUGCAAAGUGGAAAGAGGCGACGGACAGUGAGAUUCUGUCCAAGUAUGACAACCAAGUUUGGAAUUUGGUUGACAAUGUACUAGGUCGUAAGAUGGUCUGGUGCAAAAUGAUCUUUAGGAAGAAGGUACUAAAACGUUUUGUGACAACCCGAAAUUUCCAUUUUGUACGAACAUUAGCUAUUCAAUAGAAGCUAGUCCAAUUUCAAUGAAUUUCAGACUUUUCUAAAUAAAUUUGUGUACAUUAGGGUUUACGUUUAAGGAGAUAUCAGGAGAGUGGAUGCUCAUGGGUUUGUGAAACUUGAGCAUUUCAAAACUUCAUAAUGUUAGAGUCCAAUUCCGGAAUAAAAAUAUUUUCUGCCAAAAUAUUUCAGGACUAUAAAUAGAUUUCUGAACUAAAUUCAUUCAUUAUUCACACUUCCAACUAGAGAAAAGCCAUUUUCUCUCUCACAGAUCUUCGGGUUUUCAUCCCAAAUCGUGAGUACACUUCUUUAGUUGUUUUAUAAUGCUUGUUAUAUGCUUAAUAACAUAGAUUACAUGUCAAAUAUGUGAGAUCCGGGAGUUUACCGCCCAAGAACGUUCUUGGGGAGUAAACUCGAAAAUAAAGCUUUAAGGCUAUCUAGUCCCAUUUCCUUGUUAGGUAACUAGCUUAGGAUAAUAUGUAGGAUCAUUUGAGACAAGAAAACAAUCCAGAACACAUAGCUUUAGGAGUUUUCGGCCCAAGAGUUUCUUGGACCGUAAACACCAAAUACAAGGGCUUAAAUGUGCCCUAAUCACUCCCAAAGGCUUUAGACUUUAACCCUAAAUUACUUCUAGCUAAUAUGGGGACAUUAACACAUCAAAAAAACCCCUAAAAGGGAGUUUACGGCCAAGAAAUGCUCUUGGGCCGUAAACACCAAUUAAGGGCACCAAAGUGUGCCUAGGGCCCCCCUUAGCAUAAAUCAAAUGCCUCGAAAGUAUUCUACUUGUGUUUGAGACUUGAAAGAAUUAAAACAUCCAUCCCAUGAGAGUUUACGGCCGUAAACUCUAAGGGAUAUGGCCUUUUGGCCGUAAACUCCUCAAAGGAGUGUUAUCUAUGCCCUAAACUACCCAAAGGAUUAAACCACCAAACUAGGCUUAUUCUAGAAAUCAUUUAGCACUUUAAAACACCCAUUACCACCAAGAUUGGAGUUCACGGCCGUAAACUCAAGGUUUUACGACCGUAAACUCCUUGUGUGGGGUUUAUUGGGUAGUAAACUCUUAUACAAAGUCCUUGGAAGCUUUAAACCCCUUUAGCUUGUCCCAUAACAACUUAGAUGCAACCAUUAGGACCUAUAACACUUAUACAAGGUGUUUACAUGUUCCUAAGUGUCCCAACUUAUUUCAUUAAGUUAUUAUUUGGCUAAUUAGUUAUAUAUAUGCUCAUUAUAUGAUAACUAGGCUCGUGCGUGUGAACAAGUCUCCGUUUGCCACCUAGCACGGUAUCCGACACUACAAUCCAAACCACUCACCACAAGUGAGUUCAUACCCCUUUAAUUAACCUUUGAAAUACUUUUAAAUGUUUUAAAUACUUUAUGGGGGGGAUACAAGUUAAAUGCUUAUAGUUAUUGCAUCAAUCACAUGUGAUUACAUUAAUCAUAUGUGAUUAAUAACUAGAAAACCAAUGAUCUUAUCACUGUUUAAACUGUUUAUCAAACUGUUUUACUUCAAACUGUUUUACAAACUCUUUUACUCAUCAAAUACUUUUAUUUAAACUUUGUUAUACUUCUUAUAAACCGCAUGCCCAUAUAUGUAUAGAUAUAUAAGCAAUGUUUAAAGGGUUUAGGAAGGUCAUCCGCCCUAUUUCCUUUUUCUCGAUUUGGAUGUGGUCUGGUGGGAUUUCGGGUAACCAUCCGAAGGUCGUUUCAAUAUUAAUUAUAUAUCAAAUGUACAUAUAUAGACAUAAAAGUACUCCUUNUAUACUAGGAGAAGAACAUAUACAACUAUACUAGAGGAAGAACAUAUACAACUAUACUAGAGGAAGAACAUAUACAACUAUACUAGAGGAAGAACAUAUACAACUAUACUAGAAAGAGAACAUAUACAACUAUACUAGAGGAAGAACAUAUACAACUAUACUAGAACAGUUCAUUACAUUACACAUACUAGAAUACGUUCAUUAUUGUGAUAUGAAUCGGGGCAUGACUUAAAUGCCAUGGCCCGAGUUGUAGCCAGAGUCUCUUGAAGGGAGAGCGUGAGUUUGCGUAUAGAUCUAUACUGGAUUGACUAUCCUACACCUUGCUGCUAGCUACAGCCGGACCUGCAGGUCUGCGGGUGCCAAACGUCAUUCCGUUAUUACGACCAUUCGUAUGUCGUUGUUACCAGUCGAUAGUAUGGUGCAAUUAGUCACAUGAUACCUUAAUAUAAAUCCGGUUUAAGGUAGUUAGUACAACAAUAGUUCCUAUAAUACAACACUACAGUACUACAAUAAUUUACCCAUUACAUAUAUUUAGUGAUUAUUUCACUUAAACAUUAAUGUACAAACUAUAUUUUGUUAAAUGAUAGUUACACUUGGGAAAUUACACACUUUUACAACAAACGAGCAUACAAAACAGUUAAGCCUUGGUAGAAGGCUACUUUAAUAGAAAAUAUAGGUUUUUCUGAGAGAUUCAAACUUUUACAAACACUUACAUACAUUUUACAAACUUACACUUGAGACACGUUCAAACGUUUUGAUAACAAACAUCGACACUAAAAUACUUAUGAACUCACCAGCUUAAUGCUGAUAAACUCUUUCAAAAUAACUUGUAUUCUCAGGUCAUCAAUAGACAGGUACUUAGGCCAGCUUUUGAGAAGAUGGAGCGCAUUCAAGACUCAUCUUAUUAUUUUGAUUUACAUUAUAUUUUGGUGUCUAAAACUGUACAGAACACGCUUGUAUUAAAAUUAUAUAUUUAAUGCAAUGGAUGAUGCUGUUUGCUUAUUUACAUUUACUGUGUUGUGAUACUUUACAUGACGUCCUCCGCCCCACAACGUUUCCGCCGUUCUUGGUUUUGGGGUGCGACACGUUUUAGUAUGGAGAAUUCAAAGAAGGCAGAGUUACCAAUCCAAAGUAAUGCGAAGUUGAGUACGACUCAAAGUCCGAGUACUGAAGUCGAGAUAGCAGAAAUGAGCUAAGUACCUUACGCUUCCGCAGUUGGCUCGAUCAUGUACGCUAUGACUUGUACUCGCCCUGAUGUGGCCUUCGCUUUGAGCAUGGUCAUUAGAUAUCUAGGGAACCCUAGAAAAGCACAUUGGACCGCAAUCAAGAAUAUUCUUAAGUACCAUCGAAGGACCAAGGAAUGGUUUCUAGUCCUCGGUGGGAGUGAUGACUUAAAGGUGCGAGGGUAUAGUGACGCCAGUUUUCAGACCGACAGGGACAACUACCGUUCGCAGUCGGGCUGGGUCUUUACCCUAAAUGGUGGAGCAGUGACUUGGAAAAGUUCCAAGCAAGAGACCGUAGCUGACUCAACAUGUGAAUCAUAGUACAUUGAAGCAAGCGAAGCGUCAAAUGAGGCAAUAUGGUUGAAGAACUUCAUUGGAGACCUUGGAGUUGUGCCGACCAUACAGGAGCCUAUUGAGAUUUUCUGUGAUAAUGAAGGAGCGGUUGCCUUGACCAAGGAACUGAGGGAUCACGGCAGAUCUCAACAUAUUGACAGAAAAUAUCACUUUAUUCGAUAUCAGAUGGAAAAAGGACUCCUCGUAGUGAAGUGCGUAUCGUCAGAAGAUAACCCAUCAGAUCUGCUUACGAAGGGACUGAGCAGGGUUAAGCACUUGCAGCAUGCUAGGAGCAUCGGGCUGAAGGACGAUAUUAGUUUAGAUUAGAUAGUUUGGAAACGUGUAAUAGAUAAAUUAUAAUUAACAUCUGAUGAUUAAAUAAAAGAGUAUUAUUUAUUAGUAAUGUUACUAUCUUAUGUUAAUUGUUUACCUAUUGUUUCAUUUUGCAUGUUUUGACUUCCUGAAUAAUAAGAAUUAUUUAAAUGGUCUACAGUUGUUCAUAUGUUGGAACUAGGUAUGAAUGAAGACUGUCAUGAAUUGGUGUGUAGAUUGUCUAAAGUGUAUUAGACAUAGCAAAAGUUUGCUACAACAUUCAUGAGUGCUUAUGAAAAGUUUUGAGCAUUGGAAUAAACCCAUGCUUGCUGGAAUCACUUCAUGGAAUUCAUCAUGAGUGAUCGCAAGACGAUAAUAUAUCAUAUGGUCUUAAAACAUAGAUAUAUGGUUUAUUGUUUUCUAAUUGGUUGUGCAUUGAUAAUGCGUAAACACAUCAGUAACUUGAUGUUAUAAAACGCAUUGUUGUGUAUGAUUUGAUUAGUGGAUAGUAAAUGCAUAUAAGUCUAAGUUCAUCUGUUCCUUUUAUCCUAAUAGGUUAAAAGUGAUAUCAGGACCCCUUGAUGAUUUGAUUUGACUUAUGUGUCGGGCCCGGUCAGGACUGAAUUGAUGUGUUCAAUUACGUUCUAUGUCAAAUGAAUCAGAGAUUAAGAAACAAACUGUUGGAUAAUAAGUAUGACUAUGUUCCAUGUAAUUGUCCGCAUGAUAUCUAGAACAAAGGAUUAUACGAUCCCUUAUCUUAAGGACAAGUUACUGAUAAGAUCAAGAGUUUUGAGAACUGUGAUUGCUAAUCGAAUCCAGAAGUUGCAUUUGCAUUUAUAGUUAUUAUCAAGGUUGUAAAAAAUUCUCGACGUUAGCUAGUCGGUGGACUGGGGUUAAGAGAUUAAUCGGGUAGGCGGAGAUUAAUCGGGGGAUUAAUGGAGACCAUUAAUUGAUAAUUUGUUGAAUUUUAAAAAAUUGAAUAUGACUAAUAUCAUAUCAAAGUCCGUAAGUACCACUAAUAUCAUAACAAAAUAGGUUGAUAUGUUUAAUACAACAUUAAUCAUGCUUGAAAUAGUUUCUAUUGAGAUAAAACUUCUUAAAAAUGUUUAAAUUUCAUCGUUUUAUACAGUUUUACUCAUUAUUUAUGCAUGGAUUAAUCGCUAGGUGCCAUCUAGUUGGUUGAGUAAUGCCUAGGGAUUAAUCGGAGAUUAAUCGGGACCUAGUCAUGAUUUUUACAAUAAUGGUUAUUAGACUUAUCCAAGUAGGGGAAUGUUGGAUUAGUGUCCAAGUCCAUAACUAUAUUUGGUAUGUAUUUGACCCAGUUAUGCAUGGUCCUUUUAGGUUGCCUUCACCAAAGCAACUUGAUUGGAGGAAUAAUAUAGAAAGAGGUGAUUAUGGUUUAUUAAUAUAUUAUAAGAUUUAUAUAUUAAAGGAGAAAUCAUGUUUGUUUAAUUAACGUUGGUCAAUAAUUAAUUAAACAUUAGUUUUGUGAUCAAAAGAAGUUAAUUGAACUUAAGGGGCUGAACUGUAAUUAUGUGAUAGUUACAAAGUUAGGCAAGGAAACCUUAAUGGAUAGGGUGGACAAAUUCUGGGGAUAAUGCCUUAAGAAUUCGUCCAUGAUAGGGAUUCUAGAAUUAUCUUAUAGGCUGCUUGGUGGCUAAGUAACCAGAUAAGGAUAAUGACUGAAACCCUAAUUCAUACACCUAUAUAAAGGACCAUUGGGCAUGGGAAUUUCGGCCACUUGAACCCUAGAAGUCCUAGAGCUGAAAUUCUCCUCUCCCCUCUCUCUCUUGCUUCCUCCAAUUGCUAUUGGUGUUUGUGAUUCAUUAGAGGCACAACACUUAAGGUGCUAAAGUUUUCAAGGCUUCAAGAUCUUCAAUCAACAACAAGGUAAACAUCUAGAUCUACUUUGCUAUGUUAAUUUCGAUUAUAUACACUAGAUCUAGGGUUUGAAAGUCUUGGAUGAAUGCAUGUACAAUUAGAGAAACCUAGAUCCAAGCAUUAGGGUUUGCAGGAGCACAUAGGGUGUUCUUUUGGCUCAAACCCAUCACGCCCAAUGUACGUAGGGACCUCCUUUACAAAUAAGUUUCAUUCCAAGGGUUAAAAGGGUAAAUACCUACAUUCCGAAUGUUACAUAUAGAUAGUAAAAUACUUGAUUCUACCCUAAGCCCUUCAUCAAACAAGAAAAUGAAAUAAAGCUAAACAAAAAUUCUCAAGCUAUACAAUCUUAGUUAUGUACAACUACGAUGCAUACACUAAGCAACUACAAUAAUGACGCUAAUUAUAUAUAAGAAGUAAUCCUAGGGUAUCAAGCAUCCUAUAUCAGGAAAUCCUUUCAUGUAAUUCCUGAAGAUCCCUAUCCUACCACUAGCAUGAUGUUAUAUCAUGAAAAACAUAUCAAGUAACCGUGUGGGUAACUUUGGGUAAAUUUUCUUGCUCUGGCUGAUCAUACACAUCGCAUCAUUCCUUGGUUACUUUUGAAAACAAUUUUUGAAAACCAUUAAAAGAAAACUUUACAGCUUCCUAGUUUGAGUUUGGAUUCACACGAAUGUUCAUCCAGUUCUCUCAAACCGAGGCUCUGUUACAAACUUGUAACACUCCAAAUAUCAUAGAAAAUUAAAAAUUUUAAAUUUCAACCAUUAACCAACAUUUUUUACAAAAAGAGUCAUUGCUUCAAAAGUAUUAUUCAAAAUCAUAGUUUUUCCUAAGACCUAAUAACACAAAAUAGGAAGAUGUGCACGAUCACGCCUUCUCCUUCCUACGAUCAUCCGAAGUACCUAAAACAAUAAACUGAAAUUGUAAGCCAAAGCUUAGUGAGUUCCUCCAAAGUACCAUCAUGGAACAUAUAAAAUACAUAGAUUAACAUGUUGGGUCCAUAACCUCCCAGUUGGAUUACCUUGGCUCACAACCUCCCUGUUGGAUUGCCCUGCAUACCACAUACUGGGUCCACUACCUACCGACUGGGUUGACUUAGAUGGUUUGUGGAGUUUGGCCUAUUUUGACCCAAGGAUAUUUUGGAUAAGUUGGUAGUUAUUUAAGUCGACCAAUAUUUUGGGAUAAUAGGUGUCGAGUAGAGCCGGUUGUCAGGGAAGAGAUUUAUUCAGCUUAUGUUCAGACUGAGAGGUGAGUUUUCCUCACUGUACUUACGGGUCGAAGGCACCAAGGCCGACCCAACGAAUUGAUAUCCUGUCUAUACUGAUUGAAGAUAUGUUGAGUAUGCGAUAGAUCUGAAUGAUUAUAUGAUAGUUAUGAUAUACGUUAGACUGGUAGAUCUAUAGGGCUACCUAUGAUUAUUGGUUGUAUAAUCAUCUGUAUGUUGUAUAUAUAUUAUAUGUUAUAUGCCGACAUGUUACAUUGGGGUUGAGACUACUGCUUUGUGUCGUCAGUCAACAGACCAUGUCAAUCCAAUUGGGAUGUUGUGGGCUAGGGUAAUUCAACCAGGAGGUUGUGGACACAAUAUGCUAAUCUGUGUAUUUUAUAUGUUGCAUGAUGGUACUUUGGUGGAACUCACUAAACUUUGUGUUAUAGUUUCAGUUUAUUUUCAGGUACUUCUGAUGAUCGCGGUACGAUGAAGGUGUGGUCAUGCACAUCUUCCUGUUUUGUGUUAUUGGGUCUUGGUGAAAACUCUGAAAGUCAUGACACACUUCAAAUUGAAGUAUUUCGAUGGUACAAUCAAAAUCUCUAUUGGAUAAAAUUUAGUGACAACAACAGAGAAUUAAAAGGUUACGAUUCUUGUGUGUACCAUAUUCAAAUACCCAAAAAGGGAUAUAACUCCUUGUUCGAAAUAAAGCUAAACCAAAAAUUCUCAAGCUAUAGAAUCUUAGUUAUGUACAACUAUGAUGCAUACACUAAGCAACUACAAUAAUGAUGCCAAUUCUAUAUAAGAAGUAAUCUUAGGGUAUCAAGCAUCAUAUAUCAAGAAAUUCUAUCAUGUAAUUCCUGAAGAUCCCUAGCCUACCACUAGCAUAUUGUUCUAUCGUGAAAAACAUAUCAAAUAAUAGUGUGGUUAACUUGGGGUAUACUUUCUUACUCCGGCUGAUCGUACACAUAUCAUCAUUCUUUGGUUACUUUUGAAAACCAUUAAAAAAACUUUUACAGCUCCCUAGUUUGAGUUUGGAUUCACACGAAUGUUCAUCCAAUUCGCUCAAACCAAGGCUCUAAUACCAACUUGUAACACUCCAAAUAUCAUAGAAAAUUAAAAAUUAAAAAUUUCAACCAUUAACCAACAUUGUUUACAAAAAGAGUCAUUGCUUCAAAAGUAUUAUUCAAAAUAAUAGUUUUUCCCAAGACCCAAUAAUACAAAGCAGGAAGAUGUGCACGAUCAUGCCUUCGCCUUCCCGCGAUCAUCAGAAGUACCUGAAACAAUAAACAGAAACUGUAAGCCGAAGCUUAGUGAGUUCCCCCAAAGUACCAUAAUGCAACAUUUAAAAUACAUAGAUUAACAAAAUGGGUCCACAACCUCCCAUUUGGAUUACCUUGGCCCACAACCUCCCCGUUGGAUUGCCUUGCAUACUACAUACUGGGUCCAUAACCUUCCGACUAGGUUGACUUGGCUAGUUUGUGGAGUUUGACCUAUUUUGACCAAAGGAUAUUUUGGAUAAUUUGGUAGUAAUUUAAGUCGGGCAAUAUUUUUGGAUAAUAGUUGUUGAGUAGAGUCGGUUUUCGGGGAAGAGAUUUAUUCAGCUUGUCUUCUUACUCAGAGGUGAGUUUUCCUCACUGUACUUAUAGGCCAAAGGCACCAAGGCCGACCCAAUGGAUUGAUAUCCUGUUAGGUACUGAUUGAUGAUUUGUUGAGUAUGCGAUAGAUCUGUAUGAUUAUAUGAUAGUUAUUGAUAUACGUUAGACAUGUAGAUCUAUAGGGCUACCUGUGAUUAUUGGUUGUAUAAUCAUAUGUCUAUUGUAUGUAUAUUAUAUGUUAUAUGUCAACAUGUUACGUUAGGGUUGAGACUACUACUUUGUGUCGUCAGUCAACAGACCAUGAGAAUCUAACCGGGAGGUUGUGAGCCAGAGUAACCCAGCCGGGAGGUUGUGGGCCCAACAUGCCAAUCUAGGUGUUUUAUAUGUUGCAUGAUGGUACUUUGGAGGAACUCACUAAGCUUUGGCUUACAAUUUCAGUUUAUCGUUUCAGGUACUUGUGAUGAUCGCAGGACGGUGAAGGUGUGAUCAUGCACAUCUUCCUGUUUUGUGUUAUUGAGACUUAGGAAAAACUCUGAUUGUGAAUAAUACUUUUGAAGCAAUGAAUCUUUUUGUAAACAAUGUUGGUUAAUGGUUGGAAUUUUUUUUUUUUUUUAAAUUUUUAUGAUUUUUGGAGUGUUACAUUGGUUUUGUCUUAUAACUGAUCCAAACCCCCACACACCCUUGUUAAUCAUCAAAGAAGAAUCCAAUUAGAACUAAUUCUAUUCAACAAUAACAACCAUAGGGUGUUAGAAAUCCAUUACCUCAAAUGUAGGGAUCUUUUGAUGUCUAAGAACAUUAAUCAAGAUAAAUUAAUAAGGAUAUUCAAUUAAACCAAAGGUCUUUUGGCCUAGCACUAUCAUAUGUUGGAAAAAUGACCCUUCCUAAUGUUAGAAAAACGGGUUAUUUCGAUUGCUUGGAUUCCACUGAAAGUCAUGAUACACUUUCAAAUUGAAGUAUUUCGGUGGUACAAUCAAAAUCUCAAUUGGAUAAAAUUUAGUGACAACAAUAGAGAAUGAAAAGGUUAUGAUUCUUGUGUGUACCAGAUUCAAAUGACCAAAAAGGGAUAUGACUCCUUGUCCGAAAACUGUCAUAUUAACAGUUACAAACUGCCACAAAGCUGUCACUAAACUUGUAACACCCCAAGUUCAGAAGUGCAAGUUCAGGGUUCUUGGUGUAAUUAAGGAAGAUCGACUCGGCGAGUCGAGUCGUGAUUUGGCCAUGUGCUAAGUGACUGACUCGGCGAGUAGGCAGCUAGACUCGACGAGUCAGUGCUGGAGUGAGAAACCCUAAUUCAUGGGGUUUGCACCCUAUAUAAGGAACCUUAAGUCCCACCCCAGCCUCUUUAGGACUCCCUCUGAUGUCCAGAAACUUUCCACAUCGAUUUCAAACCCUAAAUUGAGAGUGAGAGGGAUUUAAGUGUGUUUUGGAGCUUGAAGAAGAAGGAUACUUGAAGCAAGAGUUGGUGGGAUCAUAGAGGAGCGAAGUGGAUCUGAUUUCCUUGCUUCUUGGCAUCAGCAUCAAGGUAAAAAGUUGUUGCCUUGACUUUGUUGUGUUUAGAUGGUUCAUGAAUGAAGUUUUAGGGCCAAUUUAUCAUAUAUGAGCCUCUUUUCGAGUAUUGGGUUUAGAUCUGUGGUUGCUACUACAGAUCUAGACUGGUCCUGACUCAUGAAUCUGGAAAGUGAUAGCUUUGGGGCUUGAUUGAGAGUGUCCUUGCCUUAAAACUUCACUUUAGCUUGAGUAGAGCUUGUUGAGCCUUGCAUGCACGUAAAGUUGGAAACUUUACAUGUAGAUCUUGCCCUAGGAGUCCAGAUCUAUGUAUUGAAAGCAAUAGUUUGGCCUGUGAUCAUCUGAAUGAAGGUAUUACGUAUGGACUCGGCGAGUCUGGGAGAUGACUUGACGAGUCGGACAAAAGAUUUGGAAUGAAUCGCGUAGUAACUCGGCGAGUCACAUGGGUGUACUCGACGAGUUGGAUGAAGAUAGGCAAGAACUCGACGAGUUGGAAGAACAACUCGACGAGUCUAUUGAAGAUUGCCUUGGGCUCAACGAGUCUGUUCUUGGACUCGGCGAGUCUGGUCGAGGAGUCCUAACCUUUUCUGGUUAAGUCGUGAAUCGGUGAGUCGAAGGAUGACUCGGUGAGUUGAGCAUGAAGGGACUCAGAGUUUGUUGGACUCGGCGAGUCUUGGGGCAACUCGACGAGUUGAGUCGUAAUAUGAGAGUUUUGAGUAUGGGAACUCGAAGAGUCAACGAGUUGACUCGGCGAGUAGGGUCAACCAGGAAGGUUGACCUUGACUGAGGACUUGGACUUUAACCAAGGGUUGACCAGUUGACUUCCGGGGGUAUUUUGGUAAUUAUUGGUAUUUAUUGAUUUGGUUUUUGGUAAUGAUCAGUGGCGGAGUUCGUGCUGGUGGUUGGAGCAGCGUGAUCUUAUUCUUCAGUCGGCAGUGACAGUUGAGUUAUCCUCACUAUACUGACAGGGUCUACGGCACCAAGGCCGACCCUCCAUCGGAUGGAAAUCCGGGUAUUGUUGUUAUGUUAUUGCUAUAUGGAGAUCCUUGUUGAUGGAAAGGCGGCCGACGAACGCUCGGUGGACUCUAUAUCCUCAAGGAAUCAAUUUGGAACCCGGAAAAUCAUAUUUAUUUAGGAAUGUAGCAUAUGGUUUUAGAGGUUGUCCUAAAUGGGAGGAUGUGGAUACGGUUAGUUAAGUUUAAUAAUUAUUAUUUUAUAUAUAUAAUAUUACUGAAAUUACUAGUAUUUAAUUUAUAUUUUUUUUGCAGGUUAUAUCUGUAAUAAAUGUUGUGCAUACCCAUUGGUUUUUGGUGGUUCUACAUUUAGAUACCUGGAAAGUAGAAAUUUUUGAUUCAGCACAAGUUGCGGGUUACUUCUCAACAUACAACACUAAUGGAGAAUUCAAAAGUUUUGGAGAUAGUAUUAUCUCAGAGUUGGAUGCCAUUGAUUACUGGAGCCAUUUCCCCCAUUGGACACAGAGACAAGCAAAGGUCGAGUUUUUUGAUGUUUNGACACAGAGACAAAGCAAAGGUCGAGUUUGUUGAUGUUGUAGACGCCCCACAACAAGAAUAUAGUCUUGAAAGAGGGGAUUGUGGAGUAUUUGUAUGCAUGUUUAUGGAAAUGAUUGUUUCUGGGGGUACCAGUGGCGAUUUCAAGGACAUGUAGAGAAGCUGCAUUUCUCUAUAGAAAUAAGAUGGCAAAUGUUAUUUGGGAUACUAUAUAAGUUGAUAUUAGGAACUUUGUAUAUAUAUUAAUAUUAAAUACUUGUUUCUAGUAUGUAAUCGUGUCACUUCUGGUAGUAUGUAAUCUUGUAAUUAUCUUUUAUAUUUUUUAAACAUAAUUCACCAAAAAAUGUUACGAAACCAUACAUUCAAACAAAAUAAACAUUACAAAUAACAUGAAUACAUUACAAUAGAGUCGUCUACAUAAAAAUAAGGUUUCUUACGACUAACAAACAUUAGAUAAAACAUUGGAAAUAAAAUACUCAUCUACUUGAAAAAAACUUUAUCUUUUACCAGAUUCCAAACGUCCGUAUACUCGAAAUCAUGUCCAUCAAACUUGCAUAGGUAAUAUCCAUUCACAUCUUCAAGAAGUUCUUCAUUAUCUGCUUGAGAGCGUCGCAUUUUCUCAGGAUUGUAGCAUCGAUUGAACCAUGUGACCUUAAACUUUAAAUCCAUCCAUUUACUAACAAUAGCAGGUUUUAGUCGUUCGUGUCCUUGCCCGACUUGAUAGUUGAACAAAGCUAUGAGGCGGGACCAUUCAUCACCUACAAGGCAAUUCAGGGGAGCCAUCACUGGUAGACCCUCGUAAAUGGUAAUCCAACUUUGUAUUAGGACCAACAACUCUGUUGGCGUCCAUGGAGAUGUACAAUUUGUUGGAGAGGCUGCAUUAGAUGGAUUUGUUGCAUUCGAAGAACUUGGUACAUUGGACGCCAUUUCUUAAUUGAUCUACUAUCAACUAAAGAAUUGAAUUUCGUAUAGACACUACGUUUAAUAUAUGUACAAACAUAUGUUAUACAAAGAUAUGUCAGUAACGCGGACUGACGAGCCAGUAACGCGGACUUACGAGCCAGUAACGUGGACUGACAACGAUUAAUAUAUAUAAAUAGUUUCUUAAUGCGGACUGACGAGUCAGUAACGCGGACUUACGAGUCAGUAACGCGGACUGACAACGAUUAACAUAUAUAAAAAGUUUCUUAACGCGGACUAACGAGUCAGUAACGCGGUCUUACGAGUCAGUAACACGGACUGAAAACGAUUAAUAUAUAUCAAAAGUUUCUUAACGCGGACUGAUGAGUCAGUAACACGGACUAACAAUUACUAGACAAAACAGUUUUGCGGACUGACAAGACAGAAACACGGAUUGACAAGUCAGUAACGCGGAGUGAUCAUUGGCUUUGCGGACUCACAAGUCAGUAACGCGGACUGACAACGAAGUAACACGGACUAACAACCCCGUAACGCGGAUUGAGAACGCAGUAACGCGGACUAACAAGUCUAUAUAAAACGACAAACAACAAUGUAUCACUUCAUCUAAGGUAUUUUAGUUCAUGUGCUUUGUAUGUUUUACAANUUCAUGUGCUUGUAUGUUUUACAAUGGGUUCAAACCAAUGGACCGCUAACGAGUAUUUCCUUCUAGCUCGUGCAUAUAUUAAUGUCAAAGAGAACACCAGUUUGGAGGAUAUAAUGUUUUUCUCCCAACUAACGAAUACCUUCAACACUGACGCUGAAACCACCAUACAAAACCAUCGCAACACGCUUGAUAUAGCUACAAAAUGGUAUGAAUUGAAAACGGAAGUUGUGUUAUUAAACGAUCUUUAUAAUAAGAUUGAAGAUGAUCAUGUCAAUGAUACUGAGGAAGAGAUCUUGGAGGUGUCUAAAGAAGAAUACAAAUCCAUUAGCAACGGACAGAGUUUCGAGUUUGAAGCCCCUUGGAAUCUUUUGAAAAAUGUACCGUUUUUUUAAGUAGAACUGCAUUUUGUAUUGUUCUUGUAUUUCUUUAUUUAAAUGUAAUAUGGUAUUUAUCCUUUAUUUUAAAAAAAAAUAUUUGACCAACAAAUGUUACAAAACCAUACAUUCAAAAAACAUUAUCUGACAAACAGCUUACGCGGACUGACAAAUAAGCUACGCGUAAUGACAACACAUUUACGCGGACUGACAAGUAAGUUCUGCGGAAUAAUGUAUACUAAUUCCUUAUAAAUUUUGACAACCAUGACGAAAAUUUACAAGGUGUCGAAAGUUGUGAAAAUGAGUUCAGUCAAUCAGGUAUUAAGGAAAAGUUUCUCCAGCCUACCGACUUUUUUCCAUAAGCUGCAAAGAAGCAAUCCUACCACCUUCACGUACAUUACGAAGGAUCGGUACAAUCGUUUCCAAAUUUGUUUCGUGGCAUUGGGAUGCGUGGUAUGUAAUCCCUUAUAGUAAAUAAAUAUUUAGUUAUUUCAAGUUGGUAUAUGCCUAAUAUUCUUAUGUUGACUUACAGAUUCGUACAUUUCUCACGUCUAUGAUAUCAAUCAUAUUCGUUGGUCAAGUACCUCUAAUUGGGGCAUAUGUAACAUCCAUGUACAUUGCUUUUGCUUUAGAUGGAAAUCAUGAACCCCUUCUCAUAGUGUUUGCCUUGGGAACCAUAAAUUGUGACAAUUCAUGGUUAUGGUUCAUAAGGAGGCUUAAAGACUGUUUAGGUGACAAUACAUAAUUUGGUUUCAUAAGCCAUAUGUCUGAUUCUAUGGACUUUGCAGUCCACAGAGUCUACCCUGAUUCAUAUCAUGGCUAUUGUUGUAAAAAUAUAGCCAAGAAAAUACGCGCUUCCAUCGGAACCAAUACAGUCGUAGAACAGUGGUUCUGUAAGACGUGUAAAGCAUAUAAUUUAUCUCAAUUUUAUGCAUGUUUGAACAAUUUAAAAAAUGAGGUAAAUGGGAAUGAUCUUCAUUGGCUUGACAAUAUUCCCAUUGCAAAAUGGGUACGGGCUUGUUUUCCAAGAGUAAGUUUCAAUGUUAAAUUCAUUGACAUUCCCGAUGUUUUCAAUUGGUUUAAAACAAACACGCAUGAGUUUCCAAUAACAACAAUCAUUGAAAUGGUUCAUGACUCGAUGUAAGAAGUUUAUCUUCGACGUGCUGUUUUUGGAGGUAAUUAUAAGUUAUGACAUCAUUAAAACGGUGAAUUGAUAUGUUUAUUAUACGUUAUGACCUUAUAAUUUUUUUUAUUGAUUCAGUUGAUUUCACAGGGGAUAUCCAUAAUCUUCUAACCCCUUAUGCACUUAAGGUGAUUCAUAAAAGAUUUAUCCACUCGGAUGGUUGUAGGAUUACGCAUAUUGUUGGCGAUAGAUAUGAAGUGACUAAGUAUUCAACAACCGAAUAUGUACAACUAGACCGUGGUAUUUGUAGUUGCGGUAAAUGGCAAAAAUGCGGUAUACCUUGUGAGCAUGCUAUAGCUUCACUACACAGACUCGAAAUUGCAGAAAUCCAUCAAAUGGUAAAUUUAAAGUUAAGUACAGCGGUGUAUCGAAAUGCUUAUCAAACUGAGACGGUCUAUCCUAUUCCAACCCUUAGGCAUUGGGAAAAACCAGUCGAAAGUGUUGUGGUCUUACCUCCACGCCAAUUCAAUUGAACUUUAUUGUAUGGAUCACAACGAAUAUUAGUUUUUAUUCAGUUCUAUGUUAACCGUACUUGUAAUGGUUUGUUGGCAUUCUUUACUUUUUAAUAAAAAAAAUGUUUACCUUUAAAUAAAUAAUUGUAUUUUCAUAAUUGUAAUAUGUAUGCAUGACAACGACUAGACAAAAAAACUAUGCGAACUGACAAACGCAGUAACGCGGACUGACAAAAACCUCUACGGACUAACAACAGCUCUCUGCAGAGUGGAAGGGACUAUAUAUAGUCAUGGAUGGUCGUCGGAUUUUUCGUAUAGAGUUAUAAUUUUUUAAAUUUAAAAUGACUUCAUCUUCAUCUUUGUAUAUUUGCUCGUGCAACGAAGUUGAUUGUUUCUAUUGUGAUCCGAUCGACCCUUUUCUUGCACCAUCACCAAAUUUAAGAGAGUCAUAUAUGUCGGAGGAUACUUUGCAACAACUACAAUGGGCUGAAGAACAACAAAAAAAAAGAUAAAGACUCGUCUCGGGCUCUCACUGAACGACGUGACCUCAUUGCGGCGGAGUGCAAAGAUGUUGAGGAAAGGAUGACGAUUACAAAAAAAAAUCAAAAAUCAUGGGGAAUGGAAAAAAAAACNCUAAGAAGAAUCUCAAACUGUCUGAAAAAUGGCUUGCUGACAAGGAUGCAGAAAUGAUAGAACUUGGUAGGCAAAAGGACCGUAUGGAAGAUAAAAUAAGAAUAAGGGACGACUACAUAACAAUGGAGAAAGAAAAGUAUCCUUUGCAAUUCCCUUAAGUUAAUUACCGUUGUUGUACGUUUACUAUAUGUUUCUAGUUUGUUGAAUGUAUUAACUUCGAGUAUUAGUUAUUAUUCUACUAGUAAUUAUGCAGUAAUAUAAUCAUAAUAUUACCCAUCAUCUUUAAAAUAAACACACCAGCUCAAAGUAGACAAAUUAAUGUCCUCUAAAACAAAACAUAAUUAAUUAUAAAUACAACAUCAAUCAUUCAAAUCAAACGUUGAACAAUAGUCUUCUCUCUACGUCCCACUCGUCCAACGCGUGUCUUGUGUCCCGUGCGUCUCUAGCGUCUCCUGAGUCCCUUCUGUCCCUUUCCCUUUUCCUUUUGUGUUACUACUUGAUGUCGUAUUAGUUUUUCUAGCCUUUUUUUGUUUCUUUGGGACCAAUGUCGGACAAGUCGCUGCAUUAUGUGUUGUACUAUCACAUCUACUACACCUUCUUAUUAUAGGUUCCUCACCUUGUGACGGAAUACGAUUUCUGUUUCUCGGUCUACCAGCUUGACGUGUAUCCAUUAUCGGGGGUUUCACAACCAUCAUGUUAGCAGGAAUCUCCCAAUCACACGGUUCUGGAAGGGGGUAAACCGGCUCCUCAUACGUACUUCGGUAUGUUUCCAUUUUGUAAGCAUCUAUAGCCAGAUGUCCGAAGUUAGUUUUUUUCAAGUGCUUCAAGACCAUUAUCACAUGACCACAAGGCAACCCAGUUCCUUCCCAAUAUUUGCAUGUACAAGUCUCUUGCCUCAGAUCAACUAUGCCACCAUGUUUGAAAUCAUGAACUUCAUAAAGUGCAUCUGAAACACCAGAAAUGGACCAUCCUGUCGUACGCUCUUCAUUUUUACUAACUACUUUUUCAGCCCACUCGGUUAGCACUGUUGAACGUUUCCCUAUAAAGAAGAUAUAUAUAAUUAACUAAUUAUUCGACCUAAUUAAAGACAAAAUAAAAUUCAUACCUCCUUCGAUGCGACGCUUGUAACACCAUUCCUGUGAAAGACGUCGGAAGAACUCAAGAAGGGGUAUUAUAGGCAUCUUCCUUGCAUCUACAGAUAAAGCAUUCAUGAACUCUGCACUGUUCGAGGUCAUGUAAUCGUAACGUUUCGAUGGCGAAUAUGCUCUAGUCCAUUUAACACAGGGAAUUUCACUUAGAUACGCUGCUACUUGCGGCCUAGUAGAACUAAAUAUAUACCACAAUUCUUCAAAAACAUUUCUUUUGUAAGCUUUCACAAGCCUCCAAAACAACCCUUUUGUUUUAUCAUUUUUCCCAAACUUGUGUACUAUGUUUCCUAGUGUGACAUCCCCAAAAUCUUGGCCAGAAAAGACCGAUUUCAUUGAUGCUUUUUAAAAUAAUUUCAGAGUAAAUCCUUUUGAUUUUAAAAGAGAUGCGGAAUUUGUUCCCAAAAACAAAACAUGAUAAAAUAGAUCUUUUAUCAAAACAUUUCAUAAAGAAAUAUAAUUUCAUUUCAUAAUCAAAACCGGGAUGUCAUGUUCCGAUACAGACCAUAAAGCAUAAACGAUAACAUUACAAGUCAUUCAACAAAUAUUAUACAUAUGCAGACUUGUAAACAAAACAACUUGAUGAUUCAUCCAUCUUAUGCCCUUACGCCACUUCCUGUAAUACAAGUAAACUGAGUGGGUCAGGCUUGGGAGCCUGGUGAGCAUAUAGGGUUUUCAACCCACAAUAAAUAAUUAUAUUUAAUUCAACAAUCAACAAUAACCCGAUUACCCAUUCCCGUUUUCCUUACUUUACGUCCCUAAAACAACAUCUAUUAUAAGGGACCUAAUCUAGGAGUUUCAUCGGGACAAACAUUACUGCAAAGGGGCUUCCUUAGCAAUAAAUAUCCUAAAGGCAACCAUGAGGGGGAUAUAGUUCACCGGUGAACACGUCGUUCACAAGACCUACAGGUUAUGAGCCUACUAGUGUUCCACAGGACUGUCUAGAAUAGUCCGUGGUCGUCAUCCAUACUCUGCUGAAUGACUAGAAUAACACCAACAACAUCGAGGCCUCUCAUCUGUUUAUUACACACCAACUAUCUACCCAUGUUCUACCCAACAUAUUAGUAGAUAAAAAUAUACAUUUGUAUACAUAGUUUAAAACCUGUAUAGCAUGCUCAAUCAAUACAUUUUUCCACAUAACAGAUGAGGUACACACACAUAACACGUAUUUCAUAGAGAAUAAAUCAGAUCUAUGAGAUAGAAGAAAGUGAAUAUACAUCCACACAUAUAGUCAACAAAGUAUACACGUAACACGUAUUUCGUAUAAAAUACUUCAUAAUAAUGUGUUAGAAGAAAAUGACUACACACUCACUUGAUCAGAAGAUGAUCGGGCAACACUACGACUUGUAGAAGUAGUGUUUCUCCGUAGAUCUGGAAGAUCUUCACAUAAACCGGGCUCCUCGCGGGCAGGUCUUCGGCUCUGAAAUCUCACUUCUCGGGAUUCUCGGGACUUCGGAUCUUGCUUCGGGGCUCGCGAAUAAUAUUGGGGCUUCGGGGUAUGAUUGGCAAGCAAAUCGAGGCAAAAACUAGAGAGAAGAAAGAGUUUGAACUAGAGAAAAUGGUUGAUCUCGCAUUCUAUUUAUAGGCUGCUGGGUCUAGGAUUAUGCCGGGCGUAAUUUCCAGGUACGCUGGGCGUACUAAGUACACUGGGCGUAAUUAGGUUACGUUGGGCGUACUUUGACGUCACUGCAUGCGUCAAUUGGUGGCACUCGAGUAUUGGUCAGACAAGUUGCACCCCUCUGAGUACGCUGGGCGUACUCAAAUUACGCUGGGCGUAAUUUGACUCGUCAAACUUCUAAAUUGCGUAACUUUGGCAUACGAGCUCCGUUUUCGACGUUCUUUAUAUCAACGCGUAGGUUAGACCAUACUCUACAACUUUCAUUUAGACUCAAUUUUUACUUUUAUUUUUAUUAUUUAUUUUUAGUAGGCCGGGACAGGAAAACUUCGUUAUAAAUUCAUAACUUCUUCGUUCGACGUCCGUUCUCGCCUAACUUUUCAUCGUUUCACUACUAACAACGAGAUAUUCGAUUCUCGUUUAGAUUGUUCUGGCUAAAAACCGCUCGAUCUCAAAUCGAGUAUUCGGGCUGCAUACUGCCAAGUCGAAACUUCAGANGAAAAUCAUAUUCCUCAUACGAAGUCAGAUUUGGGCGUUCUAUAUAUAUUUAGAAACCUAGUUUCAACUACUACAACAUUAUCCAAAGAUAUCGAGUUUAUUUUACACUUCAUUUUGACGCUAAUUUUUAUUCUUAAUUCAAUUAAAUUAUAAUAAUUAAGAAAACACACACAUAAUUCACAUAAUUCACAAAUAAUACAUUUUUAUUAUUUCAGAUUGGGUUACAAAGGUUAACCUAGACUAUUACAUUGCUAAAAAUGGCAAGCCCAUAAUCACGGGCGUUACAAUUUUCUCCACCUUAGAAUGAUUCCGUCCCUGGAAUCACACAUCAACAAAUAAAUGCGGAUAGCGACCCAUCAUGUCACUCUCCGUCUCCCAGGUGAGAUACGACCCAUUCGUGUGUUUCCAACGGACAAGCACUAACUCAACCAUCUUACGUCGCAAUUUCUUAGUCUUCCGGUCAACGAUUGCUUCUGGUUCUUCAAUCAAUCUUUUGUUUUCAUCAAUUAUUAACUCUGAAAGUGGAAUCAUGUCGGGAACUUCUCCCGUGAACUUCCUCAAGUAACACAUAUGAAAAGUGUUAUGAAUUCCAUUCAGUUCUUCGAGUAGUUCGAGCUUGUAAGCUUGGUUCCUAAUUCUCUGAAGAACUUUAAACGGUCCAAUAAACCUUGGACUUAACUUUCCCCUUUUACCACAUCUUAUAAGUCCCUUCCACGGCGAGACUUUAAGCAAAACCGAAUCUCCAACUUCAAAAGUCAUCGGUCUUCGCUUUUUGUCAGCAUAGCUCUUUUGACGGUCGUGAGCUGCUAACAUUCUUUCCCUAAUUAUUUUCAACUUUUCAGCCGUUUGAUGGACUAUCUCUGGUCCCAUAAACUGCUUUUCCCCAGCCUCAAGCCAACAAGACUGCGUACGACACUUCUGUCCGUACAAAGCUUGAUAAGGUGCCAUCUUAAUGCUCGAGUGGAAACUAUUAUUAUAGGAAAAUUCUACCAAUGGUAAAUGUUCAUCCCAAUUACCUAGGAAUUCCAAGGUACAUGCUCUCAGCAUAUCUUCAAGUGUUUGUAUCGUUCUUUCACUCUGACCAUCAGUCUGCGGAUGGUAAGCUGUGCUUAAACACAACUUGGUACCCAAUUCCUCUUGUAGACUUUUCCAAAACCGUGAGGUGAAACGACUAUCACGAUCCGACACAAUUGUUAACGGAACACCGUGAAGCCUCACAAUUUCCUUCACGUAAGAAUUCGCAAGCUUUUCCAUAGACCAUUUCUCAUUGGCUGCUAUGAAAUGCGCACUCUUAGUGAAUCGAUCAACGACCACCCAAAUCAUGUCGUGACCAUUCUUUGUUCUGGGCAGUUUAGUGACAAAAUCCAUAGCAAUGUCUUCCCACUUACCCAUAGGCACAGGCAAUGGUUCUAAACUCCCGUACGGUUUCUGAUGUUGUGUCUUGACUCUCGCACAAGUCACACACUCGGCCACAUACUUUGCAACAUCAAGCUUCAUCGUCGGCCACCAGUAGUAGGGUUUCAGGUCCCUAUACAUUUUAGUGCUACCCGGAUGAAUCGAGUACAUGGUCUUGUGAGCUUCUUCCAUCAGAAGAUCUCUGACUCCUCCUGUCUUAGGUAUCCAAAUCCGAUCUUGGAACACCUUCAGUCCAUGACUGUUUACACCGAACACCAACGUUUUGCCCAAACGUUCCUCCUUUCUGUCAUUCUUCUCAGAAGCUUCGCUCUGAGCUUUCUUUAUACUUUCCAAAAUAGUUGAGACAACUUCAAUUCUCAACGCUCUUGGCCUUUUCCUUUCGGGAUUGACUUUCCGACUGAGAGCAUCAGCAACAACAUUAGCUUUACCGGGGUGGUAAAGUAUCUCGCAGUCAUAGUCUUUAAGUAAUUCUAGCCAGCGUCGUUGCCUCAUAUUCAAUUCUUUCUGAUUAAAGAGGUAUUGGAGACUCUUAUGAUCAGUGAAAAGUUUGCACUUCGUGCCAUAGAGGUAAUGCCUCCAUAUUUUCAGAGCGAAAACUACCGCUGCCAACUCCAAAUCAUGAGUCGGGUAAUUCUUUUCAUGCUCUUUCAGCUGUCGAGACGCAUAUGCUAUCACCUUUUCUCUUUGGGUCAAAACACAACCCAAUCCAACACCAGACGCAUCGCUAUAAACAGCGAAGUCUUCAACUCCAUCGGGUAGAGAAAGUAUCGGUGCCUCGCAUAGCUUCUUCUUUAACUUCUCGAAUGCUUCUUUAUGCUUCUCACUCCAAGCAUAAGUAGCUCCUUUGUGGGUCAAAGCUGUCAAUGGAGUAGCAAUCGAAGAAAAGCCUUGGAUAAACCUUCAAUAAUAUCCGGCUAAUCCCAAAAAGCUUCGAAUCUCCGUGGGACUUUUCGGUUGUUCCCACUUCAUCACAGCUUCGAUCUUCGCUGGAUCAACCAUUAUCCCUUCUUGGUUGACCACGUGACCCAAGAAUUGUACUUCUCGAAUCCAAAAAUCACAUCUGGAGAACUUUGCAUACAACUUAUCCUUCUUUAAAACUUCUAACACUUCUCGCAAGUGUCUGCCAUGCUCCUCCUGGCUUUUCGAGUAAAUCAGAAUGUCGUCUAUGAACACUAUNGAACGGAUUACAAACCCUGUUCAUUAAAUCCAUGAAUGCUGCUGGAGCAUUGGUUAGUCCAAACGACAUAACCAAAAACUCGUAGUGCCCAUAUCAUGUUCUGAAUGCAGUCUUCUCUAUAUCCUGCUCUCUUACUUUUAGCUGAUGAUAUCCUGACCUCAGGUCGAUUUUUGAAAAAUAACUUGAACCUUGUAGUUGAUCGAACAGGUCAUCAAUCCUCGGCAACGAAUAUCUAUUCUUUAUUGUUGCCUUGUUCAGUUCUCUGUAAUCGAUGCACAUCCUCAUACUUCCAUAUUUCUUUUGACGAAUAACAUCGGAGCUCCCCAGGCCGAUGAACUAGGUCUUAUGAAACCUUUGUCCAAUAACUCCUGAAGUUGCAUCAUCCGCUCCUUCAUCUCCAUCGGUGCUAGUCGGUAAGGUGCUUUUGCUAUAGGCGUCGUUCCCGGCAACAAGUCGAUACGAAAUUCUACUUGUCGAUCAGAAGGUAAUCCAGGAAGAUCUUCGGGAAAUACUUCCGGAUAAUCACAUACGACAGGAAUAUUCUGCAUCACCUUUUUUUCCUUCUUAGCAUCGAUCACGAAUGCUAAAUAUGAUGUACACCCCUUGGUCAAACAUUUUCUGGCUUUCAUUAGAGAAAUGAUUCCAGAAUUUACUCUGCGUUUAUCUCCAUACACCAUAAACGAUUCCUUCCCAGGCGGGUUCACUUUCACUAUUUUCUUCUUGCAUAAAAUUUCGGCAUCAUUGGCGCUAAGCCAAUCCAUUCCCAAAAUGAUGUCGAAACUGUUAAGUUCGAUAUAAAGGAGUAGUUUUCUACCAAAUUCAUGCGAUAUAAAGGAGUAGUUGGCUCCAGAAUCAAAUAAAAUUUGGGCAGACGAUUUGUUUACGAGAAAGGUACCUGAACGACAUCAGCUUCAUCUUUAGCAGCUUCCAGUGUCAUCUGGAAUGCUCUCGCCUUCGGCUUUGGCGAAAUGUUGGGUUUUGUUGCCUCCUUCUUCUUCGGACAAUCUCUUGAUAUGUGCCCUUCCUCACCACAACCAUAACAAACAUUCUUGGUGAGGGUGCAGUCGUUGGCAUAAUGCCCUGGCUUUCCACAUUUCAAGCAUGUGGCUUCCCCGCCGCACUUCCCAUGAUGCUUCUUCUUGCAUUUGUCGCACCAUUUCGCUUCGCCUCCUCCACCCCCUCUCGAACUAGACUUCGAGAAUUUACCCUUUUUGCUGGACCCUGAAGAUCCCUCGAACUUCCUCUUUUCACCAACCUCUGACCUUUCCAGACCUUUUUCCCUGAUCUGGGUCUCAACAUUUCUAGCAGCCCAGAUGGCGGCUUUCAAUGUGGUUGCUUGCUUAACCAUUAGACCAUAGUCCGCUGGUAGUCCAAGGGCAAACUUGUUGACCUUAGAGAGUUCUGUAGGCACCAAAUAUGGGAUAAACUUCAUCUUUUCUGUGAAACUUGCAGCGUAUUCAGUAACGCUCAAUUUCCCUUUCUUCAAAUUCUGAAACUCAUUACUGAUUUCCAGAAGGUCCUGCUCGGAGCAGUAUUGCAGUUUUAGUUGUUCCACAAAGUCUUCCCAAGACAUUUUGCUUGCUUCUCCCUUGGGCAUAGAGUCAGCUAACAGCUUCCACCAACUCAACACGCCAGAUUUUAGCAGAGGGAUCGCAAGAGCGGUCUUCUGCCUGUUGCUGCAUUCGCAACUUUCAAACAUAGUCUCCAUUUCGGAGAUCCAGUCCAUAACUUGCACCGGCGUCGGGCUUCCGGAUAGACAUGGUGGUUUGGAUGCCAUGAAAUCCUUAUACUUGCACCCACGACCAUCAUUUCCUCCAUACUGGUUAUUGCGUCUAACCACUGGUUGUUCGUCUUGACCAAUGAUCCCACUAAAGUUUUCUCCUUCAGACUGCCCUCCAUUCUCCUCGGGCUCUUCCGCUUGAAUUGACGGUUCUUCACGAUUCUGCCUAAGCAGGCGUCUUGUUUCUUCCAUCUGACGAUCCAACAUCAUUUGAAUCAUCAUUUGUACACCAGCCAUUGUUAUCGGCUCAGGUGCAUCAGCUACGACAGGUACUUGUUGAAUUACAGGCGGUUGAUUCCUGUUUUCAUCAGCAUUUCCAACUCCGCUUCUUGUUCUCACCAUUUUUGAUCUACACACCGAAUAAUUUCACCUUAUUACUCCAAACGAUUACAUGCUAGUUCUAAUAUCGUAUACAUACGCUUAGAAUCCUAAACACAUAAACCUUCAGAUCCGGUUGGCAACAAACCGUAGAUCCGAACAAAUAAUAUCAUAUAUGGCAACAUAUAACAUUUAGCACAUAAAAGCAUUUUAGGCAACUUUCCUAAAAUAAACUAGUGCUCGUGUCUAAAAUUUAUCAGACACACAUCUCACAAUCUCCACUUAGCAUACUAAGUUUAAGUCUAGAAAUCCUACAAAUUCCUAGUUCGCUUAAACUAAUGCUCUGAUACCAACUGUGACAUCCCCAAAAUCUCGGCCAGAAAAGACCGAUUUCAUUUAUGCUUUUUAAAACAAUUUCAGAGUAAAUCCUUUUGAUUUUAAAAGAGAUGCGGAAUUUGUUCCCAAAAACAAAACAUGAUAAAAUAGAUCUUUUAUCAAAACAUUUCAUAAAGAAAUAUAAUUUCAUUUCAUAAUCAAAAAUCGGGAUGUCAUGUUCCGAUACAGACCAUAAAGCAUAAACGAUAACAUUACAAGUCAUUCAACAAAUAUAUACAUAUACAGACUUGUAAACAAAACAACUUGAUGAUUCAUCCAUCUUAUGCCCUUGCGCCACUUCCUGUAAUACAAAUAAACUGAGUGGGUCAGGCUUGGGAGCCUGGUGAGCAUAUAGGGUUUUCAACCCACAAUAAAUAAUUAUAUUUAAUUCAACAAUCAACAAUAACCCGAUUACCCAUUCCCGUUUUCCUCACUUUACGUCCCUAAAACAACAUCUAUUAUAAGGGACCUAAUCUAGGAUUUUCAUCAGGACGGACAUUACUGCAAAGGGGCUUCCUUAGCAAUAAAUAUCCUAAAGGCAACCAUGAGGGGGAUAGAGUACACCGGUGAACACGUCGUUCACAACACCUACAGGUUAUGAGCCUGCUAGUGUUCCAUAGGACUGUCUAAAAUAGUCCGUGGUCGUCAUCCAUACUCUGUUGAAUGACUAGAAUAACACCAACAUCAAGGCCUCUCAUCUGUUUAUUACACACCAAUUAUCUACCCAUGUUCUACCCAACAUAUUAGUAGAUAAAAAUAUACAUUUUUAUACAAAGUUUAAAACCUGUAUAGCAUGCUCGAUCAAUACAUUUUUCCACAUAACAGAUGAGGUACACACACAUAACACGUAUUUCAUAGAGAAUAAAUCAGAUCUAUGAGAUAGAAGAAAGUGAAUAUACAUCCACACAUAUAGUCAACAAAGUAUACACGUAACACGUAUUUCGUAUAAAAUACUUCAUAAUAAUGUGUUAGAAGAAAAUGACUACACACUCACUUGAUCAGAAGAUGAUCGGGCAACACUACGACUUGUAGAAGUAGUGUUUCUCCGUAGAUCUGGAAGAUCUUCACAUAAACCGGGCUCCUCGCGGGCAGGUCUUCGGCUCUGAAAUCUCACUUCUCGGGAUUCUCGGGACUUCGGAUCUUGCUUCGGGGCUCGGGAAUAAUACCGGGACUUCGGGGUAUGAUUGGCACGCAAAUCGAGGCAAAAACUAGAGAGAAGAAAGAGUUUGAACAAGAGAAAAUGGUUGAUCUCGCAUUCUAUUUAUUGGCUGUUGGGUCUGGGAUUACGUUGGGCGUAAUUUCCAGGUACGCUGGGCGUACUCAAUACACUGGGCGUAAUUAGGUUACGUUGGGCGUACUUUGACGUCACUGCGUGCGUCAAUUGGUGGCACUCGAGUAUUGGUCAGACAAGUUGCACCCCUCUGAGUAUGCUGGACGUAAUUUGACUCAUCAAACUUCUAAAUUGCGUAACUUUCGCAUACGAGCUCUGUUUUCGACGUUCUUUAUAUCCACGCGUAGGUCAGACCAUACUCUACAACUUUCAUUUAGACUCCAUCGGCUAAUUUUGACUUUUAUUUUUAUUAUUUAUUUUUAGUAGGCCGGGACAGGAAAACUUCGUUAUAAAUUCAUAACUUCUUUGUCCGACGUCCGUUCUCGCCUAACUUUUUAUCGUUUCGCUACUAACAACGAGAUCUUCAAUUCUCAUUUAGAUUGUUUCGGCUAAAAACCGCUCGAUCUCAAAUCGAGUAUUUGGGCUGCAUACUGCCAAGUCGAAACUUCAGAAAAUCAUAACUUCCUCAUACGAAGUCAAAUUUGGGCGUUCUAUAUAUAUUCUGAAACCUCGUUUCAACUACUACAACAUUAUCCAAAGAUAUCGAGUUUAUUUUACACUUCAUUUUGAUGCUUAUUUUUAUUCUUAAUUCAAUUAAAUUAUAAUUAAGAAAACACACACAUAAUUCACAUAAUUCACAAAUAAUACAUUUUUAUUAUUUCAGAUUGCAUUACAAAGGUUAACCUAGACUAUUACAUUGCUAAAAAUGGCAAGCCCAGAAACACAGACGUUACACCUAGUAUAUGAAAAGCACACAAGCCAUGAUGAGCAUGUGGAAAAACAUUUUCAAUACUAACGCGAAUUGUAUCGGCCCUAUCAGUUACAAAAGUCAAUUCUUGACAAUCACUAACACAUUCAUACAACUUUUCAAGAAACCAUGUCCACGUAAGACCACUUUUUUUUUUCAUAUUCCGUGCGUAAGGGGCAGUAUCUGGUUGUUCCCAUCCAUAGCUACUCCAUGCAAUAUGGUUCCCUUAAAAGCACCCUUCAAAUGGGCACCAUCCAUAAUUAUAACUUUACGACAAAAACUUUUGAACGCUCGUAUCUGCAAUAUAUAAAAAUGGAACACAUAAACACUCUAUAAUUUGUUUACAAAAAUUAUAUAUUAAAUAACAACAAGUUUUUUGUAUUUACCGUGCUCCCAAUGGCAUAAAAACAACACUCGAAACAAUCUUCAGAAUCUGUUUGAAUAUACGCAACUGUACCGGGAUUAUGCCUCUUCAAAUUGUGAAAAUAAAUAGGAAGUUUGGCAAAACAUUCUUCAGAGGAUCCCAACAACAGUUUCAUAGCAUAUUGUUUUGCACGCCAAGCUUGUUUGUAAUCUACGUUGAUUUCCAGCAAAGCAUUCAAAUCCCUUGAUAUUUCAUUAGGCCUCCAAACCUUGGAACGAGUUUUUCCCAUAAUCUCAUGCAAUAUAGUACCCAUGACUUUUUUAUUAGCAUGCUUAUGAUUAGGGUGUAUCUGUAAUGACGAACAUGUGUACACGUUGUUGAAAGUCCUGAUUUCAAAUUCAUCAGUGAGAUCAAGGCGUUUUGCAUACAAACGCCAACUACAGUUCUCAAUUUCACAAUAUACCUCAUAACGAUUUUUGUUAGAAUGUUUGGUCUUAAACUGAAACUUUUCUCUUGUUGCUUUAAGAAUCAAUGCAAAAAUUAGUUGUUGUUUGUUGUCAUAUGUUUGACGAACAAACAUAUCAUCAUUUGGACCUAAACUGUGAAAUGGUCCGGGUUCAACAAUAGGAUCAGGACAAUCAGGUAUGGGAGACAUACCGUAAAAAAUGUCUGAAGCUUUUUUCCCGUAUGUGAACUCAUCUUCUGACCAUCCUUCAUUUGACUCUUCACUGUCUGAGAAAGUUUUGUUAGUCAAUCUUCUAAACCCAUAUAAAUUUUUUUCUUCAACCGUAUUCAGUGCCACCGUUUCUUCUUCUGGACAAUCUUCAACAUUAUCAGAUACAAUGUUAUCAACAUUGUAUGGUACAACUUUCUCAGCUGCUUCUGUCUGUUCGACCAAUCCCUGAAACACCUCUAAAUACAAAUGCACAAUCUCCUUCGUUUCAGAAAUUACAUUUCUGAGUUGAUUAACAUCUGCUUCAUCUAAAAUAUUCAUCACAUACCCAUGAACCGGGUGUUGAAAUGACAAUGAUAUAUUACUAUUGAACACCUUAGCCUUACUUUUGACCAAAUCAAACAAUAUUCGAAAAUCAAAAUUAGGCGGAGGCAGUAAACCCAAGUUGUUUAACUUUGGUCUAACGUAGGUGUUAAUCGCAUUACUUAUCUGCAAAAAACCUCCAGUACAUAAAAUAACAAAACUCAUAUUUGGUUUUGAAAAUCAAAUGAAAACGAACUGAUCUAUCGACCAAAAUAAAACAAACAUAUGAAAAAGAAACUUUUGUAUCAAAAAACUCUUCAAAAUCCGCUCCAACCACCCAUUCCACGGAGGCAUUACUCUCUCCGCAGAGACCCAUUCCGCGGAGCAUGAUUAAAAAGGCUAACAACCUAUUGUUCGACCACUUCGCAGAGAUGACUUCAUUCCGCGGAGGUCCGCGGAGGGUCCUCCGCGGAAUGCAUGUCUAUAGCUGGAAUUUUUUUUUUGUGUCUAAAUUUUUAAAUUUCCCCCUUUUUUCGUCUAUAGCCUAUAUUUUCUCUAAAUGAUUUACAUAUUGAAAGUUCAGAAACAAGUUAAAACUUAAACCCUAAAAGAGCGUACAAAUUUCAAUCGUCAACAUACCCCACCACAAAGGCACAAAUAAUCAAAGAAACAAAUGUAGAUGUAGAGGCCUUUUUCACCACAAUCACCCUUCAUCGGCCAUUUCGAAGGCCACGUGAAAUGUCACUAACGUGGCCCUAUAAAUAUCCACUACUUUGUCUUUAACCUUUCCCCCCUCUCAUAUAAAACCCUCCAUCCUCCUCCUUUACCACCAUCACCAACUACCUUCUCUCCUCCAUCAAAAGUAUCCCCAUCUUUUCCGACAUGGCUGCUUCUUCAAUCUUCAUGGCAACUCCCAUCACACUCCUCAAGAAAACUCCCACCUUCUCCGUCAAAUGUAUGUCACAAACACCUCAAAGCGGUGAACCGGGGGUUUCAAAACCAGCAACCACCCCAACACCACCACAGAUCAACAUUCCUCCUCCUCCGCCACCUGCUCCAAAGGUCAGCACGAAGUUCUCUGACGUGUUGGCGUUUAGUGGACCUGCACCGGAGAGGAUCAACGGAAGGUUAGCCAUGAUAGGGUUUGUGUCGGCGAUGGCUGUGGAACUGAGCAGCGGUCAAGACGUGUUCACCCAGAUCGGCAACGGCGGUGUUGCGGUGUUUGUCGGGACAAGUGUGGUGUUGACGUUGGCGUCGUUGGUGCCGUUGUUUAAAGGAGUGAGCGUGCAGUCGAAGUCGAGUGGACUGAUGACAUCAGAUGCAGAGCUUUGGAAUGGGCGGGUUGCGAUGUUGGGUCUGGUGGCUUUGGCUUUUACUGAAUAUGUUAAAGGCAGUGCCCUUGUCUAGAUAAUGUAUCAUAAACUUUUCUAUUACAGAAUUACAUCUAAGAUAGACAAAUGUAUAUUGUUUUGAAUAUUUAUGUUUAUCGAUUUACCAUACAUAGUUCAAAUCAUAAAAAGCAUGUUUUUUGAUAAUAUAGUAUAAAACAAAUAUAAUAUCAAUCAAAUUGAACGAUGUUGUGGUAUCUUUCAAUAUAAAAUUCUCUUUAUAAAAAUAAACAAACAACGUACUAAGAUAAAUUUUAGAGGAAUGAACUUAGAUUAGCAAUAUAAGAGUCAAAGUCUACAAAUUAAGGUAUUGAAAUCCUAGUUUCACAACUUCCUCUUUGAAUGUUGAACUGAGGUGAUCUUCAUUAAUUCAGACUGAAUAAGUGACUUAGUCCAGCCUAGUCAAUUAGCUAAUUUAAGAUGACAAGUAUCCAAAAUUCAAAAACAUUAUAGAGCUCAAUUUCAAACAAAAGUGACAAAUGACUAAUGCUCACAAAACGAUCACCGAAUCAUUCAAAGCAUUUACUAAAAGCCAGUCUAAUUCUUAUUGGUUUGAAAUCUAAUUUUAUCAUCAACUGUAUACAAGAUUGAGAUUGAUAUCAGAGUAAUAAUCUCUAAAAGCAAAAUAAUGUAUUCAAAAGAAUAUAUAUACAAAAUGAAUUAUGUCCCAAGCAGUACUGUGCAUGAGUAUAAGAUUACUAUUAUGUUGGGAUCCAUUAAUUGAUAACUAAGCACACUUCCAAAUUUACUAUAUGGAAUUUAGUUAAGGAUUAAUGUCAAGUGGGGUGCAUCCACCCCACUCAAAGGCCUUGUAUAUGUUACGGUCCCAAGUGAUAUUUUAUAAGGGUCUUUUUGUAGUUUUUCUUUUCCUAAUAUAUUAACAUUUUUUUUUGAUAUUUUUGGAACUUUUUAUUUUCUGAGAAAAGUAUACAAAAUAAUGUAUAUACAAGCUUACUUGAAGAUAUGAUCGUUUAUGAGGUUAUUCAAGACUUAUUCUCUUGAAGUAUCUAUUCCUAGCUAGAUAUGAACAAAUGUGUUUGCAUUUAUCCUUUUUUGCCCUUUGUCAAUUCUUGACUAAUAAGGUAAUGGUAGUUCUUGGUGAGGGAUUCACCUCUGUAUUGAUUCUUCAUUCUAUUUAAAUGUUUGGAUUCACCUCUGUAUUGAUUCUUCAUUCUAUUUAAAUGUUUGGAUUCACCUCUGUAUUGAUUCUUCAUUCUAUUUAAAUGUUUGGAUUCACCUCUGUAUUGAUUCUUCAUUCUAUUUAAAUGUUUGGAUUCAACAAUGUCUAGUUGAGUAGUUCUUUAAAAGCACAUUCUACCAUAUGCAUCUUUAUGUCAAUAUUAAUUGGGGAUUCCAUAAACUGAAACUCUUGGAGCUCAAUAGUGUAGUUGAAAAACUUUUGUUGAGCCCACCACUUACAUGAAAUAGGAGACUUUUUUCAAUAAACUAAGUGGUUCCUUCUUUAUGGAUCAUCUUUUCGUUUCUCCUUUUGAAAGGUCCCCUGGUGAUACUUUUAUGUGUUAAUGAAACUCAGUCCUUAUGGCAUGCUUUUUGGAUAUGAUAGUACGUGACUAUCAAGAGCUUAUUUCUACUCAGUAUAGUCAUACUCUCAUAAGUCUCUCAAGAUUUUACACUCAGAAGCAUCGUUAGAUUGUAUGGCUACCUACCUUGUACUAUAAGCAUGUUUAUUAACAUUUAGGGAUUUAUUUAGAAGGAUAUCAUUUUUCAUAUUUUUUGUCUAACACCAGAUCUUUUUUCUCAGCUCAAUUGUUUCAAGUAAAACUAAGUGUCUUCUUGAUUCGACAACAAACCAUUGGUCAUCUUUCCGAUUUCAAGUAUUUUGCAUAUCCUCUCAAAACUUCUUUAUUUUUUAACACAAAUUCAAAAACUAUUAGGUAUCGGGAUUUUAAGGCUUCUUUAUUUUCACCCUCAAUUAGAUUCAUAUUUUUCAUUGCCUUGCAGAUUUCCUUUUUAGUUUGAGUCUAUUUAUCACGAGCCUGAAGUCAUUUUCUUCCCCUACCCUUGUUAGUUUUGGCUAUUGCUAGUGCACGUACUUCAUUGGCUAAAUGAGAAGACACCUCGAUAAUGGUGGAUGACUUGGUGAAAUUUAUAGGUUGUUCCUUAGGCUAUCCAAAGUGGAGGUAGAAGAAGACGCAUGAUGCUGAAUGGACAUCCAAGUCAUGCGUGAACACUGCCCGAUGGCUUGGCUAUGGAGUCUCCAUGAAGACGAUGCAUUCGAUUGGUUUAGAAUCUGGUCCCUCAUAUUUUCUCUCCUCCUUUUUGUCCCUUCACUACCAACCCACCGGUAAACACCAUUUCCACAACCUAAUGGGUUGAUUGUGGAAUGGUAAACUACCUAUGUGGCGCUGAGUUAGAAGGUGUUUUGGAUAUAACCACUCCCCACAACCUUAGCAUUAGAACAUCCUGAUGCUCCACAUGAACUAAGAACAUCACUUAAUCUUCAUUAAAUACUUUGGGGUUGUACUCAUAAAGUAAAAUAUCUCCCCCCUUAGACAUAUCAUCAUUUUCCUCAUCUGAUGACCAAGGAAUUUGUGGAGAUAUAUGUGACUUUGGAUUAAAGGGGGUUAUAUUGGUCAUCCUUUUUAGACAACUUUUUAAAUUAAUCAAUCCAAGCUCCUAUACCGACGACAUUUUCUGGAAUCUCUUUAGAUGGGGAUGAUGGUUCAUUAAGCGACGACAUUUUCUAACCGUGUACCGACGACAAGUCGUCACAGACAAGUCAGGAUAGGUCAAAAAAGUCGUCGGCAUAGGUGUCGUCGGGAUAGGUACCCCAUAUACCGACGACAUGACGUUGGUACAAGUACCGUCUGGAAUGAUUUUCGAGAAAAAAAAUAAAGUUUUAUUAAUUACUUGUGGCGACGACAUGUCGUCGGGACAGGUGCCACCUAUAGCGACGCCAUUUUGUCGCCACAUGUUUUCCACAAAUAUCAAUCAAAUACCUAUAGUGGCGACUAGUCGUUAGGAUAGCCACUGGGUGUUUUUUUUUUUUUUUUUUUUUUUUUUUUUUUUUUUUUUAGUUUUUACAGAUUUUGUACAUUUACCAUUCGUGCAUUUUUAACAAAUCCAAACAUUUUGCAGCAUAUAUCAAAUAAGAUACAAUAACUGGGUACCAUUGUUUAAAUUCAAAACAUCAAAUUCAAGUUUAAUAUUACAUACCGAAUUAGAUAAAAUAAGUAGUUAACAUUGUUCAAAAUAACACAAAACAUAAACAUCAUUAUAUUCUUUUUUUUUUCUUCUUCUUCUUCUUCCAUCCUCUCGGGUUCACAUUUUGUUGAGAGGUAUUUCCUUGUGAUGUACUUCCUUCUGUGUUGGAAUUGAAUAGAAAACUAGCAAACGGUGGUGGUUGUGUAACAUCCCAAAAAUUUUAACAAAUAUGAACUUUUCAAAACAACCCAUUUAUUAACAAAAGUGUUUACAAAAACAUGAUUUAAAAUUAGAGUCUCCCAAGAUCCACUUUGUUCUAAAACCGAGGAUGCGUACGGUCACGCCUUUGCCUUGCCAUGAAUCAUUUGAAGAAACUGAAACCAUAAACAAAUCGUAAGCAAGAAUCUUAGUGAGUUCCUCCAAAAUACCACCGCACAAACAGAUAGCACAUAAAUAACGACAACAUGUACUAGGUCCACAACUAAAAGACUGGAUUACCCCUGAGCCUAUAAUAUGAAUCUGGCUUGCCUAUUGGGCCCACAACUCAUAUCUGGUUUGCUCUUGAGCCCACAACAUAAGUCAGACUUGCCCCUGGGGCUCACAACUUAUGUCAGGCUUGCUCCCAACUCAAUCAGUCAUCGGACUAGAAUACCAAUGUUCAGCCCUGUGACAACCUGAAAUUUCCAUUCUGAACAAACCAUAUCAAUCCAAUAGAAGUUAGAACAGUUACAAUGAAAUUCCAGACUUUGGGCAUAAGUUUGACAGUUUUUCAGGAUUUACACUUAAGGAGAUAUCAGGAGAGUGGAUGCACUAGGGUUUUGUGCAACACUGUUAUUCCAAAACUCUAGGAUAUUAGGGUUCAAUUCCGGAAUAAAAAUAUUUUCUGCCAAAAAUCUCAGGACUAUAUAUAGAAAUCUGAGCCAUAUUCAUUCAUUAGUUACAUUUCCAACUAGAGAAAAGCCAAAUUCUCUCUCACGGAUCUUCAGGUUUUUAUCCCAAAUCGUGAGUACUUCUAUCUAGUUGUAUUAUAUAGCUUAGAUUGUUUUUUAUAACAUCAAAAUCGGAUCAAAACCCCAAGAUUUGGGAGUUUACCGCCCAAGAACACUUGGAGAGUAAACUCCUUUUUAAGGGCCAAAAGUGUGCCCAAUGUCCCUCAAAGCCUUGGGAAUGAACCUAGAAGCUACCAUUACAUGUUUAAGACCACAAAACAAUUAAGAAUCAUGGCUAGAAGUGAGUUCACGGCCAAGGAAGUUCUUCGUCCGUGAACUCCAUUUUUAUGUGCCAAAAUGCCCUAAAAGCCUUCCUUAAGCCAAGAGACUAAUUUAGACAUGUACCUAGAUGAGUUUAGGACUAGCAAACACCUUUAGAACACCAAGAGUAAGGUGUUCACGGCCCAAGAAGUUCUAGGGUCGUGAACUCCAAACAAUGGUGCCAAAUGGUGCUAUAAACUCUCCUAAAGCCUUGGACAAUUUCCUUGCUUCAUUCUUAGAUAAAUUAGGGACUUGAAAACACCACAAACACCCUCCUAAGGGAGAUUACGGCCGUAAUCUCCAUGGGAUAUGGUCCAUGGCGCGUGAACUCCUCAAAGGAGUUAAAAGGAAGCCCAAACACUUGUUUAAGCCUAGAAGCACUUCACCACUUAAGUUGUAAUAAUGUUAGGCUUCAUUUAGUGACCCUAUAGAGAGUUUACGGCCAAGAGUUUACUCCCCUAGGCCGUAAACUCCAACACAUAUGGUCUUUUGACCAUAAACUCCCAUAAGAGGUCUUGCACUCCUUUGUUGCAACCCAUUAGCCUCCUAGCACUUGACCAAAGUGUUUUCCUCACAUUAGGAUGUUUAUACAUGUUUAAUUAGUGUUAUAAUCACUAAUUGUUUAUAUACAUAUGUCUUCAUAUGUAAUUAGGACCAUUGUGUGUGUCUAAAGUCUUCACUUGACACCUAGCAGUCCUACCUCUUCAGUUCAUCCGUAUCACCCACAACAGGUGAGUUUAUACCUNGGGGAUACAAGUAGAAUUAUGCUAAUUAUUAUAUCAAUCACAGGUGAUUAAUAAGCAGCAUUCAAAUGAUUAGCUACUCAUUAGCCGUUUUACCAAACCGUUUCCUUCAAAUGUUUUUCAUAAACACCUUAUGUGUUUAAAACUCCUUAUUACACUGUACCUUUUAUUCUGUAUGUUUCAAUUCAAACUUAUUUACAAUUGUGUUUCAAACAAAUGUUUCUUUAUACUAAACUAUUUUGUCAAACCCAUGCCUUCAAAACCGUUUUAUAGAUUGACAUCAAGUCGAUCUUUUCUUAGAUAAUAAUUAUGUUCAAAGGUUUUACAAAACUUAUUUUAUGUUUUUAUAUUAUAAAUUGGAUGCCUAUAUAUGCAUAGUUAUAUAAUAAAUGUUGAAAGGACUUAGGAAGGCUAUCCACCCUAUUUCCUUUUCCUCGAUUUGGAUGUGGUCUGGUGGGAUAUCAGGUACCCGUCCGAAGGUUGUUUAAAUAUUAAUUAUAUAUCAUGUGUACGUAUAUAGUCAUAAAAGUCCUUCCAGCUCAGCCAAUGCCCUUGGGUAGCAAGGGUAUAUUUAACAUCCCCCUCUUGCACGUAUCACAAUAUUAUCCGCUUUGGGCCACUCGGCACGAGGACUUCCCAGGGGGUCACCCGUCCUGGUACUACUCCCGCCCGAGCACGCUUAACUACAGAGUUCUUAUGGGAUUUGCUGCCCUCACGGCUUUAAAACGCGUUGUGCUAGGGAAUGUAUCCACACCCCUUAUAAGGAAUGCUUAGAUCUCCUUCCCAGCCGAUGUGGGAUCAGAUCUAACCCACUUUCACCCCCCAUUAUAGGGUUCGACGUCCCCGUCGAACACAUCGACCCAUGCCCUGGCUCUGAUACCAAUUGUGACAUCCCCUAAUUUCUCGGCCAGAAAAUACCGAUUUAAUUUAUGCUUUUUAAAAUAAAAUCAGAGAAAUCUUUUUAAAAGAUGUUGCGGAAUUGGUCCCCAAACAACAUAUGAUAAAAGUUUAUCAAAAUCCUUCAUUAAGAAGGUAUAUAUUUUCCAUAUAUAUCAAAACCUCGGGAUUUCAUGUUCCGAUACAGAUCAAAAGCAUAAACAAGACAUUAUAAGCCUUUCAACAGUUAUUUACAACUACUGGCCUAUAAUCCAAAAAUUCUCUCGUCGUCCUCCGACUAUGCUCAGGGUCCACUACCUGUAAUCAUAAAAACUGAGUGGGUCAGGCUUGGGAGUCUGGUGAGCAUAUAGGGGUUUCAACCCACAAUAAUAAUAUACUUAUUAAGUUCACCAAUCAACAAUAACCCUGAUUACCCAUUCCCGUUGUCCUCACUUUACGUCCCUAAACACCUAUCACAAGGGACCUAGCCUAAGGAUUAUCAUCGGGAUGGACACUACUGCUAAGGGGUUUCCUCAGCCAUACAUGUCCUUAAGGCAACCAUGAGGGGGAUGAAGUACGCCAAUGAACAUUUAAUUCAUCAACACCUACAAGUUGCGAACCUGCUAGUGUUCGACUGGACUAUCUAGAAAGUCUGUGGUCGUCAUCUAUACUCCGCUAGAUGACUACAACAACAACAACAACAACAUCGAGGCCUCUCACCUUUUUAACACACAUCAACUAUUUCAUCUACCCAUGUUCUACCCAACAUAUUUUGUAGAUAAAAAGAAUAUACAGUUUGAAACUUGUAUAAAACAUCAAAUCAAUAGUCACCUUAGUUAAACAAUUACUAUAUUUACACAUAACACGUAUUUCAAGGUAAAUACUUCAUAUCUAUGUGUAAAUUGAAAGUAACUACACACUCACAUAUUUUGAUGAACAUCGGGCAACAAUUCAUUUCCUAAAACGAUCGUUUCUAAUAAAACCGGGAGUUUUAUUGAGAAACUGGGCUCUGCAAAAGUCGGGGUUUGAAACCGAAAAGAUAAAUUUUCCGGGCUUCACGGGCACUUCGUGGAGUAUUCCGGGCUUUACAAUCGAUACCGGGGCUUUGCGGGAUGUUAAGAUGAAGAAAAUAUGGGUUUAGGGGUUAAAUAUGGCAAAAUUUCAAAGUUACCUGGGAGGUCUCGCACCCUUCUAUUUAUAGGGGCGAGGCUUCUGAUCCAACGGAUAGAAAGAGGACACGCGUCGCAGAUCCGAAGGCUCGCAGGGAAGCCUCGCACGUGGCUGCGCAUGGCUCGCACCUGUGAGGGGCUCGCUGGCAGCUUGUGAUUGGACCGAGGUCUAGGGUCCGAAGUAGAGGGUUCGUGGCAUGUUGCGAGGGCUCGGUCUCGUGCAUGAGGGUACGUGUCACCUUCUCAGUGGACCACUUCGGAUAAGGCCAUGUGCUCGGAUGACUCAGCAGCUCGGGUGACUCAACAGCUCGGAUGACUCAGCAGGACACAUGGCACUUUUUCAGCGAGGGUGACGUGGCAACUCGUGACUAUGCGAAUUUUCUCGAUUUUCGCGCCAAAACUUCUAAAAUCCAUAACUUUCGCAUACGAGCUCCGUUUUUGACGUUCUUUAUAUGCACGCGUAGCUAAAAUUACGCUCUACAACUUCCGUUUAGACUUCGUCGGCUAAUUUUGAAUUUAAAUUUUAUAUUAUUAUUUUUAACAGACCGGGACAGGAAAUCCGUUAAAAAUUCAUAACUUCUUCAUCCGACGUCCGUUUUCAUCAGAAUUUUUACCGUUGUGCUCCUAAUGACGAGACCUUCAAUUCUCGUUUAGGUUGUGUCGGCUAAAAAUCGCUCGAUCUAAAAUUCGAGUUUUUUAGCUGUCUACUGCUAAGCUGAAACUUCGAAAAAUCAUAACUUCCUCAUACGAAGUCAGAUUUGGGCGUUCCUUUUAUCGAACUUCUCAGUUUAACGACUACUACGACUUUCAUUUAGAUUACUAAGGCUAAAAAGUAGUUUAUCGAAAACUCACUUUUUACAACAUUCAGCACCGUGCCGGUUUUGUCGCGAAACUUCGACAUGUCAUAACUUCUUCGUUAUAACUCGGAUUUUGGUAUUCUUUAUAUCCCCGAAAUCCUUGUUUCGACCACUACAAAUUUAUGUAAAGAUAUCGGGCUUAUCUCCCACUUUAAUUUUGACGCUUAUUUUUAUUCUUAACUAAUUAAGCCCUAAUAAUUAAGCAUAAAACACAUAAUUCAUAUAAUAUUCACAUAAUUCCUUUUCAUUUCUUCAAAAUGAGUUACAAAGGUUAACCUAGACUAUCAACUCAAUAUAAAUGCCUAGGAUAGAAACAUGAGUGUUACAAAUUGUAUCAAGACAUGUUAUAUGGACGUGUUGAACUUCCGUGUCCAUUUCUCCUUCUGCUGUUUGUUCUUCUAAAGAAUGAGGAAAGAUAUCCAAGUCUAGCAUAUGCAGAGAACUAGCAACAAGUAGAUCUAAGUCGUCCAAGUUGUUGGCAAUUUCGACUGGACUCGUCGGGUCUAGGAAAGUGACUCGGUGAGUCAGAUCAUAUUUCACCAUUUCCACUGUGUUUUCCGAGUCGGCUCCUUCCAGUAGCUUUUCUAUCUCCUCCAAGUCCUUGUUAACAUCUCCAUCCUCUCCAGAAGGUAGCAAAAGCUUGCUUGGAUCUUCUUCUUGCAAAAGUGCAAGUUCUUUUUGUAGUAUCUCAUCAUCCAAAUCGAUAAAUGAGAUAUCUUCUUUUCCUUCCUCUUCUUGCUUGGCUUCUGGUAAAGCUCUAAAUAUUGCUGACUCGUCUCCUACCCUUAAUGUUAGUGUAGACUCGCAUACAUCAAUUAAAGCACAUGCGGUGUUUAAAAAUGACCUCCCCAAAAUAAUCGGAAUUUCGGGGUCUUCUUCCAUAUCAAGCACCACAAAGUCUACUGGAAAUAUGAACUUGUCGAUUUUAAUAAGAAGAUCCUCACAAACGCCUCUUGGAUGAAUUGUUGUCUUGUCUGCCAAAUGGAUCUUCAUGUUUACCGGCCUUGGCUCCGAUAAAUUCAGUUUCUUGAAGAAAGAGAAAGACAUUAGGUUAAUGCUUGCACCUGAGUCGGUCAACGCUUGAGUGACAAAUGCAUUUCCAAAUUGGCACGGAAUUAUGAUACUCCCCGGAUCGCCCUUCUUUUCGAGUAACUCACUCAAUAUUAUUUCCGUGACUUCAGCCAAAUAUUUCCUAGCAGCAAAGAGACCCUUUAGUAAGUUGAAGUACUUGGGUGUUUUAAGCAUCGUUUCUACAAAUGGCACAUUGACUUGUAGGGAUUUAACAUGCUCCAUAAAAGCUCAAUAAGCUUCAACUUUUUCAACUGGCAUGGCUUUGAUUGGGAAUGGCAAAGGGGGAUUAUAUGGCUUUAAGGGAAUGACGGUUUUGUCAUUAACGCAUGGACUCGUCGAGUCCAUUAGAGGGACUCGGCGAGUCUUGUCGGGCUUAGCUGGAGCCGACUCUUCUGCCUUUUCUGUCUUCCUAUUGGAGAUCCUCUGUGCAUGUGUGAAAAUUUCUUCAUUGCUGGAAGUUACUGCACUCACAUUCUCCAUUCUCGGAUUGUUUUCGGUGUUACUUGGAAGUUGACCCGGUCUUCUUUCGUUCACUUGAUGUGAAAGUUGUCCCAGCUGUUUCUCAAUGUUGAGAAUGGAUGCCUGCUCAUUCCUUAGCAUAUUUCUGGUCUCGUGUAUUGCAGCAUCGUGAUCAUUGUGUCUCUUUUCGGACACGGCUAUGAAUCUAGUGAACAAUUCUUCUAAAUCGGCUUUCUUUUCCAUUACCGGUUCUUCCUUUUGAUAAAAUACCCUCUCCUUCUGCUUGUAUUUCUCCUCCUUAUCCUUCUUGUAUUCUUCGUAUGGGAGCCAUUCCUUCUUCGGUUUCCCCCAAUUCUCGUCGUAUCUAUCGCCACUUGAGUAGAACACUUGAGCCUUCUUGUUUCCAUUUUCAUCCAAAUCACAAUCCUUUGUGAGAUGGGGCCCUCUACAAUUCUCACAUCCAACAUGAAUAGCAUGGAUUGUUUGAUCCAUUUUUGUCAUCCUUCUAUCUAGACUAUCGAGCUUAGCUAUCAUCGCCGCCAUGCUAUCAUUUGCCGAGUUCACUACCCCCCGACUUACUUCAUUUAUUGGAUUGUGGUAUUCUCUAGAAUGCUUAGAGAAUUCUUCAAUUAACUCCUUGAUUACCGGGGGCGCCUUCUUCGUGAGCGGGCCUUGUGAAUCGAGCAAUUGCCUUGUGGUGACAUUGACUCCAUCAUAGAAAAUGGAGACCUCUUGUUGGAUAUUGAGGUCAUGGUGUGGGCAAUUUCUAAGCAAGCUCUUGUACCUUUCCCAAGCUUCAUAAAGAGAUUCUCCGGGUUGUUGCUCGAAGUUGGCAAUGGCUUUCUUUAGUUUAGCUAUUUUGGAGGGCGGGCAAAAGUGGUCUAUGAACUCUUCUUUCAUCUUGGCCCAUGUGGUGACCGAUCCGGGAGGAAGUGACUUGAGCCAAUCCUUUGCAUCACCCUUGAACGUGACUGGAAGCAUGCGAAGUAGUUGGGUCUCGCGAGGCAUAUUUGGUACAUUGAAGUAGUCAGCCACAUCAUUUACUUCAUCCAAGUGCUUGUAGGCGUCUUCGUGGUCCUUCCCAUAAAAAGGAAUCUCCUUGAGUUGAGCGAGAAUAUGGCCUUUUAGUUCGAACGUAGUGGUUGCGGGAAUUGCGGGUUGCACAAGUCCCGAGCCGGUGUCAUCGCGCAUCCUUUUCUUCCAUUACCCCAUGGGGACUUCAUCGAUAUUAGCCAUAGCGAUAGCUAAAUCGUCUUCAAACUCGGAUUCUUGCUCGUAUGUGGGUUCUUCUUCUUCCUCGGUCUCGUACUCGAUGUCUUCUUGAAUUGGGUCUCUGAUUGUCAAAGAGGCACUGGAUGCUCCUGAUUUGCUGCUCCUUGUCUUGCUGAAAACGGACUUGAGGUUUUUGAGUGGUAAGUUCUUUGAAGAAGCGGAUUCUCCAACGGUUUUGCCUUUGCUCCUCCUUAGUGCGGAUUCCGGGUCUUCAAGAGGAGGGACCAGAGGUGUAUCAGAUCCUCAGGUCAUGAAACAACUGUAAACAAAACAAAAAACGCGUAAAAAGAACAAAAAAUAAAUAAAAAUUAAAACUGUGAAUCAGCGAUGUACUCGCCGAGUCGGCACGAGUGCACUAGGCGAGUCUGGUCAAAACAUAGAAAAAUUUUUCUAGUUACUUUAAAAACGGAUUUUUAUUAAAACUUAUACUACUUACUAAAUUACCUUUUAAAUAACUUUGUGUAAGAUAAAUCCCACACAAAUGAUCGAUUAAAUUAGAAUUUAACGUUAAUUUUAGAACCGUUCCCCAGCAACGGCGCCAAAAACUUGAUGUGUGCAAACUCACUUAGUUUUAAACCUACUUUUAAUUUUAAAAUAAACACACAAAGGCAGUGGACCUAUCAAUUGUGGUAUAGUUAAAUAAGUAGGGUAUCGAACACAGGGAACGGCAAAUUAAAACUAAAAACUAAUUCUAUCUAAAUUAAUUAAUAAGUAGGAGGUUUUCUCUAGUUUUUCAAGACUAGAAACUUACUAACUAUUACUUAUUCUAAAACUUAGAAAAACAAAGAAUUAACUAGAUUCAAUAAUGGGAAGGAACUUCUGUUUAGUUCAACUCAAUUGAUCCUAUGGUUGAUAUCAAGGUAAUGGUGCAAUGGAUUAACUCUUUUGUUGGUUACCGAUUCAAGUGAUUAGAUUUGCGUUCACUACACUAAUCCUUAGCAAAUAAACUAACUUAAACAGUGGCCAGUUGUCUAAUUUAAUUAAAUUCACUAGAUUAAUUAUUCGGGUUAAUUUAGACUUGCAAUAGUUAACUAAUUUGGUCCUUUAAUUAACUUNUUUGUUGAUGGUCAUCACAAGCUCACACAUGAAUUUACUCAAUUUUCUUAUUAAUUCUAGUUUCAUGUUCAUUAAUCCUAGACAUAUGACAAAGUGGUCACAUAGCAUAUGAGGUUGAUAAUCAAUAGAUGUUCAUGCUAUUCAAUUACCUUCCUAUUAAUAGAAAAUUAAUUAUCAUUCACACACAAGGUUCUUUAGCAAGCUAAAAUAACAAAAAUCACUAACUUUAAAUUAAUCCUACCAAUAAUCAAACCAUAGUAUCAAUUUUGUAUCCCCAAACAGAAGUUUAAGAGUUUUAGCUCAUGAUUGAAGUAAAUUACAGCAAACAAACAGAUUUUAAUUGUUUAACCAUUAUGAAAAAUAAAAAAUUAAGUAGAAUGAUGAAAUUUGCCUCAAAUCUCCUUCGGAAUUGGAUUCUAGCUUGUAUCUUCGUCCUCUAGGUUUUUUCUGACUCUUCAAUCGCAGCUAACCUCUCCAGAAUCGUUCCAGAAUUCCUCCCCAUCGUUCUCAGAAGUUAUCUUUAUAUAUGCAAAACGACUCGUCGAGUCAGAUGCCGACUCGUCGAGCCCAUCUCUAAGUCCCCGUAUGCGAUAAGUCUCUAGGUCUCCGAGUCUUUAUCUUCUCGAAUAUUCGCUUGGGCUCGCCGAGUAGUUGACCCUACUCACCGAGUAUGUGUUGUUUUUAGUGUUUUUCUUCUUUGUUCGAUUCCCGAGCUCUCAACCGCUUCUCCUGCUUCCUUUUGCUUCCGAGCUUCACUUUUGGACUGAAAACAUAAUUCAAACACUUUUAAGUACCUUUUGUCCAUGAAAUGCAAUAAUUUAGCUAAUAAAUGAAUAAAAAUCUACACUUAAUAUGAACUAAAUAUGCACAUAUCACUUUCCUUAGAUUCAUAGUCUCUCCAACCAAAAUUCCUAGAUAAUUGAAUGGGAUGGAUGAAGGUUCACAUCCAAGAGGAGCUGCCCAAUUUAUUACUUCCAUGUGGGUAGCUCCUAUCCCAUACACCUUCGAUUUCCUAAAGUUCACCUUUAGCCCCGAUGAUACACAGAAGCACCUUAAUAUCCGGGCCAAGUUUGCAAUAUUUCGCCUUGACCAUUAGCCUAUAAACAGUGUGUCAUCUGCAUAGAAUAAAUGAGACAAACAUUGAUUAGAUUGUGAAAAUUUGAUGCCUUCGAAGAUUCCUUUUUCCACAACUGUCUUCAUCGCCUGAUUUAAUCCUUCAAUCACAAUGAUAAAAAGAAAUGGGGAGAGUGGAUCUCCCUGUCUGACACCUUUUGACAUAGAGAACUCCUUGGUCGGACUGUCGUUGAUCGACUGGGAAGGAGAACUAAGCAUUCCUUAUAAGGGGUGUGGAUACCUUCCCUAUCACAACGCGUUUGAAAACCGUGAGGGAAGCAGAUCCCAUAGGAACUCUGCAGUUAAGCGUGCUUGGGCGCGAGUAGUACCAGGAUGGGUGACCCCCUGGGAAGUCCUCGUGCCGAGUGGCCCAAGACGAACAAUAUUGUGAUACGUGCCAGAGGGGAAUGUUACAAAUGGUAUCAGAGCCAGCGCACAGUUCGAUGUGUUCGACGAGGACGUCGAACCCUAUAAUGGGGGGUGAAAGUGGGUUAGAUUUGAUCCCACAUCGGCUGGGAAGGAGAACUAAGCAUUCCUUAUAAGGGGUGUGGAUACCUUCCCUAUCACAACGCGUUUUAAAGCCGUGAGGGCAGCAGAUCCCAUAAGAACUCUGCAGUUAAGCGUGCUCGGGCGGGAGUAGUACCAGGAUGGGUGACCCCCUGGGAAGUCCUCGUGCCGAGUGGCCCAAGGCGGAAAAUAUUGUGAUAUGUGCCAGAGGGGGAUGUUACAGUAUAUAGCCAUGUUCAUACGUACCAGUUAAAUUACUAGUAAGCUAUUGACUAUCCUACACCUUGCUGCUUGCUACAGCCGGACGUCAUUUCUUUCUACAUAUAGAUCAGUUAAGUCUUGGUAGAAGACUCCCUGUUAUAGUAGUAGGAAUCAUAGGGAUUUCUAGAGUUUUUCAAACGUUUACAGUUGUUUUACAUACAUUUUCAAUACUUACGAUUUACAUACAUUUUCAAUACUUACAAAUUCUUACAUACAAAUUCUUACAUACAAAUUAAGACACUAAAAUACUUAUGAUCUCACCAGCUUCAAAGUUGAUACUCGCUUUCAAAAUUACUUGUAUCCUCAGGUCAAACAUAGACAGGUACCGAUGCAAGGUUUAGAGAAGAUGGAGCUCGUUCAAGACUCAUCUUUCAUUUUGAUUUAUGCCUUAGUGUUUAUCAAAAUUUGACAGAACACAGUUGUAUAAUAAUUAUAUUAUUAAUGCAAUGGAUGAUGUUGCUGCUUGUUUACUACUUUUCAUUGUUGUGAUAUUGUACAUGACGUCCUCCGCCCCAGAACGUUUCCGCGGUUCUUGGUUUUGGGGUGUGACAAGCCCUCAGUAAGAGUCUAGCAUACCAACUGGUCCUCAGAUCAUAUCUGGAAUGCUACUAAUCCCCCAGUAUGAGUCUGGCAUGCCCCAUCCGAGACUCAACUCAUAUCUGGAUUUCUCCGAUACCCUCAACCCCUUAGUACGAGUCUGGCAUACCAAUCGGGUCCUCAGCUCGUAUCUUGAAUGCACCUGAGCCCUUAGUAUGCGUAUGGCAUGCCCUAAUCAGCUCUUAGCUCAUAUAUGGAAUGCUCCAGGGUUUGUUGGCUACAGAACGAAGCAGUACAACCUCAACCCAACACAAUAUGUCGACAAAUAACCAACAUAUACAGAUAAUCAUGCACACAUAAUCAUAGGUACUCCUAUAGAUCUACCAUACUAACAUAUCGGCAACUAGCAUACUCAUGCAGAUCUAUUCCAUACUCAGAAUAUUAGUGAAUUGUAGGAUAACAAACCAAUACACCGGCAUUGGUGCCUUCGACUCGUAAAUAUAGUGAGGAAAAAUCACAUCGCACUGCUGAACAUAAAGACGAUCCAUGGUUGAUGGCUGCCAGAUCCCCGAACCGCCAAUAUCAAGACAACACCCCAUCACAGCUGAUCCCAUGAAUAAUUUCUGACUACAGAACCACUAUGAUCCACGUGCUAUCAAAUACUACAAUGACAACCCAUCAAUAGACCUGGCAAUGGAGCGGGUUUGGAGCGAAUCAGCCUUGAUCCAAACCCUUUUAACAAAUUUCAAAAUCCGAUCCAAACCCGCUCCGUAACCCACAGGGUUUUAAAUAAUCAGACCCAUACCUUUAUCCGCCGAAUCAACGAAUAUUCAAGCCCGCCCCAUAACCCAAAGUUUUUUUAAAUAAUCAAACACAUUUUAAUAAACUCCUAAAAUAAAAUUUCUUAAAUAAGAAACUGUAUACUAUAUCUUAAUACUUAAAAUAACAUUUUUUUAAAUAAAAAAAAUUGAUUUAGAAAAGGACAUUACAUACUCGAAGAAUUUCAAUCGGAAUUAAAAAUCACUAUUGCAACAACUUUGAAUUGAUUUAUGACUGUUGGUUGUAGUGAUAGCGAAUUGCAAUUGCCAUCUUUUUUCAUGUUAAAAAUUGAUUUAUUGAAUUAGAAAUGGAUAUGAUGAUUUCUUGAUGCAAAUAAAUUAAAUGACAUUAUGAUUCUUGAUAGAAAUCUAUAAGUUUAGAAUCUGAAUUAUCGAUUCCUAUGUAAAAGCAUUUUUUUUCUUUGGCCUUUGCAUUUUGGACUUUUGAUUGGUAUUAAAAUUAAACGUUAAGAAGUAUAAAAUAUAAAUAUAUAAUUCUAAAUUUAUAUGGGGCGAGUUAUAAAUGGAGCGGAUCGGUGAUGAUCCAUACCUGACCCAUUUAAUAAAAGGGCUAGUGGGAAUGGAUCGUUAACGGGUAAACGAAUCAAAAACUACACUCCAAACCCAUAUAAUUCUUACGAGUUUGGAUCGGAUUAGGGUCAAAACCCACUUCAUUGCCAGGUCUACCCAUCAACCUUUAGCCCCUGACUCACGUUAUGAGUGAAAAUUAGGGUAAAAGACCUUUUUAUCCUUCUUAAGCUUGGCCCGAAGCCAAGGCCCAACUAAAUGGUUAAUGGCCCAAAAUCCAAAAUAGACUUCUAAGGCCCAAAUAUGGCCCAAUUUUCCAAAUUGGGCCCAAUUCCUUUCUUGGGCCUUCAGCUAAGAAAGUCCAUCAAAACAAAAGCCCAAACCAUAAAAUCUAGAUGGCCUAACAUGGCCCAAGACAAUCCGAGCCCAAAACCGGAGCCAAAAAUGAAGGCCCAAUAGUACCGCAUACGCGGGGAGUACUCCAAAGGCACACUUAGCGUACAUGAGGCUGCGUAGAAUCCACCAUUGGGGUGGCAGAUUGGGUAUGCGGGGCGUACACCUCCCUACGCGGGGCGUACCCUCUUAAAACUCAAUUUCUUCAUAACUGCUUAAUGGCUUAGCAUUUGAGCUCAUACUUCAGAUCCAAGGUCCAGAGCCAUACUAUGGCCAUAAAAUUCCCAACUUUAUGAAUUUCCACGUCCAAAAAGUCCUUAAUGAAAGGUCUUAAUGGAUUAAUACUUUCUACAAGAAGUAUGGAGAAAAACUAGCUAAGGUGAUCUCACUUUUAUGGCUUAGAACCCCUCUUAGGGUCUGAAAGGACAGCCCAAAAUGACCAAAACCAAACAUGCAUAACAAUGGGACUUUUGGGACAAAAAGAACAUCAUAAUGCUACCAAAAUGAGAUCCAAGCAAACAAAGCAUAAAGGUAGAAACUUUUUACCUUCUGGAGCUUCCCAAGAAGAUGAUGAUCCAAGAUCCACAAGCUUGCUUCAACUACUAAUCUCCUUGAUGCAACUCCUUCUUCCUUAAGAACACAAAGAACACACUUUUAGCUCAAAACACUCUCUUAUUGGGUUAGGGUUGCCAAAAAUGACUCAAGGGUGUGGAGGCUGAAAAGAUGAGGCUAAAUGAUCUAUAAAGGUGAUUAAAUACCCCACAAACCCUAAAACUUAGGGUUUUUUCUAACAAGAGUACACCCAUCGUACAUAUGAGUACGCCCAACAUACUAGGGUACACCCUAGUAUGCUUAGCGUAUGCACAUGUACGCUUAGCGUACCACUCCUUCUCCCAAAAUUACGAUUUUUCCAAUAGGGCUUCUUGCGACCACUUCCUUCCAAAACAAGGACCAAAAUGGUAUACUCUAAAGCCAAGAGAUGAAUUUGAAAAUGCCUGAAAACUGGGGCAUUACAGGUUGGGAGUUCGGAAUACAUGUCGCCAAUGAUGCAUUAUAUUGUUGCAAGUAUUCUUGCAUUUGUUGUGCAUUAGAUUGGGAUUGAGAUUGGAAAGAUGUGGAAGUUGAAGCACAUUUAUUUGGAAUUAGACCGAAGUUGGUGACUGGUCUCCUACCCACUACGCGAGCCUGCCCUUGUCUCGUCCUGAGGGCACGUGCAAGCCAUUCUUCCUCAUCUACUUCUUCACCUUACCCGACCCCGCUUUGCAUUUUCUCGUAUUUAUCUUGAAUCUUCUUCUAAAAUAAACAAGAUAAUAAACAUACGAUAAUUAAAACAAACAACUAAACUUAAACAUUAAAAUAAUAAUAAUAUACCUUAGACAUAAACUAUAAUUAAUAAUAAUAACAUAUUUAACUAACGUAUUAAUUUCGCUUAUGACUUACCUAAUCUUGUUGUGCUCGACUUGUACACCAACCCUAGCCUUCUUUGUAGCGCAUUUGUCUCCAACCCUCAAUAUGUUGCGGCUUCAGUCCUAGUUUUUCCUGUAAUAUGUAAAAAACAAUAAAUAUAUUUAUACGAGUGAUAGUAACAUUUUUAAAUAAUACUAAUAUACUUUAUUACUUUUAAAUGACGUCGUUGAGCAUACGACCUACAUCCAUGAGAACUUGUGUCCGGAAGUUUAAUUCGACCUAGUAACUUUAUUUUUGGCCGAUGUGUGUAUAUAUUCAUCAGUAAAAAACAACAUGCCAAUCGUCUUAUUCUAAGCUUUGGCAGACCAAUCAAUCUGUGGAUGUUUUUUUGUCCUUUCCACAUCCGCAUAUCCACCAGCUUUUUCAAAAUGAUUUUCCAUGUCAUGCUUGCAAUCUCGAUAAGCUUUUUGCAUACUAUCUUGGGUACCCGCUCGAACGGGUUCCCACAACUCUGUGCCCUAGUGCAUAUCGGGAUCAAAAUAAGUCUGCAAAAAAUACAUAUUUGAUUAGUAAUAAGAAAUAUUUAAUAAGUGUAAAAUUCAAUACAUAUAAAAUAUUUUGUAUAUACUUACUUCUAGCUCGAGAUAUAAAUUAUCUUCGUACUUGGUAGAAACAUGGCGCCAAGAAUGAUAAUGCAACAGUACCUCUGAUCCCACCAGAUUUGAGAUCAAUCUAACAAAUAAGUGUCUGUUGUCCCGCACGAAUCGAUACGUCCUCCUGGAGGUAUCAAGGCUCACAACCAAAGGAUUACUACCUUUAUCUUCAUACUCAUCGUACAAUUUUAAGUUUCUCCAUCUGCCAUGUACAUUCACAUUCUUCACUUUUGUUACAUUUACACAUAGAAUUGGAAAUUUAGAAAUUUAAAUCCAAUACUUAAUAUUUUCAUGUAACUUACAUGAUUGGCAACCCGAUGGUAAACCAUGUGUGACCAUGUGUGGGGCUCUAUCACCACUGUCUCCUCCAUGUUACCUCAUGACUUCUGCCAUUUAUUUAACAAAUAUUAUAAACAUUCAAAAUCUAUAAUAAAGCUACUUAUAAAUAGGCAAAAUUUAAAAACUUAACACAUAUUAUAAACAAUCAGGAUAUAUAAUAACCGUAACAUACCAUCAAUGAGAAUCAUCACUAGAACAAUAUAACAUCAUCAUCGUUAUCAUAGUCUUUGUUAUUUAUUUCUUCUUCUGAAGAGUACGUAUCCCCACCAUCAUCGUCAUCGUUAAUUGUCACACCCCUGAACCAGACGACGGAAACGUCUGGGGGCUCGUGUGACUAACAAUUGAAUUAUCAUCACAAUGAAUAUACAUGAAACAUUACACAUUCAUCACCAACAUUACAUAUUACAACCAGCAUUGUUCACAGCAAGUACAUUGUUAAAGAUUACAUAAAUUCAAAGUAUUAAUAGUAAGAUAGGUGAUGUUACACAAAAUAAAUCGAUACACUUGAAAAUCUUCCUGCUUAACGAUUACCUGAGAAUACCAGUUAUUUUGAAAAACGGUCAACAUAUAUAAUGUUGGUGAGUUCAUAAGUAUGUGUGAAUAAAAGUCUUUGCAUCUUUUGUAAAAACCUAGAAAAUCUGAUAUUUUCUGUAAAAUGUCUUAAAAUGAUGUGAAAAUCAAGUAUAAAUGCAUGUGUGAAUUUCAUAGCAAUAACAUAUAUGAUUUCAGUUUAAAUUUCUUUGUAUUUUAAGUAAGUGAUAAAUGAAUAAUAGUAUUUCCCUAGAAAAUCUGAGUAUUUCCUGAUUUAUAAUAAUGUCGAGGUUCUUGUAUCAUUAAUUAAGUUGUUUCGUAUUGACACAAUCGAAGGGUUAAUCUUCGAAAUGUCAAAUUGGUAUUGGAUCUCUAUAUGAGCAGUUAUAACCAUGUAUGAUAAUGACUAGGUUGUCUUUCUUGGCAUUUUCCAAACGUCGGUAUUUGCUCAAGGUUUUGUCGCCCAAGACUGGCCUAGUCUAGUUGUAGCGAACAACUAAGGCGUGGGGGGUCACCCCAUAUAGAUCUAUACACAAACUCCCGCUCUCCCUCCAGGAAACUCUGGUUAUAACUACAGACUACGAUUGUACACUCAGAGGUGUCAACCGACAUGUCUCACUAGAUUCUCAACUUUUCAUACCAUGUUUAAUGUUUACGUGAAUGUUGUAUGUUUUCAAAUCCAAAGGUAUAUAUAUAAGUAUACGAACUUUAGGGCUGGCAAUUGUUGACACGAUACGCGACACGACAUGAAAUAAAUGGGUUUGGGUUGAGUUUUUCAACCCGCCAACCCGCUAACCCGUCAACCCACCAACCCGUUUAUUAAACGGGUCAUAUAUGGGUUUCUCAAAAAAUAAACGGGUUGACCCGCCAACCCGUUUAUAUUCUUAAUAAAAAAAUUAUUAUAUUUUUAAAUGUAUUUAUGUAUCAAGUAUUAAUAUUUAAUAUGUAUUAUAUAAUAUAUACCAUUUAUUCAUAGACCAUUUGAUUGUUUUGACAUUAUUACUCGUGGUGGAUGGUCUAAGGUCAUAAGUCGUAACCUAUAAGACUAAGUCUGUAACAUGUUUCUAUGAAUGUUUUUAAUUUUCAUUUGGAUGUUUAAGACUUAAAUAUCUAAAAUUUAGACCCACGAACCCAAAUCUGACCCACGAACCCGCCAACUUGUCAACCCGUAUAAAUAAAUGGGUUGGUGGGUCAUAUAUAGGUUUAAGUUCCAAACCCGCCAACCCGUGACCUGUAUAUUUAAAUGGGUCGUCAUUGGGUUGGCAUAUUUUGACCCGCCAACCCGCCAACCCGCGACACGCCAACUCGAACACAACACGAUUGCCACGCCUAACGAACUUCAAGAAUUAUGUAAAGGUAUAGUUACAAUCUACUAAGCAUGUGAAUUUCAGUCCAAGCCCAACUAGCAUGUAAAUGGACCACAAAGGUCCAAUGACAUGUAAGAAGGUAAUUUAGACCCAAUAGGCAUGUAAGUGGACCACCAAGGCCCAACAAACAUGUAACCUAUAGCUCAGGCCCAAAUUAACAUGUAAAUGGGUCGCAAGGCCCAAUAAACAGGUCAUUGAAAAUAUUGGGCUCAAUAUAUACUUGAAUGGGCCCUUAAGGCCCAUUGGCCAUGUAAUGUGAAUAUUAGGUCCAAUAAAAUUAUUAUCGAUGUAUUUCGUCAAUUCGUUAUUAUUUCAUGGUUUGCUUUAGCUCGAUGUUUACCGAAUUAAAUAUAAAAGUCCCCUUUUUGUAUAAACGACGUUCUUGGCCAAUAAGACUAAAAUUUUGAAUUAAGGCCCAAAGUUUUGUAAAAAUUAACACUUUAGUCCAUAAUGUAUAAAAAUUUGUAAUUUUGCCCCAAAUGUUUAGAAAUUUACGGAUCUAGUCCAAAAAAUUAUAUUUUGACAUUUAUGGCCCAGUUUCGCAGAAUAUUACAUUUUCAGACCCUUGUUUGUAAAAAUGACACUUUUGACCCAGUUUUUAUAAAAGUUACAUUUUUGGUCCAAUUUAGAAAUAUAUGUUAUUUUUACCCCUAAAUUUGGUUUAUUUACAUUUAUGACUAAAACUUUGGUCAAAUAACAUUUUUAAUCCCAAAACUUCCAUUUUUUCGCAAAUUUGGCCCCAAAACCGUGAGGCCCAAAUAUUCAGCCCAUUAGGCUAAAAUUUACGUUUUUGGCCCUUUGGAAAGCAUGUUUAUCAUAAAAAUCCCUUUUUAUACAAACAGGACCUGUUUGGUCCUUUAAAAACCGUAAAUGUCACUUUUUUCCCUUAUCUUUUGUUUUCUUGACAGUUUUGACCCUUAACAAGGUUUUUGCUUUAAAUUUUUGUAUCUUAAACAUAUAAACACUUUUAACUUGAUAAUAUGAUGUAUAAGGUGUUUUAGUGUUGGAUUAAUGUCUAAGUUUAUAACUAUAAUUGGUAAGACUUGACCCGAUCCGGCAUGGUCCAUUUGGGUUGCAUGGCAUCAUGCACUUGGAUAGACUAUAAUGAGAGAAAUAAGACACUUAUGGUUAUUAAUAUAUUAUAAGUUCUAGUAUAUUAAUAAUAAGAAUAAUAAGAUUAUUUAAUUAGUAUUGAUCAAGAAUUAAUCUAGGAUUAAUUAAGUGAUCAAAAGAAGACUAAUUAAAUAUAUGGGUUGAUUGUGUAAAUCAUCCAUACUUAUAUAGUGGGCUAAUGCUCCAUGGAUAAUCAAGUUGGGCUAAAACCCAUAGGAUGGUCCAUGGAUGCUCCAUGGUGUAUUUGAACCCAUGGAUCCAAGGAAAUGGAAAGUCAUGACAAUUAGGGUUUACCCUAAUUGUAACACUAUAUAAAGAUCUUAUUAUUGACCAAAAUCGGCCACUAGAAUCAUUCUAGAGAAGGGCUAGCCGAUUUCAUGUAGUGUAGAUUUCUCUCAAGUUAUUCCAAGUGUAUUUGGUGUUGUGUGAACCAUUUGAGGUGUCACACUUGGGGCACUAGACACUCAAGCUUCAUGAAGACUUUCUACAUCAAAGAAGUAUGUAUUCUAUCUUGUUACAUUCAUUGUUUUGUAUGCUAGAUUAGGAUAAUACCUUGGAAGUUCUUAUUUGCAUGUAUAAUAGAGAAAACAUAGAUCCAAGGUAUUUAGGGUUGCAUGUACACUUAGGAGUGUUAGAAUGCUCAAAACCCAACAGUGGUAUCAGAGCCUAGGCUUGUUUUCUUGUUAUACUUGCAAAAGAAGCUGAAAAAUCGAGUUUUGAUGCUGUCUGCCCAGCAGACUCGCCGAGUCCAUGAAUGGACUCGCCGAGUCCAAGGCAAAAUGCAUCCAACUCGCCGAGUUGGUUCGUGCACUCGACGAGUUGGACCCCCAGACAGCAUAAAUUCGACUUUUUUGGCUGGAAUUGGACUAGGAACAUUACCCUAAGAUGUUUUUGGACUUAUAAACUUGUUUUUGAUGUGGUAAUGUUCAUGCUAAUCCAAUUUCAAAGAUAAUUGUCAAUAGAUUCAUGUUUUGUAUUAGUUUAAGGUUUAGACUAAUUACAUGAAAAAGUUUGAUUUGAAUUAUCUUGUUCUUAUGAGUUGCUUAGAUUAAUAGAAAAGUUGAGUGAAAUAGUUGUUUUCAAUCCAAAUUAAUCUAAGAGUUGAUUCUAAAAUGUGUUUUUGUAACUUGUCCUCAAGUUAUAUGAAAAGUCACAUUUAAGUUUCAUAAAACUCAUAAAAGUUGGCAAAGGUUACAAAAUGAAGAGUCUAGUUCUAAUUAAAUGGUUUUAUGACUCCAUAACUUGUCCUCAAGUUAUGGAGGACCAAGAGUCUCUUCAUUAAAUAAUAAAUAAAAAAAAAAAGUAACCUUAAUUAAUUCCAUAAGUUAUAAAAUAAAGAAAAGUUAAUUCUUUUAUUAGUUUAAAGUCUUCCAUAACUUGUCCUCAAGUUAUGGAACUUGAAGAGUUUUUGGAUUAAAACUACUUUAAACACAUAAGUUAUGGAAUUAAUUAGUUUUGAAUAGUUUCAAAACUUGCCCUCAAGUUUUGGAAUUUGAAAAGUUUUCACUUAUGAAUACUUUAAUUCCAAGUUAGCCCUUAGAAUUUUAAAAGUUAAAAUUCAACCCUUAUACUUUAUAAUAUUAUAAGUUAAUAAUAUAUAUAUGUAUAAGAGUAAAGUCAGUCUUACCGCUAGUACGCCUCAUUCACGAAGCCGGUCUAUAAGGUGGGUAUAAGGUUGUUGCCUAUAAAAUGGCAACUUAAUGGGUGUCCACUCUCACCCACCGCUUGCUUGACUGGUGGAGGGUCGUUAGCCGAACGGGUUUGACAGGACUAGAAUUCUCCCUUCAUUAAAAGUAUUAAUGAUAAUACUAAGUAACUAAACUCUUAAUAAUACCCAAUCUUAGUUACUUAGGAAAAAUGUGAAUAAGGUGCUAAUCCAUGAAAUUACACUUUGCACUUUGUUUAAGUCGGUUAGUGGAGCGUGUGUGGUUAACCGGCACACUAACUCGUAUUUAACAAGGUAGGCAAAGGGUAACUUAAUGUUUAUCAUAGUAUCGAUGGAGCGUGUGUGGUUAACCGGCACAUCGAUUGAGGGGUAAACACUUAAGGGUACCAAGUAAUUUGCAUGGUUACUUCACACCUUGUUUUGUGAUCCUCGGCAUCCCAGUCACAAAACCUGAAGGGCACACUCGAGAUUGAAACAUGCCAUUGAACAGUUCAAUGAAUCUCAAAGAUCUAGGAGUUUCAAAACCAAUUAAAACCUAAUAAUACAUUUCGUUUAUCUUGGUGGAAAUUGGUGAAUCGUCAUUCACCUACCUUCAAAUAUUUUAUAGCUUGGAUUACGGCAUACCUCUUCUAAGUUAUAAAAUAGUUUGUUGGGUCCUAGCCUUAAUAUUUCAUAUUGGGUGUCAUAUUAAGGACUUUAAAUCAACUAUCUUGAAUAUCUCCCAAAAGAUGUCUGGUUUAGACACCUAUGAUCUUCCCAAAUCUCUUGAAACAAGGUUUCCUAAUGAAGAUGAUGUCCCAUGGAUAUCAUACUUCUUCACCUCUUCAAAUUAUUCUCCCUAACCCACAAGUUCUUGAAAAGUUUAAGGUCACUCAGGCCCUAUUGGCAAGGCAAGGUCUAGGUGUGAUCACAUCUUGGAGAUGUAGUCACAUAUUGACAAGCCGGGAGAGUUGGGUGUCAAAGUCUUGAGAAAGUUGGUGGUUCAAUCACUUUCUAAGUCACAUAGUGAGUUCCUUUGGGACACCUAUGAAACAGACUAUGACAAGACCCUUAAUGAUCUUAUCUAUUUGAUAAGAUCAACUUCCUAAAACUUUAUGGACAUUGACAAUGAUAACAUUGGAUAUCUAGUAAAGCUCUCUCUUCCCAGUGGAAAGGGAUCAGCCAUAGUCAACUGGGUUGACCAAAAUGGUAAAGAGAAAAGCUAAGUCUGUGAUAGUCCCGUGUACCAUUAUCAAAGGGUCCAUAUGUUUAUAUUGCCAAAGGAAGGGGGAUUGGUUGCGAAGCUGCCAAAUUUACCUAAAGAUGUUAAAGUCAAUAAGUUUGACUCUACUUCAUGUAAAGUCCACUAUCUAACUCUGUUAAGUUUCUAUUCUGAGAUUCCUGAUACAUGAUGUGACUGGGUCACAUGGUGAUGUUUUAAGAAUCGGAGCAUAUCCUCGAGUGUCUGGAUGGUGCACUCACUCUGACCAUCCGUCUGUGGGUGGUAGGCAGUGCUCAUAUCUAGCUGUGUUCCCAUUGCCUUCUGAAGAUAUUGCCAGAAACUUGAAGUGAAUCUGCUAUAUCGAUUUGAGAUAAUAGAUAUUGGCACUCCAUGGAGUCUCACAACCUCCUUGAUGUAGAUUCGGGUCAGCUUUUCCAUCUUGUAAGAUUCUUUUAUUGGUAGGAAAUGAGCGGAUUUUGUUAAUCUAUCCACGAUUACCCAAAUAGCAUCCAAUCCGUCUGCUAUCUUUGGCAAUUUUGUCACAAAGUCCAUGGUAAUCCUCUCCGAUUUCCACUUGGGUAUCACUGGUUGUUGCAGUAGUCCCGAGGGCUUUUGGUAUUCCACUUUCACUUUGGCACAAGUAAAACACUUGCCCACGAAAGUGGCUAUCUCUGCCUUCAUAUUAGGCCACCAAUAUUGUUGCUUGAUAUCCAAAUACACCUUAUCUGACGCCGGAUGAAUAGAAUAUCGCGUCUUGUGGGCUUCAUGCAUGACUACUUCUUUGAAUCCCUUAAAUUUGGGAACCCAGAUUCUAUUCAUGAAGUAGUGAGUUCCAUCGUCUUUAACUUCGAGCACCUUCUCCAUUCCACGUAGUGAGUCACUAGCGACAUUCUCUGGCUUCAAUGGUUCCAAUUGGUCUUCCUUGAUCUGUGAGGCUAGAUGAGAUUGGAUGGUGAUUGAUAGAGUUUUCACACGACGACUUGAAUACUCCUUUUGGAUCAAGGCAUCGGCUACCACGUUAGCCUUGCCUGGAUGAUAUUUGAUCUCACACUCAUAAUCAUUUAACAGCUCAACCCAUCUCCACUGCCUCAUGUUUAGUUCCUUUUGAUUUAGAAUGUGCUGGAGGCUCUUGUGGUCUGUAAAGAUGGUGCACUUGGUACCAUAUAGGUAGUGCCUCCAAAUUUUCAAGGAGAAGACCACCUCCCCCAAUUCGAGAUGUUGAGUAGUAUAAUUUACUUCAUGUGUUUUCAAUUUUCUAGAUGCAUAUGCAAUUACCUUCCCGCGUUGCAUAAGGACACAACCUAAACCAUGAUUCGAAGCAUCAUAGUAAAUUAUGAAGUCUUUAAUUCCCUUCGGUAAGGAUAACAAUGGAGCACUACAGAGGGCUUGCUUCAAGGUUUGGAAGGCGAUCUCUUGCUUCUCAGUCCAGUUGAAAGGUACGCCUUUCUGUGUCAAUGUGGUGAGGGGUUUGGCUAUCUUAGAAAAGUUCUGAAUGAAUCUUCGGUAGUAGCCCACAAGACCCAAAAAUUGGCGAAUUUAUGUUGGCGUUGUUGGAAUUUCCCAGUUUUUGAUUGCUUUGAUCUUUGAAAGAUCCAUGUGUAUUCCUUCCUAACUAACUACAUGGCUUGGAAAGUUUACACUGCGGAGCCAGAACUCACACUUGGAGAGUUUCGUAUACAACUUUUCAGCUCGAAGGGUCUUCAAGAUCUGUUGGAGAUGUUGACUAUGCUCUUCUUUGCUUCGAGAGUAUAUGAGGAUAUCAUCGAUGAAAACGAUCAGGAAUUUGUCAAGGAAUGGGCGGAAGACUCGAUUCAUGAGGUCCAUAAAUGCAGUGGGGGCAUUUGUUAGACCGAAGGGCAUCACGACGAAUUCGUAAUAACCGUAACGGGUUUGGAAAGCAGACUUAGGAAUGUCCUCAUCUCGGACCUUGAGUUGAUGAUAACUGGAUCUUAGAUCUAUCUUUGAAAAGUAACUAGCCCCUUGAAGCUGGUCAAAUAGAUCAUCGAUUCGUGGAAGUGGAUACCGGUUUUUGAUGGUGAGCUUAUUUAGUUCCCUAUAAUCAAUGCACAUCCUGAAGGAUUCGUCUUUCUUUUUAACGAAAAGAAUCGGAGCUCCCCAUGGAGAGAAGCUUGGUCUUAUGAAUCCUUUAUUCAAGAGUUCACUUAGUUGGCUUGACAAUUCAUGCAUUUCAGCGGGAGCCAACCUAUAGGGUGAUUUGGCUAUUGAAGUGGCUCUAGGCACUAGGUCGAUUCAGAAUUCGAUUUGUCGUUCUGGGGGUAUUCCUGGAAGCUCUUCUAGAAACACAUCCGGGAAGUCACAUGCCACUGGGAUGUUUUGAAUGUUCGCUUCCUCUUUGGUAUUAUCCACCACAUGAGCAAGGAAUGUGUAGUUCUUCUUUUGUAGACACUUUUGUGCCUUGAUACACGAGAUAAGGUAAAGGUUUGCACCGGGUUUAUCUCCGUAGAUUAUUAGGGUUUCGUGAUUAGAAAGAUGAAAGUGAAUGACCUUCUCGUGACACAUAAUAUCGGCAUGAUGGGGGCUUAACCAAUCCAUGCCGAUGAUGACAUCAAAACUCCUAAUAUUUACUGGCAUCAAAUUUAUUUGGAAAAAGUGGUUGUUUAGUGUUAACGUACAUCCUAUAUAGAUAUCUUUGGUUGUUUCAGUGUUCCCAUUAUCCAUUUCCACCGUGAAGGAUUCGUUGAGCUUCUGGGGUUGUUGAUUUAGAAAGUAUUUGAAUUUAUUACUAACGAAACUUCGCUCCGCCCCACUAUCAAAUAAGAUGCAUGCAUACGAGUUGUUAAGUAGGAACGUACCGAUGAUAACAGCUGGGUCCUACACUGCUUCAUCCUAACCCAUUGUCAACACUCUCCCUGCUGCUCCUGCCCCUUGAUUGUUUGCGUUGGGGAAAUUUCUCCUGAAAUUCCCGGUUUUCCCACAUACGUAACAGGUAUAAUUGGCCCCAACAUUGGUGUUGUUGUUAUUGUUGUUGUUGUUGGUGUUGUUGUUGUUGUUGUUUUUUGGCAUCUGGUUUUGUUGAAGCUGAGUCCUGCAAUACUUUGUUGUAUGGCGUUUCUGGUUGAACCUUGCGCAAAUCAUCUCUCUGUAUUCCCCAUGAUGGUGGAAGUUGCAUUUGUUACACUUGGCGAGAUUUCCUGAAUACUGCUUUGGAGCAUUUGGCGUGGAUGAGGCUGGAGCAUGGGGUGUGGUGGUAGCUUGAGUUACAGCAUGGACAGUCACAGUUUGUUGCUUCUUAGAUGAUUCUGAGUUAUGUUUUCCAUUUCUCUUGUUGUUUAUCCCUUUCUUUCUCUCUUCUUCCUUCUUAACCUCCGCUUCCACUGUUUUGGCACGCUUCUUAUUUCCAUGAUCAUACGAUUUCUUGUCCAGUCUCUUGGCGCUAUCAAACAUCUCAGGGUUUUGCUGCAAUAACAUUCCCUUAGAUAGGUGCAGUCAAUCCCUAGAUAAACCUAUCAAUCUUUUUCCCUUCUAAGGUGAUCAUUCCGGGACACAAAAGAGAUAGCUCACUAAACCUAGAUAUGUAUGCGGUUAUAUUGGAGUUUUGAACUGUGAGGUUCCACAACUCUUGUUCCAUCUUCUGAAUUUCACCUCCAAGACAGUAUUCUGCCAACAUCAUUUCCUUAAGCUCUUCCCAGAGCAUCGCGUUCGCUACCGGGAGUGUCAUGGCCUCUACAUGCCCAUUCCACCAGGAGAUGGCUUGAUCAAUGAAUUUGCAGGUUGCGAACAUGACCUUACACUCAUCUGGGCACCCACAGAUUUCAAAAAUGGAUUCUACUUUCUCGAUCCAUCGCUUCAGGGCUAUUACGCCUCCUGUCCCAUUAAAGGUUCGAGGUUUGGCAUUGGUGAAGUCCUUGUAGGUGCAUGUUCGUGUGGCUCCAUGGAUUGUUCCUUGAUUUGUGCUUCCGUUUCCCUGUCGGUUGCCUUCUCUAUUGUUUCCAUUGCGAAUCUGCACAAGUGUUGUAGUGACCGCAACAGACAAUGUUGCCUGGAAUGCAACCGAGAUUAUUUUCGGCGGGUUUGGUGUUGCGUUGUUUCCACGAUUGGGCCUUUGAGGCAUCUUUCUGUCAUGGAACGGAAAGAUGUAGAGUGACUAUUGUUUUGCGAGUUUGGAAUCCCCUAGGCUAGGUGUAUCGAGUGUGUAUUUAAGUAAUUUCAUACAUUAACAUAAAAUAGGGAAGUAAAACACAUAGCAGAUGACAACAUCAUGAUAAAACGUAAAGCAUUUUCAUUAAUACUAAUUGUUUUGAUACAUGAACAUUUGCCAGAAGGCAUACAGUACAUAGGGAAAUAUAAAAUAUGGCAGCAUUACAACCCUAUGAGCAGUGUGAUCACUUAAACAUAGAGUCGAUAGUACAUAGCAUAGUACACAUAAGGGAAACCUAAUAGUAUUAAGAGAUACUACUGGUCCUGAUCAUACUGAGAAGUGCCUAAUGGUGGUGGUGAAAUCAUAUCCCAAAAUGUUAUGCUAAUAACUGAUCCAUCUCGGUCAUCUCUCCGAUGACCUCAUCUUUUUCCUACUCAGUUUGCAUGGCUCGUGCCUCCAUAGCAAAUAGUUGUUGUCGAAGUGUGGCAACCUCCGCUUCCAGAGACCGAUCCUCAUCAACGGGGUUCCCUAGUGGACCAGGGUGGUCCUGGUGUGCCUCAUUGGUAGGUGGUUCGACGGGGGCUUCAUUUUUGUCCCCAUCCUCCUCCAUGUCUUCGUCAGUCCUAUCAAACUCAUAGUCUGUAUUAGUGUACUCGUCGGGCCCAAUGGUAGGGGCUCCUCCUUGUUCCUCCUCGGGAUUCUCCUCAAGCAUCCCAUGUGCCACUAGGGAUUGAUAAAAAUGGACUCCUUGCUGAGCGUCGUCCAUGGUGACUGCAUGAGGGCGUAUGAAUAAGUCAUGUUUUGAUUAUUCCUAUAGUAUAUUUUACUUAUUUAGGUUUGGUUUCCCUAGAGUUGUUGGAGAGUGAGGUAGGCUUUUGGAUUCAUUUCCCGCUAUGAUUACUCCCAAACACAAUUUGGUCAUAUUCUGAAUAAAUAUAGUUGAUCAGGCUAUAUUUAUCCCUAAUAGGACUACAUAACUGCCCAUGUUUAAUUAUAAUGUUCAAUAUCCUCCAAAAGCUUUUAUUAAAUAUUGUUAGGUUAUUAUCCUAAUAUGCGCAUAUAAGUAUGAAAUUUUUGUUUUGUUCACAGUUAUUUAGUCCCAUUGUGUUUAUAGUUGCAUAUCAUGUAUGGUUAGAUAUGCUAGUUCACUAUAAACAUUGCUUUGAUACCAACCUGUCACACCCCCGACCCAGACGGUGGAAACGUCUAGGGGCUCCUGUGACUAACAAUUGAAUUAUCAUCACAAUGGAUAUACAUGAAACAUAACACAUUCAUCACUAACAUUACAUAUUACAACCAGCAUUGUUCACAUCAAGUACAUUGUUAAAGAUUACAUAAAUUCAAAGUAUUAAUAGUAAGAUAGGUGAUGUGACACAAAAUAAAUCCAUACACACUUGAAAAUCUUCCUGCUUAACAAUUACCUGAGAAUACAAGUUAUUUUGAAAAAUGGUCAACAUAUAUAAUGUUGGUGAGUUCAUAAGUAUGUUUGAAUAAAAGUCUUUGCAUCUUUUGUAAAAACCCAGAAAAUCCGAUAUUUUCUGUAAAAUGUCUGAAAAUGAUGUGAAAAUCAAGUAUAAAUUCAUGUGUGAAUUUCAUAGCAGUAACAUAUAUGAUUUCAGUUUAAAUUUCUUUGUAUUGUAAGUAAGUGAUAAUUGAAUAAUAGUCUUUACCCAGAAAAUCCGAUAUUUCCUGAUUUAUAAUAAUGUCAAGGUUCUUGUAUCAUUAAUUAAGUUGUUUCGUAUUGACAAAAUCGAAGGGUUAAUCUUCGAAAUGUUAAAUUGGUAUUGGAUCUCUAUAUGAGUUGUUAUAACCAUGCAUGAUAAUGACUAGGUUGGCUGUCUUGGCAUUUUCCAAACGCCUGUAUUUGCUCAAGGUUUUGUCACCCUAGACUGGCCUAGUCUAGUUGUAGCCAACAACUAAGGCGUGGGGGGUCACCCCAUAUAGAUCUAUACACAAACUCCCGCUCUCCCUCCAGGAAACUCUGGUUAUAACUACAGACUACGAUUGUACACUCAGAGGUGUCAACCGACAUGUCUCACUAGAUUCUCAACUUUUCAUACCAUGUUUAAUGUUUACGUGAAUGUUGUAUGUUUUCAAAUCCAAAGGUAUAUAUAUAAGUAUACGAACUUUAGGGCUGGCAAUUGUUGACACGAUACGCGACACGACAUGAAAUAAAUGGGUUUGGGUUGAGUUUUUCAACCCGCCAACCCGCUAACCCGUCAACCCACCAACCCGUUUAUUAAACGGGUCAUAUAUGGGUUUCUCAAAAAAUAAACGGGUUGACCCGCCAANUGUAAGUGGACCACCAAGGCCCAACAAACAUGUAACCUAUAGCUCAGGCCCAAAUUAACAUGUAAAUGGGUCGCAAGGCCCAAUAAACAGGUCAUGGAAAAUAUUGGGCUCAAUAUAUACUUGAAUGGGCCCUUAAGGCCCAUUGGCCAUGUAAUGUGAAUAUUAGGUCCAAUAAAAUUGCUAUCAAUGUAUUUCGUCAAUUCGUUAUUAUUUUGUGGUUUGCUUUAGCUCGAUGUUUACCGAAUUAAAUAUAAAAGUCCUCUUUUUGUAUAAACGACGUUCUUGGCCAAGAAGCCUAAAAUUUUGAAUUAAGGCCCAAAGUUUUGUAAAAAUUAACACUUUAGUCCAUAAUUUAUAAAAAUUUGUAAUUUCGCCCCAAAUGUUUAGAAAUUUACGGAUCUAGUCCAAAAAAUUAUAUUUUGAUAUUUAUGGCCCAGUUUCGUAGAAUAUUACACUUUCAGACUCUUGUUUGUAAAAAUGACACUUUUGACCCAAUUUUUAUAAAAGUUACAUUUUUGGUCCAAUUUAGAAAUAUAUGUUAUUUUUUCCCCUAAAUAUGGUUUAUUUACAUUUAUGACUCAAACUUUGGUCAAAUAACAUUUUUAAUCCCAAAACUUCCAUUUUUUUGCAAAUUUGGGCCCAAAACCGUGAGGCCCAAAUAUUCAGCCCAUUAAGCUAAAACUUACGUUUUUGGCCCUUUGGAAAGCAUGUUUAUCAUAAAAAUCCCUUUAUAUACAAGUAGAACCUGUUUGGUCCUUUAAAAACCACUUUUUGCCCUUAUCUUUUGUUUUCUUGACAAUUUUGACUCUUAACAACGUUUUUGCUUUAAAUUUUUGUAUCUUAAACAUAUAAACACUUUUAACUUGAUAAUAUGAUGUAUAAGGUGUCUUAGUUCAUGGGUUUUUUACUUAAUGUUGCUUAAGAUGUCGAGACAUGCUAAGAUCUAACAUAUUUUUUACAAAAUAGACUAAGAAAUCACACACGACAUGCAUAUAACACAUAGAUCUACACAUUUUACUUGUAUUCUCCCCCAAAACUAAUAUGAAAACCAAAAACAAGGGGGUAAGAACUCACCUUUGCUUCGAUGUUUCGGUUUUGAAGAAGAAAUGGAAGAAGUUGAUGUGAUUUUUUGCUCUAGCAAGCUCCUUGAGUAGAUUUCGAGCUUAAGAAGUUUCCAAGAGUCUGACCAUGGAAUAAAGCUAUGUAACAAGGAAUUUUUUGAUGUUAAAAUAAAAGGAGAUGUUUGUGUUUGAUAACAACUUACCAAAGAUUGAAAAUGCUUGAUGAAGAUCCUUAAAACUCAAGCAAAAUUUUGAGAUCCUUGGAGAAAGGAGGAUGAUCUUUGAGAGUGUUUGGAGAGGAUUUGAAAGAGUGUGUGUGUGUGUGUGUGUGUGGUUUGCCUCUCGGCCGUGAGUAGAAGAAGAAGGGGGAAAGAGAAGAUGUGAUGGAUACUUAGGAGUAUAAGCUUUGUAUUUGCUUAAUGGGUAAUUAGCUUGGAGAACCACCAUGUAAUUAUCAUGUGUCAAUGCAUGGUAAUUCUCUUAUUUUCCUUUUUUUACAUGUAUAUGAAUGUACAUAUCUAAUGGGCCGAGAAAAAGAAAGAAUGGAGGGGCUUUGGCCUCUUUUUGAUUUGGUUCGAGUUUAUGAGGCCCAUAGAAAGAGGCUUUCGGCCCAUUGGGCCUUUAGGUGUGUUCACGGCCCAUUUCGAAAGAAGAAAGGGUGUUUAUGGCCCAUUACGGCUAAUUAAUUCAUUAAUGGCCUAAUAAGGCCCAUUAAGGAUAAACCAAUUUAUUUUGGACCCAAAAUGGCCCAAAAUGCUAAGUUUCACGGAAGUGGGUCCAAUUAGUGCCCAUUUAAGGGUCCUAAGCCCAAAAUAGUUAAAUUGGAACCUCAUUGGUCCAUUAGGCCCAAUAAGGAAAUCCUAGUCCAAUAUGGACUUAAAUCGGGAUUCUUAGGGUUUUCAAACUCUUUGUUGAACAUGAGAGGUGAAUUUAAAUGAGCAUUGCGUGAUAUUUACUUAAAGUAUAUGUUUUACACUAGUUGAAUGAUUACACGAGAAUAGAGUUUUCUAGCAAAAAUGCUAGUUGUGACAUUAAUGAAAUCGUGAUUAUUUAUAGUAGGAGCAACAUUCCUCAUAGCAACCACACUUGAUUUACCAACUUCACCUAAAGUCAUCUGCAUAGGCAAGGUGCUUAAGUUUACAAACAAGGUAAAAUCAGUUGAUCGAGUUUUGUUCACGACAUCUAUCUCAUUAACAACACUGAUACUUGGAUGAUCCUAAAGUUUUGAUGAUGAACCUCUUCCACAAAUAUCCGUUUAUUGUUUUGAGUAUGAUCUUUGAGAUAAAACACUUGUUUAGCUUGUGUGGAUAAGAUGUAUUAUUGAUCAUCAUACCUUCUUUUAUUGACAUACCAUCCAUGACUGGUAUCUAUAACGACCAUAUUAUUUAUAGUCUUUAAACAUCCAUUACGUAAUGACACAUUGAACCAUUUACCACGACAGAGUAAAAUUGAGUUACCAUAUAAAUAAUGCGAAUCUAGGAUCUCCUCUAAUUGUCCAUAGAAUGGUCUACCAUCUUCUUGUUGGAUUAGUGUCUAAUUCCAUAACUAUAUUUGGUAUGUACUUGACCCAAUUGGCAUGGUCCAUUUGGGUUGCAUGACAUCAUGCAUUUGGAUAGACUAAAAUGAGAGAAUAACACUUAAGGUUUAUUAAUAUAUUAUAAGUUCUAAUAUAUUAAUAAGAUUAUUUAAUUAGUAUUGAUCAAGAAUUAAUUUGGAACUAAUUAAGUGAUCAAAUGGAGACUAAUUAAAUAUAUGGGUUGAUUGUGUAAAUCAUCCAUACUUGUAUAGUGGGCUAAUGCCCCAUGGAUUAUCAAGUUGGGCUAAAACCCAUAGGAUGCUCCAUGGUGUGUUUGUACCCAUGGAUCAUGGAAAUGAAAAGCCAUGAAAAUUAGGGUUUACAUGGUGUAACCCUAAUUGUGACACACUAUAUAAGUAUCUUAUUCUUCCCAAAAAAAGAGCUAUAAAGGAAUGGUGAGGGCUAGCCGAUUUCAUGAAGUGUCUAAUUUCUCUCAAGUUAUUCUAAGUGUAUUUGGUGUUGUGUGAACCAUCUGAGGUGUCACACUUGGGGAACUAGGCUCUUAAGCUCCGUGGAAUCAAGCUACACCAAAAGGAAUGUCUUCUAACUUGUAUUAUUCCUCAUGAAUCAAUAUUUUGUAUGCUAGUUAGGAUAAUACCUUGGAAUAUUAAUAUUUGCAUGUAUAAUAGAGAAAACAUAGAUCCAAGAUAUUUAGGGUUGCAUGUACACAUAGGAGUGUUAGAAUGCUCAAAACCAUUCACUUCUCCAAAUUUAACAACACCACUAUUUUUAGUAGUGUGUCAGAGAUCACGAAUACUCACAACAAAACGAACACCGACAAUAUGUAUUAUGUUGGUCAUAGACAAUUCUUGAAUAUGAACCAUAGAUGGAGGGAGAGUCUAUUGUUUGAUGGUCCACCCGAUACAAGACCGUAUCCUAGACGAUUUAGUAAUUUAACUAUAUUAAAGUAAUGUAACGUCUGUGUUUCUGGGCUUGCCAUUUUUAGCAAUGUANNNNNNNNNNNNNNNNNNNNNNNNNNNNNNNNNNNNNNNNNNNNNNNNNNNNNNNNNNNNNNNNNNNNNNNNNNNNNNNNNNNNNNNNNNNNNNNNNNNNGACGAAGGUGGACCGGUAUGCGAAGGGACUCCCAUGGGAGUAUGACGUGCCAGUACGUCAGGCACAUACUUUAGAGGCAGCUAUCUGGGCUACCAAGUCUGUUGAGAACAUGAUAAAGGGGAGAACCACCAACAAGGUUGAGGUUGGUGAGAAGAGGAAGUUUGAGGGAACAUCUGGUUCCGGUAAGAAAAGCAAAUUUUCGAAAUCUGAUUCGAAAAGGUUUGGUGGGGGUAAAGGAGGGGAAGCGAAGUGGUGUGAAAAGUGUAAGAAAAAGCAUUUCGGGAAAUGUAGCGAGGAUGUAACUUGCUACAAGUGUGGAAAGGUUGGACAUUUUGCCAAUGAAUGUCCGAACAACAAAAGGAUGUGUUUUGGUUGUAAUGAAGAGGGGCAUAUUUUGAAAGACUGUCCGAAGAAGAAGGAGGCAGCUAAGCCCAACAUUCCACCAAAGCCGAAGGCGAGAGCCUUCCAGAUGACACUUGAGGCUGCGAAAGAUGAAGCUGAUGUCGCUUCAGGUACCUUUCUCGUAAACGAAUUACCUGCUCAUAUAUUGUUUGAUUCUGGAGCCAACUACUCCUUUAUUUCGCAUGAGUUUGGUAGAAAGCUAGCUUUGCCUAUUGAUAGACUAGAUGAUGCUUUAUUAGUCGAAGUAGCUAGUGGCAAGUUUGUACCUGUUAGUCAUCGUAUGAAAAGCAUCUUAAUUGAUCUGAAUGGGAAUAAGUUUCACGAGGAAUUAUUGCCUAUCGAACUAAAUGGUUUCGACAUCGUGUUGGGAAUGGAUUGGCUUAGCGCCAAUGAUGCCGAAAUUUUGUGCAAGAAGAAGAUAGUUAAAGUAAACCCGCCUGGGAAAGAUUCGUUUAUGGUGUAUGGGGACAAACGCAGAGUGAAUUCUGGAAUCAUUUCUCUAAUGAAAGCCAGAAAGUGUUUGACCAAGGGAUGUACAUCAUAUUUAGCAUUCGUGAUUGAUGCUAAGAAGGAAAAGAAGGUGAUGCAGAGUAUUCCAGUGGUGUGUGAUUAUCCGGAAGUAUUUCCCGAGGAUCUUCCUGGAUUACCACCUGAUAGACAAGUGGAGUUCAGAAUAGACUUGUUACCAGGAACCACGCCAAUAGCAAAAGCACCUUAUCGAUUAGCACCGACGGAGAUGAAGGAGCUGAUGAUGCAACUUCAGGAGUUAUUGGACAAAGGUUUCAUUAGACCUAGUUCAUCGCCCUGGGGAGCUCCGGUGUUAUUUGUAAAGAAGAAAGAUGGAAGUAUGAGAAUGUGCAUCGAUUACAGAGAGCUGAACAAGGCAACAAUAAAGAAUAGAUAUCCGUUGCCGAGGAUUGAUGACCUGUUUGAUCAAUUGCAAGGUUCGAGCUAUUUCUCGAAGAUCGAUCUUAGGUCAGGAUAUCAUCAGCUGAAAGUAAGAGAGCAAGAUAUCGAGAAGACUGCAUUCAGAACUAGAUAUGGACACUACGAGUUCUUGGUUAUGUCGUUUGGACUAACCAAUGCUCCAGCAGCGUUCAUGGAUUUGAUGAAUAGGGUUUGUAAUCCUUUCCUUGAUAAAUCCGUGAUAGUGUUCAUAGACGACAUUCUGAUCUACUCGAAAAGCCAGGAGGAGCAUGGCAGACACUUGCGAGAAGUGUUAGAAGUUUUGAAGAAGGAGAAGCUUUAUGCGAAGUUCUCCAAAUGUGAUUUUUGGAUUCGUGAGGUCCAAUUCUUGGGUCACGUGGUCAACCAAGAAGGGAUAAUGGUUGAUCCAGCGAAGAUCGAAGCUGUGACGAAGUGGGAACAACCGAAAAGUCCCACGGAGAUUCGAAGCUUUUUAGGAUUAGCCGGAUAUUACCGAAGGUUUAUCCAAGGCUUUUCUUCGAUUGCUACUCCAUUAACAGCUUUGACCCACAAAGGAGCUACUUAUGCUUGGAGUGAGAAGCAUAAAGAAGCAUUCGAGAAGUUAAAGAAGAAGCUAUGCGAGGCACCGAUACUUUCUCUACCCGAUGGAGUUGAAGACUUCGCUGUUUAUAGCGAUGCGUCUGGUGUUGGAUUGGGUUGUGUUUUGACCCAAAGAGAAAAGGUGAUAGCAUAUGCGUCUCGACAGCUGAAAGAGCAUGAAAAGAAUUACCCGACUCAUGAUUUGGAGUUGGCAGCGGUAGUUUUCGCUCUGAAAAUAUGGAGGCAUUACCUCUAUGGCACGAAGUGCAAACUUUUCACUGAUCAUAAGAGUCUCCAAUACCUCUUUAAUCAGAAAGAAUUGAAUAUGAGGCAACGACGCUGGCUAGAAUUACUUAAAGACUACGACUGCGAGAUACUUUACCACCCCGGUAAAGCUAAUGUUGUUGCUGAUGCUCUCAGUCGGAAAGUCAAUCUUGAAAGGAAGAGGCCAAGAGCGUUGAGAAUUGAAGUUGUCUCGACUAUUGUGGAAAGUAUAAAGAAAGCUCAAGAGGAAGCUUCUGAGAAAAAUGACCGAAAGGAGGAACGUUUGGGUAAAACGUUGGUGUUUGGUACUAACGGUCAUGGACUGAAGGUAUUCCAAGAUCGUAUUUGGGUACCUAAGUCAGGAGGAAUUAGGGAUCUUCUGAUGGAAGAAGCUCACAAAACCAUGUACUCAAUUCAUCCGGGUAGCACUAAAAUGUAUAGGGACCUGAAACCCUACUACUGGUGGCCGACGAUGAAGCUUGAUGUUGCAAAGUAUGUGGCCGAGUGUGUGACUUGUGCGAGAGUCAAGACACAACAUCAGAAACCUUACGGGAGUUUAGAACCAUUGCCUGUGCCUAUGGGUAAGUGGGAAGACAUUGCUAUGGAUUUUGUCACUAAACUGCCCAGAACAAAGAAUGGUCACGACAUGAUUUGGGUGGUCGUUGAUCGAUUCACUAAGAGUGCGCAUUUCAUAGCGGCCAGGGAGAAAUGGUCUAUGGAAAAGCUUGCGAAUUCUUACGUGAAGGAAAUUGUGAGGCUUCACGGUGUUCCGUUAACGAUUGUAUCGGAUCGUGAUAGCCGUUUCACCUCAAGGUUUUGGAAAAGUCUACAAGAGGAAAUGGGUACCAAGUUAUGUUUAAGCACAGCUUACCAUCCGCAGACUGAUGGUCAGAGUGAAAGAACAAUACAAACACUUGAAGAUAUGCUGAGAGCAUGUACCUUGGAAUUCCUAGGUAAUUGGGAUGAACAUUUACCGUUGGUAGAAUUUUCCUAUAAUAAUAGUUUUCACUCGAGCAUUAAGAUGGCACCUUAUCAAGCUUUGUAUGGACAGAAGUGUCGUACGCCGUCUUGUUGGCUUGAGGCUGGGGAAAAGCAGUUUAUGGGACCGGAGAUGGUUCAUCAAACUGCUGAAAAGUUGAAAAUAAUUAGGGAAAGAAUGUUAGCAGCUCAAGAUCGUCAAAAGAGCUAUGCUGACAAGAAGCGAAGACCGAUGACUUUUGAGGUUGGAGAUUCGGUUUUGCUUAAAGUCUCGCCGUGGAAGGGACUUAUAAGAUUUGGUAAAAGGGGAAAGUUGAGUCCAAGGUUUAUUGGACCGUUUAAAGUCCUUCAGAGGAUUGGGAAUCAAGCUUACAAGCUCGAAUUACCCGAAGAACUGAAUGGAAUUCACAACACCUUUCAUGUGUGUUAUUUGAGGAAGUUCACGGGAGAAGUUCCCGAUAUAAUUCCAAUUUCUGAAUUGAGAAUUGAUGAGAACAAAAGGUUGAUUGAAGAACCAGAGGCAAUUGUUGACCGAAAGACUAAGAAGUUGCGACGCAAAAUGGUUGGGUUAGUGCUUGUCCGAUGGAAACACACGAAUGGGCCGAAUCUCACCUGGGAGACGGAGAGUGACAUGUUGAGUCGCUAUCCGCAUUUGUUUGUUGAUGUGUGAUUCCGGGGACGGAAUCAUUCUAAGGUGGAGAGAAUUGUAACGCCUGUGUUUCCGGGCUUGCCAUUUUUAGCAAUGUAAUAGUCUAGGUUAACCUUUGUAACCCGUUUUGAAAUAAUAAGAUUGUAUUAUUUGAGUAUUAUGUGUUUUGUGCUUAAUUGCUUAAUUAUGUGGUUUGAUUAAUUAAGAAUAAAAAUAAGCGUCAAAAUUUAAGUGUAAAAUAAACUUAAUAUCUUUGGUUAAUGUUGUAGUAGUUGAAACGAGGUUUCCGAAUAUAUAUAGAACGCCCAAAUCUGACUUCGUAUGAGGAAGUUAUGAUUUAUCGAAGUUCCGGCUUAGCGAUAUACAGCCUGUUUUACUCGAUUUGAGAUCGAGCGGUUGUUAGCCGAAGCAAUCUAAAUGAGAAUCGAAGAUCUCAUUGUUGGUAUUGAAACGAUAAAAAGUUAGGCGAGAACGGACGUCAAACGAAGAAGUUAUGAAUUUAUAACGAAAGUUUCUGUCCCGGCCUAUUAAAAAUAAUUAAUAAAAAUAAAGUCAAAAUUAGCCGACGGAGUCUAAACGAAAGUCGUAGAGCGUGGUCUCACCUUCGCGUGGAUAUAAAGAACGUCGAAAACGGAGUUCGUAUGAAGAAGUUAUGAAUUUCCGAAGUUUAUUAAUCAUUUUGUAUUUAUUUUUAAUUCAAAAUUCGGAAGCAUUAUCCGAAGGAGUCACCGAUCUGAUCCGAGGUACGCCCCGCGUACUCGAGUACGCCCCGCGUACUCCGAGGGAUGUCGACACUCGCACUCGAGCACUUCGGAUACGUAAGCAAUGACGUUUUGGGCAGUACGCCCCGCGUAACGCAGUACGCCCCGCGUACUCCGAGGCUCCAGCCUCCUAUAAAUAGGAUGCGAGGGUUCCGGGUAUUUUUGCCAAUUCCCUCUCGUUUUCGUGUCGAAGCUCUGUGCAAAAACCCCCGAAGCUACCCCGAAGUCCCGGUAUCAUACUCUAGCCCCGAGGCAAGUCCCGAGAUCCUGAAGAUCCCGAAAAGUGCGGUUCCCGAGUCGAAGCUCUGCCCGCGAGAAGUUCGAUUUUCGAGAAGAUCUUCCAGAUCUGCUGUGGAUUACUACUUCUAUAAGCCGUAGUGCUGUCCGAUCAUCUUCUGAUCAAGUGAGUGUGUAGUUAUUUCUUCUAAUACAAUAAUACGAAGUAUUUUAUAUAAAAAUACGUGCUAUGUGUAUAUAUUUUGUUGUUAUAUAUGUGAAUGUAUACCCACUCUCUUCUAUCUUAUAGAUCUGAUUAUUUCUCAAUGAAAUACGUGUUAUGUGUGUGUGCCUCAUCUGUUAUGUGAAAAAUGUUUUGAUUGAGCAUGCUAUACAGGUUUUGAAACUACGUAUAAAAAUGUAUAUUUUAUCUACUAAUAUGUUGGGUAGAAUAUGGGUAGAUAGUUGGUGUGUAAUAAACAGAUGAGAGGCCUCGAUGUUGUUUUGAUCCAGUCAUCUAGCGGAAUUUAGAUGACGACCACGGACUUUUCUAGACAGUCCAGUGGAACGCUAGCAGGCUCAUAACCUGUAGGUGUUAAUGAACUUGGGUGUUCAUUCGCUGUAUUCCAUCCCCCCCAUGGUUGCCUUAUUUGACUUAUAUUGCUGAGGAACCCCCGAAGCAUGUGUAGUCGCCCCGAUGAAAUAUUCUUUGACUAGGUCCCUUGUGUUAGUUAUUUUAGGGACAUAAAGUGAGAAUAACGGGAAUGGGUAACUGGGUUAUUGUUGGAUGAUAAUAAUUAAUUAAAUUAUUUAUUGUGGGUUGAAAACCCUAUAUGCUCACCAGGCUCCCAAGCCUGACCCACUCAGUUGAUUUAUUUUACAGGAAGUGGCGCAAGAGCUUAAGAUGGGCGAACAUCAAGUUGUUUUGUUUACAAGUCUGUAUAUGUAUAUAUUUGUUGAAAGACUUGUAAUGCUAUCGUUUAUGCUUUAUGAUCUGUAUCGGAACAUGACAUCCCGACUUUUGAUUAUGAAAUGAAAUCAUAUUUCUUUAUGAAAUGUUUUGAUAAAUAUCUAUUUUAUCAUGUUUUGUUUUUGGGAACAAAUUCCGCAUCUCUUUUAAAAAUUAAAAGGAUUUACUCUGAAAAUUAUUUUAAAAAGCAUAAAUGAAAUCGGUCUUUUCUGGCCGAGAUUUUGGGGAUGUCACAAGUAAGUAGCUCGUCUCUCUGAUAAUAUGUAUUAUGUUGGUCAUAGAUGAUUCUUGAAUAUGAACCAUAGCUAGAGGGAUAGCCUAUUGUUUGAUAGUCCACCUAACACAAGACCGCGUCUUAGACAAUUCAGUAAUGUAACUAUAUUAAAGUAAGUAGCUCGUCUCUCUGAUAAUAUUCCAGGGGAAUAUCCUAAUCAUGGGGCUAAAAAAGAAAGCAUGAACAUGAAAGCAAAAAGGCAGAGUUGAAUCGGAUGAAACAAAGUAUCUUAUUUGAGCUUGAGUAUUGGUCUUCCCUCCACCUAAAACAUAAUUUUGAUGUUCUACAUGUUUUGAAAAAUAUGAAUGAGAGUGUGUAUAAUACUACACUGAUGAACGAUAAAAGAAAAUACAUAAAAGAAGUAAGAAUUGACUUGAAAAAUACGGUCAUUCGACCAGAUCAAUGGCCAAAAGAGAAAGUCAAGAAGAAGAAGACAGUACACCAUUCUAUGGUCCCUUGGUUGAUGCAUCUCUCAUUUGGACUCCUUCAACCCAUAACAUUUUCAACUCAGCCACCAAAGGCCUCAAGUAAACAUCAAUGUCCUUUGUAGGUGAUCUAGGGCCAGGAAUCAACAAAGUUAGCAUGAAAGAAGAGUCCUUCAUACAUAUCCAUGGUGGUGUAUUGUAGUUAGUAAAUAUAACCAUCCAAAUAAUAUAAGUAUUAUUAAAGUUGUUGAACGGAUUAAAGCCAUCAGCAGCUGAACCUAGACGAAUAUUUCUAUAUUCUUUAGCAAACUCUCGAUAUCUCUUAUCAAAUUAUUUCCAUGACUUCUCGUCAACCGGAUGACGCAUCUUACCAUCCAUUGAGCAUCCAGUAUUAUGACAACUAAUAUAUUUACCAGUGAAUCUGGAACUAUACAUUCGUCGAAGCCUUGAGUCAAAGGAAACUACCACAAUGCUUUUUGUGGUACUCUCUUCCCAUUUUGUUGUUGUGUCCACCCAUUUGCUUGCAUUACAAAUUCGGGCAAUUUUACAUGGAAUCAUUCUCCUUCCAAAACGAAGCACAAUCAUAUUUACAAGUAUGGAUGGAUUGAUAUCAAACCCUAUCUUUCUCAACUUAUUCUUAGCUUCAUAGUGUGAAGUUGCUCUUCGGGAAUGAAACUCUUAGUAACUCUACAAGUUGGUUAAAAAAAAUAUUUGUCCAUUUAUUUAUCACUUUAGUAUGCAACAACUUUGCCAGAAAGUUUAUGUAACGUCCCAAAAAUUAAGACUAAAAGUUUUUAAUUUUAAAUUAAUUAAAACCAUUAUCCAAACAACAUCUUAGAAAUCAUAGUGCAUCAAAGUGUAUCAAUAACAUCCAUGUACAUCAGCAAGAUAUAAAAAUGCAGAACGACGUGGUGGGUGCAUUGCAAUCAUCCCGUGUAACGCCCGUAAACUCGGGCUAGUCAAUUUAGAGACAAUGUGCGUCAAAAAUGACUUUUUGAUGGGAGAUUGUUUACAAGAAACAAUCUUAACCAAGUUAUAUUAUAUGUCACAAAGGUUCCUUAUAUAUAAAGAACGCCAAAAUCCGAGUUAUAACGAAGAAGUUACGACCUUUCGAAGUUCUACGACAAAACCAACACGGCACCGUGUAACGUAAAAAGUGAAAUCUUGAUAAAUUACUUUUUAGCCUUAGGGAUCUAAAUGAAAGUUGUUUUAUACAUUAAAUUGAGAGCAUGCAUAAAAAGAACGUCAAAAUCUGACUUUGUAUGAGGAAGUGAUGAUUUUUCUAAGAUUUCGCACAGAGUAUACAACCUGGAAUUCGAAUGUCAGAUCGAGUGAUUUUUAGCCAACACAACCUAAAUUAUAAUUGAAUAUCUCAUUAAUAGGAGUUCAACGAUAAAAAGACAGUUAAAAACGGAGUCUGUAUGCAGAAGUUAUGAAUUUUACACGGUCGUUAACAAAAUAAUAUUUUCAUACUGUUAUAUUUAAAAUUGGUUGAGAAUUAGCCGAUUCAAUCUAAAGGAAAGUUGUAGAUCUUGUCAAUACCUAUGUGUGGAUAUAAAGAACGUAAAAAACGGAGCUCGUAUGCGAAAGUUAUGAAUUUUUUAAAAUUUGUUGUUUUACCUGCGUCCAGCGCCACGUGUCAGCACCAGGCGAAGCCUUAGUGCCUACACAAGGCCACGACGUGGAUUAUAAGUCUAUGAUGUUGAUUUCCCCAGAUAACCUAUAAAUAGAGGUGGAAAUAAUCCAUUUCCUUCACACCUUCACCCUUCUUUCUGUCUCAACACUCCCAAUCUCUCCCUCCUAAUCCCUAGCAACUUCUAAGUGCUAGAGGCGAGUCCCGGAGCGCCAAAAGGGUCCGAGAAGAAGAGUUUUCGUCUCAAAAUUUCCGCCCCCUCAGAGCCCGGUUCCUAGCCAAACCCCCAGGAAGUGAGUUAUGCUUACACUACUUUAAGUAUACUUAUGUUUAAGUUUAUUAUCGUUAUUAUGAACUUAUAAACAAGAUUUAUCAGUGAUUCCAAGUCGUUAUACUAAUUGAUCUACUUACGGGGAUGAUAUAUAGGUUGUGAUUUAGUGAGGUGUUUAAAGUGGGAUUUCAAAACAGUAUACUUCGUAUACGAAACGGAACUUACCUCCGAUAUGAUCCUACAUGGUUGUUCCUUACUUGAUAGAUCAUGAAAGUAGACUUUGAGUUAAUGAUGAAUCUAGACUAAUAAUUAGUCGUGCGUAAAGAUUAGACUAAAACUUAGCGAUAAUAAUGCUAGGUUUCAUCGAAGGAAAAUAGAAUCAUGAGAAGCAAAGUGCUUCCCGAGUUUGGAAUUAUCACUUUGAUAAGUGAGUGCAUAGUUACUUUCAUCUUACACAUAGAUAUGAAGUAUAUUAUAUAAAUUACAUGCUAUGUGUUCAUAUUAUAUGUUUACUUUAUAUCUAUGCUAGAUGAAUGAUCCUAUACAUGUUUUGAAUGAUUUAAACUGUAUAUAUAUUUUUUGUAUCUAUAAAAUCUAUUGGGUAAAACAUGGGUAGAUGAAUGAUAAGGGAUGAAAGUUGAUAUAGAGGAACAUUGGCAGUUAUAGACAUAGUGUCCUAUAGGUGAACAUUGACAACAAUGGACUUAGUGCCCUAUAGAUGAGCAUUGGCAGCCGUGCCACCACCUGUAGAUGUUUUGAUCUACGAUGUACUCUAAACAUCAUAGCAGCUGCGCUCAAAGGGUAGUAUCGGCAGCUGCGUGUAACGCAUGUGUUUCUAGGCUUGUCAUUAAUAUUGAUGUAAUAGUGUAGGUUAACCAUUGUAACCUGUUUCGAAAUAAUAGAAGUGUAUUAUUUGAGUAUUAUGUGUUUUGUACUUAAUUGUGUGUCUUAAUUAAAUUAAGUAUGAAAAUAAGCAUCAAAAUUAAAUGUUACAUAAAGCUGAUAUCUAUGGAUAAUUUUGUAGUAGUUGAAACGAGGUUUCUGAAUAUAUAUAGAAUGCUGAAAUCCGAGUUAUAACGAAGAAGUUAUGAUCUGUCGAAGUUUCGCGACAUAAAUCGGCACGACGAUGAAUGACGUAAAAAGUGAAUUUAUGUUAGAUUUAUCUUUAGUCCUAGUGAUCUAAACGAAAGUUGUAGAGUUCGUUAAACCGAUAGCGUGCAUAAAAAGAUCGACCAAAUCUGACUUCGUAUGAGUAAGUUAUGAUUUUCCGAAGUUUCGACUUAGCAGUGUGCAGCCCGAAUACUCGAUUUGAGAUCGAGCGGUUUUUAGUCGAAACAAUCUAAACGAGAAUCGAAGAUCUCGUCAAUGGUAGAGCAACGGUAAAAAGAUAAAUGAAAACGGACGUCAGAUGAAGAAGUUAUGAAUUUAUAACAGAGUUUUCCUAUCCCGGCCUACUAAAAAUAAAUAAUAAUAAAAUAAAUUCAAAAUCAGCCGACAGAGUCUAAACGAAAGUUGUAGAGUGUAGUCUCACCUACGCAUGGAUAUAAAGAACGUCGAAAACGGAAUUCAUAUGAAGAAGAUAUGAAUUUCUGAAGGAUUUAUAUGAUUAAUAUUUAUUAAUUAAUCUUUAAUUCGAAUGUAUAUCCGAAGGAGUCACCGACCUGAUCCACACUAUGCCCAGCGUACACCGAAGCGUGACCCACCUCGCACUCGAGUGCUCCGAUGACACAUGCAGUGACGAAUCCGAAGCGUACGCCCCGCGUACUGAGCAUUACGCCUAGCGUAAUGCGAGGCUUCAGCCACUAUAAAAGGGCAUGCGAGGGCAGCCAAUCCUUUUGCUCAAUUUCUUUUCUCUCUCUCUUGUUUUCCAUCGUUUUGCGUUCAACUUAUACCCCGAAUCCCCAGUAUCAUUCCCGAGCCCCGAAGCAAGUCCCGAAGCCCCGAAGAUCCCGAGGAGUAGAGUUCCCGAGCCGAAGCUCUACCCGCGAGAAGCCAAUUUUUGUGAAGAUCUUCCAGAUCUAUCAAAGAAUACUACUUCUACAAGUCGUAGUGCUAUCUGUUCAUCUUCUAAUCAAGUGAGUGUGUUGUUACUUUCUUCUAACGCAUAAUUACGAAGUAUUUUAUAUGAAAUACGUGUUAUGUCUAUAUUUUGUGUUGGAUAAGGUGUCUAAGUCCAUAACUAUUUCUGGUAUGUACUUGACCCGACCCGGCAUGGUCCAUUUGGGUUGCAUGGCAUCAUCCAUUUGGAUAGACUAUAUGAGAGAAUUAACACUUGUGGUUUAUUAAUAUAUUAUAAGUUCAAAUAUAUUAAUAGUAUUAUUUAAUUAGUAUUGAUCAAGAAUUAAUCUAGAAUUAAUUAAGUGAUCAAAUGGUGACUAAUUAAAUAUAUGAGUUGAUUAUGUAAAUCCUCCAUAACUUAUAUAGUGGACUAAAGGGCUCCAUUGAUAAUCAAGUUGGGUUUGUUGGAUUAUUGUCUAAGUCCAUAAACUAUUUUGGUAUGUACUUGACCCGAUGGUGUAUGGUCAUUUUGGGUUGCCUUCACCAAAGCAACUUGAUAGGAUGAAUUAUAAAGAGAAAGGAUUAAAUAUGAUUUAUUAAUAUAUUAUGAUAAUACUAUAUUAAAGGAGAAAUCAUAUUGUUUAAUUAAUAUUAGUCAAGAAUUAAUUGAUAAUUAAUUUUGUGACUAAAAGAGAUUAAUUAAACUUAAGGGACUAGAACUGUCAAUUGUAUGAUAGUUGAAUAUUGAGCUAAUGGACUCCAUAUUAAAGGAGUGGAUGAAUUCUAUGGGGAAACCCAUUAGAAAUCGUCCUAGGCCUUUAAGGAAGGAGCCCAUGGGUUACUUAGGGCUUAAGCAUCCAAAUUAGGGUUUCCUUGUUAGAUAACCCUAAUAGCCUCACUAUUUAAGGACCCUUUGGGCACCAAAAACGUAGGCAACUGAAUCCUAGGGGUUUCUACACGUUUUUGGGUGUUUCUUCUCUUCUCCUAUUCAUCCUCUUGCUCUUGGUGUUUGUGAACCAUUAGAGGAGUGACAUUUGUGACUCUAAGCUUUCUAAAGUCAUUACAAAGGAGGAUUUGAGAUUGUUAUUGCUACAUAACAAUCAAGGUAUGAUCUAAACCCUAAUUCAUAUCUUAUACUGAUUAUCAUAUACUAGAUCCAAGCAUUAGGGUUUGUAUGAGCACAUAGGAUGUUCUUAUAGCUAAAACCCAUCAGUGGUAUCAGAGCCUUGAUUGGUUUCUAUUGUAUUGAUGCCUUGUUAAUUUGUUCAUGCUUGAAAAAUUCGAUUUUGUGAGUCUGCCUAAUGAACUCGGCGAGUCCCAUUGUGGACUCGGCGAGUAGGCCCCUACUCGGCGGGUCCAUAGGGGUACUCGGCGAGUUCGAGCGUCAGAAAGAGGGGACUUCGAGAUUUCUUGCUGAUUUACUCAUGGAUACUUGCCUUAUCUGUUUUAGAUCAUUAAAAUCCGAUUUUAAACAUAUUUAUGAGUAUAUCCUUGAUUAAACAAAAGAUAAUUACCAAUUGAUUAGAUAAUAACUUCCUUAUAUGAUAAAGUUUGAUUAUUUGUAUUAAUUGGGUAACUUAUUUUGCAAGAAAUUGAAAUUAGGUCAAAUAUAGAUAAUGAUGAGAUUAAUUGUUUAAUUUAUAUUAUUUGUUAUUUGAUCCUUGUGUUAUGAAAAGUUUCAAUUUUCCCCUUUAGGUUUUAUAGUUUAAAUUUGAACUCAAAAGUUUNUAGGGUUUCAUGUACACCACAGGAACGAUGUUUCAUAAACUUGACGAGUUCCAUAGACUCGAUGAGUUAAGUGUCCUGGUGCCGGGAUUUUCGAUUUUCUGGCCAAAUUUUAAUGAGGAUAACUGUGAAAACUCGUUUUUCUUUCCUAAAUUCAAAUCUUUAAGAUCGGUAUGGAUAUCCUUAUCAGAUUUGGUGGAUUUAGUUAAAUAUGGAUGAUAUAGGAUUAUUUUGAUUCAAAUAUUUAACCUAGUAAGUUUGAAAAGUUUCAAAUUACACCCUUUAGGUUUUAUAGUUUAAAUUUGAACUUAAAAGUUUUAGUUUUGAAAUUUAAAUAGUUAAACCCUAAUAUUUUGAAAAGUUUUAAAAUUUGUCCUUAAAUUUUGGAAUUUAAAAUUUAAUUAAAAGGUAUUACUUUUGCAAUAUUAAUUUCUAAAACCCUAGUGUUUUGAAAAGUUCAUAUUACACCCUUAUGGUUUUAUUAAAUUAAUUAAGUGCUUAAUUAAGAGAGAGAAUUAAUAAAUCCAUAACAAUAUGGUUUAAGAUUAAUCAAAUUAAAAGUGUAAUUUAUUAAUAGAUUAAACCACCUAAUAUUUUUAAAGUGUAAAAUACACCAUUAUACUAUAUAUAAAAUUAAAAGUCUAAUAUAUUAUAUAUGUAUAAGUAAAGAGUCUGUCUUAUCGUUAGUAAGCCUUAUUCACGAAGUUGGUCUUUAAGGGGUGUUUAAGGAAGCGGCAUGUAAAAUGACCGUCAUUGGAUAUCCACUCUUACCCACCGCACCAUUAACUAGUGGAGGGUCAUUAGCCGAAUGGGUAGGAUAGGACAUAACCUUCCAUUAUAAGUAUAAUGAAAUACGAAGUAACUAAACGUUUAUAUAAAUUCUCAAAUCUUAGUUACUGUAGGAAAAAUGUGAAUUUGGUGCUAAUCCAUGAAAUUGCACAUUGCACCUUGUUGGUCGUUAGUGGAGCGUGUGUGGUUAACAGAACACUAAUAUGGGACCAAUGAAGGAUGGCAAUGGGUUUCUCGUAAUAUUAUCAUUGAUCAAUGGAGCGUGUGUGGUUAACCGGCACAUUGAUUGGGUGGUGAUCGACAUCGAGAGUAUCAAGCUAAUUUGCAUGGUUAUUCACACCUUGUUUGUGAUCCUCGGCGUCCCAGUCACAAACUUGAAAGGCAUAAUCGAGAUUAAACAUGCCAUUGAAAAGUUUAAUGAAUCUCAAAAGAUCUAGGGCUUUCAAUUCAUUAAUAACCUAAUUUUCAUUUUUGUUUUUCAUGGUGGAAAUUGGUAAAUCGUCAUUUACCUACCUUCAAAUAUUUUGCGACUGGAUUACGGCAUCCCUCUUCCGAAUUGUAGAAUAUUGUGUUGGAUCCUAGCCUUAAUAUUCCCUUUGGGUGUUAUAUUAAGGAUUGAAUCAACUAACUUGAACUUCUCCCAUUUUGUAGAUGUCUAAAUCUAACAACUAUGGUAUUCCACAAUCCUUUGGAAAAAGUCUUCCACAUGAAGAUGAUGUUCCACGAUUCGAUCGAGGAACAAGAGAUCAUGCUUCACUUCAUCCUCCUCCUCCCGUUGUUCUCCCUAACCCACAAGAUCGAAGAAUUGAAAGGUUCAAUGUCACUAAAGCCCUAUUGGAAAUGAAACAUGAAGAUAAUGUUGGGUGCGUCAUUCCCCGAUAAGUUGGCUGUGAACUGGGUUCUGCAGUCGCUCCCUGAAUCAUAUAAUGAGUUCAAGAGAAUGUAUUAUAUGAUGGAUCAUGACGAUAACCUCAUUGACCUAACUUACAUGCUCAUUGCUGCUGAAUCAGAAAUAAUUUGGCAAAGCAAUGGAGCGGUUUUGUUGGGAAAGUCAACCAACCAUGCUUUCGAGGACGUUCUAGGAGAACCGACCUGCGUUUGCUGCCAAGAGAAAGGGCGUUGGAUACAAGUUUGCCCUAAGAGCCUGAAGAAUCCAAAAGAUGGGAGAGUCAAAGAGUAUGGUUGUGCUUCAGGUAAAAAUCCACUAUCUAACUCCAUUAAGUUCUUAUUCGUUGAUUCUUAAUACAUGAUGUGAUAAGAUUGCAUUUGAAUGUUUUGCAGGAUCAGUGAAAAGAGAGGAAGCUUGAUGGAAAAGCAAGAUAAGUCUAAUCACAAAGAAAUGGAUCUCGAUCGCAUGGACUUGAAGAUUAGAUUUUGAGCUUAGAAAGUUAUGAUAGAGUUGUUAGGAAUAUUAGACUACAUAGUUUUUCAGUUAAUUUUGCAUUGUAAGGAAAAAUGUUUUCCGCUGCUUUUAUGAAUAAAAUAAAUUUUGAUUUGACUCAUUUAUUUAUUUAUUUCCUUGCAAUGAAAUCGUUAUGAAAAAUUGAUGUUUGCAUAUUUCUACAACGAAUGGAUGUGAUUCUUAAUUAUGUUAAUUAUGGAAAGGUCAAGAAUUUACCAAAUAGGAAAAGUUUCUCAUCGCCCAAGUUUCAAUUGGAUAGAGACUUGGGUCAUGCAACUUGGUUGCACGAUGAAUGAGAAAUUUCAUAUGUGGAAAUAAGACUAAUUCGUUGACAAAGUGUCAAGUGAAGAACUAGGAGAUCGAGUACACAAAGUUGUGUGUUGAUCAAGUCCACCGCAAGAGUAACGAAGAUAUUCGUCAUGAUUUACUAGAGGUUUAGUAAAAAUGAUUAUACUUAUAAGAUUAAGUGUAAUUCUGAAUUGAUUGAAAAAGGUUUAAAUCAAUAGCAUAACGAAUAAGAAGAAUCAAGUAGACAGAAAGAUAAAAGUCUCUCUAUUCUAAGAAGAAGGGAGAGUAUCUUUAUGCUUUAUGAUAUGUCUUAAUGAUUAAGAACCAUAUCUCAAUUGAUCCUCUAAGUAAGUCUUAGUACAAUUGUAUGUCUGAGAAGAGGAAUCAAGAAUUAAAGAAAUGGUUAAAAUCAAGAAGUCAAUCGUAUUUCGUUCCAAACAAGUCUUAGAGUUAAGAUUGUGACAUAGAGUGACAAGUAUUAGGAAGGUUUAUGACAAUCAUCAAAUGUAGAAUUUGGAAAAGGGUUUUCUUAUUCUUGCACAUUUGAAAUUCGUAAGUUGUGAUGUCUUGGAUUAGACAAAGACCAACGAGGACCAAUUUGUGAAGUGUUUUGUCUUGAUAAAAGCUACACUAACUCUUGAAUAUUUGGUUGUCGAGAAAUGUUUAUUGACAAGAGAAUCUUAUAUGUCAAGGAGUCAGUGGGAGUCUUAAUGGUCUUGAAAAGGUUUCAAUAACAAAUCAAAAUAAACCUUAUCAAUCAUCACUAGCACACGAGUUGAGGUUUACAACCUAUCGUGUUGACAUUAUCUUGUUUCUGUGCCGUUCCAAUCGAGUUAAUUAUGCAUGUGAGUUCUAUGAGUUCUCAUUUGAAUGCAUAAAAGGCAAGGACCUUGAUCAAUGGAAAGUACAUUGAUAGGAAAGGGUGAGCUGCUUAACUACUUGGAAGACAUGGUGGGCAGCCGUGUUACCAUAAGGCAAGAAAUCAAGAUUAAGAGUUCGGUCCAUAUAAGUUUGAAUUUGUCAUAAACUUUGGUUUUAACAAAUUCACAUGGAUAGGAACACAUACACUAUUAAAAUCUAAGUGUCAUAAGAUUCCCUCCUUCAUGGAAAUGACUGUGAGGUAAUGCUUUCACUAAAAGAGAUUUUAAGAAGAUAGUAAUUGUGAAAAUUGGAUUCUCGAAUUCGAUUAUGGUUACAGUAUCCCUUUCCAUGAUUCGAAUUGUAAGAUUUGGCAAUUAGUCUGAAUUGUUUAGACACACAUAUGAGCUAUCUAAGGGAAAGGUGUAUAAGCUUAGAUAAAGGAUUAUCAAAGCAUUAGUUAUUAGAAACAUGAACUUAAGAAAUUCAAUAGGUAUUGUUCUUCUGAAAGUUAAGUUGUUUCUAAAUACAUGUCAAAGCUAGUGGGAGCAUAAGUGUUAUGUUUAUAAUAAUCAUCAUGAUAGUGGGAGCAUAAAUGUUAUGAUUAUGUGAUUAUUAAGGCAAGUAUUGCAAGUUAGCAAUAUUAAUUAUAGAAAACAAGAGUUAUACUUUGCAAAGUCACAAUGGUUAAAAGGUUGUUUUGCUAUAAUUAAGGGAGAGAAUAUUAUGCUUCAUUUCAAAACUAAAGGCUUAGGUUGUGGAAUGUUAAUUAUUUUAGUCAAGGAUACAUAGUAUUCUUAAAUUUCGAUUAUGAUUACGACAUUUCUCUUCAUAGUUCGAAUUGUGAGAACAUAGCACAUAAAAUAUUAUGGCAGAAGACUGAUAAAGUAUCAAAUCUUUAUGCAUCGUGUCCCAUGCGCUUCGGGUAUAGGAUCGAUUGCAAAUGCUAUAAUAUUUGACCAUUCCAAAAUUUUCCAAAUGUCUAGCGCAUUUAGAGGGAAAAGGACAAGAAUAGGUUUUGACUAAGAUAAUUAAACAACUAUCAAAGGACAAUCCAAAGUUCGCCAAGGAUUGGUCACUUAUGAGUAGUUGGAAGUAUAGUAUUGAAUAGACCAUAUCGACAUUAUUAUGAAUAGAAAAGAUUCUAUUAAGAAUGAGUUGUCAUAUGGAAAAUAUGGAAACGUUUCCAUAUUGGGAGUCGGAUAUUGAGAAUCUAUGUCUAGAUUAGAAAUUUUAUGCAAAAGGAUGUUCAAAGGAAUGUCCUUUGAGUGAGAGACAUCACAUCUAAGGAAUUGUCUUGUAACAAUCUCCAAUAGACAGCUUUGUAAUUCAUUGGCAAUAGUCAUUGUGACUUUGGUGCAGUGACAUUAUGAAAGGAUGAUUGCAUAAAAUAUUAGAAUCUAACAUAUUCCAUAAGUGGCAAGAAUUUGAUAUUCUUUCACUUGUGAAAAGGAUUGGGAGUUAUGAAAUGAUUAUGAUUGGAAAUGUGUUCAUUUGAUCUAUUUCACAAAGUAAGAACCAUAGAUAAACACUGUGUGCAUGCUAAGAGCAUGGGACAAGUGUUGUAAUAAUUUAAGUAAGAAGUUUAUUACCCGAAACAAGAAAUAAUGAGUAAUCGAUAUGGUGAUAAUAAAAGGUGUUUUAUUUAUACUCAAGGUUUGAGGCCAUAUGGGACUAGUAUUAUUCUUGUGUUUCACUUUGCAUGUUUUGACUUCCUAAAUAAUUUAAAUUGGUUUAGAACAGUUAAAUUAUUCGAACGGGCCCUAGUCGUUCAUAUGUUGGAAGUAGGUAUGAAUGAAGACUGUCAUGAAUUGGUGUGUGGAUUGUCUAAAGAGCAUUAGACAUAAGCAAAUGUUUGCUGCAACGUUCAUGAGUGCUUAUAAAUAUGAUUUGAGCAUUGCAUUAAACCCACGCUCACUUGGAUCACUUCAUGGAUUUUAUCACGAGUGAUUGGUGAGACGAUAAUAUCUUAUAUUCUUGAAACCGAGAUGUGUGAGUUGUAUCUUGCGAGUUGGUUGCACAUUGAUAAUACGUAAACGCACCAGUAACUUGGUGUUAUAAAACAUAUUGUUGUGUGUGAUUCGGUGAGUAAGUGCAAUCGAACAUUGAGUCAAAGUUUAUCCGUUCCUUUUAUCAAAAGUAGGAUAAAAACGAUUUCUGUGGGCCCCUCGAUUAUUUAGUGAUGGCACCUAAGCGCUUGGCCAAGCCGGGACUAAAUUGAUGUGUUCAAUUGUAGUCUAUUGUUAGUCGUCAUAAAUCUGAAUUCGGGAAACAACACAUAGACAGAGAGAAUGUUUUAGAUCCAUGUCUCAGUCUAUACGAUAUCUAGAAUGGAGGAAUAUAUGAUCCCUUAUCUAAAGGAUACGCGAAUAUGAUAAGAUCAGAGUUGACAGCGGCUUUAGAAAGCUACGAUUGCAGAUCAGGAUCUGAAGUCAUACGCAUAAUAGUUAUUAGACUUAUCCAAGUGGGAGACUGUUGGAUUAGUGUCUAAGUCCAUAAACUAUUUUGGUAUGUACUUGACCCGAUGGUGUAUGGUCCUUUUGGGUUGUCUUCACCAAAGCAACUUGAUAGGAUGAAUUAUAGAGAGAAAGGAUUAAAUAUGAUUUAUUAAUAUAAUAUGAGAAUAAUAUAUUAAAGGAGAAAUCAUAUUGUUUCAUUAAUAUUAGUCAAGAAUUAAUUGAUAAUUAAUUUUAUGACUAAAAGAGAUUAAUUAAACUUAAGGGACUAGAACUGUCAAUUGUAUGAUAGGUGAAUAUUGAGCUAAUGGACUCCAUAUUAAAGGAGUAGACAAAUUCUAUGGGGAAACCCAUUAGAAAUCGUCCUAGGCCUUUAAGGAAGGAGCCCAUGGGUUGCUUAGGGCUUAAGCAUCCAAAUUAGGUUUUCCUUGUUAGAUAACCCUAAUAGCCUCACUAUUUAAGGACCCCUUGGGCACCAAAAACGUGGGCAACUGACUCCUAGGGGUUUCUACACAUUUUUGGGUGUUUCUUCUCUUCUCCUAUUCAUCCUCUUGCUCUUGGUGUUUGUGAACCAUUAGAGGAGUGACAUUUGUGACUCUAAGCUUUCUAAAGUCAUUAUAAAGGAGGAUUUGAGAUUGUUAUUGCUACAUAACAAUCAAGGUAUGAUGUAAACCCUAAUUCAUAUGUUAUAUUGAUUAUCAUAUACUAGAUAUAGGGUUUAUAGUCUUGGAUGAGUUGCAUGUACAAUAGAGAAACCUAGAUCCAAGCAUUAGGGUUUUUAUGAGCACAUAGGAUGUUUUUAUAGCUAAAACCCAUCAGGGUUAAACCCAUUGGAUGCUCCAUGGAGGCUCCAUGGGAGUUACAAACCCAUGGGUAAUGGAAAUGAAGAGUCAUGUCACAUUAGGGUUUACAUGGCGUAACCCUAGAUGUGACACACUAUAUAAAGAACAUCAUACUCCCUAAAAUCGGCUACACAUAGUGACAAGAGGGCUUGCCUGAUUUUUUGAGUGUUACACGUUCUCUCAAAGUUGUUCCAAAGCAUUUGGUGUUGUAUGAAGCAUUUGAGGAAUCACACUUAGGGUGCUAGGCUCUCAAGGUUUCAAGGAAUCAUAACAACAACAAGGUAUGUGUUUCUAGCUAUCUUUUAUAUUAUAAAGUUCCCCAUGUAUGCUAGAUAGGUUUAUGAACCUUGGAAAAAAGUAAUUUGCAUGUAUCUUAUACAAACAUAGAUCCAAGGUUCUCUAGGGUUGCAUGUACACUUAGGAGUGUUAGAAUUGCUCAAAACCCUUCGAUGGUAUCAGAGACUAGGCUUGCUUGUUUGAUAUUUGAUGCAAAAUAGUGAAAAAAGUCGAUUUUUUGUUGUCUGCCUGCUGAAAUCGCCAAGUCCAUGGGGGGACUUGCCGAGUUCAUGUGUAAAAUCAUCCUACUCGUCGAGUAGGUUCAUGCACUCGACGAGUAGGAGCCUCAGAAUGCAGUUUUUUGACUUUUGCUGCUGGAAAUGGACUAGAAACGUUACCCUAAACUGUUUGGGUGUUAUUAAACAUGUUUUAGAUGGUGUAAUGGUUGUUCUAAUCCAUUUAUAAUGACUAAUAUCAAAAUUCCAUGAUUUUAUGUUUUCUUGAAAAUUUGAUAUUCAUAUUCAUGUUCUUAUGAGUUUAGAUGAUCAUAGGAAUUAUGUGUAACUUCUUGAUAGUUUUAAUUCUUAAUCAUUAUGUGUUUUAAUGGAAUCCAUAAUUUGUCCUCAAGUUAUGAAUUACCAAAAGUUUUAUCUUUGAAUGUCCAUUGAAGAAACACAUAGGUUACAUAAAAUGAAGAUUUACUCAUUUUAAUGAACCAAUUAAUCUCAUAAGUUAUGGAUUGAAGAGUUUUGUUAAGUUACAAAACUUUCCCUCAAAUUUUGGAACUUGUAAAGUCACCUAAUUAACUUUAGUUCCAACCCCUAGAAUUUAAAAUGUUAAAAUUCAACACUUAUACUUUAUAAUAUUAUAAGUUUAAUAUAUAUAUAUAUAUAUAUAUAUAUNNNNNNNNNNNNNNNNNNNNNNNNNNNNNNNNNNNNNNNNNNNNNNNNNNNNNNNNNNNNNNNNNNNNNNNNNNNNNNNNNNNNNNNNNNNNNNNNNNNNNNNNNNNNNNNNNNNNNNNNNNNNNNNNNNNNNNNNNNNNNNNNNNNNNNNNNNNNNNNNNNNNNNNNNNNNNNNNNNNNNNNNNNNNNNNNNNNNNNNNNNNNNNNNNNNNNNNNNNNNNNNNNNNNNNNNNNNNNNNNNNNNNNNNNNNNNNNNNNNNNNNNNNNNNNNNNNNNNNNNNNNNNNNNNNNNNNNNNNNNNNNNNNNNNNNNNNNNNNNNNNNNNNNNNNNNNNNNNNNNNNNNNNNNNNNNNNNNNNNNNNNNNNNNNNNNNNNNNNNNNNNNNNNNNNNNNNNNNNNNNNNNNNNNNNNNNNNNNNNNNNNNNNNNNNNNNNNNNNNNNNNNNNNNNNNNNNNNNNNNNNNNNNNNNNNNNNNNNNNNNNNNNNNNNNNNNNNNNNNNNNNNNNNNNNNNNNNNNNNNNNNNNNNNNNNNNNNNNNNNNNNNNNNNNNNNNNNNNNNNNNNNNNNNNNNNNNNNNNNNNNNNNNNNNNNNNNNNNNNNNNNNNNNNNNNNNNNNNNNNNNNNNNNNNNNNNNNNNNNNNNNNNNNNNNNNNNNNNNNNNNNNNNNNNNNNNNNNNNNNNNNNNNNNNNNNNNNNNNNNNNNNNNNNNNNNNNNNNNNNNNNNNNNNNNNNNNNNNNNNNNNNNNNNNNNNNNNNNNNNNNNNNNNNNNNNNNNNNNNNNNNNNNNNNNNNNNNNNNNNNNNNNNNNNNNNNNNNNNNNNNNNNNNNNNNNNNNNNNNNNNNNNNNNNNNNNNNNNNNNNNNNNNNNNNNNNNNNNNNNNNNNNNNNNNNNNNNNNNNNNNNNNNNNNNNNNNNNNNNNNNNNNNNNNNNNNNNNNNNNNNNNNNNNNNNNNNNNNNNNNNNNNNNNNNNNNNNNNNNNNNNNNNNNNNNNNNNNNNNNNNNNNNNNNNNNNNNNNNNNNNNNNNNNNNNNNNNNNNNNCUCCUGGAAGAAUCGCGGGGCCACCCCGACUCAACUCGCCGAGUCUGAAGAACAACUCGACGAGUCCCAGUUAAUCUUCAAGCUACUCGCCGAGUCUGUUCAUCGGACUCGGCGAGUCCAUGCCAUGCAACCGCUCAAACUGCUUUCUAAGGUCAGAACUGCUCCGACCAUUCAUAGGUCUGGCCUUCCUAGACUGAUUCAUCACGUAAGGUCCUCAUUUCGGUGCUCAUAAUACACCCCAUGACUCAUAAUUUACAUUUUGACCUAAGGCAUAAGGAUUCCAAUCCAAAACCUCCAUUGAUUCCUGAAAUGCUCAGGCAUGGGACAUUCUGGACUUCCAAAGAUCUCAAUACAGGGUUCCAAUCGUUUGGGGGACUAAAGUAACACUCAAUCUAGCCACAAAAGGGUUCAAUAAAUCCUAAAUCCAUAUACACAUCAACAUAGAAGAAUGUAACUCGAAAUAUUACCUGAAUAACGUGCUCUCUGUGUCCCCAAUCCACAGAACGUGGCUCUUCCUGUUGUUCCCUUAACCAAGCCUCUUCUUCCUUGCAAAACCACACUUCCAAAAUCAACAAUGGUCUUCAACCUUGCUCCAGACGCUCACAAUCGAAUUAGGGUUUCUCUCAGAGGACUAGGGUGAACAAUGACGGCCAUAAAGUCCCUCAUAUACGUCCCAAACCUGAACGGUUAGGGUUUUCGCUAAAUAGCGCAGACUCGCCGAGUCCAUAUCCGGACUCGUCGAGUCCAGUCGCGAACCCGCAACCAGAUCCGCGAUCCUACUCGGCGAGUCUAGGCUCCAACUCGCCGAGUCCCCUCUUAAAACACCCAAAAUCAUAAAUAUAACAAUACCUGAAAUUCCAGGCUGUUACAGUAAUCGGGUUAUUGUUGGUUGGUAAAAGUAAAUACAAUUAUUUAUUGCGGGUUGAAAACACUAUAUGCUCACCAGGCUCCCAAGCCUGACCCACUCAGUUUAUUUGUAUUACAGGUAGUGGCGCGAGGGCAUAAGAUGGACGAAUCAUCAAGUUAUUUUGUUUAUUAGACCAGUUGUUAUAUGUAACUAUUGUAUGGUCUAUCUUUUGUUGUUUAUGCUUUUGUGUCUGUAUCGGAACAUGACAUCUCGAGUUUUGAUUUUAUAGUGAAAAUACAUUUCUUUAUGAAAUGCUUUGGUAAAUAUUAUUUUAUCAUACUUUGUUUUUGGGAACAAAUUUCGCAACUCUUUUAAAUCAAAAGGAUUUACUCUUAAAUUAUUUUAAAAAGCAUAAAUGAAACUGGUCUUUUAUGGCCGUGAUUUUGGGGAUGUCACAGUGGGUAUCAGAGCAUUAGUUUAAGCGAACUAGGAAUUUGUAAGAUUUCUAGACUUAAACUUAGAAUGCUAAGUGGAGAUUGUGAGAAGUGUGUCUGUUAUAUUAUGGACACGAGCACUAGUAUAUUUUAGGAAGUUGCCUAAAAUGCUCUUAGGUGCUAAAUGUUAUAUGUUGCCAUAUAUGAUAUUAUUUGUUUGGAUCUAUGGUCUGUUGCCGACCGGAUCAUGAAACCUUAUGUGUGUAGGAUUCUAAGCAUACGUCUACGACAUUAGAACUAGCAUGUAAACGUUUCGGAGUGAUAUGGAAGAUCGUAAUAUCUAUCAUGAAUAAAGAUCUAAAUUUCACCUUAUUCGGUGUAUUGAUCAAGAAUGGCAAGAACAAGAAGCAGUGAUGGAAAUGCAAACAAGAACAGGAAUCAACCGCCUCUAAUUGAACAAGUAAUUGUUGAAACUGCUGCACCAGAGCAAAUCACUCUGGCUGGGGUGCAAGCCAUGAUUCGGGCUAUGUUAGCCGAACAAAAGGAAGAAAUGCGACAGAUGUUGCAUGAAAAUAGGGACGAACCAAUCAUACCCAUUGAGGAACCCAAACUGAUUCCCGAACAAUCGGAGGAAGGAAACAAUAGUCGCGUUGUGAGUCAAGUUGGGAGUCAAGGAGAACGAAGGAACGACCCGGAAAGGGGAAACAAAAAGGAUGGGAGAAUGUAUAAGAAUUUCUUGGGCGCCAAGCCGCCAAGUCUUUCUGGGAACCUAAAGCCCAUUGAGAUUAUGGAUUAGAUCUCCGAAAUGAAGAUGGUAUUUGAAAGUUGCGACUGUAUCAACAAACAGAAGACUGUCUUUGCAGUUAGACAACUGAAGACCGGAGUCUUGAGCUGGUGGAAGUUGUUGGCAGAUAUUAUGUCAUGAGGAGAAGCCCUGAAAAUGUCAUGAGAGGAGUUCUUAGAACAACUAAGGGCGCAGUAGUGUUCAGAGAUAGAUCUGAUUGAUCUGAACAAUGAGUUCCAAAACUUAAAGAAGGGGAGGAUGAGCAUAAAUGACUAUGCUAUCGCAUUCACUGAUAAAAUGAGGUUAUUUCCAUACCUAGUGCGAAUGAAACUCUCCAAGAUUGAGAGGUUCGCUAAUGGACUACCUUCCGACUUUUGCCCGAUAGUCAAGAUGGCAACUACUCUAAAAAUAGUUGUUUGUGCGGCUAAGAAUGUGGAGACCCAGCAGAAGGAAAAGGGUCUGGAAAGAAUAGAGGUUGGUGAGAAAAGGAAGUUGGAUGGACCUUUAGGGUCCAACAAGAAAAUCAAGUUUUCGAAGUCUAGUUCGAGAGGAGGAGGAGGAAGAGAAGCCAAAUGGUACGACAAAUGUAAGAAGAAGCAUCAUGGAAAAUGUGAAGUAGUAGCCACAUGUUUUAAAUGUGGAAAGCCAGGGCACUAUGCCAAUGAAUGCACUCUCACCAAGAAAGUUUGUUAUGGCUAUGGUGAGGAGGGGCACAUCUCGAGAGAUUGUUCGAAGAAGAAGGAGGCAUCAAAACCCAAUAUUCCCCCAAAGCCGAAGGCGAGAGCAUUCCAGAUGACACUGGAAGCUGCAAAAUAUGAAGCUGAUGUCGCUUCAGGUACCUUUCUCGUAAACAAAUUGCAUGCCCAAAUUUUAUUUGAUUCUGGAGCCAACUACUCCUUUAUUUCGCAUGAAUUUGGUAGAAACUAGCUUCUCCUGUCGAUAGACUAGAUAAUGCUUUAUUAGUCGAAGUUGCUAGUAGCAAAUUUCUACCUAUUAGCCAUCGUAUGAAAAACAUCUUAAUUCACUUGAAUGGGAAUAAGUUCCAUGAGGAAUUAUUGCCUAUCGAACUAAACAAUUUCGACAUCGUGCUGGGAAUGGAUUGGCUUAGCGCCAAUGACGCCGAAAUAUUGUGCAAGAAGAAGAUUGUAAAGGUAAAUCCGCCAGGNGCAAGAAGAAGAUAGUAAAAGUAAACCCACCAGUGAAAGAGUCAUUUAUGGUGUAUGGGGACAAACGCAGAGUAAAUUCUAGAAUCAUUUAUCUAAUGAAAGCCAGAAAGUGUUUGGCCAAAGGAUGUACAUCAUAUUUGGCAUUUGUGAUAGAUUCUAAGAAGGAGAAAAAGGUGAUGCAAAGCAUUCCUAUCGUAUGUGAUUAUCGGGAAGUAUUUCCCAAAGAUCUUCCCGGAUUACCGCCUGAUAGAAAUUUGGAGUUCAUAAUAGACUUGUUACCAGGGACGACGCCUAUAGCAAAAGCACCUAAUCGAUUAGCACCAUCAGAGAUGAAGGAGCUAAUGAUGCAACUUCAGGAGUUAUUGGGCAAAGGUUUAAUUAGACCUAGUUUAUCACCCUGGGGAGCUCCGAUGUUAUUCGUGAAGAAGAAAGAUGGAAGUAUGAGAAUGUGCAUCGAUUAUAGAGAGCUGAACAAGGCAACAAUAAAGAAUAGAUAUCCGUUGCUGAGGAUUGAUGACUUGUUCGAUCAACUACAAGGUUCAAGUUAUUUUUCAAAGAUCGACCAAAGGUCAAGAUAUCAUCAGCUGAAGGUGAAAGAGCAGAUAUAGAGAAGACUGCAUUCAGAACACGAUAUGGACACUAAGAGUUUUUGGUUAUAUCAUUUGGACUAACCAAUGCUCCAGCAUCAUUCAUGGAUUUAAUGAUCAUGGUUUGUAAUCCGUUCCUAGAUAAAUCUGUGAUAGUGUUCAUAGAUGACAUUCUGAUUUAUUUGAAAAGCGAAGAGGAGCAUGGCAUACACUUGCGAGAAGUGUUAGAAGUCUUGAAGAAGGAGAAGUUGUAUACAAAUUUCUCCAAAUGUGAUUUCUGGAUUCGAGAAGUCCAAUUCUUGGGUCACGUGAUCAACUAAAAAGGGAUAAUGGUUGAUCCAGCAAAGAUUGAAGCUGUAAUGAAGUGGGAACAACCGAAAAGUCCCACGGAGAUCCGAAGCUUUUUAGGAUUAGCCAGAUAUUACCGAAGGUUUAUCCAAGGCUUUUCUACGAUCGCUACUCCAUUAACAGCGUUCACCCACAAAGGAGUUACUUAUGCUUGGAAUGAUAAGCAUAAAGAAGAAUUCGAGAGGCUAAAGAAGAAGCUAUAUGAGGCAGCGAUUCUUUCUCUACCCGAUGGAGUUGAAGACUUCGCUGUUUAUAGCAAUGCGUCUGGUGUUGGCUUGGGUUGUGUUUUAACCCAAAGGGAAAAGGUGAUCGCAUAUGCAUCUCGACAGUUGAAGGAGCAUGAAAAGAACUACCCGACUCAUGAUUUGGAGUUGGAAACGGUAGUUUUCGCUCUGAGAAUAUGGAGGCAUUACCUCUAUGGCACGAAGUGCAACUUUUCACUGAUCAUAAGAGUCUCCAAUAUCUCUUUAGUCAGAAAUAAUUAAAUAUGAGGCAAUGAAGUUGGCUUGAAUUACUUAAGGAUGUACGACUGCGAGAUACUUUACCACCCUGGUAAGGCUAAUGUUGUUGCUGAUGUUCUCAGUCGGGAAGUCAAUCUUGAAAGAAAAAGGCCAAGAGCGUUGAGAAUAGAAGUUGUCUCAACAAUUGUGGAGAGUAUAAAGAAAGCUAAAGAGGAAGCUUUUGUGAAGAAUGAUCGAAAAGAAGAACUUUAGGGAAAAAUGUUGGUGUUCGGUAUAAACAGUCAUGGACUGAAGGUGUUCCAAGAUCGGAUUUGGAUACCUAAGACAAGAGGAGUCAGAGAUCUUAUGAUGGAAGAAGCUCAUAAGUCCAUGUACUCAAUUCAUCCCGGUAGUACUAAAAUGUAUAGGGACCUAAAACCCUACUACUGGCGGCCGACGAUGAAGCUUGAUGUUGAAAAGUAUGUAGCCGUGUGUGUGACUUGUGUGAGAGUCAAGACACAACAUCAGAAACCGUAUGGGAGUUUAGAACCUUUGCCUGUGCCUAUGGGUAAGUGGGAAGACAUUGCUAUGGAUUUUAUCACUAAACUGCCCAGAACGAAAAGUGGUCACAACAUGAUUUGGGUGAUCGUUGAUCGAUUCACUAAGAGUGCGCAUUUCAUAGCAUCCAAUGAGAAAUGGUCUAUGGAAAAGCGUGCGAAUUCUUUUGUGAAGGAAGUUGUGAGGCUUCACGGUGUUCCGUUAACGAUUGUGUCAUAUCGUGAUAGCCAUUUCACCUCGCGAUUUUGGAGAAGUCUACAAGAGGAAUUGGGUAGCAAGUUGUGUUUGAGUACAUCUUACCAUCCACAGACUGAUGGUCAGAGCGAACGGACGAUACAAACACUUGAAGAUAUGCUGAGAGCAUCUACCCUAGAAUUCCAAGGUACUUGGGAUGAACAUUUACCUUUGAUGAAAUUUUCCUACAAUAAUAGUUUCCACUAGAGCCUAAAGAUGGCACCUUGUCAAGCUUUGUAUGGACAGAAGUUUCGUACGCCGUCUUAUUGGCUUGAGGCUGGAGAAAAGAAGUUUAUGGGACCCGAGAUGGUUCAUCAAAUUGCUGAAAACCUGAAAAUAAUUUAGGAAAGAAUGUUAGUAGCUCAGGAUCGUCAAAAGUGCUAUGCUGACAAAUAGCGAAGACCGAUGACUUUUGAAGUUGGAAAUUCGGUUUUGCUUAAAGUCUCGCCAUGGAAGGGACUUAUAAGAUUUUGUAAAUGGGCAAAGUUUAGUCCAAGGUUUAUUGGACCUUUUAAAGUUCUUGAGAGGAUUGAGAACCAAGCUUACAAGAAUGAAUUGCCAGAAGAACUGCAUGGUAUUCAUAACACUUUCCAUGUGUGUUAUUUGAGGAAGUUUACUAGAGAACUUCCCGACAUGAUUCCACUUUCGGAGUUGAGAAUCAAUGAGAACAAAAGGUUGAUUGAAGAACCAGAGGCAAUCGUUCACUGAAAGACUAAGAAGUUGGGACGCAAGAUGGUCGAGUUUGUGCUUGUCCGAUGGAAACACACGAAUAGGCCAAAUCUCACCUGGGAGACGGAGAGUGACAUGAUCAGUCACUACCCGCAUUUGUUUGUUGAUGUGUGAUUCCGAGGACGGAAUCAUUCUAAGGUGGAGAGAAAUGUAACACCUGUGUUUCUGGGCUUGUCAUUAAUAUUGAUGUAAUAGUCCAGGUUAACCAUUGUAACCCGUUUCGAAAUAAUAGAAGUGUAUUAUUUGAGUAUUAUGUGUUUUGUGCUUAAUUGUGUGUCUCAAUUGAGUUAAGUAUGAAAAUAAGCGUCAAAAUUAAAUGUUAGAUAAAGCCGAUAUUUAUGUAUAAUGCUCUAGUAGUUGAAACGAGGUUUCCGAAUAUACAUAGAAUGCCGAAAUCCGAGUUAUAAGGAAGAAGUUAUGAUAUGUCGAAGUUUCGCGACAGAAACCGGCACGACGCUGAAUGACGUAAAAAGUGAAUUUACGUUAGAGUGAUACUUAGCCCUAGUGAUCUAAACGAAUGUUGUAGAUUUCGUUAAAUUGAGAGCGUGCAUAAAAAAAUCGCCCAAAUCUGACUUCGUAUGAGGAAGUUAUGAUUUUCCGAAGUUUCAACUUAUCAGUGUGCAGCCCGAAUACUCGAUUUGAGAUCAAGCGGUUUUUAGCCGAAACAAUCUAAACGAGAAUUGAAGAUCUCGUUAAUGGUAGUGCAAUGGUAAAAAGACAGAUGAAAACGGACGUCGGAUGAAGAAGUUAUGAAUUUAUAACGGGGUUUUUCUGUCCCGGCCUACUAAAAAUAAAUAAUAAAAAAAUAAUAUCAAAAUCAGCCGACGGAGUCUAAACGAAAGUUGUAGAGCGUAGUCUCACCUACGCGUGGAUAUAAAGAAAGUCGAAACGGAGUUCAUAUGAAGAAGAUAUGAAUUUCCGAAGUUUUUAAAUGAUUAACAUUUAUUAAUUAAUCUUUAAUUCGGAUGUAUAUCCGAAGGAGACACCGAUCUAGUCCGCACUACGCCCAGCGUAGUUGAGUACGACCAGCGUACACCGAAGUGUGACCCGCCUUACACUCAAGAGCUCCGAUAACGCAUGCAGUGACGAAUCCGAAGUGUACACCCCGCGUACUGAGCAUUACGCCCAGCGUAAUGUGAGGCUUCAGCCUCUAUAAAAGGGCUUGCGAGGGCAGCCAAUGCUUUUGCUCAAUUUAUUUUCUCUCUCUCCCGUUUUGCAUCGUUUUGCAUACAAAUUAUACCCCGAAACCCCGAUAUCAUUCCCGAGCCCCGAAGCAUGUCCUGAAGCCCCGAAGAUCCCGAGGAGUAGUGUUCCCGAGCCGAAGCUCUGCCUGCAAGAAGCCAAUUUUUUUGAAGAUCUUCCAGAUCUACCGAAGAAUACUACUUCUACAAGUCGUAGUGUUGUCCGAUCAUCUUCUGAUCAAGUGAGUAUGUAGUUACUUUCAUCUAAUGCAUAAUUACGAAGUAUUUUAUACGAAAUACGUGUUAUGUGUAUAUUUGUUGUUAUAUGUGUGAAUGUAUAUUCACUUUCUUCUAUCUCGUACAUAUGACUAAUUCUCUAUGAAAUAUGUGUUAUGUGUAUCUGUCUCAUCUGUUGUUUGGAAUAUGUAUUGAAUGAGAAUGUUAUACAGGUUUUAAACUAAGUAUAAAAAUAUAUAUUUUUAUCUACUAAUAUGUUGGGUAGACCAUGGGUAGAUGGUUGAUGUGUGAUAAACAGAUGAGAGGCCUCGAUGUUGCUGUUGAUCUAGUUAUUCAGCGGACUAUGGAUAAUGACCACAGACUCUUUCGAGACAGUCAUGUGGAACGCUGUGACAUCCUCAAAAUCACGGCCAAAAAAGACCGUUUUAAUUUAUGCUUUUAAAAUAAUUUGAGAGUAAAUCCUUUGAUUUAAAAGAGUUGCGGAAUUUGUUCCCAAAACAAAAUAUGAUAAAAUAAAGUUUUUCAAAGCAUUUCAUCAAGAGAUGCAUCUUCAUUAUAUAACAAUAUUCGGGAUGUCAUGUUCCCAUAAACAGACCAAAAAUAUAAACAACAAAAGAUAGAUCAUACAACAGUUACAUAUAACAAUUGGUCUAGUAUCAAAAGAUCUUGAUAAGUCAUCCAACUUAUGCUCUCGCGCCACUACCUAUAAUACAAAUAAACUGAGUGGGUCAGGCUUGGGAGCCUGGUGAGCAUAUAGGGUUUUCAACCCGAAAUAAAUAAUUAUAUUUAAUUUCACCAACCAACAAUAACCCAAUUACCCAUUCCCGUUAUCCUCACUUUACGUCCCUAAAACAACAUCUAUCUCAAGGGAUCUAAUAUAGGAUUUUCAUCGGGACAGACACUGCACAGGGGUUACCUCAAUAGUAGAUGUCCUAAAGGCAACCAUGAGGGGGAUAGAGUACACCGGUGAACACAUCGUUCACAACACCUAGCUAGCGUUCCACAGGACUGUCUAGAAAGAGUCUGUGGUUGUUAUCCAUACUCCGCUGAAUAACUAGAUCAACAACAACAACAUCGAGGCCUCUCAUUUGUUUAUCACACAUCAACUAUCUACCCAUGUUCUACCCAACAUAUUAGUAGAUAAAAAUAUAUAUUUUUAUACAUAGUUUAAAACAUGUAUAGCAUUCUCAUUCAAUACAUAUUCCAAUCAACAGAUGAGACACAUACACAUAGCACGUAUUUCCUAGAGAAUAAAUUAUAUCUCUGAGAUAGAAGAAAGUGAAUAUACAUUCACACAUAUAACAAAAAAUAUACACAUAACACGUAUUUUGUAUAAAAUACUUCAUAAUUAUGCAUUAGAAGAAAGUAACUACACACUCACUUGAUCAGAAGAUGAUCGGACAACACUACAGCUCUAAGAGUAGUAUUCUUCGGUGAAACUGGGUUCACUUCACUCACCAGGCUUCUUGCGGGCAGAGCUUCAGCUCGGAAACUCUUUUCUUCGAGGGAUCUUCGAGCUUCAGGACUUGCUUCGGUUGUCGGGAUGAUACCGGGGCUUCGGGGGUACUUUUUCACGUAAAUCGAGGUAAUAUGAGUGAGAGAGAAGAGAUUUGGCAACCACAAACGGUUGCCCCUUCAAAUCUAUUUAUAGGGCUAUUUUCUCAUUUUCCACGUCGUGGGCACUUCUUCCACGUCGUGAGCUUGGUCGUCAUUGCAUGCGUCAUCGUCCACUUGCUCUGCCAGGCUCCAGAAGGCGUCAGAAGCCAUGCCACGUCGUGGUCUCUGACGGUUUUGGUGUUUCGCACCCCGAACUUCAGAAAUCCAUAACUUUCGCAUACUUACUCCGUUUUCGACGUUCUUUAUAUCGACGUGUAGGUAAAAACAAGAUCUACAACUUUCAUUUAGACUUUGUAUGCUAAUUUUGACUUUAUUUUUAAUAUAUUAAUAAUAUACUAUUGUUAGUAGGCCGGGACAGGAAAACCCCGUUAGAAAUUCAUAACUCCUUCAUCUGACGUCCAUUUUCGACUGUCUUUUCACCGUUGGAGUACAAUCGAUGAGAUCUUUGAUUCUCGUUUAGAUUGUUUCGUCUAAAUAUCGCUCGAUCUCGUAUUCGAACUUCGGGCUAUACACUGCUAAACAAAAACUUCGAAAAAUCAUAACUUCCUCAUACGAAGUCAGAUUUGGGCCUUCUUUUUAUGCACGCUCUCAGUUUAACGAACUCUACAACAUUACUUUAGAUCGCUAAGUCCAAAUAUUUUUCUAAUGUAAACUCACUAUUUACGUCUCGCUGUGUCGUACCGGUUCUGUCGCGAAACUUCGACAAGUCAUAACUUCUUCGUUAUAACUCGGAUUUCGGCAUUCUUUAUAUAUUCAGAAACCUCGUUUCAACUACUACAACAUUAUCCAUAGAUAUUGGGUUGAUCUAACAUUUCAUUUUGACGUUUAUUUUUAUUCUUAAUUAAAUUAAGACAUACAAUUAAGCACAAAAACACAUAAUACUCAAAUAAUACACUUCUAUUAUUUCAAAACGGGUUACAAAGGUUAACCUAGACUAUUAUAUCAACAUUAAUGACAACCCCAGAAACACCGUCAUUACAAUUCUCUCCACCUUAGAAUGAUUCCGUCCCCGGAAUCACACAUCAACAAACAAAUGUGGGUAGCGACUCAUCAUGUCACUCUCCGUCUCCCAAGUGAGAUUUGGCCCAUUCGUGUGUUUCCAUCGGACAAGCACAAACUCAACCACAUUGCGUCGCAACUUCUUAGUCUUUCGGUCAAAGAUUGCCUCUGGUUCUUCAAUCAAUCUUUUGUUCUCAUCGAUUCUCAACUCCAAAAGUGGAAUCAUGUCGGGAACUUCUCUCGUGAACUUCAUCAAAUAACACACAUGGAAAUUUUUAUGAAUUCCAUUCAGUUCUUCUGGUAGUUCGAGCUUGUAAGCUUGGUUCCCAAUCCUCUAAAGAACUUUAAACGGUCCAAUAAACCUUGGACUCAACCUUCCCCUUUUACCAAAUCUUAUAAGUCCCUUCGACGGCGAGACUUUAAGCAAAACCGAAUCUCCAACUUCAAAAGUCAUCGGUCUUCGCUUGUUGUCAGCAUAGCUCUUUUGACGAUCUUGAGCUGCUAACAUUCUCUCCCUAAUUAUUUUCAACUUUUCAGCAGUUUGAUGGACUAUCUCUAGUCCCAUAAACUGCUUUUCUCCAGCCUCAAGCCAACAAGACGGCGUACGACACUUCUUUCCAUACAAAGCUUGAUAAGGUGUCAUCUUUAUGCUCGAGUGGAAACUAUUAUUGUAGGAAAAUUCUACAAAAGGUAAAUGUUCAUUCCAAUUACCUUAGAAUUCCAGGGUACAUGCUCUCAUCAUAUCUUCAAGUGUUUGUAUUGUUCGUUCGCUCUGAGCAUCAGUCUGUGGAUGGUAAGUUGUACUCAAACACAACUUGGUACCCAAUUCCUCUUGUAGACUUCUCCAAAAUCGCGAGGUAAAGCGGCUGUCACGAUCUGACAAAAUCGUUAACGGAACACCGUGAAGCCUCACAACUUCCUUCACAUAAGAAUUCGCACGCUUUUCCAUAGACCAUUUCUCAUUGGAUGCUAUGAAAUACGCACUCUUAGUGAAUCGAUCAACGACCACCCAAAUCAUGUCGUGACCACUUUUCAUUUUGGGCAGUUUAGUGAUAAAAUCCAUAGCAAUGUCUUCCCAAAUACCCAUAGGCACAGGCAAAGGUUCUAAACUCCCGUAUGGUUUCUAAUGUUGUGUCUUGACUCUCGCACAAGUCACACACUUGGAAACAUACUUUGCAACAUUAAGCUUCAUCGUCGGCCAACAGUUGUAGGGUUUCAGGUCCCUAUACAUCUUAGUGUCGCCGGGAUGAAUUAAGUACAUGGUUUUGUAAGCUUCUUCCAUCAGAAUUUCUCUGACUCCUCUUGUCUUAGGUAUCUAAAUCCGAUCUUGGAACACCUUCAGUGCAUGACUGUUUACACCGAACACUAACGUUUUGCCCAAACAUUCUCCCUUUCGGUCAUUCUUCUCAGAAGCUUCCUCUUGAACUUUCUUUAUACUUUCCAUUAUUGUCGAGACAACUUCAAUUCUCAACGCUCUUGGCCUCUUCCUUUCAAGAUUGACUUUCCGACUGAGAGCAUUAGCAACAACAUUUGCUUUGCUGGGGUGGUAAAGUAUCUCACAGUCAUAGUCCUUAAGUAACUCUAGCCAGCGUCGUUGCCUCAUAUUCAAUUCCUUCUGAUUAAAGAGAUAUUGGAGACUCUUAUGAUCAGUGAAAAGUUGGCACUUCGUGCCAUAGAGGUAAUGUCUCCAUAUCUUUAGAGAGAAAACUACCGCCGCCAACUCCAAGUCAUGAGUCGGGUAGUUCUUUUCAUGCUCUUUCAACUGUCGAAAUGCAUAUGCGAACACCUUUUCCCUUUGGUUCAAAAUACAACCCAACCCAACACCUGACGCGUCGCUAUAAAAACAAAGUCUUCAACUCCAUCGAGUAGAGAAUGUAUCGGUGCCUCGCAUAGUUUCUUCUUUAGCUUCUCGAAUGCUUCUUUAUGCUUAUCACUCCAAGCAUAAGUAGCUCCUUUGUGGGUCAAAGCUGUUAAUGGAGUAGCGAUCAAAGAAAAGCCUUGGAUAAACCUUCGGUAAUAUCCGACUAAUCCCAAAAAGCUUCAGAUCUCCGUGGGACUUUUCAGUUGUUCCCAGUUCAUUACAGCUUCAAUCUUUGCUGGAUCAACCAUUAUUCCUUCUUGGUUGAUCACAUGACCCAAGAAUUGGACUUCUCGAAUCCAAAAAUCACAUUUGAAGAACUUAGCAUAUAGCUUCUCCUUAUUCUAGACUUCUAACACUUCUCGCAAGUAUCUACCAUGCGCCUCUUGGCUUUUCGAAUAAAUCAGAAUGUCAUCUACAAACACUAUCACUGAUUUAUCAAGGAACGGAUUAGAAACCCUGAUCGUUAAAUCUACGAAUGUUGUUGGAGAAUUGGUUAGUCCAAACGACAUAACCAAAAACUCAUAGUGUCCGUAUCGUGUUCUGAAUGCAGUCUUCUCUAUAUCCUGCUCUCUUACUUUCAGGUGAUGAUAUCCUGACCUAAGAUCGAUCUUUGAGAAAUAGCUCGAACCUUGUAGUUGAUCAAACAGGUCAUCAAUCCUCGGCAACAUAUAUCUAUUCUUUAUUGUUGCCUUUUUCAGAUCUCUGUAAACGAUGCACAUUCUCAUACUUCCAUCUUUCUUCUUUACGAAUAACACCGGAGCUCCCCAGGGUGAUGAACUAGGUCUAAUGAAACCUUUGUCCAAUAACUCCUGAAGUUGCAUCAUCAGCUCCUUCAUCUCCGUCGGUGCUAAUCGGUAAGGUGCUUUUGCNNNNNNNNNNNNNNNNNNNNNNNNNNNNNNNNNNNNNNNNNNNNNNNNNNNNNNNNNNNNNNNNNNNNNNNNNNNNNNNNNNNNNNNNNNNNNNNNNNNNNNNNNNNNNNNNNNNNNNNNNNNNNNNNNNNNNNNNNNNNNNNNNNNNNNNNNNNNNNNNNNNNNNNNNNNNNNNNNNNNNNNNNNNNNNNNNNNNNNNNNNNNNNNNNNNNNNNNNNNNNNNNNNNNNNNNNNNNNNNNNNNNNNNNNNNNNNNUCUUUCCCAGGUGGGUUUACUUUGACUAUCUUCUUCUUGCACAAUAUCUCAGCAUCAUUGGCGCUAAGCCAAUCCAUUCCAAGCACGAUGUCAAAACCUUUAAGUUCAAUAGGCAAUAAUUUCUCGUGAAACUUAUUCUCAUUCAAAUCAAUUAAGAUGUUUUUCAUACGAUGACUAACAGGUACAAACUUGCCACUAGCAACUUCGACUAAUAAAGCAUUAUCUAGUCUAUCGACAGGCAAAGCUAGUUUUCUACCAAAUUCAUGUGAAAUAAAGGAGUAGUUGGCUCAAGACUCAAAUAAAAUUUGGGCAGGCAAUUCGUUAACGAGAAAGGUACCUGAAGCGACAUCAGCUUCAUCUUUAGCAGCUUCCAGUGUCAUCUGGAAGGCUCUCGCCUUCGGCUUUGGCGGAAUGUUGGGUCUUGCUGCCUCCUUUUUGGGGCAGUCCCUAGACACGUGUCCCUCCUCACCACAACCAUAACAAACUUUCUUGGUGAGAGUGCAUUCGUUGGCAUAGUGCCCUGGCUUUCCACAUUUAAAACAUGUGGCCACUACCUCACAUUUUCCAUGAUGCUUCUUCUUACAUUUGUCGCACCAUUUUGCUUCGCCUCCUCCUCCUCUCGAACUAGACUUCGAGAACUUUUUUUUCUUGUUGGACCUGAAGGUCCUUCGAACUUCCUCUUUUCACCAACCUCUAUCCUUUCCAGACCCUUUUCCUUCUGUUGGGCCUCCACAUUCUUAGCUGCUCGAACAACUUUUUUCAGAGUGGUUGCCAUCUUGACUGUCGGACCUAAUUCGGUAGGUAGUCCAUUAGCAAACCUCUCAAUCUUGGAGAGUUCCGUUGGCACCAGGUACGAAAAUAACUUUAUUUUCUCAGUGAAUGCAGUAGGAUAGUCGUCUACGCUCAUUCUCCCCUUCUUCAAGUUUUGGAAAUCAUUGUUCAAAUCAAUCAGAUCUAUCUUUGAACAGUACUGCACCCUUAGUUGUUCCAAGAAAUCCUCCCAUGACAUUUUCAGGGCUUCUCCUCAUUGCAUAGUAUCUGCCAACAGCUUCCAAAAACUCAAGACACCAGUCUUCAGUUGUCUAAAUGCAAAGACAGUCUUCUUUUUGUUGCUACAGUCGCAACUUUCAAAUACCAUCUCCAUUUCGGAGAUCCAAUCCAUAAUCUCAACAGGCUUCAGGCUUCCAGAAAGACUUGGCGGCUUGGCGCCCAAGAAAUUCUUGUACAUUCGCCCAUCCUUGUUGUUUCUCCUUUCCGGGUCGUUCCUUCGUUCUCCUUGAGUCCCAACUUGACUCAUAAUGCGACUAUUGUUUCCGUCCUCCGAUUGUUUGGGAAUCAGUUCAGGUUCCUCAAUAGGUAUGAUUGGUUCAUCCCUAUUUUCAUGUAACAUUUGUUGCAUUUCUUCCCUUUAUUCGGCUAACAUAGCCUGAACCAUGGCUUGCACCCCAGCCAUUGUUAUUGGUUCUGGUGCUGCUGCUACAACAGGUAUUUGCUCAAUCACUGGUGGUUGAUUCCUGUUUUCAUCUGCAUUUCCAACGCCACUCCUGGUUCUUACCAUUUUUUAUCUACACACCGAAUAAGGUGAAAUUCGAUCCUCAUCCAUGAUAGAUAAUUAAAUCAUCCUUAUCACUCCGAAACAUUUACAUGUUAGUUCUAAUACCGACGUCAUACGCUUAGAAUCUUACACACAUAAGGUUUCAAGAUCCGGUCGGCAGUAUACCAUAGAUCCGAACAAAUAAUAUCAUAUAUGGCAACAUAUAACAUUUAGCACAUAAAAGCAUUUUAGGCAGCUUCCUAAAAUAUACUAGUGCUCGUGUCUAUAAUAUAAUAGACACACAUCUCACAAUCUCCACUUAGCAUUCUAAUUUUAAGUCUAGAAAUCCUACAAAUUCCUAGUUCGCUUAAACUAAUGCUCUGAUACCAACUGUGACAUCCCCAAAAUCACGGCCAGAAAAGACCGUCUUAAUUUAUGCUUUUACACUAAUUUCAGAGUAAAUCCUUUGAUUUAAAAGAGUUGCGGAAUUUGUUUCCAAAACAAAAUAUGAUAAAAUAAAGUUUAUCAAAGCAUUUCAUUAAGAGAUACAUUUUCAUUAUAUAACAAUGUUCGGGAUGUCAUGUUCAGAUAAACAGACCAAAAGCAUAAACAACAAAAGAUAGACCAUACAACAGUUACAUAUAACAAAUGGUCUAAUAUCAAAAGAUCUUGAUAUGUCAUCCAACUUAUGCUAUCACGCCAAUACCUGUAAUACAAAUAAACUGAGUGGGUCUGGCUUGGGAACCUGGUGAGCAUAUAGGGUUUUCAACCUGCAAUAAAUAAUUACAUUUAAUUUCACCAACCAACAAUAACCCGAUUACCCAUUCCCGUUAUCCUCACUUUACGUCCCUAAAACAAUAUCUAUCUCAAGGGACCUAAUCAAGGAUUUUCAGCGGGACGGACAUUACUGCAAAGGGGUUUCCUCAACAGUAGAUGUCCUAAAGGCAACCAUGAGGGGGAUAGAGUACACCGGUGAAUACAUCGUUCACAACACCUACAGGUUAUGAGCCUGCUAGCGUUCCACAGGACUGACUAGAAAGAGUCUGUGGUCGUUAUCCAUACUCCGCUGAAUAACUAGAUCAACAACAACAACAUCGAGGCCUCUCAUCUGUUUAUCACACAUCAACUAUCUACCCAUGUUCUACCCAACAUAUUAGCAUAUAAAAAUAUAUAUUUUUAUACAUAGUUUAAAAACUAUAUAGCAUUCUCAUUCAAUACAUAUUCCAAUCAAUAGAUGAGACAUAUACACAUCGCACGUAUUUCAUAGAGAAUAAAUCAUAUCUAAGAGAUAGAAGAAAGUGAAUAUACAUUCACACAUAUAACAACAAAAUAUACACAUAACACGUAUUCUGUAUAAAAUACUUCAGAAUUAUGCGUUAGAAGAAAGUAACUACACACUCACUUGAUCAGAAGAUGCUCGGACAGCACUACAGCUCUAAGAGUAGUAUUCUUCGGUGAAACUGGGUUCACUUCACUCAUCGGACUUCUUAUGGGCAGAGCUUCGGCUCGGAAACUCUUUUCUUCGCGGGAUCUUCGAGCUUCUGGACUUGCUGCGGGUGUCGGGAUGAUACCGGGGCUUCGGGGGUACUUCUUUGCAUGUAAAUUGAGGUAAGAUGAGUGAGAGAGAAGAGAUUUGGCAACCACAAACGGCUGCCCCUUCAAAUCUAUUUAUAGGGCUGUUUUCUCAUUUUCCAUGUCGUGGGCACUUCUNUUCACAUCGUUACAUCAUCGCAAGUUGGGUCUGGUAGACUCCAGGAGUCGUCAAAAGACAUGCCACGUCGUGACCACUGAUUUCACAUCGUGGUCUCUGACAGUCUUGGAGUUUCGCGCCCCGAACUUCAGAAAUUCAUAACUUUAACAUACGAACUCCGUUUUCGACGUUCUUUAUAUCGACGCGUAGGUAAAAACAAGGUCCACAACUGUUAUUUAGACUUUGUAGGCUUAUUUUGACUUUAUUUUUAAUAUAUUAAUAAUAUACUAUUUUUAGUAGGCCGGGACAGGAAAACUCCGUUAGAAAUUCAUAACUCCUUCAUCUGACGUCUGUUUUCGACUGUCUUUUCACCGUUGGACUACUAUCGAUGAGAUCUUCGAUUCUCGUUUAGGUUGUUUCGGCUAAAUAUCGCUCAAUUUCAUAUUCGAACUUCGGGCUGUACACUGCUAAACCGAAACUUCGAAAAAUCAUAACUUCCUCAUACGAAGUCAGAUUUGCACAUUCUUUUUAUGCAUGCUCUCGGUUUAACGAACUCUACAACAUUCCUUUAGAUCACUAAGUCCAAAUAUUGCUCUAAUGUAAACUCACUAUUUACGUCUCGCUGUUUCGUACCGGUUCUGUCGCGAAACUUUGACAUGUUAUAACUUCUUCUUUAUAACUUGUAUUUCGGCAUUCUUUAUAUAUUCGGAAACCUCGUUUAAACUUCUACAACAUUAUCCAUAGAUAUCGACUUUAUCUAACAUUUCAUUUUGACGCUUAUUUUUAUUCUUAAUUAAAUUAAGACACACAAUUAAGCACAAAACACAUAAUACUCAAAUAAUACACUUCUGUUAUUUCAAAACGGGUUACAAAGAUUAACCUAGACUAUUAUAUCAACAUUAAUGACAAGCCCAUAAACACAGUCAUUACAAACGCUAGCAGGCUCAUAACCUGUAGGUGUUGUGAACGAUGUGUUUACCGGUGUACUCUAUCCCCCUCAUGGUUGCUUUUAGGACAUCUACUGUUGAGGAAACCCUUAGCAGUAAUGUCCGUACCGAUGAAAAUCCUAGAUUAGGUCCCUUGAGAUAGAUGUUGUUUUAGGGACGUAAAGUGAGGAUAACGGGAAUGGGUAAUCGGGUUAUUGUUGGUUGGUAAAAGUAAAUAUAAUAAUUUAUUGCGAGUUGAAAACCCUAUAUGCUCACCAGGCUCCCAAGCCUGACCCACUCAGUUUAUUUGUAUUACUAGUAGUGUCGCGAGGGCAUAAGAUGGAUGAAUCAUCAAGUUAUUUUAUUUAUUAGACCAGUUAUUAUAUGUAACUGUUGUAUGGUCUAUCUUUUGUAGUUUAUGCUUUUGUGUCUGUAUCGGAACAUGACAUCCCGAGUUUUGAUUUUAUAAUGAAAAUACAUUUUGUUAUGAAAUGCUUUGGUAAAUAUUAUUUUAUCAUGCUUUUUUUGGAACAAAUUCUGCAACAAUUUAAAAUCAAAAGGAUUUACUCUGAAAUUAUUUAAAAAAACAUAAAUGAAACUGGUCUUUUCUGACUGUGAUUUUGGGGAUGUCACACUGCGCCUAAUCGAGAACAUCAUAAUCCUGGCAGCUACGCCCAAAGGACAAUAUUAGCACUUGCGCCUAAUAGAGAAUAUUAUAAUUCUGGUAGUUGCGUCUAAAUGAUAAUGUUGGUAGUUGUGCUUAAUAGAUAACGUUGACAACUGUGUCAUUAGGAAAACGGUGGACUGCGUGCCUAUUCCUUAGGAAAAUCCUUAGGAAUGAAUGAGUUAAUGAUAAAUGAUUCUUAGGAUACAUCCUUAAGAAAUAACGAAGAUAAUGGGGAUGGAUAAUUGGGUUAAUUUUUUAAUGAUUAAACAUAAUUAUAUUAUUGUGGGUUGAAAACCCUAUGUACUCACUAGGUUUCCCAAUAUGACCCACUCAAGUUUAUUUGGAUCACAGGUGUCUAUACGAAGCUACUUUACACUGAGAGAUUAAGGAGACGUAAAUCACUAGUGUAAAUGAAUGGAAGGUCUGUUUAUGCUUAUAUUUAUGUAUUAACGAUGACGUCCUAAAGUUUUAAAAAGAAAUGAAAUACAUUUCUUCGAAAAUGCUUUGAUAACACAUUUAUCAUGUUUUUCUGGGAACAAAUUCCGCAACAUUUUUAUAAAAAGGGUACUCUCAUUUUUAAAUAAAGCAUAAACAAAUCGGUCUUUUCUGGCUGUGAAAAUGGGGAUGUCACAAUUGGUAUCAGAGCAUUAGUUUAAGAGAACUAAGAAUAAGGGUUUAUUUCUAGACUUAAACUUAGAAUGCUAAGCGAUGAUUAUGAGUUGAGUGUGUGAUGUUGCGCAUAAAAAAACACAAAGAUAACCAAGAAUGAACCUGUUGAUUCUAAAAGAAUAGCCAGGACAAUCUCUUCAAAACCACGUUGAUUCUACGAAUACUGUGGGAUUGGCUUCAAAAACUGGGUUAACACGCACAAAAUUUGGGAGAAAACUGAAAGUUCAUAAAAUUGAUGAUCGACCAUCCAAAUUACAUAAAAAACAGUUAAAUAAAAAGCAUAAAUUAAAAUGAAACCCUAAAAGUCCAUGGGCGAAAUACAAACCCAAAAAUUAAGGAAAAAUAACAAAAUUGUUCAUAACUCCAUUUAGAAAGCGAUUUCUGGACUCAAAAUGGGUAAGUCCCUUUCGGGGACUUAUCUAGAUGUGCUCCUUGCUCCAAGCUUCGACUUGACUGGUCGUAGGCCCAAAACGGAGACUCGUAGCCAAAGUUAUGGCCAUUUCCGUGAAGCCCCUUUAAUCACACGAUCGUGGGCCUCUAGGAAUGCAAUGGCCCGAUCCUCCACACUAGGGCCCGCAUCUGUGUGUCUAAUAUAUUUUAGGUAGUACACCUGAAUAGACACAGCCACUAUCUUAUUUUGGGAGGAUGCCUAAAAUGCUUUUAUGUGCUAAAUGAUUUGUGAUACUUUAUGAUGCUAUUGUUCGAUCAGAUAUAUGGUAUGUUGCCCACCGGAUCCAGAAACUUUAUGUGUUUAGAUUUCAAAAUGUUUAAUUACAGUAUUAGAACUGGCAUGUAACUUUUCGGAGUGAUAAGAAGAUUUACAUGUGGAUCGUAAAUAAAACCUUUCCUAUCUUAAUUAUCAUCAUUACACAUCAAACGUCUGAUUUGGUGUAUAGAUCAACAUGUUGAGAACUCGAAGCGGAUUAGGAGACGCUAAUGGAAAUGUUGAUCAACGGCCUAUGAUUUAACGUGCACUAAAGGUAGCAGCUACACCAUAGCCAAUCACAAUGGCAAGAGUCCAAGCAAUGAUUCAGGCUAUGAUAGCCAAACAAAGGGAGGAGAUGAGGCAAAUGUUGCUUAAUAGGGAUGAACCUACCAUGCUCAUUGAAUAACUAGAACUAAAUGAUGAACAGUUAGAGAAGGGAAUUACAGUAGAACCGUUGGUCAAGCUGAACUGCCAGUGGUUAGGAGGAAUAACCAAGAGGAAGGGAUCAAGAGAAAUAGAUGCAAGUAUAAGGAUUUCACAACUUGCAAACCAUAGAUUUUCACUGGGAAAGAGGAUCCAAAUCGGAGUUACAGACCGGAUCUCGGAGAUGGAUUUGGCUUUCAUAACAUGUAGAUUCAAAGGAAAGCUAAAAACCAUAUAUGCAGUGCGUCAGUUGAUGGGUGGAGUUGUUCACUAGUGGAACACUUUGGGAAAGAUCAUGAGUCCUAAUGAGCUGCUGCAACUGACGUGGGCAGAGUUCCUAGUGCAUUUCAAACGAAAGUUUUGCUCGGCCCAAAAUCUGUUGGAGCUAGAGAACCAAUUCCUAACAUUGAAGAAGGGCAUCAUGCCUAUUGACGAAUACAGCAAUGCCUUCACCGACAAGAUGGAAUUUUCUUUGCGCAUCGUCCCUGGCGAACUAACUAAAGUCGAUAAGUAUACAAAGGGACUACCAUGGGAAUAUGUUGUGCUAGUACGCCAGGCACCUACCAUCGAGGCGACUAUCUGGGCUGCUAAGUCUGUUGAAGAAAUGAUCAAGAGUAGGGCCACCAACAACGUCGAAGUUGGUGAAAGAGAAAGUUUGAAGGAUCUUCAAUGUCCAAUGAGAGGAGAAAAUGCUCGAAGUCUGGUUCGAAGAAGUUUGAAGGAGGAGGAGGUGAAGCAAGAUGGUGUGAUAAGUGCAAGAAGAAACACUUUGGAAAAUAUGGCAAGAAGGUGACUUGUUUCAAGUGUGGAAAGUCUGGGCAUUAUGCCGAUGAGUGUAUAUUCAACAAAAGGGUGUAUUACGGAUGUAAUGAAGAAGGGAAUUCAAGCUGGACUGCCCAAAGAGGGAAGGAGCUACAAAGCAAAAUGCACCGCCAAAGCCGAAGGCAAAAACAUUCCAUAUGAUCCUUAAUGAAGCAGAUGAUAAUGCAAGGAAUCAAGAAUGAGGACUGAUACCCGAAGAUCAAGUUAUGAAGUAGCCAUGCAGAUAGUAUCAGGAGGUGUAGCCUAUUAGAGGCAUAUUAUAGGUUGAACUUUAACAUCCAUGUAAUCAUUUCAAGAAGUAAUAUAAGCCUUGGUUUUGUUAUCUGGUGCGUUAAGUUGUUAUGUGAUUUUCAAGUAUGGUGACUUGGAAAACUGCGAGACAAUACUUGGGACAAGUAUGAGUAUAUGUGAAUGGUAGUAGAGGCCUAUACUACCAGAAGCACAGGACUCGCACUUGGAUUAGGGAAAGUCACAAGGUUACCAAGGCACUAGUAAUUGAUUCUUUUUUGUUCAUGUUUGUCGUCACCAUCGUUUCGGUAAUGACUAAGAAGAUGAUUGUUAGUCCAACCCUAGUGGUCAUAUCAAAUCGAGUCCGACUAAGAUGAAUAUGUUGCGUGGUUCAAAAAACCAAGGUCGAUGUUGCAUCUGACUUAAGCCAGACGAUUGAAGUGAAAGAUAAUCGAACCGAUCAAUAGAAGUAUCGUAACCUUUGUUAAGGUAAGAAGCUUGUAGCUAGAAGUGCUACAUGCUAGAAUAUGAUUAUAUCACAUUAGAACAUGAAGGAAGGUAUAUUUUGUUCUAUAGUUUGACUCUAAAAGACCUAAGUCUAAGUGUUGCAUCAUACGAUAAGAGGUCAUUACAACAUGACCCAUCGGUUUAUUGUGGUAAUCAAAUAACUUCUCUUAAUAUAAGUAUGUUUAACAAGAAGUAGGAGUCUCUGAUUUGGAUCGAUUUUGUAACUCGAAGGUUACGAUUGGAAGUCCAACAUAGGAUAAAGAACGGGUGCAAGAUUGAGUACCUCCUGCGGUCAAGAAGUCCAAGAGUUUGAUACUCAUUCGAAGGAACAUAAAAGUUACGAUUAUUACCUAAUAUGAAGAGAUAACAUAAGGAUUCAUUAUACAAGCCCUAUUUUGUUGAUUAUUCUGGGACGUAAUCAUCCUAAGGAGGAGAUAACUGUAACGCCCGCAGAUUCAGGCUAGUCAAUUAGAGAUAUUGAGCGUCAAAAAUGACAUUUUUAUGGGAGUUUAUUUAGAAGAAAUAAUCUUAACCUAGUAAUAGUAUAUGUCACAAGGGUUCCGUACAUAUAAAGAACGCCGAAAUCCGAGUUAUAACGAAGAAGUUACGACCCGACGAAGUUCUACAGCAAAACCGGCACGACACCGCGUAACAUAAAAAGUGAAUUUUUGAUAAAUUACUUUUUAGCCUUAGAGAUAUAAAUGAAAGUUAUAAUAUAGGUUAAACCGAUAGCAUGCAUAAAAAGAACGUCAAUAUCUAACUUCGUAUGAGGAAGUUAUGAUUUUUCUAAGAUUUCGCAAAGUAGUAUACAACCCGGAAUUCGAAUUUCAGAUCGAGCGAUUUUUAGCCAACACAACCUAAAUGAAAAUUGAAUAUCUCAUUAAUAGGAGUUCAACGAUAAAAAGACAUUAAAAAUGGAGUUCGAAUGUACAAGUUAUGAAUUUUACACGGUCAUUAACAAUGUAAUCUUCUCAUACUAGUAAAUUUAAAAUCGGUCGAGAGUUAGCUGUUUGAGUCAAAAGGAGAGUUGUAGAUCAUGUCAAUACCUAUGCGUGGAUAUAAAUAAUGUCAAAAAUGGAGCUCGUAUGCAAAAGUUAUGAAUUUUUGAAAAUUGGUUGUUUUACCUGCGUCCAGCACCACGUGUCAGCACCAAGCGAAGCCAUGGUGCCUACGCAAGGCCACGACGUGGAUUGGCUCCAGAUAGCCUAUAAAUAGAGGCGGAAAUCAUCCGUUUUCUUCACACCUUCACCCUUCUUUCUCUCUCAACGCUCCUAAUCUCUCCCUCCCAAUCCCUAGCAACUUCUAAGUGCUCCGAGAAGAAGAUCUUUCGGCUCAGAAGUUCCACCCCCGCAUAGCCCGGUUCCUAGCCAAACCCACGGUAAGUUAGUUAUGAUUACCCUACUUUAAGUAUAACUUAUGUUUGAGUUUAUUAUCAUUAUUAUGAACUUAUAAACAAGAUUUAUCAAUGAUUCCAAGUAGUUAUAUUGAUUGAUCUACUUAUGGGGAUAAUGUCUAGGCUGUGAUUUUGUGAGGUGUUUAAAGUGGGGUUUCCAAAUAGUAUACUUCGUAUACCAAACGAACCCUACCUCUGAUAUGAUCCUACCUGGUUGCUCUUUACAUGAUAGAUCAUGAAAGUAGACUUUGAGUUAAUGAUGAAUCUAGACUAAUAAUUAGUUGCAAUAAAGAUUAGACUAAAACUUAGCGAUAAUAAUGUUAGGUUUCGUCGAAGGAAGAUAGAAUCGUUAGAAGUGAAGCGUUUCUCGACUUUGGAAUUAUCACUUUGAAAAGUGAGUGCAUAGUUACUUUCAUCUUACACAUUGAUAUGAAGUAUUUUAUAUAAAUUACGCGCUAUGUGUGCAUGUUAUCUGUUUACUUGAUAUAUAUGAUAAAUGAACGAUCUUAUACAUGUACUCUAAACAUCCUAGUAGCUGUGCUCAAAGUGUAGUAUCGGUAGCUGUGCCGUCACACCCCCAAACCAGAACGACGGAAACGUUCAGGGGCGGAGGACGUCAUGUAUAGUAUCAUAACAAUGCAUAAUAGUAAAACAAGCAACAACAUCAUCCAUUGAAUUAAUGAUAGAAUUUAUACAUGUGUGUUCUUUGUAAAGUUGUAAGACACCAAAAAUAUAUAAUCAAAAUAAAGACGAGUCUUGAAUACGCUCUGUCUCCUCAAAACCUGGUCAUCGAUACAUGUCUACUGGUGACCUAAGAAUACAAGUUAUUUUGAAAGAGUAGAUCAACAUUUAAGCUGGUGAGUUCAUAAGUAUAUUAGUGUCAAAAAUUUUCAUCUGUUUCAUGAAAAUGUUUGUAAGUAUUUAGAUGUAAAUGUUUGUAUGCUUCCAAGAAAAUCCUAUAUUUUCUACUAAAAUGAAAAGUAGUCUUCUUCCAAGACUCAACUGUUUUGUAUGUUUGUUUUCUCGUAAAAAUUGAUGUAAGAUGUAUGUUUGUACUUGUAAUAGUAUAAAUGUGGGUUUUCCAUAUUUUUUUAAAACUUUCUAUACACGAAAAAUAGUAUGCAUUUCUUACGUGAGAAUAUCACUGUGUGAAUAUGAUGGAAAAAUGACGAUAUUCAGUAGUGUUGUAUAAAAUAUCUACUGAAGCACUAACUACCUUAAAGCAAAUUGUUAAUUAAGGUAAAACGUGAUGAGGUUAUAACCAUGCUUGAUUGACUUGUAUAAAACACAACGAUCAAAAUACAUCGAAAUGGUAUGACAUUUGUCACUUGUAGACCUGUAGGUCCCAUUGUAGCUAGCAACAAGGUUUAGGAUGGUCAAUCCAGUAUAGAUCUAUACACAAACUCACGCUCUCCCUCCAAGAGACUCUGGUUACAAAGCGUGACACAACAAGUAUAUUGAUAUGCCAUGAAGUAGUGGCUCACAUUAAUGUUAUCUUGUUCUAGUUAUAGUAUGUAUGUUCCUUUCUGUUCUAGUUAUAGUAUGUAUGUUCCAAUCUGUUCUAGUUAUAGUAAGUAGUAAUACUCUAAACUAUACCUAUUAUAGUUUACUAGUAUGAUUGUUUGACUGUUACUAAUUUGCAGAAAAGUCUCAAUUACUCACAUAAGCAACUAACUUAAGUAUGUAACUUAAAAAUGGGUUUAAUAUUCAUAUAUGUAUUUAAUAAGCAUAACUAUGAUUUUGCUGACAUUCGAACUAGUGAUCCUACCCUAAGCCCACAACCAAACAAAGAAACAGGAGUUAAGGUAUCUCGCAGUAGUCCUAAGCCCGUUAAAGCAUACUUACACGUAAACAGAUAGACGAAUAUGAUUUGAUAUAAAAGAAGUUUAUAAAAGAUUUAAAAGAGUUUUAACAAGUUUUGAGUAUAAGAAAUCCCUUUGGAUGUUGUUUUCACAUGUAAAUGGUUAACAAAAUUUAAUUGUGUUCUACUUGUUAUCCCCCAUAAAAGCAUUUAAAAGGUAUUUAAAAGUGUAUUGUAGGGGUAUGAACUCAUAUGUAGUGAGUGAUUCGAAUGAAAGAUCGAUAUAGGAUGAUAAGUAUGCCAAGUGAAGUAUCGAGCACAAACGGGUCCUAUUAAGCAUAUAAUAACACAUAUAUGUAUACAAUUAGUAUAUAUAACAACUAAAAUGUAAGGGAAACAACCUUAGGAACUAGGAAACACUUUGAAUGAAGUGUUAGCAUCACAAAUGAUUGGCUGAAAGGUGUUCACGACUAAACAAGGGGUGUUCACGGCCUUAGGAGGGUACAUGUCCAUAGAACGCAUGAUGUGUUCACGGACCAAGGUUGAUCUUAUGAAGGUUUCACGGUCCUAUGAUGCAUCUAUGAAGGGUUCAUGGCCCUAUGAAGGGUUCACGGUCGUGAACUCUUGAAGAUCUUGCAAAUAAGUGUUUGUUUCAUGGGUGGAAUCAAGUGUUUCUAAGGGACAACAAGAUGAUGGAUGAGAUACUUAUGUUUUGGAAGCCUUUAGAAGUGUUCACAGUUGAAGAUAGUUGAGAGAGAAGUGGUGUUCACGGCUAGGGUUUAAAGAAAUGAAGAAAAAUGAGCCAACUCCUUAUAUAUAAGACUUGUUCACGGCCAAGGAUGGGUACACGGCCAUGAACCUAGAUGUGGCCGUGAACUCCUUUUGGUGGUGUUUCCGGCUCGAUUGCAACUCAAUGAACUCAAGCUAACACUUCCUAACUCACAAUCCUUGAGUGUACUAGGCUUAGAAAUUCUCAAACAUACCCUUAACACAACAUAAAGGUAACAGAAACAAGUCUGACUUUAGAUUGAAUUGAUUGACUUUACAAGAUAGAAAUUCCAGGUUGUCGCAUGUGCCUAAUAGAAAACAUCAUAACCCUGGCAGCUACGCCCAAAGGACAAUAUCGACUGUUGUGCCUAAUAGAAAAUAUCAUAAUUCUGGCAGCUGCUCCUAAAUGAUAAUAUUGGCAGCUAUGCUUAAUAGAUAAUGAUGAUAUAUGGUCCAUUAGCAUGGCCUAGACUGCUCUAGCGCGCCAUAUGAUGCGACAUCGGCUCCGACCACCUGCUCUAAGGAGAUGCUUCUGCACCAGAGAUAGAUCUGUGAGGUCACAACAAACAAGACCGUUAGAGCUGCCCCAAAGACUGUGCCCUGGGAGAGAGCUCCGACGGUCAAGUUAGAUCAUUUGGUAGAUCUGAGAUGGAUCUCUUUAGCUAGAGAGGAUCAUCCUUGUGUUGGUGGUGUUGUAUGGUGGUUGACGGCGGCGGGUGCCGGCUGAGCCACCCGGCCAAAGUAUAGGGCGGCGGCUGAGCCAAGGGGAAGAUCCUAAUGGUGGCAGAACCACCUAGGAAAGAGUCCUCCUUCAUGAAGGAGGCACUAUUCUAUUUAUAGGGGGACAACUAGGUCAAGGGGAAUUAGGUCAGGCCUUGGGCCAACCCAAUUCAGGCCCAGCUAGCAAGGAGCUGGGUAAGGCCGCCCGGAGGCGCCGCGCGGGACUUANUGACGGGCGCGUACCAGGAAAGGACGGCAAGGGUGCGCCAGGAAAGGGAGCGUCAGGUCGGGCCUGCAAGAGAUUCCCCAGCAAGGCUGGCAAGGGAGUCCCCAACAAGGUUGUCAAGGGAAUGCCAGGAGAGGCUGGCAGGAGCGCGCCAGGCCAAGAUGGCGCGCUAGAGCAGUGUAGGCCAUGCUAAUGGACCAUAUAUCAUUAGAUAACAUUGACAGCUGUGUCAGUAGGAAAAUGAUGGACUUUAUGCCUAUUCUUUAGGAAAAUCCUUAGGAAUGAAUGAGUGAAUGAUAAAUGAUUCUUAGGAUAGAUCCUUAAGAAAUAACGAAGAUAAUGGGGAUGGAUAAUUGGGUUGAUUGUUUAAUGACUAAACAUAAUUAUACUAUUGUGGGUUGAAAAACAUAUGUACUCACUAGGUUUCUGAACCUGACCCACUCAAGUUUAUUUGUGUGACAGGUGUCGAUACGAAGCUACUUUACACUGAGAGAUUAAGGAGAUGUAGAUCACUAGUUAAAAUGAAUGUAAGGUCUGUUUAUGCUUAUGUUUCUGUAUUGACGAUGACAUUCCAAAGUUUUAAAAGAAAUAAAAUACAUUUCUUCGGAAAUGAUUUGAUAACACAUUUAUCAUGUUUUUCUGGGAACAAAUUUCACAACAUUUUUCUGGCAUCGGGCCUCGCCCGGUAUACAAAUAACAUAUAAGCACAUGCAUAAAAAUCACUUAAACACAUGCAUAAAAAUCACAAUGAUAAAUAGCAUACAAUAUAAUCAUUACGCCCCGCCCGGUAAUCAUAUAAACACAUAACACAUGCAAGAGUAACACAUACAACUAGUAAGGAAACUCACCUCAAGCUGCAAAAUCACUCGGAUAAAAUCUCAAUCUGUUGGUCCGGAAGAUCCUCGCGCUAACCUCAUAAUAUAAAUAUCCAAUUAAUAAUUGGAUCUCGACCCAUAAUAACCAAUCUAAGUUCCUUUUCCAAUAUCCAGGGUAAAAGAUUGUUUUACCCUUUUUCUUACAUGGCCCAAAACCAAGGCCCAAUCCAUUGCUCAAAAGGGCUAAAUUCCAAAAUGGCAUCCAUAGGCCCAAUAAGGCCCAACUUCCAAAUUGGGCUGAAAAUCAUCAUGGACCUAAUCCCAUGAAAGUCCAUAGUCUAUCCAUGACCCAAAGUCAAAAUUCUAAUGACCUAACAAGGCCCAAAUCUUAAAAACCCAAAAUAUGGCCAAAACCCAGGGAAGUCAAACCAAAAGUCAACCUACUGUACGCUUAGCAUACUCCUUCCAGGGCAAGUAUGUGCAUCGUACCAACUGGGUAUGCCCAACGUACUCCCCAGAUUAUCAACCCAACCCAUUAAUAACUUAAUUGGUUAAGCCAACAUGCUAAACUCUCAGAUCUGGUUCUAAAUGGCGACUUACUAUGUAAAGUUGACAACUUUACACCCAUGCAUGAAUUAAUGGGGCCCAACACUAAAAAAGAAGCUUAAUAAGACUCUUAACACUUGCAUGGAAUAAUAUCUUACAUAAAGUUUGCAUUUUUAUGGGCAAAGGACCUCAAAUCAGCGAAGAUCUAACAUCCAUAGCUUCUGGAGUGGACCAUAACUUCAUAUAUGACUUAAAAGACCCAAAAACGCAUAAAUAUCACCAUAAAAUGGAUCUAGCACAAAGGACCAUCCAGAUGAGAGAUUUUUACCUCAAAAGGCUUGCUAAGGUGAAGAUAACUCUAGAUCUACAAGAUUAAGCUACUCCCAAGAAACCUCGAAGUGUUCCUCGUUUUCUUCUUCUUCACCACAAAACACCAACAAACUCACUUUCAAGCUCAAAUCUGACCAAAUACACUUAGGGUUUCGAUAUUGUGACAUAGGGUGAUGGAGGCUGAUCAAUAAAAUGUCCAAAGGUGGUUUAAGAUGUUUAAGUAGGCUGCAAACCCUAAAAAUUAGGGUUUGCCCCUGCUCUACGUAUGUCAUGCAUACUCUACGUACGCCCCACAUACGUGGGUGAAUCUUGCGUCCAGAAAAUAGAUAGUAUGAUAAGCGUACUCAUAGAGUAUGCCCUGUGUACUAGCUAUGGACCAAAAUGAUAAGGAUUUUGCAUUAAGGGGUUAGAAAGAAACUUACCAAAUUACGAAUGUUACAAUUCACUUUAAUCAGAAUUUGUCCUUGAAGUAUGCUGCUCCAAACAACUUUGGGUAGUGCUCUCUCAUCUCGUCCUCCGGCUCCCACGUCCAUUCUGAACCCUUUCGAUGCUGCCACUGAACUUUCACCAAUUCAACAACCUUGUACCUCAAGGCUUCGUCUUCCUGUCAAGAAUUGUUACCGGUCUCUCGAUAUAAUUCAUGCGAUCAUCCACUUAAAUAUCCUCUAAUAGAACCACCACGGAAUCAUCAAUUAAACAUUUUUGUAACUGAGAGACAUGAAAUAUGCUAUGGAUCAUACUAAGAUCCUCGGGAAGAUACAAGCGAUAAGCAACCCGAACCACCCGUGUGAUAAGUCCAUUUUAUGAAUGUACUAAAUUGUCAUAAAUCUGUUGAAUUGAUGUAUAAUUGUCCAAGAAUGGCACUACAUUGCUGAGUUAUUGAACUUCAUAUGCAGGUCAAUAUAUUGUACUAAAAGUGGGUGGAACCUACAAGUAAAACGGAUUGUUAAAGGAAUGAAGAAACGUUGCUGGGAAAAUUGACCAUUCUUCAAUGUUUUGGUCUAAUCUCAAGUUCUGGAGCUCCGAUUGACAUGAGUAUAGAAGUUCUGGAAACUAGACAAGAUUUUCUACAACUUUCGUGUUUUGUGCUUCUGCUAGUUAUGUCGUUUUGACUACCAAAACUUGCACAGAAGAUGAAGGACACCUCCAGACAUCUAAGACGUCCAGGUCAAACAGCCAACAUCUGGUCGUUAUUUCAGAGCAGAAAAGAAGGAAGAACCCCGUCAGCAUCUAACAUGGAAUCUAAGAUGUCCCCUAGGAUGUCUUGGCAUUUUAGGGACGUCCCGUGUUGGAACGGUGUGUUUAGGAAAGUUUAGAAAACAAGGCACGACGUCCUAGAACGCAUCUAAGACGUCUCCUAAGACGUUUGACGUUUUUGGCCAUUUUUUAGUAUAUUUCAAGGACGUACAAAGAUCGCUUGGGCGUUAUACACGACGUCUAAGAUGUCUCCUAGGACGUCCAACGUCCCACAUCGCCCAAUUUCAUUAUUUUUUAUCCCACACUAUAAAUAGGAGCCUAUUUCGUUGGUUAAAAUUCGGAUUCAAAGCAAGAUUCGAUUCAAUUCAUCAUCAAGCUAUAAGUGAAGAUCAUUUCAUUGGUUAAUUUUCAUCAAUUCUUUAUUUUCCAGAAUUAUUUCUUCUUCCCCAAGGUUUAUUUGUUCUACACUUCGAUAAUCAUUAGGCUACAUUUGUUUGAUGAUUCUACGUUUGUUUAUGAAUUCUAUAAUGGAUUUUAUUCAUUUUAAUCAAGUUAUUUGUCUUAUGAACUCAAUGGAAGGCUAAAUCAUUAGGGUUACUUCCGGGGAUGUUUAGGACUUUUUGAUGAACACACUUGAUUAUUACUUGAUUCUAGUUAAUUUCAAUUGUUGUUUUAUGCUUCAUGUGAUGAUCUUUUGGUAAUGAUAAUUGAAAUUGGGUUGUAUGAAUUGUUUGAUGUCAUAAUUAAGAUAGUCUAUUGUCAAUUCAUCAUUUGUUCCAAGUUCACAUAGUUUAGGAAUAAAGACAAGUGAUUGAAUCAACAUAUAUUAUUCCAACUUAUGAUAUUGAAUCUUAAUGCGGUAAUAGGUACUUGUAAGAUAUUUUAUUGCUAGUCCACUAAUUGUUCUUAAUCCAUUGAGGCAUAAAGGAGUAAGACAACUAGUUAAAUGAACAUUUAGUAUGCCCAAACUAUGUAUUACAAGUUAAUAAAUCCCAAUUGUAUCUAAGUAAUUGAAUUAGGAUUUAAGGGAAGAAAGUGUGUGAAUUUAAACUGUCCAUAACUGAACCGGGAGUACUCUAGUUUUCUCAUUGAGAUUUUCGUUGUAAUUAAUAAAUUUCCAUGCUUUUUGUUUGAUCUUUGCGUUAAAUUCUUUUUCGUGACAAUUGCUAGUAGCUUUUUUUCGUUGACUAUUUUAACACAAAGUUUGACAACAAACUCCCUGUAGAUUCGACCCUUACUUACCCUAGCUAUCUAGUGGUUUUGAGGUUAUUUUUGAUUGAUACAACGACAUCAAUCAUAAUUUGGCGCCUUUGUCGGGGAGAUUGUGCGCUUGAGCUAUUGUUUUUAAGUAGUUAUAGCCUUUUACUUUCAUUUUCAAUUCUCGUUUGUAGUUCACAUUUUGUUUUAUUUGUGUUGUGCAGGCACACUGGUGCAUGCAUACAAGACAUAGCAGACGCUCUUCACCGCUUGCAUUUGAUCCGGAAAUCGAACGAACAGCUCGCUCAAAUCGGGUCGCCAGAAGGAACAUCAACACUAUGAGUGUAGAUAAUGUUGUCGUGGAAGAUGUGGUUGAAGGGCAUGAGGAAGAAGCCAACAAUCCUCCACCACUAGUUCCACCACCAGCUCCUCAAUUCCCAAACAACAACAAUGGGAAUAACAACAAUGCCGGUGCACCAAUCAUCCAACCAGUGCAACCAUAACUGAAUAGAAACAACCGUGGCCAAAAUGGUGGAAACGGAGGAAAUUGGGCAUAGAAUAUGGGAGGCAAUGUAGGAAACCACACUGGUGGUAAUGUUAGAAAUCAUAACCAAAAUCCUAGAAAUGUUGGUCCUCAAUUCGGUAAUGGUGGUAAUGGUGGUAACGAGGAUGAUUGGGAUUUUGACGAUGGAAGUUACAACGGACUUGGUUGGAAUCAUAACCACAACGGUGGUAAUAGGCGGAAUCAAGGAAAUCGGGGUGGAAACGGGUACUAAAACAAUAACUGGAACAACCUGAAUUUCCCUAAUGGUGGCAACAAUUACUACAAUGAUGGGUUCGGAAAUCAAGGCUUUGGGAAUCAAUAUCGAAGGAAUCCAAAUGGUGGAUUCAACAAUGCGAAUGGAGGAUACUAAAAUGAAGGUAAUCAAUUCCCUCAUCUUUACUUUCUGCAGCCUAAUAGACAAUCUGUGGCGUCUCAUUUUCAGCCGAGAGAGUAUGAUGAUGCUUCACCCAUACUCUUCGCAGAAGUAAAUGAGCAUCAUGUAGAAGUAAGACCACAACUAAUUAGUGUCUUACCCGUCUUUAGAGGCCAUAAAACUAAUGAUCCAUACAAUCACCUCUAUGAGUUCCUUGCAAUUGCUAACGCGAAUACUCCGCGAGGAACUAAUAGAGAUUCAUUUAGACUUCUCUUAUUUCCGUUCACUUUAAAAGAAAAAGCUAAGUAUUGGUUCACUUCUCUUGCCCCCAUAGUAUCACUACUUGGGAGCAAUUAAAAACUAAAUUUUUGCAAGAGUUUUACCCAGCUAGUAAAACAACGGAAAUAAGAAAAGCCAUAGAAGAUUUUGCACAAAAACCCAAAGAAGAAUUUCAUGAUGCAUUUGAACGCCUCAAGGAAUUGUUCCGUUCAUGUCCCUAUCAUGAAUUUCCCCGUUGGCAACUGGUAGGUUUCUUUUAUGAUGGAGUCGAUACUGCCAAUCAAAGCAUGAUUAAUGCCUCGUCCGGCGGCAUUAUUAUGAUACAAGAUAGUGAAGACGCUUGGCGAUUCUUAGAGUAGUUGAGUCAUGGUUCAAAAACCAAUUACUCAGCUAAGAAACGGGACAAUCCAGUUUCAUCUGUUGCUUCAGUUGGACUAGACAAAAAACUGGAAAAAUGAAGUCAAAUCUGAUAUUAAUUCUUUAAAUAAAAUUUUUGACUUACUACUCUCUAGUCUAGGCAAAAAGAAAGGUGUGUUUUUUCGCAGGGACAGAAGAUAUGUGUAAGCUGUGGAGAUUCAUGACACAUUGCAGAUGAGUGCAUGAGAAUUCAAGAGGAAAUCAAUCAAGUGCAUGGUUAUGGUCAAUUCCAAAAUAAUCCACGAUCAUUCAAUCGGAACUACAUCCAAGGCGGGAACUACAACAACAUUGGGAUUUUCAACAACAACAACCGUCAAGGGAAUUACCAAAACCAAAAUCAGCCAAAACAGUUCCAGCAGUCCAACUUUAACCAAGGUGGAACAUCAAAGAAGGAGGAAAAUGAUGGCAACAAGUUGGACAAAAUCAUGGAGUUCAUAACCUAAACAUAUCAGAAAACCGACACUAACUCCAAGUCUAUAGCUGCUAUUGAGAAGCAAAUUGCUCAACUGGCGGAGCAAAUUGGGAAAAGAGAAGAUGGCAAGUUUCCAAGCACCACAACAGUGAACCCAUCUCAUACCCAGAGACCCCGAAAAGAGCAUCAAGUGAACGAGGUAAUUACCUUGUGUAGUGGAAAAAAGGUUGACAACAAGGUAAGUGCUUCUACAUUAGAUAAUGACAGUGACACUGAAGUCAUCUUUGAUGAAAAAGAAGAGUUUGAGAAAGAUUUUAAAUCCGAAAAACAAAAAGAAGAUAAGGUUAAAAAUGACUCUAAAGUUGGGGAGCAUGGUGUGGAGGUUAAUACCGCACCAUACCCUUCGGCUUUAGAGAAGCCGGCAUCCUUCCCUUUUGGGAAGCGAGGGCUAAAAAUGGAAGACAUGUGAGAUCUAUUUAGUCAAGUUAAAAUAAAUAUCCCAUUAGUCAAACUUAUUAAGGAGGUACCUUCUUAUGCUAAAUUUUUGAAGGAUUUGUGUGUUCAAAAACGCAAACUCCAAGCAUACCUCCCUAAAAAGAUUGAUUUAGUCAAGCAUGCGAGUUCGAUAAUAUCAAAUAAACUUCCACCCAAGCUUAAGGAUCAUGGAGCACCUUUAAUUUUUGUUACGCUAGGUAACAUUAAUAUAAAAAAGGCGCUCCUUGAUCUUGGAGCUAGUGUUAAUAUAAUCCCGGGAAAUUUUUUUGAUCAACAUGACUUAGGCACUUUGGAACAAACUGAUAUUAUUUUACGAUUGGCCGAUAAGUCAACAAAAAUUCCUUGGGGAAUAUUAUCAGAUGUUAUUAUUAAGGUGGGAGAUUUCUAUUACCCAGUUGAUUUUCUUAUGCUUGACACCGUGAGCACUUAUAAAGAAAGUCAACCUUCUAUUAUUUUAGGUCGUCCGUUAUUGACAGCAAUAAAUGCACAAAUUAAUUGUAGAACGGGUGCAAUGGAUAUCUCUUUUGGAAAUAGGAAACUUAGAAUUGAUAUUUUUAAUACGUUUCCUAACUCACCAUCAGAUUAUGAAUGUUAUCAUGUGGAUGUGGUUGAUGACUUAGUGCAUCAAUUCACUCUUAAAAUCUUACACCCUGAUCCAUUGGAGUUUUUUCUUUCUAAUGACAGGGACGAAGUUUUAGAGUUGGAUGACAUCAAGAUGGUUGAGGAGGCAUUUGAAAAUGUUAUUGAGCAAGAGAGGCCACCAUGGAGUUAUCAAGUUGAAAAAUUGCCAACAAGUUUUUCGGACCCACUUAAGCCAUCUUUGGAGGAGCCACCCAGUCUUGAACUCAAAACUCUUCCUUCACAUCAUAGAUACUCUUUUUUAGGAUCUAAGGAGAACUUACCAAUUACCAUAUCUUUUGAUUUGACAUGUCCACAGGAGGAAGCAUUACUGAAGGUGCUUUCGAAGUACAAGGGAGCAAUUGGAUGGACCAUAGCAGACUUGAAGGGAAUUAUUCCAGCCACAUGUAUGCAUUGAAUCAUCACUGAAGCUAGAGAAAAGCCAUCCCGAGAUGCACAACGAAGGCUCAACCCGAAUCUGCGAGAAGUUGUUAAAAAGGAGGUGUUGAAAUGGCUUGAUGCGGGUAUUAUCUACCCAAUAUUUGAUAGUGAUUGGGUGAGCCCGACACAGACAGUGCCAAAGAAGUCGGGCGUUACAGUGGUAGAUACAGAAGAUGGAGAGAAGAUCUCAACAAGAUCGGUCACCAGAUGGAGAGUUUGCAUCGACUAUCGCAAACUCAAUGCUGCAACAUCAAAUGACCAUUUCCCUCUCCCUUUUAUUGAUCAAAUAAUUGAGAAAUUGUAUGGUAAAAAGUUUUAUUGUUUUUUGGAUGGAUACUCGGGGUAUAAUCAAAUUGCCAUCCACCCCGAGUAUCAAUCCAAAAUGACAUUCACGUGUCCAUAUGGCACCUUUGCUUUCCGAAGGAUGCCAUUCGGCUUGUGUAAUGCCCCUGCCACAUUUUAAAGAUGUAUGAUGGCUAUUUUUUUAGACGUGGUGGGGGAUGCAUUAGAAAUUUUCAUGGAUGAUUUUUCUAUUUUUGGAUCAUCUUUUGAGACAUGCUUAGACCAAUUAGAAAAAGUUUUGAAACGUUGUAUUGACUCUAAUUUGGUUUUAAGUUGGGAGAAGAGUCAUUUCAUGAUAAAAUAGGGAAUUGUACUUGGCCAUGUUGUCUCCGAGCAUGGCUUUGAAGUCGACCGGGCCAUAGUACAAAUUAUUUCUACUCUUCUCCCACCAACUUCAGUAAAAGGCGCCCGUUCUUUUCUUGUACAUGCCGGCUUUUAUCGAAGAUUUAUCAAGGAUUUUAGUGCAAUGUCAAAACCUCUUUGUAAUUUACUUUUAAAAGAUGCACCAUUUUCCUUUGAUAAAGCAUGUCUUGAAUCUUUUACCACAUUAAAGAACAAACUUGUUGAAGCUCCUAUCUUGCAAUCACCCGAUUGGACUUUACAUUUUGAAAUUAUGUGUGAUCCAAGUGAUUACGCGGUAGGGGCAAUUUUGGGACAACGGGUGAAUAAAAAACCCAUUGCAAUUUGUUAUGCGAGCAAAAAAAUUUCGGAUGCACAAUUGAAUUACACUACUACCGAAAAAGAGUUGCUUGCGGUCGUGUUUGCACUUGAAAAUUUUAGAUCUUACAUAUGGGGAUCUAAAGUUGUAAUUUUUACCGACCAUAGUGCCAUUCACCACCUCUUGGAAAAGAAGGAUGCCAAACCACGUCUCAUAAGAUGGAUCCUUCUUCUUCAAGAGUUUAAUCUUGAAAUUCAGGACAAAAAGGGUUCUGAAAAUGUUGUGGUGGAUCAUUUAUAUAGAAUAACUAAUAAUGAUAACUCAACGAAAGUUAUUCAAGAAAACUUUCCAGAUGAGCAUAGUCUUGUUGUCAAAACUAUACCAUGGUUUGCUAAUUUAAUUAAUUACUUUGCGACAGGGGAAACUCCAUUGUAUUGGAAUGCUCAACAAAUGAGGUUCUUCCACUCUCAAACAAAAUACUACAUAUGGGAGGACCCAUAUAUUUUCAAAAUUGGAGCAGAUCAAGUGAAUAGGAGAUGUGUACCACAUACAGAGCAAGAAGACAUUCUUCGACACUGCCAUUCAUAUACAUGUGGAGGGCAUUUUAGUGCCAAAAGGCAGGGCAUCGGGUUCUACAAAGCGGUUUUUUCUGGCCCUCUAUUUUUAAAGAUGCACAUACAUUCGUUAAAGCUUGUAUUCGUUGCCAACAAGUUGGGGGGAUCUCAAGACGGGACAUGAUGCCAAUGACCCCAAUUUUAGUAGUUGAAAUCUUUGAUGUAUGGGGCAUUGAUUUCAUGGGUCUGUUCCCCACUUCUUUUGGCAAUCUAUACAUUCUUGUAGCCGUUGAUUAUGUAUCAAAAUGGCUCGAAACCGAGGAUACACACACGAAUGACCAUAGUGUUGUUUGUAAAUUUGUUAAAAAGAACAUAUUUUCUACACACGGAAUCCCUCGAACUAUUAUUAGUGAUGGGGGCUCCCAUUUUAAAAAUUGGCAUUUUGCAAAGUUACUUAAACACUAUAGUGUCACACAUAUGAUAGCUACUCCAUAUCACCCACAAACAAAUGGACAAGUAGAAGUGUCAAAUAGGGAAAUAAAACGAAUCUUGGAGAAGACUGUUCAUCCCGACCGAAAAGAUUGGUCAUUAAGAUUAGAUGAUGUGUUAUGGGCAUAUCGAACAACCUAUACGACGCCCAUUGGAAUGUCUCCGUAUCGGCUUGUUUAUGGAAAGCCAUGCCAUCUCCCGGUGGAGUUAGAACACCGUGCCAUGUGGGCCAUAAAAAAUGCUAACUUUGAAUUGAGUGAUGCAGGUAUAGAAAGGAAACUCCAAAUUGUUGAAUUGGAAGAGAUUCGAAAAGAAGCUUACGAAAGCUCAAGGAUCUAUAAAGAAAAGACGAAGGCAUUUCAUGACCGACAUAUUGUCCGAAAACAAUUCGUUAAAGAACAAUUGGUGUGGCUAUUCAACUCUCGUCUCAAACUCUUCCUCAGAAAGCUUCGGAGUAAAUGGAAUGGACCUUUUGUGGUGAAAAAUGUGGCGGAUCAUGGAUCUAUUGAAAUCAAGGACACGAAAGGCAGUGAACCAUUCAAGGUAAAUGGACAAAGACUCAAACCUUAUAUUCGAAUGGUAAAUGGUGAAACAACAUUCGUUGAGAAAACAACGCUCAAGGCAACACAAUAUUUAGAAACAACUUAGUCGAGGUAAACCGUCCGGCUGAAGACAUAAAACUUACCGCUUUUCGGGAGGCAACCCGUGGUUUGGUGUGUUUUUACUUCUAUUCUUCUUUUGGUGUGUUUUAAUUCUUUUCGUAUCGAGGACAAUCCAAGGUUUAAAGUUGGGGAGGGGGUAUUUAAUUUUUGUUUAAAAUUAAAUAAUAUUCGAAAAAUACUCAAAAAACAGCAAAAAAAAAUAGCCUCAGGCAUCCUAGGGGUGUCUUAGACGUUGUCUAAGACGCCGUCGGGCUGUCACUUCUUUUCCCCCCGAUGAAAACCCUUCGCGAAAAUUAAAAAAAUACCCUUAAUGUGUAUGACGUCCUAGGACGCGUCUAAGACGCCGGCUAGGACGUCGACGUGUUUUUCAACCGUUUUAUGCCGUUUUCUGCAUUAUUGUUGGUAUCUUUCUUCUCCAAACUGCCAUAGCCGAAAACCCACUUGUUCUUGCUUAUUUCCUUUGAUUUCUUGGCCAAAACUCAACCAAAAUUCGUGGUUUUUGUUGCAAUCUUCAAGAAAUCAAGUAAGAAACAUCACAUUGCAAGAUUUACACACUCUAAUCACUUAUUUGGGGCCGAUUUCAAAACCCACAAAAACUAGGGUUUCGAAAUUUUGACUUAUUUUGAGAUUUUACUUCAAGUUCUUGGUUCUUCUUCACUAGAAACACAAUUUCAACAAGGUAUAUGCUUCAAAACUCCAUCUUUUAGUUGAAUUUCAGAAUUUUUGCAUGUAUGUUCAUAUAUGUUUGAAAUUUUGAAAAAGAUGAAGAAUAUGAUAUAUAUUGGUAUGAAUUCUUGUGAAUUAGUGUUUGUAGUUGUUAGAAGUAUGUUCCAAACAAGUUGCAUGUGUUGAUUCGAGAAAUUUCUAAAAAUUGAAUUUUUGUUGUUAGUUGUUAAAAAAUAAUAAUAAUAAAUAAAAGCACAUAUAAUGUUGGAAAAUCAUUCUUAUGUUUAUAUUUGUGUUUGAAUUAAAAAUUCAAGUUUUUAGAAAAUUUCAGAAUGACACUGAAUUUUGACAUUGCAUUGUUAGUCUGAAUAUUUGCCUGUUACAGUUCUGUUCUGGUUUUAGUUAGAACUUGUCAGUUGAAGUUAACUUUUGGUUUAACUGUGUUUUUACUGAUUGGAUAAAUUUUUGAAAAAUAUUUAGUUACUAAAAACAUAACAGGACUUAAAACGGUUAUUUAUUUAGACUGGAUUUAUUUUAACUUUGUUUGGAACAACUUGCCAACUGAAUUAUUUGUUUUAUUUUUGUGACAUUUGAUAUGUUUAAUGGCAAGUUUUGUUUUGUGGUUUUGUGUAUGAAUUAUUUUGCAGAUGCCAGCAAAGAGAUCAAGGGUAGCAUCAUCAAGCAGUGCAUCUAGACAACCAGCUAGACAGUCGGAGCCAAAUGUACAUGUGGCUUUCAACCCACAGUAUCAGACAUUGCAUGAGCAUCUAGAUGACAUUCGUCCAACAGUUUAUGAGGCAACUCAUCCGAAUAUGGGUUUUAUUGUAGAGUACAUGGUGGAGCGACCGAGCUUCACUAGGUAUAAUAUUGUGGAGACGUUUGAUCGCUAUGGAUGGGGUGGAGUGCUAGACUUCAAUCCCACGCAGAUUUAUGUUGAUAUAGUGCAGGAAUGGAUGAGGAAACUUCGACGUGUCGAGGUGCCUGGUAGGCCGGAGGAGUUGCCGCUGAUUGGGACGGUCCGUACUCAUGAUAUAGUGAUAACUGUGCAGGGUAUUCGGGACAUGUUUCAUGUAGAUACUGGCUGUCAUUUUCAUUAUCUUGAGAAUCAUCUGACUGAGUAUAGAUGUAUUGACACGAGGGGGUAACCCUGGGGUUAGUAUGACUGAAGUAUACCGUAUAGUGUUCCAUGAGGGGACGAGGGCAUACGACAGAUUCCGCGAAUUGGUGCCUUUAGCAAAGGCAUUACAUAACAUUAUCACGAAAAAUGUGAACCCAAGGAAUAGUGAUCCUAGGGCGGUGAGGCCACAUGACUUAUAUGUAUUAUAUGGAUUGAUGAUAGGAUCUAUCUUUAUCUCUUAUGCAUAUAAUGCUAUGUGCAACAUAUGGUCCUGUUUUGAUAUCCAGCACAGAGUCACUACCCCCCAUGUUGCCCUGAUAUCGACAUAUGUUGCCUUGCUACUUCUUUUAGACACAUCUCAUUUCAUGUUGAAAAUGGGAGACAUAUUCUGAGGGAUUCUACCACAAAUCCGACAUACACGGCACCACUCGGAGUGGGGGAUGAGGAGCCAUUCGUUGGUGAUUUUUAGGGGGAUCAGUAGCAGCAAUAGGCAUAAGCAGCAGGUCGGGGAUAGAACAUGCAGGCAGCUUGGGAGGACUUUGUGGGGAGGCAGAACAUGCAUAACCAGGAGGUGCAGGCUUGGAUGGGGAGAACGGAUAUAUGGUUGAAGGGUGUCGAUACGACACUAGCUGAUAUUACUGAGCAGAUGCGACAGAUUGGCAUUACAUCUAGCAACACUUAUAGUGUUGCCACUCGUCAGUUGUACCAACAGGAGUACUAUGCAGAUGCUGCCUACACAUAGAGUCGUGUCCAGUAUGAACCGAUGGACAUUGAUCAACCACAGUAUCGAUACCGAGCUCCAGCUCCGUUCUUCUACCGAUCCGGGAAUCUGAGCAACUAUCCACCGCCAUCCGAGCAUGAGCAUUAUCAGCCACCACCAGCUACAGAGGACUCUACUCGCUUUGAGGAUUUAGUUGGAUCGAUCUUUGGGUAUCCUCCACCAUACCCACGUUAUCCUCCACAGUCGCCCCCACAUUGAACUUUGGUGAGAUCCUCUUUUGAUUUUUAUUUUUAUGGUUGUUUGAUGAAGACUUUUUUUAUUUUUAUUUUUAUUUUUCGUUUGCUUUUCAUGUCUUUAUUUGGGAUGAAUGUACUAUUAUUAAACUCAUUAUUAUUAUUACUCUCUCUUGGGUUGGUUCCAUUAAAUAUGUGAUGAGUUAGUAGCAUCUCUAUAUCUUGAACGUAACUCAUCAAAAUGGAAAAUGAUAGGAGUUUCGUAAAUUGAGUCAUAAUAUUUAUUUAAUAUUGAUUUUGUGGAUUGCUCAACCGAUUUGGGAAUAUUUAUAUUUAGUUAAAAAAUUGUUAUGUGAAAUACCCAAGUGUUUGAAAAAUGACGGUUUUUAGCUCGAGCCUACGAUCUUUCAAUUGAGGACCCAACCGAACAAUAUGUGUCAUCACGCUCUGAGUACUUGGUCUUACUUACUCUUGCGCCUUUGGGGUUGGGAGGGGACUAUUAUUGUUUUCACACAAUAAAAAAGCAUCAAAAGACAUUGAAGAACUUCCAAGUAUCUAUAUUCAAGCUCAAGUCAAAUACCAAAAUGAUCAAAUCCGAUGAAGCCAUCAAAGAACUUGAAGAAUGCAAAAUCAAGAUAAAUAUGAAGAAAAGUUCAAGUUGAAGACAUUGUGUGAAAUAAUGUGUGACCCCUCGAUAGCGGGAGCGUAUGGGUUGGUCCAUUAAGUGUUACCGACCGCGCUAACUAUGUUAGUGAACCUUGAAAAAAGGGACUUUGGCAAUGAGUUCAACUGAUUACUCAUGAGGGUGAUUAUUGGAAAGGGUUCAAAAAGUGGAGGGUUUCAAACAACAAAGUAAAAUAAGCAUAACAUGUGUUUUGAGUUUAAAAGUCUGGAUAAGAAAAUAAUAAUCCCCAUAAUCAAUAUAUUGUGCUAUUGGAAAUGUUGUGAUAAAAAGUACAGAAUUCAUGAUUCCAUUGAGUUUUUCUUAGGAUAAGAGAGUAAAGACUACGCUGAUUAUUUCAGGCCAAUCUCGGGACGAGUUUGGAAUAAAGUUGGGGAGGUUUGAUAAGUCCAUUUUAUGAAUGUACUAAAUUGUUAUAAAUCUGUUGAAUUGAUGUAUAAUUGUCCAAGAAUGGCACUACUUUGAUGAGUUGUUGAACUUCAUAUACAGGUCAAUAUAUUGUACUAAAAGUGGGCGGAACCUGCAAGUAAAACAGUGCUAAAGGAAUGAAGAAACGUUGCUGGGAAAACUGACCAUGCUUCAAUGUUUUGGUCAUAACUGAAGUUCCGCAGCUCUAAUUGACAUGAGUAAAGAAGUUCUGGAAACUAGACAAGAUUUUCUACAACUUUUGUGUUUUGUGUUUCUGCUAGUUAUGUCGUUUUGACCACCAAAACUUAAACGAAAGAUGAAGGAUGCCUCCAGGCGUCUAAGACAUCCCCUAGGACGUCCACAUCAAACGGUCAGCAUCUGGCCGUUAUUUCAAAGCAGAAAAGAAGGAAGAACCCCCGUCAGCGUCUUACAUGGCGUCAAAGAUGUCCCCUAGGACAUCUUGGCAUUUUGGGGAUGUCCCGUGUUGGAACGGUGUGUUUCGGAAAGUUUAGAAAACAAGGCAGGACGUCCUAGAACGUGUCUAAGACGUCUCCUAAUACGUUUGACGUUUUUGGCCAUUUUUUAGUGUAUUUCAAGGACGACAGAUGGCAUGCAAGGACGUACAAAGAACGCCUGGGCGUUAUACACGACAUCUAAGAUGUCUGCUAGGACGUCCAACAUCCCACAUCCCCCAAUUUCAUUAUUUUUUAUCUCACACUAUAAAUACGAGCCUAUGAAUUCGUUUUUAGGGUUACCACCUCCGAUUUUCAGAGUUUUUCAUGUGUUUUUGAGGCUUCUAAAACACUUGGAAACAUUUGAAAACACAAAUCCAUUCCAUUAAAAUCCGGAUUCAAAGCAAGACUCAAUUCAAUUCAUCAUCAAGCUAUAAGUGAAGAUCAUUUCAUUGGUUAAUCUUCAUCAAUUCUUUAUUUUCCAGAAUUAUUUCUUCUUCCCCAAGGUUUAUUUUUUCUAUAAUUUGAUAAUCAUUAGGCUACAUUUGUUUGAUGAUUCUACAUUUGUUUAUGAAUUCUAUUAUGCAUUUUAUUCAUUUCAAUCAAGUUAUUUGUUUUAUGAACUCAAUGGAAGGCUAAAUCAUUAGGGUUACUUCUGGGGAUGUUUAGGACUUUUUGAUGAACAUAAUUGAUUAUUACUUGAUUUUAGUUAAUUCAAUUGUUGUUUUAUGCUUCAUGUGAUGAUCUUUUAGUAAUGAUAAUUGAAAUUGGGUUGUAUGAAUUGUUUGAUGUCAUAAUUAAGAUAGUCUAUUGUCAAUUCAUCAUUUGUUCCAAGUUCACUUAGUUUAGGAAUAAAGACAAGUGACUGAAUCAACAUAUAUUAUUCCAACUUAUGAUAUUGAAUCUUAAUGCGGUAAUAGGUAGUUGUAUGAUAUUUUAUAGCUAGUCCACUAAUUGUUCUUAAUCCAUUUAGGCAUAAAGGAGUAAGACAACUAGUUAAAUGAAAAUUUAGUGUGCCCAAACUAUGUAUUACAAGUUAAUAAACCCCAAUUGUAUCUAAGUAAUUGAAUUAGGAUUUAAGGGAAGAAAGUGUGUGAAUUUAAACUAUCCAUAACUGAACCGGAAGUACUCUAGUUUUCUCAUUGAAAUUUUCGUUUUAAUUAAUAAAUUUCCAAGCUUUUUGUUUGAUCUUUGCUUUAAUUUUUUUUCGUGACAAUUUCUAGUAGUUUGUUUUUUUUCGUUGACUAUUUUAACACAAAAUUUGACGACAAACUCCUUGCGGAUUCGACCCUUACUUACCCUAGCUAUCUAGUGGUUUUGAGAUUAUUCUUGACUGAUACAACGACAUUGAUCAUCGUGCCAAAACCCUAAAGAGACCGAUGUGCCUGGGGCCCAAUUUGCUCUUCUUCCUGAAUCGGAUGACACCUUUCCAAUGUGACAAGUUCAGGGGGACCAUAUCCCUAACCUGAAACUCUAAAUCUGAUUGGUGCUUGUCGGCAUAGCUCUUCUUCCGGCUCUAAGCUGUCUGGAGCCUACUCCAAACUGCUGAAUCAACUUGGUAGUCUUGAGUACCGCUUUGGUACUCCCCAUUAGUAGCUGACCGUCCUCACCCCAACAUAUCAUGGUACUGCAUUUCUUUCUAUAGAGCAUCUCAAAAGGAGGUCGAUUAAUGUUGGCGUGAUUACUAUUGUUAUACAAAAACUAUUGGAUUAGGUGUCUAAGACCAUAACUAUUUUGGUAUGUACUUGACCCGAUUGUGAGCAUGGUCCUUUUGGGUUGCCUUCACCAUAGCAACUGAUGGGAUGAAUUAAGGAGAAAAAGGAUUAAUUAUGAUUUAUUAAUAUAUUAUAUGAAUAAUAUAUUAAAAGAGAAAUCAUAUUGUUUAAUUAAUAUUAGUCAAUAAUUCAUUUUGUGGCUAAAAGAGAUUAAUUAAAUAAAGGGGACUGAUAUUGCAAUUAUAUGAUAGUUGCAAAUUGGGCUAUGGAUUCCUAAUGGAAAUCGGAUUGGACAAAAUCUAUGGGAAGCCCAUAUGGAUUUCGUCCAAGGGCUUUCCAAGGGAACUCCAUGGGUUGCUUAAGGCGUAAGCAGUGAGAUUAGGGUUUCCUGAUUCAAAACCCUAAUAGCCUAAGUAUAAAAGGAACCCUUGGCAAGCCAAAAACGUCCCUAACCUUAUAAGAGAAACCCUAGGACGUUUUUGGUGCCUCCUCCCUCUCUCCUUGUUCAUCUUGUUACAUAUGGUGUUUGUGACUCCAUUAGAGGUGCAACAUUUGAGGCACUAGGCUUUCAGAAGUCAAUUACAAGAAGGAUUCGGAUUGUUAUUGCAACAUAACAAUCAAGGUAAGAUCUAAAAUCUAUCCUUUUGUCAAUUUUGAUUAUUGUAUACUAGAGUUAGGGUUUAUGAGCUUUGGAUGAUUAUUACGUAUAUCAGACAAACUAGAUCCAAAGCUUUAGGGUUUGCAUGUACACCAUAGGAUUGACGUAGUGCUCAAAACCCAUCAAAAACUACGCCAAAGGGAUAUAUGUAUCCCAACUCCCACCAAAAUCCAGAACACACGCCCGAAGCAUAUCCUCCAAGGUAUGAAUAGUCCUCUCGCUCUGACCAUCAGUAUGUGGGUGGAAAGUCGUACUGAAAUGCAGAUGAGUACCCAGCUCGUCGUGGAACCUCUUCCAAAAUCUGGAAGUAAACCGGACGUUCCUGUCUAAAACCACAAAACGGGCACACCAUGAAGUGCCACUACCUCCCUGAUGUAUACCUCAGCUAACUUCUCUGAGGAGAUACUAUCUUGAGUCGGAAUAAAAUGUGUGAACUUGGUCAAUCAAUCCACGAUGACCCAAAUCGAAUCCACUCUAUGUUCACUCUAAGGCAACAUCGUAAUGAAAUCCAUGGUAAUCUCCUCCCAUUUUCAAACAGUGAUAUCUAACGGUUACAUCUUGUCGUGAGGCCACUGAUGCUCGGCCUUGACUUUCCUUCAAGUCAAGCAUCUCUCCACGUACCAAGCUACAUCCCGCUUCAUACAGGGCCACCAAUAAUCAGGAUGAAGAUCAAUAUACAUCUUCGUCGUGGUGGGAUGAAUGGAGAAUCUCAAUUUGUGUGCCUCCUCCAUCAGAACUUGACGCACACCAGCCCAAUCGGAACCCACACUCUUCGAUGGAGAUUCAAUAACCCUUGGUUUUCAUAAUAAAAGGAAGCCACCUGACUCACUGUGCGCUCACUCUUCCCAUCACAACCUCAACCUGAGCCUCUCAAAUCUACUCUAAAAGUGGAGUGAUCACAGUCAUCCUGAAACAAAUAUCCUUGAACGGAGCCGCGAUCGCCUUGCUGCUAAGAGCAUCGGCCACCACAUUAUCCUUCCCCGUAUGGUAAAGGAUCUCACAAUCAUAAUCCUUCACCACAUCCAACCAUUGGCACUGCCUCAUGUUCAUAUUUGGCUGAUCCAUCAGAUACCUCAAGCUCUUGUGAUAUGUCUAUAUAGUACAGCGGGCCCCAUAGAGGUAAUGUCAUCAAAUCUUGAGGGCAAAAACCAUAGCCCCAACUCUAAAUCAUGCAUCGGAUAAUUCGUCUCAUGAUGCUUCACUUACCUUGAAGCGUAAGCGAUCACGUGACCCCUCUGCAUCAGAACUACACCUAAACCUGUGAUCGACGCAUCAUAAUAAACCAUGAAAUCUUCAACACCCUCCGGCAGGGUCAAAAUAGAUGCCUCACACAAUCUUUAUCUUAGGGUCUCAAAAGUUGCAUGUUGGUCGGGCGCCCAGCGAAAAGUGACAAUCUUCUUCGUCAACCGAUUUAGAGGAACCGCUAUCUUGGAGAAAUCCUAAAUGAACCUCCGAUAAUAGCCUUCCAACUAAGGAAACUCCAAAUCUUAGAUGGAGACCUCGGUACCUCCCACCUCAUCACGGCCUCGACCUUGGCCGGAUCGACCAGAAUACUGUUUUGGUUGACAAGGUGCCCUUGAAACUGCACCUCGUGCAACUAGAACUCGCACUUGGAGAACUUUGCAAAAAGUCUCUCCCUCCUCAAAGUUUCCAAUACCUCCCUGAAGUGCUCCUCAUGUAGCUCCUGGGUCUUGGAAUAGACCAGGAUAUCAUCAAUGAAUAGGGCAUUUUGUAUAAUCAAUUGUUGAUGUUAUUGAAAAUAAUGAUGUUAUUGAAACAUAUGCAUGGCAUGUAUUCCCAAUAAUUAUAUUUAAUUAAUUGGUUGUUGUGCAUGUUAUUAUAUUGGGAACAAAUUAGAAAGUGGUCCAUGUGGUAGUACAUGAUAUGUAUGGGGACCAUUUGUAGUUAAUAGUCAAUGGGUAUUUUUAUAAUGGAAAAAUGGGACCUUUGAACCCAUUAUAGAACCAUAUCCAUGACUAUAUAACAAAUUCACAUGCAUGCACAUUAUUCCAAAUUUUUCCAUGCAUAAAUAUUCAAACCCAUUGGUCAUGAGUUUACUUAAAAAGGCAACAUACUUUCAUAAGUGAGUAAAAUAUCAUUUCAUGUCAACAAUUUACUUACAAAGGCAACAUACAUUCAUUAGUGACCAAAAUACCCUUUUAUGUCAUGAGUUAACUUAAAAAAGCAUCACGCAUACAUAAAUGACUAAAAUACCCUUUUAUGUCAUGAGUGAACUUAAAAAGGCACCAUGCAUACAUAAAUGACCAAAAUACCCUUUUAUGUUAUGAGUGAACUUAAAAUGGCACCAUGCAUACAUAAAUGACCAAAAUACCCUUUUAUGUCAUGAGUUAACUUAAAAAGCCACCAUGCAUACAUAAAUGAUCACAUCACAUGUAUUCAAAUACACAUACUUUAAAUCCAAAUUACCAUCAUCCUAAUACACAAACUUAAAAUCCAAAUUACCAUCAUCCUAACACACAUACUUUAAAUCUAAAUAACACAAAGGAAAAAUCAACACUAAUAAAUUAGAAGAGCUUUUCCCUUAGAAUUUCCUGGAUCAUCAACACCACCAACUUUCUUGCCUAAUUUCAACUUGAAGAUUCUCUUUGACUUUCUUCUCCUUAUCCUGUUCAAAAUCUUGGAAAUUGGUCUAACCCUUACCUGUUGAACCUAGAUAAUAGGAGUAACCUCCUAAAUUUGAACAUUAUCAACAACUUGGACAUUAGGAAUAACCUCAUCAUCUUGAACAUUACCACCCUCCUCAACUUCCUCACCCAUAACACCCCCAUCACCUUCAUAACUUCUAGGUGGAAUAACUUGCAUAGACUGACUAAAAUCCCUUGCACUACUGGAUUCAACAUGAGUAGAAGUAACUUGCAUAUCAUUUUGAGUAUUAUCCAUCUCAAUUGGAGUCAUUUAACCUCUUCUUGUUGUUGUGGUUCACUUGUACUACCCUAUAUGGCAUGAUAUAAUUAUGUUAGUGGCAAAUCAUAUGUAAAUAAAUUUAAAUUUUAAAUGGUUUUACCUGUUCUGCAUUUUUCUUCACAUAAACUUUUUGUUUCUUCUGUUUCUUUACAUUUAACUUUUGGGGCCUUCUCUAUGGACAAGUGGCCUUACUGUGACACAUCUCCUUGCAUAUAAUACAUCUAAUUUUCUUUCCAUCCUUAGAAACCCUGUGUGUUCCUGUAUUCUUUGUAGUGGAUUUCUUCUUCUUAGUAGCUGGCCUACCAUGCAUCCGUCUACUAAUAAGAGGCAAUGGUGGAGUAUAAUUUGUCUCUGGCCACAUGUCACUGCCAUUCAUGGGGGAAAUUCUGUAAUUGUAUGCCUUCCGAAUUGUGGUGGUGUUAAACAUGUUGUCUACAUAGGCUUCUACAUCUCUAUUAAGAUUGGAUAUGGUAGCUACAGAAUGAGCAUAUCCAUAUCCAUUUAACCGCCACAACCUACAUGAACAUGUUUUCCUUUAUAAGUCCACCUCAUAUGCAUCUGUUUCUCCCUUACCUCGAACUGGUUUAAUCCACUAGGUAGUACCUGAUAAUGCCUCUGAAUUUUUUAAGCAAAUUCACCUUAUCCCUUAUCUCUGGACAAAUAUUAUUUCCCCAUUGUUGUCCCUUUAAUUUCAUGUUGUACAUUUUGUCCAUCAUGUAUAAUCUUAACUCCUCUAACAUGGUUAUUAUGGGCUUCUUCCUGGUAUCCACUAUUACAACAUUAAAACUUUCAGAGAAAUCAUUUUCAACUGCAUCACAACACCUUCCAGCUUGAAAGUAAGCUCUUGACCAUGUUUUAAGAUCUUUCUCCAUGAGAUAUUGAUGGGCAUCUGGGUUUAAUGUCUCAAUUUCCUUCAUCACAACUUUAAAAGCAUGCUCAUUUGUGGUUUUAGAUGCUCUCCAAAACAAGGUAUGAUAUAUGACACCAGUGAAUCUCUUCUGCAAAUUUUGAAAAAUAUGUCUAGCACACUGCCUGUGCAUAUGGAAGAAACUCUUUAACAGCCUCUAUCAAACCUUGUAUUAAUAAAAAGGUUUAAAUCAGAUAGUAUAAAAUAAAUAUAAAUGAAUUACUAUGUAAAAUACUAACCUUAUGUUGGUCUGACAUUAAACUGAAGCAAUUGCCUAAACUUAAGUUUAGAUUAUUAAUGAGAAGCUCUAAAAACCACUUUUAAUUCUACUUGUUCUCCACACUAACCAUUGCCCAAUCAAUAGGAUAUAUCUUGUUAUUUACAUCCCUCCCAAUAACACAAAGCAAUCCCCCCUUACAAACACCUUUAAGAAAACAUCCAUCAAGACCCAUUAUCCUUCUACACCCUUUAAUCCAACCUUGUUUAAUUCCUUGAAAACAAACAUAGAACUUGCUAGAAUAUUUCUUUCCAUCUGGACCAUCCUCCACAUCUAGUUUCACAGUUGACCUAGGAUUUGUCCUUAAAAUCUCAUCAACAUAUUACCAUAGCUUACCAUAAUGUUCAACAAGGCUACCUUCAACAAGAUUUAAUGCAUACUUCUUUGUUCUCCUACAUUAGCCCAUACUAACUUGGAUACUAAACUUGGUCAUUACCUUUACCCUAAGCUUCCUUACACUCAUUUUAUGACUUUGUACAAUCUCUUUGGUAUAGUGACUCCCAAUCCAUGCAUAUGUCACCAAUAAUCCAAACUUGAAGUUCCUAGCACAAUUAUGAUAAGCUUUUUGUGACUUGAUUUGGAAAGUCUCUCCAUCAUUCAUCCAAGAAGCCCAUAAUAUAAAUGUGCAAGCACCCUUGCUACAUCUCACCAAAAGUCUUUUCCUAUCAUAUUUUUUCAAAACACAAUUGAUAUCCAUUAGCCACAACAUAGUUGCACAACCUUGACUUUACUUGCCCUGGACCCUUAGAUCUCAUUCCUAGAAUUGGUUUUUGUUUUUUCCAGUGUAAUAGCUCAUUAAAUAUGGAAAUAGUUUGGAUGUUAGGUUCAACUUCUCUCCCAUUAUCAUCAUCUACAAUGUUGUUAUCCUCCUCAUCAUCAACACACAACUUACUCACGAAAGGAUCAUUUGAUGUCCUAUUCAUAUGCACUGCAUCCUUAUUAAAUUCAAAGACAACAUUCCUAAGUUCAUCUAUGUUAUCUUCAUCUAUGUUAGCGGCGCAGCUUUUUGCCCGUUUGCCUUCAAUCGAUAUGUAUUGAACAAAAAUGUUUGAAUGUCUAUCAAUACAAGGCUCAUGUUCAUCAUCAAACCACCCACCAACACCAACCCCAAUAUGAUCCACAUAAACCGAAAUUACACCAUCUGUUCCAUCAACAUCAAAAAUAAAAGCAGCAUAGUCCACAUCAUCUGAAAAUGGGAUUAAGCUCUUCCAUCAGGGAAUUGCCUGGUUUACAGUAGUAAAACUUUUUACACUCUUCAUGCAUGAAAUGUUCACAGAAGGUCACAAGCUCAGAAUAAGUCAUAGAAGAAAAGUCGACAUCAGUGAACAUGGUUUUCACACCACCAGUGUAAGAGAAAGGAUUUCGAUUAAAUACCCCUUGGUAGUUGAGUUCCACCAUCACAAACACUCCAUUAGGUUCCGAUUGUGCCAUUUUUGCGACUUCUUUGGCUCUUCAGCUCGAUCACAAAAAUGCUUCACAAAACCUAAAUCAAUUUCUUUUAAAACUAAAUAAUGAAGACGAGUGAAGUUCGAUAGCUGAAGACAAAAGGCUUAAAGCUUCGUAUAUCAUCUAUUGAUGUGGCAUAUCUCACAUGGCAUCAGAUUAGCUAAAAAAGAUAUAUUAAUUGACAUAUAUAAAAUGUCAACCAGGAAACCGUUUACAAGUAUGGAAAUGACUAAAUUAAUAAGUCAGAUACCAUUUUAAUGGUCUAAUGUACCCAAAAAACUUUAAUGACCAAAUUAGCCAAAUGUAAAAAGUUUCAUGUGCUACAGUGACAUUAUCCCUGAUGGGUUUUGAGCAUUCUAACACUCCUAUGGUGUACAUGCAACCCUAGAAACCUUGGAUCUAUGUUUGACUAAUAUACAUGCAAAUAAUUAUUUUCCAAGGUUCUUAUCCUAUCUAGCAUGGCAUGGGAACUUGAAUCAAAUAGAGCUAGUAGAAUUACUUACCUUGUAGUUGUUUAAAGCUUCGUAUAUCAUCUAUUGAUGUGGCAUAUCUCACGUGGCAUCGGAUUAGCUAAAAAAUAUAUAUUAAUUGACAUAUAUAAAAUGUCAACCAGGAAACCGUUUACAAGUAUGGAAAAUGACUAAAUUAAUAAGUCACAUACUAGUUUAAUGGUCUAAUGUACCAAAAAAACUUUAAUGACCAAAUUAGCCAAAUGUAAAAAGUUUCAUGUGCUACAGUGACAAUAUCCCUGAUGGGUUUUGAGCAUUCUAACACUCCUAUGGUGUACAUGCAACCCUAGAAACCUUGGAUCUAUGUUUGACUAAGAUACAUGCAAAUAAUUAUUUUUCCAAGGAUCUUAUCCUAUCUAGCAUGGCAUGGGGAACUUGAAUCAAAUAGAGCUAGUAGAAUUACUUACCUUGUAGUUGUAGUUGAUUGCUUGGAGUUUUAGAGCCUAGCACCAAUAGUGUGGAUGCCUCAAAUGUAAAUCACAAAUCACUACAAACUUGGAACUUUGAGAGAAUAGUAACCACCUUUCUUGAAAUCGGCCCUCUUACUUUACUCACCACAACUAGUAUGAUUUCAAGAACCAAAGCCUCCUUUAUAUAGUGUGGUGGAUUAGGGUUACAUCCAUGUAAACCCUAAUACCCAUGUCUUUUCAUUUCCAUGAGAUCCAUGGGUUAAAGCUCCAUGGAGUAUCCAUGGACUUUCCAAGCAAGCCUAGCCCAUUCCAAAUAAGCAUUAGCCCACACUAUAUAAAUAUAAGAGCCCAUAUUUAAUUAGUAAUACUUUUGAUCUCUAAAUUAAUUUUAGAUUAAUUAUAGAUCAAUACUAAUUAAAUAAUAUGGUUUUAUAUUAAUAUAUUAGAACUUAUAAUAUAUUAAUAAAUCAUAACUUAUACUAUUCUCAAAAGAUUAUCCAUAAAUUGUUCGGGUGAAGUGCAACCCAAAUGGACCAUGACGGGUCGGGUCAAGUACAUACCAAAUAUAGUUAUGGACUUAGACACUAUAUCCAACAAUCCCUACAUAAAGUCAUAUGUAGUCAAGGAUCAGAUAGAUAAUCGAACAUAUGACUCACCUAAGAGCGAACAAUCAGAAAAGAACAUCACAAUCAAGCCUUAGAUCAAGAGUUAUCAGUCUAUCCAACUUAAACUAGAUAGACCUAAGAUAUUAUUACCACCUAACCAUGUGACAUAAACAUUUAACAGAUACUAGCAUAUUUAUACACUUAGCAACUAUCCUUCCCUAGUUACCCUGUCAUUGAUCACUUCUCAAUCAAGUGAUCAUCUGGUCAGUCAUGCAUAAUCAUGAUAAUUGACCUACCCCAAUUUCCCUAACUAAACAUAACUCAUAACAAUAUCAUACAAUAAAUAGGAAAGACCUCACAAGAAUAGCAUACCCAGACACCAAGUGUUCUAAACUGCACAUGCAUAUCCUAGCCAACUAGCAUAUUUGUACUCUAACAGUAUCUCCAUCCUAUCAUGCACAGGAUAUAUAAUGAGAUAUGUGGCAUACUAUGAAACUCACCUGAACUGAAGAACCGGAGAAGCACAACAACACUCUUACACAUUUCACUACUCGAUCAUGUGAACCAAUUAACACCAAAAUAGAUAAAUCCUCAAUCAAUAAUCCAAAUCCUCCAAGUUUGACCCUAAGUCAAACUGGUCAAAAGUCAAUAGUCGAUGUAACGCCCAUGUUUCUUUCCAGACAUUAACUAAAUAAUUAGGGUCAACAAUCACCACAACGUGGUAACCUCUUGGCCACAUCCUGGGAAUUUCCAUACAAAAUAGUUACGAAGCUUAGGAUCACCAUGUCGUUGCAAGCCUAUUGCCACGUCGUGGAAAUUCACAGGAAGUCAUAUUCUUCAUUAUGAGCUUAAUGCUUACAGAUCUAAGCUCAAACUUUCAUAUUUGAUUCUUCUUGAUGAAUUAAUGGAUCUUAAACCAUAAGUCUAUUAAGUCUUUAAUAUGACCAAAACUAGAGCAUGGAGAAAAGGGAGCUAUGAAUUAACGCUUUUUCCAUCAAACAAGACCAAAAGAUGGUCACCAAACAAUUCUAAAGUUCUGGAGUUGGCCAAAACUCCAAGAAAAUGCCUUCAAGGGACUUCAAAGCAUGAUAUGAGAGAAAAGGAUGAUAAAGGUGGAAGCUUUAUACCUUCCCAAAAUCCACAAGACAUAGGAGAUGCAAGAUCUGAAGUAGAUACACCAUUCAAACUAGCAAACACACUGUCGUUUCCUUCCCAAAGUGCAACCCAAGGCUUCAAACUUCAAGAACUCCAAGAACUCAUCAAUAUCACUCAAAUAGGGCUAGGGUUUCGAAAUAGGAGGAUGGAGACUGAGGGAAAUGAGCUAACCCUAGAGUUAAGGCCAUUAAAUAUGGGAGAAAAUAUAAAAAAAAAAAUUAUGUGCUUGGGCUACAGCACUCACAACGUCGUGGCAACCCUCUAGUCAUGUCGUGGUGCUCUUCAAAAUGUGCGUUCCCGAAAAUAUGUGUCACGUCGUGGUCAUCCAUGCACCAUACCAAGGCAUAGAUUUUUCUCCUAAAACCCCAUCUUUGAUCCUAUUAGCUCUUUAGUUAAACUAUUAUAGAAAAUAGGUGUUAUAGCCACCAUUCCGAGUUCCUUCUGUGACUGCUAAAUUAGUGUUUGGCGGGUUGGGGAGCCCGACUUCUUUCUCUUAUAUCUUCACAUAUAUAUAUAUAUAUAUAUAUAUAUAUAUAUAUAUAACAUUUUUUUUUCAAAAGUGUAAUACUAUCAAGGGAAAUUGACUUAUCAGGGUAAUUACUGUUUUGUUUUGUUCACAUCGGGGUAACUCUUUUUUUAGUACACAUCUAGGUAACAAACUUUUUGUAAGUGUUCACAUGUGACCAUUAUAAUUGGUUGUAGCAAGUUACAACCGAACGUAAUUGUCAUAUAUGAACACUUCCAACAAGCUCGUUACCUCGAUGCAUACAAAAAAAUGAAGUUACACAUAUGUGAACAAAACGAAAAGGUAAUUACCCUGAUAAGCCAAUUUCCCUUUUUAUUAAGGUGGCAAAUCAUAAUGUUUGUAAUAUUAAUAUAUUCAUUUAAAUUUCUUUAAAACAACAUUUGUAACACCCGGAAUCUAGAAGAUUAAUUAUGGAAACAAAUUCCCUUACCUAAGUAAAAACACGAUGAGUUGAUGGUGGGAAACUCGAUGUGUUGGAGGUUUUUGGGACACACGUUUUUAUGAACCAACUCGGUGAGUUGGUGAAGGAAAAUCGGCGAGUUGGACACUGACUGAGAAACCCUAAUUUUUAGGGUGUUACACCCUAUUUAAAGACCUUAAGUUCUUUAGCUGGCCUCCUUACCGGCCUCCUCUAUCCAGAAACCCUAAAACUGAGCCUUGUCUUCCAUUUAUGAGUGUGAAAGCUUGGGGAGAGCCUUGAGAGUUCAUUUUUGGUGCUUUUUGAAGGAGCUAAGGAAUUAGGAGUUGCUUGGCUUGAAGAAGAAGUCUUGGAUCCAGAAUCUCUGCCUCAUUUGCCAAGUUUUUGAGGAAUCGUGUUCUUACCUUGCUUAUUUGUUGCUUAGAUCUCUUCUUGGGUUAGAGUUUAUGAUUUUUAGCCAUUUUGGGUGAAUGUUGGGGAUUAGGAGGUCCCAAGCAAUUAUUAUUUCAGAUAUAAGGGCUAGCGGCGCUGCUUGUUGCCCGUUCGCCUUCAAUCGAUAUGUAUUGAACUUUCAUUGGAGUAUAUUUUCUUAAUAUAAAUAUAUAAUAGAUAUAAGGUCUACAUGAGCUCUUUAGGCAUAAAGGUGCCAACUUUAUGGAUUUAAUGGCUUCAUGUAUUCAUUAAGUCUUUCAGUUAGCCCUUUUUGAGCUUUUGAUCACCUCCUAGUCAUGCUUAAGUGUAAAGUUGGAAACUUUACACGGCCAUCUAGCCUUAUGGGGACAGAUCUGCAUUAUGGGUUUUAUCUUUGAUGAUUAAGUGAUUAAUGAUUAAGCCUUCACUCUUUUAAGUUUAGGGUUUGGGUUUGGACCCAUUAGGUGAUUCCUAGGGGUAAAGUUGGAAAAUUUACCCUUCUUGAUCUCAUUUUGGUCGAGAGCAGAGCUUUGGAGCCUUUGGACUCGAUGAAGGUACCUUAAUGCAUUAAGAUGUUGGUUCUUGAGAGAACUCGGCGAGUUGACUUGGUUUCCCCGAUUUGUGUAGUUGAUGGAGAAACUCGACGAGUUGGGUUAACUUGGACCGUUGACUUUGACUUUCGAUUUAUGUCUUUGAACAAGUUUGUCCCAAUGGGUACUUGAGGUAAUCUGAAUUGUAAUUAAGGGAAUUAUGAGAUUAGGAUAAGGCCCAUAUGGGGUUGGUCCCAAUUUGGAAAAUUGGGCCAUUACUGGGCCUUUGCGGAUCUUUUGGUUUUGGACUUUUUGGUUAAUGGAAUUUGGGCCUCAGUUUUGGUUCAUGACGCGUUAGGGUUAAAAUGGUCAUUUUCCCCCAAGUAUGGAUGGAGGGCUUUAGAAUGGAACCCAAUUGCUAAUUAGGUGUUAUUUUGAUCUCAUAGCUCGGAGGUCUCAUCAGGGCAGCAGCUAGGGACUUCUUUCUGUGAGUUUCUGCGUUCGAGGUGAGUCUCCUUACUUUUCUAUGGUUUGAAGGCAAUAAUGACGGCCCAUUUGGUUUAUGUAUUAUAGGAAGACCUGGGGGAUAAACCUUGGCAGUUUGUAUGAAAGACCAGGAGGCGGCUCCUGGCAAACUGUAUGCAAGACCAGGGUCUGAACUCUAGCAGUUGACUAGUUAAGUAGUGUAGAUUUUAUACUAUUUGUCUUUGUGACACUUUCAUGGAAGACUCGAAGGUGGAUCCUGGCACUUGUCUGUAAGACCUAGGUUUUUGGCCCCCGGCCUGACAAGGAAGACCACAAGGCGGCUCAUGUCAUAAUGGCAAGACUAUGGAUGGCACAUAUCACCUUUACUAAUUGGGGUAUAUGUAUGCUAAGUAAGACUCAGUGAUAUUAAUGUUAUUUAUAGUUUUGAGUUGAGUUUUCUCCUGCGAUUGAGGUGCAACAGUUGGUGCGAGAGUUUCUGGAUCUCUGUCAGACUACUGAGACUGUGGCAGAUUGUGGAAGGGUGGAAGUGAUGUAAGACUGAGGGGUGGCCCGUAGCAUUCACUAGUUAGAAGUUGGUAUAAAAAUGUUGUAAGACUGUGGGGUGGCACGUAGCAUUCACUAGCGAUCAGAUAGUGUGGGAAGUGUUGUAAGACAGAGGGGUGGCCCGUAGCAUUCACCAGUCCCUAUACAGCGGUGAGAGUGUGGCAAAUUUGUGAUUUGCUCACGGUUUUCUUCGGAUGAUUUUGGCCAGGAUGGAUCAGUUCGCAAGGCUAUGGGAAGGACACAACAUGUUUGGAAUCAAGAUAUGGGAGGUCGUGGGAGACCGGGUUUGAGGUAAGACUAUAGUUGGUCUGUAACGUUCAACCUAGUAUCAGAUUAUUGACGAGACGGUUUGGGUAGUUAUUGCCAGUGAGGCUUUUUUUCAAAAGUUGCGAUGGGCGAUUGUGUGGAGUUUCAAAAGCAGCUACGAGGCAACAAGCUGUUUUGGGCAGUAUUAGUGAUUUUUGGGCAGUAUUUUCGGGUAGUACUAGUCAUUUGGAAUUUGUGUGUGAAUAUGUAAUUUUUCAAACAAUUUUUUUUUCAUUUAUAAAACUCAUAAAAACUCAUAUAUUUCAUUUCAUAAAAUCACAAGUGUCUCAAGUCAACAUAAAUCCACAAGAAAAAUCAAAUCCUAGAAUCCUCAACAUAAUCUCGAACAGGUGUGUACAAUCACGUCGGUGCCUUCCCGCGAUCCUCGGAGGUACUUGAAACACAUAUCACAUAGCACGGUAAGCAUAAAGCUUAGUGAGUUCCUCAAAAUACCAUGCACACACAUAAUUAGCCACUCGAGGCUAUCGCUCUGUAAGACCCUCCGGUUAAUGUGUCUUAGCGAGACCCACCAGUCCUACAAAUCGUCAGACCCUCCGGUCCGGUCUAAGUGAGAACCCUCCGGUCUCACUACUCGUUGGACCCUCCGGUCUAGUCUAAGUGAGGACCCUCCGGUCUCAUAGUUCGUUGGACCCUCCGGUCCGGUCUAAGUAUCUCAUAAUAUAGUACACAGUAUAUAUCACACAGAAAUACAUAACUCAAGCAAGCACAUAAGACCCUCUGGUCACACAUAAUGACCACACUAGGUAAGGUAUAAUGAGAAGACUCACCUCCUAAGAACUCGGAUAAUCUCAAACUCAAAUCACAGGUUUAGCCUCCGCCUAAUAUACACAAUAAUUAUCCCUAAUUAAUAACGGCUCUCACAAGGCUGAACUAACCCUUCCAUACACUCACAGAAGGGUAAAAGACCAUUUUACUCCUCCAUGGGCUUAAUAGACCACAUGUUGACCAAACCCUAAAAGUCAACCGAAAGCCAACAGCAAGGAGUACGCUGUGCGUACCAACUCCCUACGUUGGGCAUACUCGGCUGCCAUGCAGGCAUCGUGGAGACUCGACCUCUACGUUGUGCGUACUGGGAUUAUGCCCAGCGUACAUCCUAGUUUCACUCUCCUCACAAUUUUGGUCUUAAACAGUUAAUACAUUGGCUCAUAAUUCAGAUCUGGACUCCCUAAUGUCUCUUAAUCCAUAAAGUUGGUGACUUUAAGCCUUUGCGUGGCUAAAUAGGUCACAAACACUGAAAACUCCCAUCCCCUUUCCUCAUGAAACUCAUAACUCAUGCAUGGCUUACUCCUAAUGUCCAAGAUUAGAUUUUUAUGACUUUACUCCACAAAAUACACUGAAAAGGGAUAGAUCAAGGCCUCUAGAGUGCAUUAUCUCAUAAAGUCUCCAUCUUUUGGGAAAAAACCCUAAAGUAAUUCAUAUGAAUGCACCAAACAAACAAAUGAGAAAGCUUGAAGAUUUAUACCUUUAUGUGAAACCUUCUUCACAGCUAAGCUCAGAUCCAACUCCUGGGGCUCUCACUCCUUCUUCUCUAAAGCUUCCUCUCUACUUCAAGAACACAAGAUUACACCAACAAGCUCUCAAAUGCACUCUCCAGCUAUAAUGACGGAGAUUUAGGGUUAGGAGGGGUUGGUGUUUGGGAAUGGUGGCCAGGAAUGAGGCCAUCAUGUCCUUUAAAUAGUGAGCUCAUUAAAAUUUAGGGUUUCAUUAUGGGCCUAGCAUGCCCAGCGUACCCACUGGUACGUCGCGCGUACUAGGUGGCCUCCACAUCACUAACACGCAUUGGAGUAUGCUGAGCGUACACUCAAGUACGCCCCGAAUACUCGUUUACCACCUUUUCUCUAAUAAGGCCAAAAUGGACAAAUGCUCAAUAGAUCAAGGUUUACAAGGUAUACCUGGACUUGGGAUGUUACAUCGUGUGUGAGUCUCUUGUAGUUCGGGGAAUAUAAUAAGUUGCUUGUAGUGGAUUAAAUAAUCUCAGAGUGGUUGAUUUGAUUCUAUUGCGCAGUUCUCGUCUGAGUCUAACCAUUGCAGGGAUGAAUCUUCUACUCAAAGGAUUAUCUGAGCCUAUUGUCGAGUAUAAGUGUUCUGUAGCUGCAAAUGAUCUGUUUUUUGGUUCCUUUAAAAGCAUUAAGAUAUUGGUUUUAUAGUGGUUCAGAGAGGGGGAGGGGGUGAUCAGCCAGGAAGUCAAAUCAAAUUGAGAUUUCAGGUAUCAGGAAAGGUAAAGGUGGGUUUUUCUGCAAGGGAUUAAGGUUCGUUCUGCUAGGGUUGGUUUCAGUUGCUAUGGGAAGGUGGUAGUAUUAUGGGGUUGUGAAGAUGAGUCCUUAUGGGGACAGUGUUAUCUGGUGCUAUCUGUCAUGGAGUUCGGCAAUGUCCAGGGUUUUCCAGGUUCAAGUUUAAUGGUUAGGGAUCUUCUAUUUUGGAUUUGUCAUCGGUAUGGGUGGGCGGUUAUCUAAGCGGGGUGACUUCCUUAGUCUUUUGGGGUUCAAGGAGUUUAGUCAGGAUCAUCAGUUCGGUACACGAGAUUUUAGGGAAUGAUUUCGAGGAUGAAAUCUAAUUUAAGUGGGGGAGAGUUGUAACAUCUGGAAUUUACAAGAAUAAUUGUGGAAAUAAAUUCCCUUUCUAGGGACCAACACGGCGAGUUGAUCGUGGGAAACUCGACGUAUUGGAGGCUUUUGGGAUGAGCGUUUUUAUAAACCAAUUCAAUGAGUUGGUGAAGGGAACUCGGCGAGUUGGACGCUAAUCGAAAAACCCUAAUUUUUAGGUUGUUGUACCCUAUCUAAAGGCCUUAAGUUCUUUGGUUGGCCUCCUUACCAGCCUCCUCUGUCCAAAAACCCUAAAAUCGAGCCUUAUCUUCCAUUGUUGAGUGUGAAAGCUUGGGGAGAGCCUUGAGAGUUUAUUUUUGGUGCUAGUUGAAGGAGCUAAGGAAUUAGGAGUUCCUUUCCUUGAAGAAGAAAUCUUAGAUCCAGAAUCUCUGCCUCAUUUGCCAAGUUUUUGAGGUAUCAAGUUCUCACCUUGCCUGUUUGUUUCAUAGAUCUCUUCUUGGGUUAGAGUUAAUGCUUUUUAGCCAUGGUUGGGUGGAUUUUGGGGAUUAGGACAUCCCAAACGAUUAUUAUUUCAGAUCUAAGGUAUAUAUGAGCUCUUUUGGCAUAAAGGUGCCAACUUUAUUGAUUUAAGGGCUUCAUAGAGUCAUUAAUUCUUUCAUUUAGCCGUUUUUGAGAUUUUGUGCUCGUCCUAGUCAUGCUUAAGCGUAAAGUUGGAAACUUUACAUGGCCAUCUAGCCUUAUGGGUUCAGAUCUGCAUUAUGGGGUUUUGUCUUUGCUGAUUAAGUGCUUAAUGAUUAAGCUAUCACUCUUUUAAUUCUAAGGUUUGGGUUUGGACCCAUUUAGGUGGUUCCUAGGGGUAAAGUUGGAAACUUUAACCUUCGGGGUCUUAUUUUGGUCAAUAGCUGAGUUUGGAGCUCUUGGAUUCGAUGAAGGUAGCUUAACGCAUUAAGCUGUUGGACUUUUAGAGCUCAUAUCGUGAGUUCGAUCUUAUCCAUCCGCUGAAUCGACUUCUGACAGCCCGACUCUGGAACCCAUCCAUCACUGGCUCACGUCGUGAGCUUCAUGCUCACGUCAUGAGUCCUCUUAUAGUGUGGGGUUGAGUCUUUUACUCGAAGGAUUAUUUGAUCUUUGUUGCGUGUGGCUAUAUUAAUGAGGAAGCUAGUUGACAUUGGUGGGAUUCCUUUAGCAGUUGAGGGUUUGGUGAGGUCGGGAACCUAGGAAAGCCUAGGAUAUGCUUUAGUGGGUUAGUGGUACGGUUUAGUGAGUUUUGGUGCAUUGUGCUGAAGAAGUGACUUAGAGGAUUCGAGAGGAUUACUGAGGAAAGUAUGGAUAGGUGGGCUUUAGAAUGGAACCCAAUUGCUAGUUGGGUGUUAUUGUGAUCUGAUAGCUCGGAGGUGUCGUCAGGGCACUAAUGUCGGCCCAUUUGGUUUAUGUAUUAUAGGAAGACCCAGGGGAUAACCCUGGGCAGUUUGUAUGAAAGACCAGGAGGCGGCUCCUGGCAAACUGUAUGCAAAACCAGAAUCUGAACUGUGGUAGUUAACUAGUUAACUAGUGUAGAUUGUAUGCUAGUUGUCUUUGUGAUGCUUGCAUGGAAGACUCGGAGGUGGCUCAUGGCACUUUUUUGUAAGACCGCAGGUUUUGGCCCCCGCCCUGACAAGGAAGACCACGAGGCGGCUCGUGACAUAAUGGAAAGACUAUGGAUGACACAUAGCACCUUUACUGAUUGUAGUAUAUGUAUGCUAAGUAUGGCUUGUUGAUAUGAAUGUUAUUUAUGGUUCAAUCGGUAUGUUUGGUAUGUGGUAUUUGGGGAACUCAAGAAGCUAUGUGCUUACAUUUUGUGCUUUAUGGUUUCAUGUAAUUCCAUUUUGAAAGGAAAGGGUUCGGCUUAAUCGCAACGCAUACACCCAUGUUUUCCGCAAUGUGUGAUAUUUAGGAAUGAACUCUGAUAAUUGUUUUAUUUUGAAACUCUUCUAGAUGUCGGAUUAAAGGUUAAUGAAUGUUUUGGGCAUAAUAAAAACGAAAUUUUUACCCCUGAUUUUCGGGAUGUUACAACAUUUAUUACCAUUUAUUGACAUUUAAAUUGGCCACGACAUGUUUGAAACCAUUUGUGAUAGCAUAAUUAUCAAAUCAAAUAACUCUAUAUAUUGAGACAAGAGCAAUGUUAUCCAUGUGGAUAAAAUGUAUUUCUAUUUUUUGUAUUUUAAAUUCAUGUAAUACAUGGAACAAAAUUGAAGAUGAUAUUCUAUUUCAUGUUAUUGGUCUCAAUAUCUGACACUUUUAGUAUCUAGUAAAUUUUAAUUUUCAUAUGUAAUAUCUUAAACAAUAAAAUUCUAUAAAAUGACGAUGUAUUUUUUCCAUGUCAAAUGUGAUUUUUUUUUUGUAUCAAAGUAGUGUAUUUUAAAAAGAUAUUUACCAAGUUGGAUUGAGUGACAAGUGGAUUGAGUUAACUGAAAAAAAAAAUUAUUUUUCAUGGGUUAGAAAAGAUGAAAAAAAAAAGUUGAUAUAGAACUCACACCACAUGAAUGAUUUGACACCGUUCUACUCCUACGACCUUUACCCCCAACAUCGAAUUCAUUAUGAUUGUUAGCCUAUCUUACGAGACAGACAUGACCUCCUACUACCAUGUAUACUAAGUCCCACUAUUUAUAACUCUACCCUAUAAAACUCGACGGAGCGCUGGGGUGAAGGGUUACGGGAUCCUUUCCCGCUCACCGGAACANNNNNNNNNNNNNNNNNNNNNNNNNGGGGGGGGGGGGGGGGGAAGGCUGCUGCACUCUCUCUCUCUCUCUUCUUCCUAUUGGCUGGUUUUUUUCCCAAGCGAACUGUUUGAAAUAAAUAACAAAAUUAAUUUUUUUUUCAAUACAACUAUUGAAAAACAACAAUGAAUUUAUAUAUAUAUAAUUUUGUUUUUACCUCUAUAACAUCUAUAAAUAUACACAUACUUUAACCUUUCAAACUCACACCUCCUUCUAUGAAUUUCUCUGUACUUUCUUCAAAAAAAGGAAUCCAUACAACCAAACCCCAAACUUCGAUAGAAGGAAAAAAACCAAUGUUUCAAAUUUAAGCACCCCAACUCGAAACAUUUUUGAUAUCGAUUCAUCUCAAGGGGUUUAUCGUCCACAACUCGAUGCUCACAUUUAAUCUUCACUACAAUCACAAUACCAAAAUAUUAGACAAUUUUACCCGAUGCAAGUUCCAAAUGUUACUCCAAAUAUGCUAUUAAACUUUGUUGUUUUUCCUGAUCAACUUUCGCCAAAUCAACCCCAAACUCAAAUCCCACUCUUUCAAUCUCAAACCCAAACCCAACCUAAGCCCAAACACAAUAUCAACAACAAUACCAAAUCUUCGAUGAGUCGGAUGAAGAGAUUGUACGGGAAACUCAACCCACAACCCCCAACCCCACAAAGUAAAACAACAAGUGAGAGAGGGUUCCAUACAACCGGGACGACAGAAGCCGCAACCAUGGACUAAACGAGAAGAGAUAAUUGGGGUAAAAGCUUGGGUUGACAUUUCAGAUGAUUCAGCGACAGGAAAAUGCACAACCUGAGGAUCAUUUUUGGUUUCACAUUCUUGAGAGGUUUCAUAAGGAGAUGGGAAAAAGUGACGAGUAUCGUACCAAUCAUCAAUUGAAUUCAAAGUUUCGAGAAAUAGCGUGGGCCGUUUCAAAAAUGAGCGGGUGUACAACAACCUAAAAACCUAAUGGAAAAGCAGCCAAGGAGAUGAAGAAAUACUUCAGGAAGUUUUGCAUUUUUUCGAGAGGAAGUGGGAAAGUCAUUCAAGUGCCACGAUUGUUGGAAAAUAUUGAUUAAAAGUCGUAGGUGGAAAAAAUACGAGCAAGAGUUUAUACGUCGAGUACAACAAUCAAAACGAACAAAAAUGAGCUCUAGUGGUUACACAACUUCCUCCGAUGCUCGGGUCGGUCUAGAUUUAAAUGACGAGGACGCACUCGAGCUAGAAGAAAUUGUCCGACCGAUAGGUAGGGACAAAGCAAAAAUGAAGGGAAAUGAGACUUCUUGGGGUGAAUCGAAUUUCAGCAUGGACGCGGACCAAGUGCGAAAAAUGGUGGAGAUAUUUGAUCGAUAUAAUCUUAAUUUUGCUGAAAGUUUUGGCAUUCGACAAAGACAAAGAAGGAGAAAAAAAGAAGGAGAACGCAUAGAAACAAGAAAUGGAGGAGAUGAUGUUAUUGAUGAAAAAUACCGACCAUCUUUCGGGACUAGCUUCGGAGCUCGUUUUGAAAAAAAAAGGUGCGGAUUAUGCAAAAAUAUUUUCCCUAAGAGUGUUGUUUGUUUUUUUUUUCUAGUUAUUUAAAUCUUAGGUUUUUAUGUAAUUUUUAUUAUAAUUAACAAUGGCGGAGUUACUAUAUCAUUAUAAAUAAUAUUUUGUUUCUUAUAAUGAUAAUCUUUCCUAAUAAAUAAAGAACUUUUUGUCACAUGUCAAACUCUCAUUGAUUUGACCACAUGUCAUUUUGUGGUUAUUUUCAAUUAAUUUUUUUUUACACAUGUCAUUUUGGGGUUUUUUCAUUUUAUUAAUUUUCACAUAAUAUUUAAAUGUAAUAAUUACAAUAAAUAUAAUAAUAAAAUGCAUAUCAAUUUUAUUAAUUGACUUCCUUUUAAUUUUAAAAUUUCUAAAUUAAAGUUUCAUUAGUUUCCUUUAUUUAUUUAUCUAAAUUAUUUGUUUAAUUUAAAAGAAAAACAAACAAUUUAAUUUUAAUAAUUAAAUGUUUUUCUAUUGUUUUCUUAUAAAUUCAAACUUGUCAAAUGUUUAAAAUUUUAUAUGUUUUUCUUUAAAAUGAACUCAUGUAAUACAUGAGUGUUACACCUAGUGAUAGAUUAUAUCACGAGUACAAUUCAUUUAAUGAAACAUAUGUACGUAUAAUUAGAGAAAAUUUUUAAUAUUAGCAUGUUAAUCCUCUCUAAAAAAUAAAAAUAAUUUUGCCACAUAUCACUCUUUUAUUAAUUUGGACACAUGUCAUUUUUUGGUAUUUUUGAUUAAAUGUUUUUUCCAUUUGUCAAUUUUUUAUUUUUUAAUAUUUUCUUAAUUAACACAUCAUAUAUACACCUCAAUUAAUAAUUACCUUAAUUGAAAAUAACCAAUAAAUUACAAUAUUAAUAGUCAUAUAGUAUUUAAUAUGUUUCCUUUUAAAUUUAAAUUUUAAAAUUUUAAUUUCAAAUCUAAAAUUUCAAAUUUGAAUAAAAUUUGUUUGAACUUUUAUAUUUAAUUUUUGUUUUAUCAAACUCGUAUAACAUACGGGUCUCACACCUAAUGGAGAAUUAUAAAUCAACGUUUAUUGUCGGUCUAAACUUUUGAAAUGUCAUUUUUGCAAUGAUCGGUAUAACUUCUCCUUAAAGGAAUUUUUAUAGUCAUUUUCUCUUUCAAGAUUGUAGACUCUUUUACAUUAUUUUGAUAAAAGAUAUAUUUGAAUAUAUUUUUACGACGUCGGCUUUCCUUAUUCUUAAAUCCUGGCUCCGUUCCUUUUAAUUAAUGUAGUGGUUUUUAUUUUUAAUUAUAUAUAUAUAUAUAUAUAUUACUUAUUCAUUUAUAAAAUUAUAAAUCAUAAAAUCAAUUAUUUUUACUUAAAAAAGAGUGAUACACCUUUACAAAAUUAUAAACCAUAAAAAUCAAUUAUUUUUACUUAAAAAAUAGUGAAAAAACCUUCCCACAUACACCUUGGUUUCUAACUAAGAAAAAAAAUGUAGGAAAAAGGAUAAAAUGAUAAAGAAAAAUAAUAAAAAAAAAAAUAAAAACCUUCCCGUACCCACCCUCCGGCAUAAGAAGGUGCGUCCCUACGAGUACAAGAUACACAGGUGUAGAUACAUAUGUAAAAAGCUAGUAAUUAACCAACUAAUUAUUAAUUAUUAAAUAAAAUAGGGAUAUAAUAUUAAUGAUAAACACAUUAAAAUAUUCCAAAUGCUCAUGAAGUCAACAUGAGAAAUUAUAUUGCAAUAAAUUUCUUGUUGGGUGAGAAAUUCACAAGUAAAAUUUGUAUAGUAAAUAACAAACCGAAAGUUCCAGAAACAGGUCAAAACUUAAAACCCUAAAUGAGCUUACAAAUUUCCAUUGGCCACAUACCCCACCACAAAGGCACAAACAAUCAAUGAAACAAGUGUAGAUGUAGAGGCCUUUUUCACCACAAUCACCCUUCAUCGGCCAUUUCGAAGGCCACGUGAAAUGUCACUAACGUGGCCCUCUAAAUAUCCACUACUUUGUCUUUAACCCCUCCCCCCUCCCUUAUAAAACACUCCAUCCUCCUCCUUAAUCACCAUCACCAACAACCUUCUCUCCUUCCUCAAAAGUACCACCAUCUUUUCCGACAUGGCAGCUUCUUCAAUCUUCAUGGCAACUCCCAUCACACUCCUCAAAAAAACUCCCACCUUCUCCGUCAAAUGCAUGUCACAAACACCUCAAAGCGGUGAACCGGAGAUUUCAAAAUCAGCAACCACCCCAACACCACCACAGAUCAACAUUCCUCCUCCUCCGCCACCUGCUCCAAAGGUCAGCACGAAAUUCUCUGACGUGUUGGCGUUUAGUGGACCUGCACCGGAGAGGAUCAACGGAAGGUUGGCGAUGAUAGGGUUUGUGUCGGCGAUGGCUGUGGAAGUGAGCAGCGGUCAAGACGUGUUUACCCAGAUCGGCAACGGCGGAGUUGCGGUGUUUGUGGGGACUAGCGUCGUGUUGACGUU